GCCUAAAUCGUAACCAUUUAAAAGAUCAUGAACAGUAUAUAAACACGGGACCUUAAAAACUAGGGUUUUCCGAAGCAAAACUUACCUGAAAAUGGUGUCUACGUGAUCGUGGAGUCCUCAGGGUUGCAAUGGUAGUCUUAACUUGGACGUUGGUAUUAGGUUUUAGGUGGUUUUGGUGGUUGCCCGUGCGUUCGAGAAGAAGAGAGAGAGUGUGAGAGUUUCUGAGGAAGAGCUGAGGAAGAGAGAGAGAGUGACUGAGGAGAUGAGAGAGAGACAACAAACGGGAAAUGGGGAGGGAUUUAGGGUGUAGGACCCUACCUAAAGUCCAAACACAAAAUUAUUAGUCCAAGUUUAAGUUUAAUUAACAAUAACUUAGGAAUUUUAGGUAAAACCAAUACCAAAAUUACGCACCUUAAUCCCGUUUAAGGGCAUUUUCGUCUUUUCACGUCCUCGGAAUUAAAAAUUCCAGGACGGGCUGUGACAAAUAUUGUUUUAUUUCUAAAUAUAUUCAUUUAAUGUUAAAAAUGUUACAAUUAGUAUAUUUAUAUUUUUGACUAGAUAUUUUAUCAUAUAUUUUUAGUUUUAGUUUGUACCCAUUUUUAAUUUGUAAUUCUUUUUUAACUUGUACCAAUUUUCUUUUCAGUUUUAAUUUGUACCCAUAUAAUAAUUUCUUUUUGUGUCCAUAUUUUUUAAAAGUUUAUUUGUAUUUGUACGCAUAUAUUUUUUUUGUAUUUGUACUUUGUAUUUUGCUAAAUGUACCCAUUCAUGUAAAACUUUUUAAUCUUAAAAUGCACUCGUUCUUAAAUAUACCAAUUUGUUAUAUGUAAAAUGUACCCUUUUUUUAUAUAUAAAAUCUAUUCAAUUUUUUUCUAAUCCAUUUUUUAAACUUAUAUGGGUACAUUCUUUUUUCUUUGAUUUUAAAAUGUAUCCAUGUCAAGUUUAAUCGAAGAAAUUUACUAAUGUUAUUAAGCCUAAUAUUUUUUUUUUGUGAUUUUGAAGAAUGUACCCAUGUUUUGAUACAAUAAAUUUUUUGGUUAAUUUUGAUGAAUGUACCCAUGUUUAUAUAUAUACACACACAAUAGUAUAUUCAUAUUUUAAUAUUUUUAAUCCCACAAAUUAUGGUUUUUUUAUUUAAAAUCUCAUUUAUAUAAACAACUAAAAUUUCUAAUUUUUAAUUUAAAAAAUAUAGUAACGUAUAUAGAAUAAAUUAUCACAUUAAUUUCAGGGACCUCGAUAAAAAAUUGAAAACCAACAAGUUUUCAAUAAAAAAAUAUUCAUAACUAAAAAUCGCAUCCAAAGUCUCCCAUAUUUUAAACUAUUUUAAUCUACAAACGAUUACUCAAAACAAGGGCAAAAAAAGAGAUUUUUUUACAUGUUCCUUUUCUUAACCAAUGUAAAAAUCUCUCACGUGCACAUAACCGCAGCUUCCGCUAAACGACGUCGUUGAAGAGAGGUUUUUCAGUAUAAUCGGUACGGGAUGUUACAUCAUGUGUCAUUAUACAAAUGAUGAGAUAUGUGUGCUAAAAAAUUAAUAACUUAAAAUAUAAAAUUUCUCAUUACUUCUAUUAAAACACGAUGUAUCACUUGUGUAUCCACUACAGUCACAAUUAAAAAUUUCUACGGUGUUGGGUUGGGAUCCGAUUUUAUCGAAAUUAUGAUUAGUUCGCAAGUCUCACCGCAGAAGCCAGAAGUCAGCAAAAGUGCUUUUGAACCGUAAAAACUUGGACAGUGUGUCAAGAACGAACUCUCUCCUCCUCCUCCUCCAAAGCUUCAAACUUUCAGCUUGUCUCCGAGGAGCUGAGAUCUCCAGUCCAGCUCAAGAUUCCGUUUCAGUCAUGGAGGAGAAGGUAGUCGCUGUAAUCAUGGUGGGCGGGCCCACCAAAGGUACUACUCUGUACAAUUCCUAAUUUUUUCCUUCAAUUUUUGUUCUUGAAUUUUUCUGAUUUUUGUUGCGUUUGAUUUUCUGGGCAGGGACUAGAUUCCGGCCUCUUUCAUUCAACACUCCGAAACCGCUGUUCCCAUUGGCCGGGCAGGCCAUGGUGCACCACCCCAUUUCAGCUUGCAAAAAGGUUGGCUUUUGGCUUCUGGCUUUUAGCUUUUGGAUUUUGGCUUUUCAAUCUUUAACCAAAAUCCAAUCAAAGAAUUUGGAUUUCCAAUUCAAUAGCAAGAAUUGAAUGCUUAAUUUUAUGUUACAGAUACCCAAUUUAGCUCAAAUCUAUUUGGUUGGAUUCUAUGAAGAGAAAGAAUUCGCACUGUAUGUGUCUUCCAUUUCCAAUGAGCUCAAAGUGCCAGUGAGGUACUUGAGAGAGGACAAGCCUCACGGUUCUGCCGGCGGACUUUAUUACUACAGAGAUGUCAUCAUGGAAGACAGCCCGGUUCGAACUCUAUACUUAAUGCUCGUUUGUCUCCAUUUUCCACUGUUAUGUGUACUAAGAUUUGCUUAACAAUGUUGUGUUUGUGUCUGUGGAACAGUCUCAUAUCUUUUUGCUGAAUUGUGAUGUUUGCUGCAGUUUUCCACUUGUAGACAUGCUUGGUGAGUUUUAUUUUCCAUGUUCGUGUAUGUUAACGAAGAGAGUUUAUUGCUGGGAUUUAUAAAAUAAGACUUUGAGAAAGUAAUUGUUUUUGUUGCUUCUUGUUGUUGUUUUGUUGUUGCAGAGGCUCAUAAAAGAUAUAAGGGAAUAGGUACAAUGUUAGUAAUUAAGGUUAGUUUGUUGAUGGACGGCUGGAAUUGUUGAAUAAUGUUGCAACUCUGCUCCAUAUAGCCGAUGCUCUUCUUCUUCAUUUUUCGUCAUGCUAUUCUUUGUUUUUUUUGGUUCAUAUGUAGGUUUCUGCGGAAUCUGCAAACCAGUUUGGGGAGUUGGUUGCUGAUCAUGCCACCAAAGAACUAUUGCAUUAUACUGAGAAGCCAGAGACUUUUGUAUGUACACGAUGCAGUUAAUGUUUGGAAAUUGUUUAUUUAGUUGGUGCUUGAUGAUCUCAAUUCUUCGUUUUAUUUGCUUGUUCCCAGCCACGUUUGGUAAGGGUUAUCUAUGUUCUAAAUUCAGGUGAGCGAUUUGAUCAACUGUGGUGUAUAUGUAUUUACUCCAGAUAUUUUUACUGCCAUUCAAGAAGUCUCCAGUCACCGAGAAGGCAGAGGUUGGUCUUUUUUUUUACUGGCAUUAUAGUUUAUGAAUUGUUUUGCACUUGGGUUCAAAUUUUGGCUCUACAGUUAUUAUAUUACUUGAUUUGUAAUUAUUGAGAACAAAUUUGGCCUCAACACGUAUUGCUUUUCCUAUUUUCUUUUAUCCCUAUGAAGUAAAUAUGCAUGAAUUUCACAGUGAAUGAAUCAUUUAUUUUAUUGUUAGGCAAGAUACUAACUUGAUGCACACGAUACAUUUUGAUAGAUGUUAGUACUUUAGUAUAUCAACAAACCUUGGAUUUAUGGGAACUCCAUAGAAUAUUCAGAAUCAUGUCAUGAAGCUUGGAUCAUGAUGCAAAUGAAUAGCCAUGCAGCAUUCAUCAGCGUUUGUCCAUAUCUGAAGAAUGAACUUAUAGCUAUUUUUCAUUUGAAUUCCCUGGUUUCCUCUUCUGGGAGUCUGAAUUUGUAUUUGACAAUUGCAGCUAAUUUGCGUCGUGUUUCCAGCUUUGAAGCCCUCCAGUCCGCAACAAGGUUGGCCUCUUUCUCCUGGUUGCAUGCUUUUACUUUGAAUAAUGAAUUUAUAGCUAUUUUCAUUUAAAUUCCCUCGUUUCACUCUGAGAAAUGCUUACCACUUGACCGGAUUAUAUCCAUUGUGAAUACCCAUUUAUAAGUUAAGGUCUUUCUUUGUUAGUACUAGAAGAAGGAACAUAUGUUUGAAAUCCCCUGGAAUGUCAUCUCUUGUGGCAUGAAGGCGAUAUAAUGUGUGUUUACAAAGAGUGUUAUUGGUUUAAAUUCAGAGUGUGUCACUUUUAAUAUCGAUAUACACUCCUUUCAACAGGACUCUUCCCACAGAUUUUGUUAGAUUGGAUCAAGAUAUUUUGUCACCUCUUGCUGGAAAGAAUAAACUGUAUACAUAUGAGACCAUGGAUUUUUGGGAACAGAUCAAGACUCCAGGGUAGCGUAAAUUUUCCUAAUAGCUUCAUUUAUUUUUUCUUUUUCCUUAAACUUUUAUUAUCAUUUGCCUUAUACUAAUCUCUGUUUGCUGUUACAGAAUGUCUUUGAAAUGUUCGGGUUUAUAUCUUUCUCAAUUCCGAAUUAACUCCAAACAUCAUCUAGCUAGUGGAGAUGGUACCAAGAAUGCUAGAAUUGUUGGUGAUGUUUAUGUUCAUCCAUCGGCAAAAGUACAUCCAACUUCUAAGGUAGUUCCAGUUCCAUAUCAUCAUCUACUAUUUUGUUCUAUCCUUAUUUGCAGUUGCAUGUUAUUGUACAUAAAUAUUGGAUGAAGUAGGGUAGUGAAUAUAGUGGAGGCAGCAGCACAAUCAUUACUUAGAGCUUCCUUCUUCCACAUUUCCUUCUAACUCGUGAUUUACUUUUGCGCACAGAUUGGUCCCGAUGUGUCUCUUUCAGCAAAUGUUCGUGUAGGUGCAGGAGUAAGGCUUAUAAAUUGCAUUGUCUUGGACGACGUGGAAAUCAAGGUAUUGAAGUUGGUAUAUUGAUGGAUAAACAAGAACUUUUGUGUAUUUGGGAUGCUUUUGUGAAUUUAUCCGAACUUUUCAAUGUUCUGUGUCAUGACAGGAAAAUGCAGUUGUUAUAAAUGCUAUUGUUGGAUGGAAGUCGUGUAUUGGAAAAUGGUCGCGUGUCCAGGUAAAUGCUAUUGUUGGAUGUAGUUGCAUGAUUAGUGAAUGAAACUAGUAAACAUACCAUUUCUGUUAAGUUAUAGAUUUCUCUGAACUUGUGCGGAUUGCUCCUCAUUCUUGUUACUAACUAAAAACUUAACUGACUGGUUUAGGCUGACGGAGACUACAACGCAAAGCUUGGAAUUACCAUCCUUGGUAUGCAUGCCUGGUUUCUCCUUUCUUUCUUCUAUGAAUUUAUUGCUGUUGAUGUGCAAGGAAAAUUCUCAAUUCAGUUGACCAAUUUGAAGAGCCCUCAUUUUUUCCUCUUUCGGCAGGAGAAGAGGUGACCGUUGAAGACGAAGUUGUGGUGAUCAACAGCAUCGUUCUCCCAAAUAAGACUCUUAACGUUAGCGUACAGGAGGAAAUCAUUUUAUAAUCUUCAAGAGAGAGCUUGCUCCCUGGUUUUUGCUUGCUGCUCGCGUUCAUGCCGGUAUGUUUUGUUUAAUUAUUUUGGUUAACCAGCGUAUUGUACAGUUGAGCUACAAGAACAGAUAGGCAACAUUUUUGUAAUGCAUUUGUAUCAGAUAUCUAAAAGUUUAUUUUUAUGAAGGAAUUGUUUCCGAAUAUGUUCGUGCCAAUUGGAUUAGAGUUCAAUUCUGUGUUUAGGGUUUCUAAAUCUUUUGAUGCACAAAACCGGAGGUCUUGGAACAACGUAAAUCCGACCGUGAAUCUGCAAGAAAUGUAAAAAUAACAUAAGAUGUAUCGUGGUUCAUCCCAAAGUUUGGGCUACGUUCACACUGAUUAUGUAUUUAUUUAGGGAGAGAGCUCUGAGAGUGAGAGCUUUGAGAGGGGGGUGAGAGGGCCUAGGAAUUGGCCUCCCCCAAUUGUGAGGGUGAGGGGUCCUUUUAUAGAAAAGAUUCCUCACUUAUUACAUAUUUGUCCAUUUUUUUAUCACAUAAUUACAUUUAAGUUCCUCAAAUAUUUGUACGAGAUCUAAAUACGAGGCCCUAAAUAUGGUAUAAACAAAUUCAAAAUUUCUAUUCAAAUUCUGUCUAAUUUUACCCAUGUGUAAAGGUUAAAAUUUCCGAGGCUUGUUUGGUUCUUAAAUCAGGCUUGAUACCAGCAUGUUACCCGUACAAGUAAUGUGCAUGUUGGUUCGAAUCAAAGGAAAUUUGGAUUGCCAAGAAGCCAGAGGAGUUAUCAGUACAGCCACCGCCAAGAUCUUUCGCCCCCUUACAAGUUCAAGUUAGGACCACACGGACGAAGGUACUAGUAUAUUAGAAAUAUCGGUAGUCUAAAAAUAAGAAAAUUUCGAUAGAAAUAUUGGGAUAUUAUCGAUAUCAAUAAAAAUUGAAUAAAAGCCACAGAUUGUAAGAAAAACUUGUAAAUUUUUAUUGAAACUUUGUAGGAUGUUCAUUUAGUCAAUUAUCUAUUAGUUUAUCACAAAAAUUGAAAGAAAAUGUAUUGCAUGAUGAAUUUAACUGAUUUAAGUUAAUUAUAUAGCGAGCUGACAAAUAUUGUAAGUGUAGAAAAUAUAUGGUAAUUAAUUAAAGAAAUUUAAACACACCAUAAUCAUUUAUAUAUAAUGAAUUAGUACAAUAUUUUACACUUUAUACAUUGCAUGGUAAGAUACAUGACUUAUUACCACAUAGAGUUCCUAUCAAGGUCUAAAAUAUCGAUGAUAUCGGAAAUAUCAAUAAUCCAAAAACACAAAAAUUUCGAUGAAAAUAUAAGGAUAAUAUUGAUAUUUUAGACCGACUGAUUCCAUUACUGCAUUCUCAUGGAAGUUUCUUCAAUGGGGUCGGUGGCAUUUAUAUGUUGCCUAGUCAGGGCAAAGACGAUUCGUACGAGCAGUGAUACAGUCAAAGCAACCAUCCCCGGUUUCACUUUGUUGUAAAACUGGCUGCUAAAAAUUAUGCGGCAAUUAAAAAAAAAUCUCUUCCAUGGUAUACCAUCUCGUGGACCGUCAUACUAAAAAAAUCUCUCUAUUGUCUUGAGCCUCUUGUAAUCAAAAGAAAAUCAUGCCGCAAACAUCCAUACACCAGUUACAUAUGGUGUAAGUGUUAUUAUACAAAUGAUGUGAUAUGUGUGAUCAGCACACAAUGUAAUACAUCACGUAUUAUUAUACAAAUGGUAUAAUAUAUGUUUUAAAAAGUUAAUAACUUAAAAAAUAAAAUAUCCUACCAUUUACAUAAAAACAUAAGAUGUACUUGUGUUCCCUUCGUAAUUAAAAUUUUCUAGUAUAAGACCAACUGGGCUAACCGGUCAAAGCCCACGCGCCCAACCAUUCCCUAAAAACACACACGCGCACGCGCUCUGAGCUGCUGCUGAAGCCUGAAAUUUAGCAGCUCUCUCUCUCUGUCUCUCACAAACGACCGGCGCUUUCUCCAAGCGGAGAAAUUUUGGUUCUCCGAUCAGAGACCUCCACCGCGUCGUCUCUCUCUUCCUCUCAGAGGUCAGCCGCUCCUCCGCCGUUAUCCUUAUUUAUAUUCCAAUAAGAAAUCAAUUCAAUUUUCGGACACGAUAUUUUCAGAUCUAUCACACUUCAUUUCUAGAUCCUCCCUCACGGAGCUUCCGAAAUCACUAUUUCUGGAAUUUAUUUAUUUAUAUUUUCCUGCAAUUAACUGCCAUUGAUUUUGGAUGUUUAAUUAUAUUGAAUAAUUUUUUAUUUUAUUAAUUUGAAUUUAUCUAUUUCAAUAUCUUGUUGCAGUGAUUUGGGAAUUUAGGUGUAGAACAAGACUUGAAUUUUGAUAAGCAAAACAUUGUAAUCCAGAGGAAGCAAUAAAGGAGAUAAAUUCAGGAAAUUGAAGGAAAGGUGAUUUGGGAACAUGGCCGAUCACCACCACCACCACCACCACCAGCACAGGCCUCACCGUCUCUCACUCCCCCAGCGUCCCACCACCCCCACCACCUUCUCCACCACUACACCCACCGCCUUCUCCGCCACACCCACCACCGCCACAUCUAGACAGUACCCUGUUUACCCUUUCUCAUCGACCCCGAUUGCAACUCCGUCCAAAUACCGCCUCUCAUCCCUCAACCCCAAACCGUUCAACCCCAACAGCAGCAAGUCCUCCCUCUCCUUCCUCUUCCUCCUCCUCCUCUCCCUCCGCUCCCUCUAUUCCCUCCUCCCUUUCCUCCGCUCCUCCCCUUCUUUCUCUCUCUUCCCCUUCUCUUUCCUCGUCUCUCUCCUCUCCUUCCUCCUCACCCUCUCCUCUUCCCUCCUCACCUCCUCCUCCUCUUCCAAAGACCCUUUUCACCAAAAGCAAAACCAACCCAUCUUCUCUCUCACCUUGAUCACACAGUCCCAGCACAGAAUCUUGGUUGCCAAAUCGAUUCUUCUUGCCGUGGUCUUCCUCCUCCGGUUUCAGGCGCUUCGUUAUUGCGGCACCGCCGCCAUGAUCCUGGCAGAAUUGUCCGGCAACGUGGCGGCCCGGUUCUUGGCGGAUGGCCAUGAUUCGAGUGUCGGCGGCGAUAGGAAUCGGUCCUCCAAGGUCCGUGGGUUUCUUGCUCUGUUUUCUGGGUUAUUUUUGUUAUCUAUGAGUUGGGAUCGGAUUGACUGCUUCCCAUUUUCUGCUAAAUUGGUUGAAAGUUUGGGACUUUCACUGUUUCCAAGAGUCAAUUGCGUGAGAAUUUGGCCAAUGAUGCUUCCAUUUCUCGCUGGAUUUUUGGGUUGCUACGAACGGGUAUCGAUGAAUUGGGGAACAAUUAGGCAAUUGGGUCGAAAACGGGUUCGUGUAAUUUCGCUGUUUUUUACAACUGUUGUGCUGUUCAUUCCUGCUGUUGUGAGUUUUUUCAUGUUUGAAGCUGUGGGAGAUGGAGUUUCAGUGGGAACUUUAGUUUGGCCUCUGGCAAACACCGUUGUUUUUGGGGUGCUUCUGAGUGAAAGUUUUAGUGAUGACAAGUCAUUGAGUUCAAACGAUUUCCGAAGAGAGUAUAUGGUAACAUUUCUGUGUACUCUUGUGUUGGAGUUGUUCUAUUUUCCUGAAUUAUCACUUUGGGGACUGUUGCUAUGUGGGUUGUUACUGUAUGUUGCUGUUAGGGAAUUGGAUCCUUACUAUUUGAAAUAUCUUGAACUGGGGAUGGAGUCUUCAGAAUCGUUUACUACCGCCAUUAUGAAGCCGAUUAAGCACAUUUUGAGUGAGAGGAAGUCACGCAAGAUUGCACUUUUCCUUAUGAUCAAUACUGGAUACAUGUUUGUGGAAUUUGCUGCUGGGUUCAUGAGCAAUAGUCUGGGGCUGAUAUCUGAUGCCUGUCACAUGUUGUUUGAUUGUGCUGCUCUUGCAAUUGGGCUAUAUGCUUCGUAUAUUUCUCGCUUGCCUGCAAACAAUCAGUAUAAUUAUGGGCGUGGGAGAUUUGAGGUUCUUUCGGGAUAUACUAAUGCUGUUUUCCUGGUGUUGGUUGGAUUGUUGAUAGUUUUGGAGUCGUUUGAGAGGAUUUUGGACCCUCAGGAGAUAUCGACUAGCAGUUUAUUAGUUGUUUCAAUCGGGGGGCUUCUUGUUAAUGUGGUUGGUUUAAUCUUCUUUCACGAGGAGCAUCAUCAUGCUCAUGGUGGAUCAGGAUCAUGCUCCCACUCCCACCAUCACCCGCAUCCGCAUGACUCUGUUGGGCAUAAUCAUGAAGGUCAUGGAAAGCAUGAGGAAUGCAUACCUGUUUUCAGUGAAGACCAUGAAAAAUCAUGUUCUGGCCAUCAUGACCAUCAUCAUGAACAACAACAUGGCAGUUCUGUCAGUUCUAAAGAUCACAAUUGCGGAAGCAAAGAGUGCCAUGAUCACCAACAUGAUCAGCAUGACCACCAUGGCCAUAGUAAGCAUGACAGCCACGUUCAUAGCCACCACCAUGACCAACAUGAUCAUGCCCACCAACAUCAUCACCAUGACCAUGCCCACCAGCAUGAACAUCAUGACCAUGCCCACCAGCACGAACACCAUGACCAUGCCCACCUGCACGAACACCAUGACCAUGCCCACCAGCACGAACACCAUGACCAUGCCCACCAGCACGAACACCAUGACCACGCCCACACUCAUGGAAGCUUACCCCAUCAAGUGGCGGAAUCUCACAUUCAAGAAGCAGGUUUCCAUAGCCAUAAACAGCCAAUUGAUGGAGAAAAAUCAGCUAAGCAUCAACAUCGCCACAUUGACCACAACAUGGAAGGAAUAUUUUUGCACGUUUUGGCUGACACCUUGGGAAGUGUCGGAGUUGUGAUAUCAACCCUCUUGAUUAAGUACAAGGGAUGGCUGGUUGCUGAUCCUGCCUGCUCGAUAUUCAUUUCCGUCUUGAUUAUAUCUUCGGUUAUCCCAUUACUUAGAAACUCGGCAGAAAUCUUGCUCCAAAGAAUUCCCAGAGCACACGAGCAGGAUUUGAGAAAAGCUCUUAUCGAGGUUAGGAAGAUAAGGGGGGUUUCUGGCAUUCGGAACUGGCACAUAUGGAGUUUCACAAACAGCGACGUAGUGGGGACUCUCCAUCUCCAUGUCUCAACAGAAAUCGACAAGGCUGCUGCAAAGGCAAAGGUCUCACACGUACUACACGAAGCUGGAGUCAAGGACUUAACAUUGCAGUUGGAAUGCGUUGGAUCAUAGCAUUGUAACUUUCGACAACUUUCAUCCCUCGACAGAAUUGACAUUGACAUUGUAGCCCAUUUGUUGUGGACGCGAUGCGAUUGAGGAGCCUGUUGGUAGUUCCAGAUGGAUUCUCCGGCGCCUCUCUUGCCAUCGUUCGGGGACUUCUUCGUGUGCAUCUUGAAGCUGAGAAAAGAUUUUGUCCGACAUUAUAAAGUUUAUGAUGCCAAUAUGGGCAUGCAUGUAAUUGUGUUUGAACACGUAAAGAAACAUGCGAAGGGCGAUAGUUUUUUGUUGGGUAGAUUGGAUAUGUACACUUCUUUUUGCAGGCAAUAUAAUUUAUAUUACGAGGGAAAUUGGAGUGUGAGACUAGAGUCGCACGAUGUUCUCACCAAUUUGGCUACGCAGUGCCCUAAAUUAACUUUGGAACGAAAUUAUCACUAUAUUCAGUUUACCAAUUCGCAGAACCCUCUUGUUUUCUUUUGGCAGGAGAAGAGGUGACGCUGACAGUUGAAGACGAAGUUGUGGUGAUCAACAACAUCCUUCUCCCAAAUAAGACGCUUACGUUUUUUUUUUCUUAACGAAGACAAUUGACGGCAGGUCACGGUUAUCUAUUCUUUUCGGAGGUCGGGAAGACUCUUAACAUUAAGGAAAUCAUAUUUAUGAAGGAAUUGUUUCCAAAAUAUGUUCGUGCCAAUUGCAUUCGAGUUCAAUUAUUUCAUUAGGGUUUCUAAAUCAGGCUUUAUAUGAUCAUGUUACCCUUACAAGUAAUGUGCAUGUUGGUUCGAAUCCGAGGAAAUUUGGACAAAAAAAAUUGGAAUUUUUUUUUUUAAAUUUAAUUAUUUGUGAGCGAGCACAUGUGCUUUCUCUGUUUUUUUGGUCUAUCCAUGUGCUUUCUAACAAGUGCUUCUAUCUUAUACGAUCCAAGAGUCUAAAAUUUGUAUCUAAAAUUGUGUAGAAAAUGCAAGGUUCUAAAAGGUACUAAAAUUGUGUAGAAAAUGUAAGGUUCUAAAAGGCACUAAUUGGGCAACAAAGAGGUACCUAGACAGGUUUUUUUUUUUUUUUUUUUUUUGGUAUUGGAAUAGAAUGACAUAAAUUAUAAAGUAUUGAAAACAUAGGAACAAGAUUAUAAUAAGUGUUUAUCCAAGUAUUCAACAAGUCUCCUACAAUUUAUUGAAGAAAUAAAAUGAAAAAUGAAAAGUUAUUUAUUUUCUGUUUAAAGAAGAGUUGCGACUUAAGCAAGCACUUAGACGAGCUCCACAAGUUUAAACAUUAUUUUUUAAUUUCAAACGCUUAAAAAUUAAUUGAGAUGGUACCUAACUGUCUAACGUCUAGAUAAAGGCCUAGACAUUGCAAAAUGGAGAUUUUAGAACGAGAAAAUGUAGUGCCAUGACUUUGUCUCCUUUAUACUUUUCAAGUACCCAAUUUUCUCCGAUUAUGAUAUGGGCAUGAAAAACUAAAAAGUCAAUAGCGUGGAAAAGAAAGAUUGAAGAUUAUUUUCGGAUUAUCUUUGUGAUAAUUUUGGGAUUCUUUAAUUAUAUUUGUUUAUUGUAUGUCGUGAGAUCAUAAAUUAUUAUAAAUAUUUUUAUUUAAAAUUAAAUAUAAAUAAUACUUGACGAAAACUGACUCAUGAUGUAUGAUAAACAGAUGUAAUUAGAAGAUUUCCAGAAUCCUCACAAAAAUAAUCCGAAUAGAAUCCUCAUUCCAAAAGGAAAGUCCCAUAAUCCAACGAAUCCAAUCGGUAAUUUGGUAUGGAGGUGGAUUGUGUAUCCUCUCAUUUCUAUACUUUUUUCAUCAGCUUCUGUUUAUGUGGUCACGAUUAAACCACUUCAACAUUUUAUAUUGAUUUUUUUAUAAAAAUAAUAAAACAAAAAAUGAUAAGAAUAUAAAAUGUUGACGUAGUUUAAACGUGACUAUACAGUACACAGUACAAGUGGAUGGGAAGAGUAUGAAAAUGGAAGGGUAUUCAUUACUCGACUAAACCAAGACUGCAAGUACAACAACUGCCACACUGAAAGGUCUCCGCCGCGGGUCCCACCCAUCAUCAGCAAGCAAACGACUGACUGCAAGGUCCGUCUCCUCCUCCUCCCCCUCCCCCUCCGUUCGAUCUCAUUUCCCCCAAAACAAAACAAACGGGAAUGGCUUUCUCGUCGUACAUUGGCAGCACCCGCCGCGGCGGCUGGGCCAACUCCCUCCUCCCUUCCUCCUCCGCUUCCAACCCCAAAUCCAAGCUCACCAGAAAGCCCCGCAGGCGAUUACCCCUCCGCGACUUCAUCUUCGCAAACUUCUUCGUUAUCGGCCUCUCGAUCUCCCUCUUCUUCUUCCUCAUCGUCUUCCUCCGCUACGGCGUCCCCACACCCCUCUCCUCCCACUUCAAAUCCAAAUCCCCCGCCCGCUUCUCCAAACCCCGGAAGCCCGUUUCCCGCAAGAACGUCUCGGCCGCCGACGCCGAUGCGGGGGCCACCGUCGACAUCACCACCAAGGACCUGUACGACAAGAUUGACUUCUCGGAUGUGGACGGCGGGCCGUGGAAGCAGGGGUGGCGGGUGAGCUACAAAGGGGACGAGUGGGACUCUGAGAAAUUGAAGGUGAUCGUGGUGCCCCAUUCGCAUAACGAUCCCGGCUGGAAGCUCACGGUGGAAGAGUACUACGAUAUGCAAUCCAGACAUAUUCUCGACACCAUCGUCGAUACGCUUUCGAAGGUGAGCAAAACAUUCAACCUUUCAAUUGGGUUUUGCUUUGAGCUUAAAUUUUGCUCAUUUGGUGUUGAAUUUUCUUGUUUUAUAUGAUUAGUGCAUUGAGUUCGUAUGAUCCAGUUAAUAUAUCUGCUAAAUGCUAAUGCUUUUUCUUGGAUUGAUUGUUUUAAUAUAUCUGCGAAAUGCUACGUAUAAUCUUUGGUUUUGCUUUUCUGCUUUCGAGACUUUCCAAGUUUGUGUGAGAUUCAGUUGGGUGGAUUUUUCUUGGAUGUGUAGGAUUCUCGGCGCAAGUUUAUAUGGGAAGAGAUGUCUUAUCUGGAAAGAUGGUGGAGAGAUGCCUCUGAUCACAAAAGGGAGUCAUUCACCAAUUUGGUGAAAAAUGGUCAGCUCGAAAUUGUUGGAGGUGGCUGGGUAAUGAACGAUGAGGUAAUAUUCAUAUUCAUAGGCUUUUUGUUUAACCGCAUGUUUGUUUUUACUUGAUCAUCGACAAGUAUUUUAUGAUAUUUCGUUCUCGUCACCACCCCAUUGCAUCUAGGUACAAUUCUCUUUUCUUUUUUUUCCAGUGGUCAGAGUUUACCAUAUGCUUAGAUUACUCCUAGUACAUGACGUGAUUUUGUAAUUAAUGCGUUUGUGUUGUUGAAGCUUAAUACAUUGGUUCCUCUUCUUGAUGCAGGCUAAUUCACAUUAUUAUGCCAUAAUUGAGCAGGUACAUUUAUCUUCAUUUUUAAUAUUGUUCUAUGCUUCUCUUUUGCUGCUGAGUUGCUGAUUUUAUCUUUGUGCAAUGGAUGUGUCAGAUGACAGAAGGAAAUAUGUGGUUGAACGAAACUGUUGGGGUUAUUCCUAAAAAUGCUUGGGCAAUAGAUCCAUUUGGAUACUCACCUACCAUGGCAUAUCUUCUCCGUCGCAUGGGUUUUGAAAAUAUGCUUAUUCAGAGGACCCAUUAUGAGCUGAAGAAGGAACUUGCACUGCAUAAAAAUUUGGAGUAUGUAUGGCGUCAGAGCUGGGAUGUGGAUGAAACAACCGAUAUUUUUGUCCACAUGAUGCCCUUUUAUUCUUAUGAUAUUCCACAUACUUGUGGUCCAGAGCCUGCUAUUUGUUGUCAGUUUGACUUUGCUCGAAUGCAUGGCUUUGAUUAUGAACUCUGUCCGUGGAGAGACGAUCCAGUAGAGACCAACCAGGGAAAUGUUCAGGAGCGGGCACUUAUUCUACUAGAUCAAUAUAAGAAGAAAUCAACACUGUACAGGACAAAUACACUUCUUAUUCCUCUUGGAGAUGAUUUCCGCUACAAAAGCAUCGAUGAAGCUGAAGCUCAGUUUAGGAACUACCAAAUGCUGUUUGAUUAUAUCAAUUCUAAUCCCAGUUUGAACACAGAGGCCAAGUUUGGAACUCUGGAAGAUUACUUUUGGACCCUUCGUGAGGAGGCUGAAAGAAUAAAUCAUUCACUUCCUGGUGAGAUUGGUUCCUUUCAGGUUGGGGGUUUUCCUUCUUUGUCAGGUGACUUCUUCACUUAUGCUGAUAGGCAACAGGACUAUUGGAGUGGCUAUUAUGUUUCCAGGCCUUUCUUCAAGGCUGUUGAUCGAGUUCUCGAGCAGACAAUUCGUACCACAGAUAUGAUGAUUGCUUUCCUGCUUGGGUACUGCCAGAAACCACAAUGUGAAAAGUUGCCCAUGGGGUUCUCCUACAAGUUGGCUGCAGCUAGGAGGAACUUAGCUCUUUUCCAGCAUCACGAUGGAGUGACUGGUACUGCUAAAGAUCAUGUGGUCCUGGACUAUGGGACUCGGAUGCACACAUCUUUGCAGGACUUGCAGAUUUUCAUGUCUAAAGCUAUUGAAGUACUGCUCGGAAUGCGCCAUGAGAAAAAUGACAAUAACCCGUCUCAGUUUGAGCCAGAACAGGUGAGAUCUAAAUAUGAUGUUCAGCCUGUUCAUAGAGCAAUCAUGGCCCGUGAAGGAACUAGACAGUCGGUGGUGUUUUUUAAUCCUUUGGAGCAGACAAGAGAAGAGGUUGUGAUGGUUAUUGUUAACCGUCCAGAUGUUACUGUUCUAGACUCAAACUGGACAUGUGUUCAAAGCCAAAUAUCCCCUGAGCUUCAGCAUGAUAAAAGCAAAACUUUUACUGGAAGGCACCGUGUCUACUGGCAGGCUUCUGUUCCUGCAUUGGGGUUGCAAACAUAUUACAUUGCUAAUGGGCUUGUUGGAUGUGAAAAGGCCAAACCAGCAAAACUAAAAUUUUUCUCAAAGUCUGGUUCUUUAUCCUGUCCCACUCCAUAUGCUUGCUCAAAACCAAAAGCUGAUGUGGCUGAAAUCCAGAACAGGAACCAAAUACUCACCUUUGAUGUGAAGCAUGGCUUGCUGCAGAAAAUAAGCUAUAAGAAUGGUUCGCAAAAUGUUGCGGGUGAGGAAAUAGCUAUGUACUCUAGCUCGGGAAGUGGAGCCUACCUAUUUAAACCGAAAGGUGAUGCCCAGCCUAUCAUUGAAGAAGGUGGGCAGUUGGUGAUCUCUGAGGGCCCUUUGGUGCAGGAAGUUUACUCUUAUCCAAGGACUGCAUGGGAGAAGAGCCCCAUUUCUCAUAGCACCCGUAUCUACAAUGGAGAGAAUACUGUACAGGAAUUUCUCAUUGAGAAGGAGUAUCAUGUUGAGCUUCUCGGCCAGGAGUUUGAUGACAAGGAGUUGAUAGUUAGGUAUAAAACAGAUGUUGAUAACAAAAGAAUAUUCUUUUCUGAUUUAAAUGGCUUUCAGAUGAGCCGGAGAGAAACCUAUGAUAAAAUCCCAGUUCAGGGCAAUUAUUACCCUAUGCCCUCUCUUGCAUUCAUGCAGGGCUCCAAUGGUCAGCGGUUUUCAGUCCAUUCCCGGCAGGCGUUGGGUGUCGCAAGUCUUAAAAAUGGAUGGUUGGAGAUUAUGCUUGACCGUCGUUUGGUAAGAGAUGAUGGACGAGGUCUUGGACAAGGAGUGAUGGACAACCGUGCUAUGAAUGUAAUCUUCCACAUCGUUGUGGAGUCUAACAUUUCAGCCACAUCAAACCCAGUUUCCAACCCAUUGCCCUUGAACCCCUCUCUUCUUUCUCACCGUGUCAGUACUCACCUGAACUAUCCGUUGCAUGCAUUCAUUAACAAGAAGCCAGAGGAGUUAACAGUGCAGCCACCCCCAAGAUCUUUCUCCCCCUUAGCCGCUUCCUUACCAUGUGAUCUGCAUAUUGUAAGUUUUAAGGUUCCCCAACCUCUAAAAUACACUCAGCAACCUCUCGGAGAUUCUAGGUUUGCGCUAAUUUUACAGAGACAGAACUGGGACUCUUCAUAUUGUCGGAAGGGCAGAUCAGGGUGCACUAGAUUUGCUGAUGAGACUGUGAAUCUCUUUUACAUGUUCAAAGACCUUGCGGUAUUUAAUGCAAGAGCUACUUCCUUAAAUCUUUUGCAUGAGGACAUGGAUAUGCUUGGGUAUACUGAUCAAUUUGGAGAUGUUGCUCAAGACGGACACGUUCUUAUGUCUCCAAUGGAAAUACAGGCUUACAAGUUGGAAUUGCGGCCGCACAAAUGAAUGUACUAGCAGCAGAUUUUCUUACUAUAUUCUCAUGGUUGCUUUUUCAGCAGGGUUCAUGGCUAAACGCUAAUGCGUCCUUAUCUCUCCUGUGGAAAUGCAGGCUUACAAGUUCAAGUUACGACCACACGGAUGAAGGUACUGGUGACUUGAUUUCAUUUCUCCAUUCUCAUGGAUGCUUCUUCAAUGGGGUUAGUAGCAUAUGACAAUGGUUUCUCAUAUCCCACUAUCAACAUGAUCAAAGUGGGAACCAUAUAUACGCUGCUACUUCAAUACAUGUUACCAAGUAAGUGCAAAGACAAUUCGUACGAGUAGCGAUACAGUCAAAGCAACCAUCCAUGGUUGCCCUUGCGAGCAAGUCGAUUGAUGGACUUGCCCUUGGGAUUCUUUUUGUUGUGAAACUGCUGCUAACAAUUAUGUAUGCGAUUAGUAUUUGUGUGUUCAAAAUGAUAGUGAGGUUAAUGGUGAUGUUUGGAUUUUGUAUUUUGCUUGUAAUGGUUCACAUGGUAGAGGGCUAUUUUUGAAGUGUCCAAGUACUUCCAUCCAAGAGAUUCUUGGGUUUGAUCACUCGUGCCAUGUCAGUUGUCCGUCCAAAGAGAACUUCUUUGGUUCAAGCGCCAUGUAGAGCUAGGGAUGGGCAAAAUACAUAUGGGUAUGGGUAACCGCGGUUACCCGUCUAUUAAGUUGACGGUUAUGGUUAUGAGUAAUCGUUUGGACAAAUAAACGGUUAUGGGUAUAACCGUUUAUCCAUGAAAUUUAAAUGGGCGGUUAUAGGUAUUAUUCGCGGUUAUAACGGGUAUCCAUCGGUUAUGGGUAAUAUUCGCGGUUAUAAUGGGUAUCCAUUUACCCAUUUAAUUUAAUAUAUGUAAAAUUAAAAACCUUCAGAGAACUCACAACUCCGUCACUCACUCUCUCCGCCUCUCGACUUCGACUCAACCUCACCUCGGCGACCUCACUCAGACAACCUCACCACCCUCCUUGGCCUCACCUCAGACAACCUCCUCACCUCAGAAUUCGGCCACACCCACAUCACACAGACCAUCUGAUCUCUCUCUCUACUUCUCAUCCAUCAGACCUUGACUGUGUCGAAGAGCCUUCCUUCACGGCACAAAGGCAGAGCUAUGGGCACCGGUGCCACUCACCUCUCUGAUUUCUCUCCCUUGACUUCUUCAUCCAGAUUUCAGGGCACUGUACACCGAUUAUCCUCCAAAUCAGGUAAAUUUUGGAAUUAAUUUAGGGUUUGUGAAAUUUAAAUUAGGGUUUGUGAAAUCUAGUCUUGAUUAGGCAUUGUUCUUGAUUUUAUUAAAAAUUUGCAUUGUUCUUGAUUUUAUUAAAAAUGUUGGUUGAUUUUUAGAGCAAUUAUCCUUAAUCAACCAACAUUUUUAAUAAAAUCAAGAACAAUGCCUAAUCAAAGACUAGAUUUCACAAACCCUAAUUUAAAUUUCACAAACCCUAAAUCUCAAACCCUAAAUUAAUUCCAAAAUUUACCUGAUUUGGGGGAUAAUCGGUGUACAGUGCCUUGAAAUCUGGAUGAAGCAAUCAAGGGAGAGAAAUCAGAGAGGUGAGCGGCGUUGGUGGCCAUAGAUAUGCCUAUGUGCCGUUAAGGAAGGCUCUUCGACACAGUCAAGGUUUGAGGGAUGAGAAGUCGAGAAAUAGAUCAGAGGGUCUGUGUGAUGUGGGUGUGGCCAGAUUCUGAGGUGAGGAGGUUGUCUAAGGUGAGGUCGAGGAGGGUGGUGAGGUUGUCUGAGCGAGGUCGCCGAGGUGAGGUCGAGUCAAAGUCGAGAGGCGGAGAGAGAGAGUGACGGAGUUGUAAGUUAUCUGAGGGUUUUUAAUUUUACAUAUAUUAAAUUAAAUGGAUACCCAUUAUAACCACGAAUAUUAUCCAUAACCGAUAGAUACCCGUUAUAACCGCGGAUAAUACUCAUAACCGUCCAUUUAAAUUUCAUGAAUAAACGGUUAUACACAUAACCAUUUAUUUGUCUAAACGGUUACCCAUAACCAUAACCGUUAACUUUAAAUGGACAGGUAACCGUAGUUACCCAUACCCAUAGAUAUUUAGGAAAACUAAUGAAAAUGGCUUGAAAACUUUGAGUUUUAAUGAUAAGGACAAAAUAAAGGAUAAAGUGAAUAGUACCAGGAUUGACUUUUUAGUGUUAAAAUGUGAUUUUUCGUUAAAAUGAACAGUACAGAUGUUUUUCGUUAAAGUUCCUAGAUAUUUUCCCAUCCCCAAUCCCGAAUCAGUUAUCCUACGCCCGGAUUAUAUAUCAAAGCCGACGCGCCCAAACAUCGCUAAAAACACGCACGCGCUCUGAGCUGCUGAAGCCUGAAAUUUAGCGACUCUCUCUCCUCUCUCUUAAAACGAUAAGCUCUUUCUCAGCUGAAGAAAUUUUGGUUCUCCGAUCAGAGACCUCCGCCGCGUCCUCUCUCUCACUCUCUUCCUCCCAGAGGUCAGUCGCUCCUCCGCCGUGGUCCUUUAUUUAUAUUCCGAUGUUAAAUCAGUUCAAUUUUCUGGCUCGAUAUUUUUCAGAUCUAUCGCACUUUAUUUCUAGAUCUUCCCUUACGGAGCUUCUGAAAUCAUAAUUUCUGGAAUUAAUUUAUUUUUUGCUGCUAUUAAUCUUAAAUAGCGAUUGAUUUUGGAUUAUAAGAUAUGAAAAUUUAAUUAUAUGGGUUUUUAUAGUGAAUUAUUUUUUUUAAUGUGACUGUAUUUAUUUCAAUAUCUUGUUGUUUGUGAGAUAAAUUGCCUAUAGAAAUUAUCUGAAUUGCAAUGAUUUGGGAAUUUAGUUACAGAAUUUUAGACUUGAAUUUUGAUAUCCAAAACAUUGUAAUCCAGAGGAAGCAUAAAGGGGACAAGUUCAGGAAAUUGAAGGGAAGGUGAUUUGGGGACAUUUUUGGCACGAGAAUAUAAAUCGGUAACGAUGCCUGCCCAGAAGAUCGAAACGGGUCACCAGGACACUGUCCACGAUGUAGCCAUGGAUUACUAUGGAAAGCGUCUAGCAACAGCUUCGUCUGAUGCCACCAUUAAGAUAAUUGGUGUCGGAAACGCUUCACAGCACCUUGCUACAUUGUCAGCUCAUAGAGGCCCUGUCUGGGAGGUAGCUUGGGCGCAUCCCAAGUUUGGGUCGAUUCUUGCUUCUUGUUCAUAUGAUGGGCAGGUGAUCAUUUGGAAGGAGGGAAAUCCCAAUGAGUGGCAACAGGCUCAUGUUUUUAACGACCACAAGUCAUCGGUAAAUUCCAUUGCUUGGGCACCUCAUGAACUUGGUCUGAGCUUAGCUUGCGGUUCUUCUGAUGGGAAUAUUUCGGUUUUCACUGCCAGGGCCGAUGGUGGUUGGGACACCACUAAGAUAGAUCAAGCCCACCCUGUUGGAGUAACCUCAGUUUCAUGGGCUCCAUCGAUGGCUCCUGGUGCUCUAGUUGGAUCUGGUCUGCUUGAUCCAGUUCAUAAGCUGGCAUCCGGUGGGUGUGAUAAUACUGUGAAGGUGUGGAAGCUGUACAAUGGGAUCUGGAAGAUGGACUGCUUCCCUGCCCUUCAAAUGCACAGCGAUUGGGUGAGAGAUGUAGCAUGGGCACCCAACUUGGGACUUCCAAAGUCCACAAUCGCAAGUGCUUCACAGGACGGAACAGUGGUGAUUUGGACUGUGGCCAAGGAAGGUGAGCAAUGGGAGGGGAAGGUUUUGAAGGAUUUUAAGACCCCGGUCUGGAGGGUGUCGUGGUCUCUAACCGGAAACUUGCUGGCUGUGGCUGGUGGAAAUAACAAUGUAACAUUGUGGAAAGAAUCUGUCGACGGUGAGUGGCAACAAGUAAGCACAGUUGAGCCAUAGGUUUUGUAUUUCCUACUUCCAAUUACUGUCUUUUAAUAUUAUCAUGAACUAGAUUGCUAGCGUCUUAGAAAAGGUUUAUCUUGGUUUUCCAUUACUUUCCCUGUUAGGGGUUUAUUGAAUUGUUUUCGCUUAUUGUGGGAUGAAGAUUCAGAUUUUAUAUUGUAAUCAGUUGGAGUUAGAUCAUAUGUGUUUUCCAUCCUUGUGUAUCUGUUUCUGAUUUAUUUUUUGCUGGUGAAAUGGUAAUAGUCAUAAGUUGCACUUCUCAUUGGUUUUUCUUUUAGACCUUCGUACUAGUCGUUGGUUUUCACUUUGGCAGAAAUGCUCAAAGUUGUGACCAAAUUAUGAUAUCUUUGCCUAUGUUGUCGAAAACUCAACUCUUUUGCCCACCUGCAUAGCUAUAUUUUUGUUAGUCUGGGAUUUCCAAACGGAACAGUUGGUCAUCGUUUACUGCCACUGGCUGGAAAUUGAUGAAGCGGGGAGCGUUACCAGAACUGGUUGACUUUCGAUUUCCUGUUUUGUUGAAGCUUAAAGGACCUACCAUCGAUUCUUCAGUCUUUGUUCUCUUCCAAAAUUACUUAAGCUGCUGUUAAGUUGGUGAUCUUUGCUCAUACCAAACCCAGGCACAAUACUCAAAACCCAAAAGAGAGCUCUGCAUGAAAAGACCUUUCUGCGCACCAAGAUCACUCUAUGAACGGCCGUGUCUGCUUGCCCGCGGAGCUCACAUUUCGAAUUCUAAUUCCCGGGUUUUCUCAGAACUGAGAUUUACAGGUAGUGAAGCAGAAAUCUCGUGAGGAUCAGGCUGUUGUUAUCGCCGGUCAGCUCCCGGACGGCGAGGAAAAUUGCAAAACCUGUUGUCGCGGUGGAGGAUCCCAGAAGGUAGCGUGUAAUAGACGGGUUCCAUUUGUGAUUAUACAAGUUGAGGGAAGGAUUUUUUUCCAAGUGUUUCUCCUCUUGUAUAGUGACAUGUGUAUAAUGACAUGCGUAUGUGCAGUGCUUCGAACAUACUGAAAAAUCUCUCAUUUUCAGGUCCACGGACGUCGUUUGGGGUUUAAAAAACGUGUAAGAAUGGUUGUUGCUGGCCUAAUCUUCACCUUUGAAUUAGCCUGGAUAUGUUUUUAAUGGGGGAGAGAAAUAGGAAGAGAGAGAAUCUAGAUCCAUAUUAAUUUUGCGACUAAAUGAUUCUUAAUAAAAACACAAGAAACUCCAGAUGACACUGGCAUUGGCAUUUGUUAGUAAGAGUAGGAUUCUCUCUCCUCCUAUUCACAUUUUCUUUCGUGUUCUCGUCUCACAUUUUACUUUUUGUCAUUUUGUCUCUAUAAAAAAAUUAAUAUAAGAUGUUGACGUGACUUAAUAAACAUGUCUGAUAUGAAAAAAAACACAUGUACAAAUGCUUAGAUCUCGUCAAACGUCACACGUUCCUCACAAAAACAGGAGAUGUCACGUACAUUGAUCUCACUUGAGUCUACAUUCGUUCUAUUUGAUGUGAGUAUUAUAUUAAUAAGAUAAGACAAUAACGAAGCUUAAACUGGUUUGAGAGUUGCAUAAACAAACGCAAAGUGUUCCAGAACUUACGUUUGUUUCAAGUAAAAAUAUAAGAAGGCAAAAAAAAAAAAAAAAAAAGGAGAAAAGGAAGUAGUAACCAAAUUCUUUUUCUCCUCUACUUUCCUUACUAGAUACUUGGUCCAUUCGCAAAUUGCAGCUCACUCGAUUAUAUUAAUUGCAAUUUCUUAAUUUCAUGUUGCAAAUAGUAAUUAAAUUUUAUUGGCUUUUUAUCCAAACUCACCUCUAAGAUUGGUAUAACUCCUCACUUAGUUCAUGAAAUUUAAAAUCGAUAAAAGUGACUACUGACUUGUCUACCAUCAGUUAUUUUGUAAAAAAUCUCAGUUAAAUUGAGGCUACUUUUGUCAAUUCAACCUUUCUACUUGAACUAGUGGUUUCUCUAAUUUAACGAAGAUUUUUUACAAAAAUAACUAAAUGAUUGCCAGUAGAUAAUCUUAAAAAACAAUUAUAUCGAUUUUUAAAUCUCAAGCAUCAAAGUUGCUAAAAACCCAAUUUUAUUUUAUUGGAAAUUAAUACACAAAAAUCCAACAACAAAAUUGUACUCGUUUUCAGUCGGUACUUGUCUAACUAAUAUUCUCCUGUGGCCCUGUCCACCCAAAGCGUUUGGUCGAGUGGUGAAUCUGUAAUUUGACUCAAAACGCAGGUCAAUCUCCUCGCGCAAGUUACAAAAGCAAACAAAACUGAAACGGCGAAGAUAAAAGAUUCCCAGGACGCGCAAGCCACAAGAGAGUGAGAUAGGCCAAGAGAGCUUCCAACAAAUAACCAGUUCGUCCAUGGCGGCGACAGCUCGCGCCGUCAUUCUCUCCCGCUUCACCGACCUGUCUCUCAAGCCUUCCCAGCCGCCGCCCCCGAUUACCGGCCACCUCCUCGUCCGCCCCUUACUCCCCUCCUCCUUCCGGCGGCGUCGUUUGUCCGCCAGCUCGACUUCCGCCGUCCGAUGCCUCAUGUCCGGCGUCGACGGCGGCGGCGUGUCGGACGAGUUCGUCUCGACUCGGAAGUCCGGCUUCGACCGUGGCUUCUCCGUGAUUGCGAACAUGCUCAAGAAAAUUGAGCCCCUCGACACCUCCGUUAUCUCCAAGGGCGUUACGGAUUCCGCCAGGGACUCCAUGAAGCAGACCAUUUCUACUAUGCUGGGGUUGCUCCCGUCCUAUCAGUUCUCCGUCACCGUUAGGGUUUCCAAAGCCCCUCUCCAUCGCCUCCUCACAUCCUCGAUAAUCACCGGGUAAUAAUUCACAUUUCUAACCCCGUUCUUCAAAUUUCAGUAAAUUCAGUGCGUAAUUGUAUUAAUUAGAGUAAAAUUGUUUUGGGAUUUAUCUUAUCAAUUAGAUAUACACUGUGGAACGCGGAGUAUCGGAUAUCGUUGAUGAGGAAUUUCGACAAAUCCACGGAGAAUUCUGUGCCGUUGGAUCGGUCGGAGAUCGAUGGGGUGUCGGAUAGGGUGGAGAGUGAGGAAAGGGAUGAUGGAAAUGGUAUCGGGGUGAGUGGCGAACUCUUGGAUUCAGCAACUCCCCAUGUUUUUGGCGAUUUGCCUCCGGAGGCUUUGAAUUGUAUCCAGAGGUUGGAGUCAGAGUUGACAAAUGUGAAGGAGGUGAGCAUUUGCUCUCUGAAUUUUCCGUUUUGUUCAUUUCCACAAUUACCAGUGCUUUUCUUUGAAUUGCGCCUAAAAUAGUCGAAAAUUCUAGUAUGGACAGCUUGUUCUUUGGUUUUGAAAGCAAGAUCAAGGCUCGUUUUGGCUGGUUUACAAUCUUCCAAGUUUUGGUUUAUGAACGUUUUUAUUUUUGUGCGUGUUUUGUAUCAAUCUUAAAUACGAAGGUGGAAAAUCAACCCAUCUGGUUGUUAAUGGGUAACCAUUAAGACCCGUGUAGUUUGAUUUCACCGUAAUAUGGUGGUGAGAUUGGUAGUUUUGAUGAUGGUGUAAUACCUUAUUAUGGUGAUGACAGUGUAAUGAUGCUCAAGUUUUGUGCUUUUGAGCUUAAUUCGUUGUUGAAGUUAAAUGCUUGAAGGAUCGUGCAUUGUUUUAAGCGGAAUGUGGGAAUGACAUACUUUGCUUUUUUCAGGAACUGAAGGCGCUAAAGCAGGAAAAUAUGCAAUUAGAAUAUGACAGAGGACCUAGGAACGAUUUAUUGGAGUAUCUACGGUCUCUAGAUUCUGAUAUGGUAAUUAUCUUACUCUGCGAUGGAGUUGCAAUUUUUACGAGUCCCAUCUUUUCUGAUGAUGGUGUGAUGAUUUGUUUUAACAGGUGACUGAACUAUCUCGACCGACAUCAUUUGAGGUGGAGGAAAUUAUACACCAGCUUGUUCAAAAUGUAUUGCAGCGAUUCUUCAAGGACGGUACUUCCUCAGACUUUGUGGAAGAUUUGGUGACAGGGGACAGUGAGAAUGGCCUAGAUGCUGAUGGCGAACUUGACACCAUAGGAACUUCACGAGAUUACCUAGCGAAGCUGCUUUUCUGGUUAGACUCCUGUCGUAGUCCUCCGUAAAUGCUUUGUUUUUCUUACUUGUCCAAAUUUGCCUUGCAUUAAGUCACUUCUGGAACCGUCCCGUGUUCACGUAGUGUACACGUAGAGUCGUAGAGGCAAAUAAAUACGCCAGACUUUUUAUGAUAUCUUACUAGCUGAACCGAUUCCAUUAGCGAUUGAAAUCUGAAGGUUCGUAUAUUUCUUGUGGCAGGUGUAUGUUGUUAGGUCAUCAUUUAAGAGGGUUGGAGAACCGAUUGCAUUUGAGUUGCGUUGUUGGAUUAUUGUGAAGAGAGGAAAGUGGGAGGCGUGUACAUCCUUCAUGUUCGUCUAUAUCAACCUUUAUUCUUCUUCAAGUUCAUCUGUAUUAUUCUUCUUCGUUUUACGGAAUACCGCAAUAAUUACGGUUCUUCCGACCUCUUUCAUCGUGAUUCACGAUGAAAGAGGAUUCGUGAUCUCCAUAAGUUAACCUAUCGUACACAUUUGGAAUUGUAUUCGAUUUUACAAGUGUAUAUAGAUGAAAAAAAUUAGCAACCAACACUCCUGCUGGCAUAGCCAAAUUCUUCUUGUUGCCAUUAUUUCGUGACAAUUCAGACAUCCGCACUACUCAUUUUAAAUUCGUCUUAUAGAAACCAAGGAUUCGGAUCUCUCUCUUUUCUCAACUGCUCGAACCUCUAGAUCCUUAAGCUUUGGAGACAGAGAUGAUCUUGACUUGUCACAUAUAAUGAUUACUUCUGAGUUUUAUAUUUCUACCCAACCAGGAUGUUCCUGGACAAACACAUCAGAGAAAUAGGAAAGCGAUCAUCUCUUUAUCCUUUCCAUCUAAUCCUUCUUAUCAAACAAUUUGGGUCUUUAAAAUUUGAAUCAACGGUUAAAGUUAUUAUAACUUCUAAAGUGAGCCCGUAUUUUUAGCCGUUAAAUCAAAUUUCAAGGGUCUGAAUUGUUUGAUGAGAAUGAUUAGGUGAAAGGGAUUCGGAGAGAUCUAGAGAAAUAGACAAAAAUAAUUUAAGACCAACUUGGGAAAAAAAAUUAAUUAAAUUGGCUUAAUUGGAACAAUAUGUUCCAAACUCUUCACUCUGUUCAAAUCUCCCUCCCUAUUUACAUCCGGUAAAAAUAAUAUUUCCUCCUAUGUAUCAACGAAUUUCUGUAAAAAAAAUCAUCAAACAAAUAAUCCUGUGCUAAUUAAUGCUACAACAUCAAAAAUUGUUGAUGGUGGUGAUGUUGAAGAAGAUUCAGAUCUUGAAGCUGACUUUGAUGGUGUUUGUAGAGAUCGUAAGGGGCCCACAGAAGAUCGACAGGGCAAGGCGUUCCCAAAUCCAGCCGCGUCCAUGGCUUCCCUCUCCCGCUCCAAUGCAGCAAACUCACCGGACCCGAAUGCAGAGACCUGCAACUGUUCAUCAAAUUAUCGCCGCCGAGGCCGUGCUGGUUCCACCGGUGGUGAAUCGCCUCCACGUCGCCGCCGAACACCAGCAGAAACGGCGGAAGAGAACCCAGCUCGUAAAUCCUCUUCUCCUUCUGAAUCUCCAUCCAAGUCUCGAUCUUUCUCGUGAACCCUCCGGCUCGCCAUCUCGCCAAGUCGAUCACCAUCACACCGGUGUUGAAAUAGCACGGUCGCUUUUGGUCGAACACCUUGGAGAGCUCGGAAUCUUUCCAGAAUUCGUCGGAGAAAUACUUGGUGAAAUUCGCGUGGCAGUACUCCGGAGCUCCGAUCACUCUCGACCCGGAUAAGGUAAUCUCCCAUAACUUCUGGAUAUCGUCGACAACAACGACGUCGGAGUCGAGAUAAAUCACGCGCUCGACGCAGGGGUCGAGCAAAUCAGCCAAGUAGCUCCGCGCGUAGUUCAAUGGAUUCUCGAGAGCUCGUCGAAUCGAAGACGAAAUCAGAUGACUCACCAAGCUCUCUCUGAACACAUAGACUCGGAAAUUAAGCGACGGAAAAGUCGAUUUCAGAAUGCGGGAGAGGUGGUGGGAAUCGACGGCGCUGGAGUCGGAGGCGACGAAGUGGAAGAAUGUGUUUUCCGGGCAGGAAGCGUGCUUGAAAACAGAGUGGACGGCGGCAAUGGUGCCGCGCAAGUACUCGGAAUCGAUCGUCAUCGCGACGUGGACGAGGGAGGGAUCGCAAACCUCCUUUCCUGCUCUGUCGUUGGAGCCCAGAAGAGCAGGGCAGCUGAUUCCGUUCGUGUAUUCCGGCGCUUCUGAGAAAUCCAUGUUGAAUCCUUCUUCCUUUCCGGUUUGCGGGUCCGGGAAUGAUCGGAUUGCGGCUGCCGGAAUGAGAACGAGGGAGAGGAGGAGGAGGAGAGAAAUGGGUUUAAGGAGAAGCAUCGUCGGGGAAUGGAGAUGGAGAGGAGGAGAGGGAGGAGUAUUUGUAAGUGAAAUGGUCAAAGAAAAAGGCAAGACGGAGAAAACACGUCUUUUUGGUACUAGUAUUUUGUGGGGGUGUAGCAGAAAACGCGUCUGUAAUAUUUGGGUGCUUUGCGGAAAUUGCAAGAGUAGUUGGGGCCAAAAUCAAAAAUUACACUAACAGUCCCGUAGGUUAGUUGAAUUUUCAGUUUUGUUCUGAUAGUUUGUUUUUCUUUCGUCUUAAUCCUUGUAAGUUCGUUUCGUUAGUAUCGUUCCAAUCUUGCAAUGAGGCCAAAUUUCUUUCGGUAUAAGAGCAUCUUCAAUGUUAAGGGAAGUUGCAGGAAUGGGUGGGUUCAAAAAUAAAGAAAACUUAAAGAGAAGUUGUUAUGCAGCAUUCUUACGUGGGUGGAAUUGUUUCCCUAUGUAACAGUGGACUCACUCUUUGAAUUCCUAUAUACAGUCCUCAUAUUUAAGGCUUUUGUUAAGGUAUCCGGUGAGUCCUUAUAUUGAGAUAUUUUGAGGAUUUUUAUUCCAACUCAUUAGAAGCCUUUUGUUUCUAUAUUUAAGGACUAAACGGGUAUAGGGUGCUAUUAGAGAUGUUCUAAGUUUUAUAAAUGAGAAGAUGUGCAAAUGAUAGAUAGGGGAAAAAAAUUUAAACUUUUAGCGGCGAACUAAGGGUUCACUUGGGAUCCCUUCCUCAAUUACUAAUCAAACACGAGCCCUAACUCGGGCGCAUUCUUCCUUUUGCUUAUUAGCCUACGGGGUAUUAGAAGUAGUUUUUAAAUAUUGUUCGCCUUGUAGGUUUUUACUCGUUGUGCUUAUGUAGGACUUGGAAGUGCUACUUUAAAAAGCAUUAGGCUAAAAAGCAAGUUUAAGAUCGAUAAGCUCUUUCAACUGAUACUGCUAAACAAAUUUGUAAGCGUUUUUGGGUGCUAGAAACCACUUUUAGACUGUGUGAAAGCAAGAACAAACGUGUCUAAAUUAGAAAUAAAAAAGAUCUAGAUGGAUGAAAGUGCAAAAAAAACAAGUGUAAAGAAAAAGGUAAAAUUUCAGGUAAAUUGAGAGGACUGUUAUGCAAUUUAACAUAUUUGGUUUGGUGCAGAGGGAACUUUCUUGCUGUUUUCGGGUUGUUUGAAUAUUAUUUUAAUAUGGUUUCCCAUUGGAGGUUCGGUUCUGUCCAGAGGAUGAAGCCAUGUGGCCAUGUGCUUUGAACAGCUUGGAAUAUCAUUAAUAUUGACCACAUGCCAUGAACGUUCCUUUUUUUAACCAAAAUAAUUAGAGUAACGCGAGAGAAAUUAAAUUCGUUGAUAAAAUUUGGUAACUACAUGAAAGUAGAUAAUUUGAUUAUUAUUUAAGCGUUGAUAAAUGCGUUCAUUUCUUAUUAGUGACACAUUAUUUGAUCUCCUUUUAAAGAAGAGAAGAAAACUCUUUUAAAGUGAGACUAUUCAUAGAUUUUUCACUACCUCAGAGUUUAAUAUCACUUUAUGUGCCAAACAUUAUAAAAAAUUAUACAAAAAACAAGAGUUGUCAGAAAGUUCAUACAGAGUCUCACUUAUCAGAGAGUCUCCUUAGCAUUUCUCUUUAAGGAAAUAUUUUUGUUUACCAUCCUAAAGUGAUUAGUCAUGUUCACUAGCCUAUUUAUGACUGUUAAAUAAUUACCAUCCUAAAGUGAUUAGUCAUGCUCAUCGGCCUAUUUAGAAUUGUUAGAUGAAUUUAAAUUUUGAAUUAUGUGUAGUAAAUAAACAUAAAUCUCUAAACUUAAACUCAACCAACAAUAAUAAAUAGGGUGUGAAUAUUAUCUUGAGUGCGGUGAGCAAAAUACAUCCUCUUUUUAAAAUGAUAAAAAAGUAAAGAGAGUCAAGAAUCGUUCUGUUUGUGGGCUUGUAUCUCCUUUUAAUAUGACAUUCAUUAUUAGUACGAGAAAUUAUUCUUCGAUCUCUGUCAUUUGUACCAUAACGUGUACAAAUUCGUAUUUAAAAAAUAAAUAUUUAUGGUAAAGUUAUUAACAAAUAAUUGACUAGCUUUGAAACCAAGAUUUGUCACAGCCAAGAUAUCAUUUUUUUUAUUGAAUUAAAAAAUAUAUUAUGUGUGAAAAAUGAAGGAAAAAAACAAAAUAAUAAACCAACUUGACUUCUUAAUUUUCCAAGAUGGUUAACAAAUCACGUGGACAGAUGAGGAGAAAACGGCGGCCACCUGGCUAUCGUCACCACAAUGCCUUAGCACCAUACAUCCCAUCUGGCAGGUCCACAUUACAUAUUGAAUAAUUCAAUCGAAUUUUGACACGCAAAAAUUGGAAAUUCUAGAAUGUACCCAUUGGAACCUUCUCUAAGAAUUCAUCGUCUAUAGAUUCUGAGGCAUGCUAUGAGUCGGUUCAUACUAAACAAACACACGAAUUUAUCUUGAUGCCACAAUAAUGAUAUUUCGAGACAACUAUAUGUGGUACACAACACUGUGUAAUUGGGUUGAGAAAACUGCCAUAGAGGCAUCCUGGGUGCAGGGAAUGUCUACUCCCAGAAAACUUAAAAUGUGUUAGCAAGUCAAGAUGACAAAGAUUGACUGUAAUGAAACGUUGUUUAGGAGGAGAGAGAUCUUUUGGGAACAUGCCAUUGUGUUAUUAGUCUAGAACGCUAGUGACAUUCAGAUAAGUGUAUGUAAGUCAUUCCCGUCUUUAAGGGCAUCAUUUGUGUCACAAAGUGUUGCUCGCUAUAGGCAUGGUGGGUUCAAGUUCACUUCCACAAAAGCCAAAUGGGUAGUGAUUUUCACUCUUUUUUUACCUCUCACACAUUCUUCUUAAUUUUGUUCGUUAAUCUUCUUCAAUGCAUUUGAUCUGACGGGCAGAAAUUAAAGAGUGUCCAAAAGAUAAAAAUAAAUGUGUGAAUAGCACAUCCCGUAAAAAUUAUUGAAGCUACCAAAUGGAAAGUCAAAAGAUCAUAAAAGAAGAGCAUUCUAAAAUUCUCCCCUUGUUAUAAGAAUUUUUUAAAAUUCAAUUUGAAAUAUAUAUAUAUAUAUAUAUAUAUUUUAGGGAACUUUAACGAUAAGAUUCUAGUACUGUUCACUUUAACGAAAAACUACAUUUUUACACUAAAAAAUCAAUCAUAAUACUAUUCACUUUACCAAUUAUUUUGUCCUUAUCGUUAAGACUCAAAGUUUUCAAACAUUUUUCAUUAGUUUUCCUUAUUUUUUAUGCUCUUUGAAACAAAUUAAUUAAUUGUUGAUAUUUAAAAGAGCCAAGGGCAAUUCAGUAAUUAACGGCUGCAACUUCUUGUUACCGCUGACGGAGCUCAGGCCACAAAUGGCGUGAGAAAGUCGACAACGCGACAUGCAGAAAGUGGAUCCCAAUCGAGGAGUCCGUUACACAUCCACAUCGGAGAACCACGUAACGGCCCGUUAUCUAUGCUAGCCGGAUUCAACCCGCUCCGGCCCACUUUCCGAGCAAGCUAAUCCAGUUCCGUGGGCCCCGGCCCGUUCUAGCUUUGUAACUUAGAUUCAGCGUUCACUUCUUCCUCCUUGGUCUUGAAUCUCUCUUGAACUUAUUUCGAUCCAUUCUCCACGCGUUAAGAAAAUGAUUUCCGCACAUUACUUUUCUUCAUCCCUCACACCGUUUAUUUCCGUCCUACGUAAUUGAAUCCGAAAAUAAACGGAGUUGUACGAUGGAGAAAAUACGGGUGCGCAAAUUAUGCUUAUCCCGGAACAGCGUAUACAGAACAGAAGCAUCAAAAUACCACAUGCGAGAUCAAUUUUCCAGAGCAAAAAGAGUUAUUGACGAAGAACGCGAACAGUUGUAAACUAUUACAGAUAGAUAUCUUAUCACACUACUUUACACUGAAAUUUAAAGAAUCUGUUCUAUAAAACUGACAUAAUCUUACGGCGGAAAAGAAUAAUGAUGCAGUAAUGCCUGCAAAAUGCUGGUAUGAGACCGCAAAGAAAGCCCGGGAUUUGUUAAAACACGCGCGCUUUUCUGCUAUAUUUGAUCAAUUUGUUACACUAAGUGUGCUUAUGGAAGUGGGGAAGAAAAUAUCCUAUCUAUGACAAGGAACUAUAACUUAAAAUACCUUUUCUACGAAAUUAUCAUACACCAACCUUAUAUACACAACAAUGGCUCCUAGGCCGAUCUUCUGACCCGGACAUGCUCUACGUGUGCAGGACCACCACCAUCCUUCUCCGGUCUCAGAAAUCGAGUAGAUGACUCCUAUUGCAAGAAAGCAUUGGUUACUCUUGUUCUCAAAACUUGGGGCAGUGGAAUAUAUACGGAAAAAGGGUGUAUCAAGAGUUUUCAAAAAGUUUAUCUAGUGUGUACCUUUAGCUUCCCAAUCUCAAAAGGAAUUUCCUUCUAAGCUAUGAUGAGACUGAUAAGAAUUUGUGGAACCGCUGUACUCUCGUCUGAUCACAAUACGGUGAUCUGGCCCCAGAUGUUCUCCUUUUCCUUCUCAUACGGAAGAAGUAAUCUUCUGUGUCAAGAACGUAAGAGAUCUGCCACAUGAUACUUUGAUGAACAAAACUCCGUGGACAAAAAUUGCAUUAUAUAAUAUGUAUGGCUAGUAUUUCUCCAGCUUCCAGCUGUGCUUAUAUUGUAAAUAAGGUAAAACUGAUGGCAUGCCGAAGAUAAGAAAUACAUACGAGGGCGAGAUACCUUGGAUGAGUUGCAAGCUAUCUUGCACUCCAAUCCAUUGACUAACUGAACACCAUCCAUGGCCCUGCAAAAGGCAGAGGAUUCAUCUUGCCCUGCAUAUUUGCGCUUGUUUCUGCAAAAACGGAUUGAAUCUGCAAGUUAGCCAUUAACUAACAUAAACAUUCUGGAAACUUUUGGCUCAUAAUAUACCACAAGGUAACCUGAGUUGCUGUAUACGACUAAUCCAAACUACCUCUUAACAAAAACCCUCUUUGUCAACCAAAAUAGGGUGAAAAGACCAUUUGGUCUUCUAUCACAAAAUAAAAUCAUGACUAAUGUAAUUUCGAACAAAACAAAUUUUGCUGUUUUUUUCCCUUCCCUUUCCCAUAUGUCAUCACAACAUAUCUCUAAUUUAAAAUUUUAACAAUUUAAGCCUCUUCUACGCUCUCUCUCUCUCUCCCUCUUUUCUCUCAAACUUCUCUCUCCUGUAUAAUUUUAUUCCUUUUAAAUAUUUUAUAUUUACACACACAAUGUGCAGGCUUCAUCUAAUUAUUAAUAUAUCAUAACAUUGUGAGAGGAUUUACACAUAACUUUUCUUGCCAAAAGAAAGGAAGGAACUAAAUCCAUUGAAUGAUCCCGUAUUUCAGUGUCUAUCAUGUUUCUUCAGAAAAGUAUAGCAAUUCUAGCACUUUUAACAUUUAUUUAAUUCUUAUAGCCUCGGUAUGGGCACAGAAAGAUGUCCUAAACCAUAUAAGGUGCCAGUGCUCACUUACAGUGUGAGCCUAGAGUCUUACUGUUACCCUCUAAUGUAAUGUAAAAUCCGAAGAGUGCAUUAUCACCUCUGAAGGGUAAUCCCAUGCGGCUCCUUUUUUCCAGGAAAAACCGGCAGAAAUUCAUUGUGCAGAUAGGAUGCAAAAUUAGGUUCCAUAGAAACUGCAAACACCUCGGGCUUUUCACUCACACUGUCCAUCAACUGGAUGGACAGUCGGGAGGGCACAGAGGACUGCACAAACAAAAUUAAAAAUAAGAAAGUAUAUUAAAAAAGGUAGGUUAUGGUCAAAUAAAUGGGCAAGUGUCAAAGAACUUACAAACUCCAAUCUGUAAAUAUUCUCCUCAUGAAUGAGGACACGUGCAUUUUCAUGGUAAACAGAAUCAAUUAACUUCCCAGUUUUCCGGGACUUUUCAUAUUCAUAUAAUUGAAGCAGCUUAUUGUCAGUCUCAUCACUUGCAACAGUUUGAAGCUGCAUAAAUAACCACUAAUCAGAACCUUGGCAGAAAAAGCAAACACACAGAAAAAUUCGUUUUUUUUUUUUUUGGUUAAAAGUACAGAAUUUCUAGUGAGCAAACCUGUUUGACGAAUUUAUAUAUUAAUUUGUCCAAGGUGAAUAAUAUAUAUGACUGGUUUCCAAUAAUAGCUCGGCAUUCAUCCUCAAAUUUUGCGUUAUCAAUAGAUCCAUCUAGCAAAUUGUAUAGAGCACUCAUAAAUCUGCAUAACAGAUGAAUAAAUGUAGAGCAUGUGAUUAAAAUUGCUUUGAACAGUUGCCACAGUUCUAAUCUAUUAUCUAUACAAAAGAGAAAAUGGCCAGAAAAUACCUGUCAUACAGAUCCGGAGAGCUGCCAUCCUUUGAAGUUCUCCAUUUCAUUUCUGCACCUGUGGAACUUGUUUUUGCAGAUAAAAUCCUUUCAUAUAGAAUCUGCAAAUUCAAAUAAGUCAAGCUUAUAUCCGGUAGAAAAUAAAGACAUACACAAACUCCAAAAAUUAAUGAAAAGGUCUCUUACUUGAUGAAGCCUAUAAAGCACAUAGAAAUUAUCAUUCCCAUAGAAAACACGAGAGUCUUUCCUUUCUUCAAGUAAAGAACCUGGUACAUGCUUCGCAAGAGGUUUCACAGAUAAAAGAAAACAUUCGGACAACGGCGAACACAUUCCAUCUCCUCCAACAAGAUGUCCAUCAGCCAUCCCUUCAGCCUCACCUUCGCUCUCAGCCUUACCAUCAAUGUCAUCUUGUUCAGCAUCUUCAUCAUCACCUUGCUCUUCUCGGGAACAUUCAUCACCAGCUGUCUCACUGCCAGAGACAUCUUCACCAGCCUCGGAAACAUUUUCACUGUUUUCAUCAUCUGCAUCUGCAUCAUUGUCUCCAGCUUCCUGACCACUAAUGUCUUCCCUAUUCCCAGACUGAAACAGUCUACUUUCAAUACUGCGGUUUGCCUUAGCUUGCACCCCAGCAUCUCCAGGGACAACAAAGUUAUCCUCCCCAAAGUCAGCAAUUGGUGAUAAUUCCCCCUCUUCCUUUUCAAUUUUGGAGGGCCCAAGAGACUCUUCAUGAUGACUUUUAACUUUAGUGCUUUCUGGAAAUACUCCAUUAGCAAUUAAAGCAGGUUUUGCAAUAUCACCACCCUGAAGCACCAAACAGUAUAUCAGUAAGUGUUGCCAAAACCAUAUGAUCAAAUAAAAAAUAAAAAAAAAACAACAGAUGACCAUAUUCCAGAAUCAAGACUCAUACCUCUGAUGACGGAACAGCAUCAGCAUUUCCUUGCUGUAAAGGGUCAUUGCCACUAAUAGAGGCACCAGCCCUUGAUGUGGUUGCAACACACCCUUCAAUUCAAAAAAAUUCACAGCAUUCUAGCAUUAUUAUAACUCCAGAAAGUAAAAUAAAUUAUAACAUUCGAGUAAGAUGCCAUCACAGGAAAAUAAAAAUCAAAUUCCAAAUAACAGACCUGAUAGCACUUCCAAGCUCGUUCUACCAUGAUUAUUAUCUGCUCCAAUUGGAUGUGAUGGUUGACUGGACGGCCAUGCAUUGUCCGUGUUGGUGGCCAGAAACCUUUUCUUAGGGACAUCCGUAUUUUUCUGGUCUCUCUCUAGUUGAAGUUUCUCAGAUGUGGAAUCUUUCCUAGAGACAGGAUGUGCAUCACGACUUCCAUCUUCUUUAGCUGAGUUAUCCCCGUUAGCCAAACUUUCAACUUCUGCUAAAGCAUUUCCUUCUUCAUUACACACAGAUUUGGGCUGCUUAAGAUUCACUGGGGCAGAAUCGCCACCAGGACUUCCAUCGCUUUCUCCUAUGCUUGAAGCAAUACAAUUCUUAGCCUGAUUCCUACUUUUGUCGACAUCUUCAUCAUCCUCUGAAUCGUUGGGUCGAGAAGAAACACCCAGCAUUGGCUCCAAAAUGGUAGUGUAAAGUCUCAUAGCCUUAUUUAAUUGUUCUUUCGUUGAGAAAACCUCUUCACAUGAAUAUUGGACAAGUUUAUACAAGUCUUCAUGUAAGCUGAUAUCUAAGUAUUCAUACUCCAUAUGUGGAACUAUAGAUUGCCUGUUUCCAGCAGCAACAGCCAGAAGGAUAUCAUCCUCUAUCUGCUUUUUCUCUUUCAAUUCUUUGAUCUCAGCCACCAAAGCUGUCAAUCAAUAGGAGUCAGAAUCGGCAAGGAGGAACAAUUAUAAAAAACCGAUAUAAAGAUAAAUGCUCAAGGAACUAAUAAACUAAUCUUCAAUAUUAAAAACUUACAUUUGCUACUCAAGUUCUUUGAAUCUUGUUGCUUGAAAUAGAAGCUCCGGUGAUCAAGUGAUUUGUAAUGGUUUUUGGCAUAUAUAUCUGCCCAAACCUUGUUAAAAUCGGAUCUACACCUUGUCCAUUCAUCUUGUUUCUGCUUCAGGCGAGUUAAUACAACAGGCAAGGCCAGAGUUGGAUUUUUCCGCAGUAUGUCCAUCACAUCAAGACCAUGGUCACCAUAUAAACGUUCAAUGCACCUUAAGUUUAAAGCUGCAAUAAAACAAAUAAAUGACAAAGGUCAAUGCAGUUUAAAAAGCUCAAAUACCAGAAUAGAUACUUGACAUUUAAUUGCUUCUCAAUUGGUUUACAGAUACAAACCAGUGAAGUGGUCUUCAAUACGGAUUACAGUUUCCAUGCUGAUCUUAUUUUCAUUGAUGCUGUUCAAGAGUUCCUCUGCUCGCUUAGCAGUUGAGCUCACCGACUCUAACAACAUAUCCAACUCAAACCUAAACUUUCCAAAAUGAAAGCCAACAUAAGUUAUCAAUAAUGAACUAGCAUGUGCUGUAAAGGAAAUGCUAUUAUAUCAAUGAUUCAUAGUUAUCCGCAGAACCUAAUGGGACCUCUAUCCAUCCAUACGAUCAUGCAAGCACACUUGUACACCAAAAGUAAAAAUGAUACUCAACAGCCUUAACAUUACCUAUCAUCCUCACAUCUGAACAGACUUUCUUCAUACUGAUUUCUGCGCAUAUGUUUAAAAGAGUAAUCUUCACUUCCUGAAGUCACAGAUACCCAAUGGUCAUUCAGAACCUGAGCACCAAGUUCUGAUCUCUGGCUUGCUGAAGGUAUUGGAUACUGCAAAGUGACAAGCAACAAUAAGUUGAGCAUCAGACAAUGUUACUAAAUUAAGUACAGAAUGUUAAGUCGUACGUCUUCAGGCAGAAGCCGAUAGCUUGGAGUACAACGUUCACAGUUAGAGAGGUCAAGCUCUUGAAUAGAUUUUGCCCAAUACUUCUCCCUGUAUCUUUCCUUUUCUUUAGCUCCCUCCAUUUCACGCUUUGGCUCUUUAUUUUUGUCCUCUACCUUCAGGGAUCUAGAUGAAGGAACAGGACCAUCACUACUCAGAGAUUCUGCAAUCAACAGUCUACCAAUCAGGAUUCUCUAAUUACAGAAGCAAGCAAAAAUUCCAGAGAAAUGAGAAACCAUAUGAUAGCUCAAAUUCUAAAAUGCGGAAGAUUAAUUGUUCUUCCAAAUGCAGAUAGUACAGAAACUCAUAUGAAAAAGAGACCAAUGGAGGACUAAUAUACAUACUUCUACUCAUAACACCAGCAAGGAACCCAUCUGCAAGUGCCAAGGACAAAUACCAUCAGAUACAAUUUAAAGGAUGACAAAGCACAAGAAAGCAGCUCAAAAUUGAUGGCAUUUUUUAAAGUUACCUAUAUUCUCGCAACGCUCCAAAAAAUCAUUAAACUCCUCCAUAAGAUCUGAAUACUUUCCCAAUAAAUCAGUCACCUGAGAUGGGCAAAGUUUAAUGGAAAAAGUCAAACUAGAGGCAAUAGCAUUUUUUUAAGGAAGUUCAUAGAAUAGAUAGAUAAAUAUGUGGUUAUCAUGAAGUGUCCUUCGUCCAGUUUCCCCUGGCUCAAAGAGAAAGCACACAAUGCUCGACUUGAAGUGUUGACUAACUGCUGAACAUGGAGUAGCACGUACCAAACCUUGCAGAUCAUUCCUUUUAAUAAUUCCGUUGCUAUAUAUGUUAAGCAACUUCAAAAAUGCCUCGUAGUCAUCUUGACUACACAACCUCUCCUUCACCUUCCCACAGAAAAUGAAUCCCUGGCUGUACAUGCCUGACAUACAAAUGAGAGACCAUAAGCAACACUGAUGUAAUAACACGAGAACUGAAACUAUAGAACUUUAAAAAGCAACAAUGAAGUUCCAAAAAAUGAUGAAUGUAAGCAAAAAAAGCUGCAUCCAUUUCCCAAGGAUUUCAAAAUCAAGUAAUGUGAUACAAAAAGUUCAGGUUUUCCUAAUACUGAACGGCUAAACAAGGCACAUUGCGGAUUAAAUGAAUAUUCAAUUAACACAUCCCUAAUGACAGACUUUUAGACCAAGUACCAGAAAUUGCGUCUCUUUCUCCUGGUAGAAUUUACACUAACGCUAAAACUAAACAAGCAAAAUGCAUUUUUGUUAGUUCCAUAACCUAAAAUCGUAUCAAUGUUGACAAACACGAAUAUUGCAAUCUCAAAACAAAUUACAACUGCUUAUUCCAUUUAACAAACCAGAGAAUAAAACAACACUGCCUAAAUGCAACACAUUUAAGGUCCAUGAAUGUAUAUAACUGAAACAAUUCCAUCAUAAACUCACUCUUUAAGGAGUCUUUGUCAUCAUAAGGAGCGAAGUUAGCAGUCACACCAAAACCUUCAACCUUCCUGGAGGGUUUUCUUUUAUCAGGAAAACGCUGUAAUUUGUAGUCCCUAUUGUUAUCAUUCUCUAAUUCUCUAUCAUCAUCGUCCCGAUUUCUUCUAUCCCUAUUCUCCUUUUCACUACGCUUUCUGUGCUCCUUCGGAACUUUCACCAUUCCUUUGUCAUCGUCGAGCUCAGGACGAUCAACACUAAGAUCACGAUCAGCAUGGGGUGUCAUGAUCCUAUCCCUCCUACGUUGCUGUGAAAAGAGACCAGCACCCCAUUACAAAUCACUAACUAAACAAGAAACCGUUAAAAACAUAAGAGAAAGAAUUUUGUACUUACCUUCUCCAUAUGCAUUGGCCGAAAUGUGGGUGUAGCAGAGCUUCGCUCAUUGAAACGGGGAAAUGAAUUGUGGCCAUAUUGAGCUUGAUGUGCUGAAGCUGCUGCUGACGCAUCUGGUAAAAAUCUGGUGAACUCAUCAAGUAAAUCUGGAUGCUCAUCAAAAAGAGCAGCAACCUGGAAAUUAAUUUAAAUUACUAAGAACAUAGGGAGGAAUAUUUUCUAAAAUAAAUAGAAAUACCUUGUAACAGCCAAUAAAUCAUCAUCAAACACCAAAUGUGAAAAUUUGUGUAUAUUUACCUCACUGUAAACUUCAUUUAUAUCCUUGUGCUCCUUUCGAUACAUGUUUAGUAUGUCCAGGAAUGAUUUAUAGACAUGAUCAUCAUUUUGGAAACGUUUCUGUAGGACAGAAAUCCAUCAAUCAAACAGACAAUAAUAAAUGUUUACACUUGUGAUUAGGAUAAAAUUAAACAUAUUCACCUUUAUCUUGUUUACAAAACUGAUAGCUUCCUCAAACUCAACUGUCUUUUUUGGUGGAGUCUCAUCUUCAUCAAGGGUUAUCUCAUAACCCUUCGGCAAGAAGGUAUUAAAGCCCAAAAUUAAGUUGUUAUGCCCUUUAAAUAAUUCCUUUACUCUUGCAAUGACACCUGCUGUGUCGGUUCUGAAAUAGACAAAAACAGAAUCCAUCCGCUGAAAAAUCAACUAGGAAGGAAUUACGAGUGGAAAAAAAGAAUAAUAAUGGGUACAUUCAGAUACCUUUGAGCCUUGAAAUCUUUCAUGACCUCAAGAAAUGUAUCGUAUUUUUCUCUUUGGUCUAGAAACAUGUCCUUCACUUCUUUGAGGUAGGUUAGAGCGUCAUUGGUGGUCAAUUUCUGUGAAGCACCUCCUACUCCUCCAAUGGGCCCACCUCCACCUACUCCAACGCCCCCUCCUCCACCUCCUCCCCCCGGUAUCUGGGAUUGCCUGUUGCCCCACAUCCAGAAAAUGAUCAUCAACUCAACAUAUAACUAUAAAAUAAAUACUGUCAAAUUCAUGAAACAUUAUAAACCCAAGCAGUGGCGAAGCCAGAAAUUCAUGUUAGGAGGGGCACACUUUAAACCAAAAUGGACAUAAUAUAUGCAGAAACUAUCUCGUUCUUUUGGCCGCCUGAGUGACCAUGCAUUAAUUCUUCAUUACAAAUGAUCAACUACAUCAAGAGUUGAAAAUAAAACAUUAUUAUAAGCACAUCCAUUUAUUCUUCAUUCUUGAUAUCAAAUUCAAAUGUAACUGACCAUGCAUUCAUUUUCUCAUAGUGGCCAAGAGAACAUUUUUUUCUAAAAACAUGAAGGUAUGAGAGCAUUUGAAGGGUUUUUUGUGCUAAUUUGGAAAAAGGAAAUAUUUCUCUUCUUGAUUUCAUAGACGAUCUAAUAGAGGAAAAUGAGAAAUUUACCAAAAUAAUAGUCUACAAGCAAAGGAAAAAAAUGUAGAUAGGCAAGAAACAGAGAAUAUGAUCAACUAAUAUUAGUAAAGAACUAUAAUUUCGAAUCUUUAAUGCAAAAAAUUUAAGGCUUUGUAUUUGUGGAUUGAAGUUAAUUGGACUGACCAAUACAACACAAAUUCAAGUUGAUAGUGGUAUUAUAAAAUUAAUUAAUGAUAGUAAAAGUUGUUAGGAAAAAAUAAUUUUAGGAUAGGCUCUUUUAGGAUAGGCCCGAGCCUAUCCUAGUCUAAAGGUGGCUCCGCCACUGAACCCAAGCAUAAUUACUCCUUCCUCCUACGCAUAUGCUCCUGAUAACUUUUUUUCUAAAUCCAAUUAGCUGCAAUAACCAAAGAGAACAUACUUCCAGAAAACAAAGAUAAUCAUCAUUCUCCGGUACUAUUUUCAUCAACACUGCAUCUACCGCAUUGAUCUUAAGCCCCAAACAUAAAACUAUAUUAACAUUCAUCAGAAGAUUUAGUCUUCCUGAAAGCAUAUCAUAUCCGCUGAAAACAACAUACCUAACAAAAUUUUCAGAAAGCUCUCGACUUUACCUCUAAAACCCACAUUACUACUCAAUUCAACUCUAAUAAACAACAAACCCUAAACAAAUUGAAGAAAUUUCAUGAUCAAGCACAACCAAUCCAAUCCACAGCAGCUACAAAACUACGACGCAAUUCGACAACAACGAUCAAAUUACAAUAAUAUUAACAAUCAAGUGCAAGAGAACCUAAAUCGCGCACCGAUACACUGACACGGGCAAAAUUAAAUUCUCACAAACCAAACAAAACAAAACAUAAAGCAAAUCAUGCAAUUGAAGAGUGAUGAAUAAAUCAUGAGACUUACGAGUCCCCGCGCGACGAACCGGGGGGCCGCUUCAAUUGAGCACCGCCGAACACAUCAUCUCUUACUCUCUUCAUCCCUGUCAAAAACAAACAAAAAUCGCAAAUCAGAAAAAUACAGAUAUUAAAAAAAUUAAAACAAAAAAACAGCCAUUUGCCUUAAGCAACCGCCGAAGACUUACUUUUCAGCAACAGAUCUUUAAUCGCGCACAGGAGGAAGAGAGAGAAAGAGACAAAUUAAACCAAAAAAAGAGAGAGAGAAUGGUUUUUGAGGUAUCUGAUUAUCUUCUGCUUCCUGCUUUCUGCUUCUGCUUUCUGCUUUCUGCUUCUGCUUCUGCUUCUGCUUCUUGUGUUACGUUAGGAAGUGGAUUUUGUGAGAGAAAAGAAGAGAAGGGAGCGAUUUUUGGGGAGAAGAGAAACCGUGGAAGUGCGGAGGAAGGAAAUAAACGGAGACAAAAUUCGAAAUAUGUGAAGGGAAAUGGAAUGCCUUGUGUUUUGGGGUUUUCUCUUCCCAUCGGAGCCUCCACUUGCCAAAUUAAAUAUGUAAAAAAUAAGGCUUUUUAUAUUAGCAUCCCACAAAAUGUUGAAUGCAUCCACAUUAAAAUUUAAUAUUAAUGACUAAUUUACUCUACUAUGUAAUGAUAAUUUUGACCUUAUUAGGUUUAAAAAAUAAUAAAAAAUUUAUAAAUACACCUCAAAUCACUUUUAACGUAUUAUUUAUCUAUUUCAACUAUCAAAACUCCUCUCAUUCUCUAUUAUUGAAUAAAACCCUAAGCAAUGAAACUACAAACAUGUUGAUUGAGAAAAAUAAUUUUUGACGAAUGGAACACGAAAUCGAUGUUUCGAAAGUUUUGAAAUCAUUAUUAUUGUUAUUGAAAAACGUUCAAAUGAACCUAAACAUUUUUUGAAAUCAUUCAAUUUGAAGUCAUUCGACAAACUAACGUUCAGAUAGUUUGAAAUCAUUCGGCAAAAUAAAAAAUGAGUUCUAUAAGAUUUGAGAAAUGUGGGGUGUGUAUAGAAUAUAAGAUGUAUAUUAAGAAUGUGGGGUGUGAGGGUAUUAUGGGGAAGAAAGUGGGGUGUAUUAAGAUAAUUUUUAAUUGAAAAAGUAAAUGUGGGGUAUAUUAAGUAUGUGAGGUUUAUUUAACAAUUUGUGGGGUGCUAAUAUAAUAAGCCCUAAUUAUAUUAACAUCCCACAAAUUGUUGAAUAAACCCCACAAACUUAAUACACCCCACAUUUGCUUUUUCACUUAAAGUUUUAUCUUAAUACACCCCACUUAUUUUCCCAUAAUACCCCCACACCCCAUAUUCUCAAUAUACAUCUUAUAUUUUGUACAUACACCCCACAUUUUCUUUACACCUAAUAAAUCAAAUUUCCUCUUCUUAUGUGGCCUUUUUUAUUAACUUCCACACAUAAUGUUGAAUGCAACCUACAUUAAAAUUUGAUAUUAAAUGACUUAUGUAUCCUAUUAUGCAAUAACAAUUUCGACCUUAUUAUGUUUUAUAAAAAAUAAAAAAUUUCUAAACACACACCCAAAUCACUUUUAACCUAUUAUUUAUUUCAACUAUCAAAACCUCUCGCUCUCCAUUGUUAAACAAAACACUAACCAAACUAUCUGCGUUAUUUUAUUCUCUAAUUUUGAUUUCAAAUGAGAUUAAUCCCACAUAUCUGCUUGUGAUUUCCCAAGAAACUAUACUACCCAAGCCUAUUAUUGAUUGAUUUAAGCUUAAUAUUUAUUUACAAUUCCUAGACACCCGAUUAUCUGAAGGCUUCUCUCUUAGGAAGUUCUCACUAUUUUCAAUGGUGAAUUACUGCAACAUAACUCAUUCCAUUCAAUGGUUAAUUACUGCAAUAUAACUCAUUAUGUUCAAUUGGCGGCACUCAAGUGACUAUUUUCUUAACUCCACAUCAAUCACACACGACGUUAGAGUUUUACUCCAAAUUCAAUUUAAUUUAUAAAAAAAUAAAAAUGGGUAUUAUAAGAUUUGAAGAGUGUGGGAUGUGGAGUAUGUGGAGGUGUAUGUUGGGAAUGUAGGGUGUAAGAGUAUUUUGCGAAAGUAUGUGAGGUGUGUAGUAAGAUAAUUUUUAAUUGAAAAAAUAAAUGUGAGGUGUAUUAAAUAUGUGAGAUUAUUCAACAAUAUGUGUGAUGUUAAUAUAAUAAGUCUUCUUAUAUUUACCUAUUUCGUUCAUUUCGGACCGGUUUAUGGGCCGGGUUUGAACAAUUUUAGCCCAUGAUUAUGUUGUCUCAAAAGUACAUGUUAAUUGUCACUAGAAAGUUGCCCUACUUUGGUACCCAAAUUGUUACAACAACAACAACAAAAACAAUCAAGCUUUAUCCAAUUAAAUAGGUCGAUUGCAAGAAUCAUGAAAUGUCACUGUACUCGGUUUUAUGUCAAGUCUUCCAUUAAUACUCAAAUUAUUAGAAAAAAAAAGUUUACAACAUUGAGUUUGAUAUGUUUGAUGUCUUACCGAGUACUCUUGUAAGUAUAUAAGAAAUUAUGGCUCUGUUGUAGUUAGUACUUUUGUGACUAUAUUAUUAAGCUCAGUAUAUUAUGUGACUAGAAAUCGACCUCAUUUUCUAGAUGAUGUUGAUGUACCACAUCUUUGAAGUUGUAUUGGUCAUUCGCUAUUACUCUAUAAUCUUUACUAAUUAAUAAAAAAAAAAUUGUCAACCAAAAGAGAGUGAAAAGAUAAAUUAGUCUUCUAUCACAAAAAAAAUGAUGGGCAAUAAUGUAAUUUCACAUGUCCAAAUUUUUUUUUUUAUUGAAGUCUCACCCACAGGUGAUGUUAAAAUAUCUUCAAUAUUAAAAAAAUACAAAAACAAAAACCUCCCACCCCCCACAUUCUCUCUCUCUCUCUCAUUCUCUCCUUAUCAUUUUUUAAAAUAAUGUAUUCAUACACACAAAUACGUAGACAAAUACUAGUCACAAAUCAACGUAAAAGAUAUUGGUUGGCACUUAAUCCAUAGUUUUAUUCCAAAACCCUGGACUUUGGGUGAAAUUAGCAAAAAGGUAAACUGGGCCGAAAUCUGGCAGAGUCUCCCCCCUUUUUUCGUGUGCGUUGGUUUUGUAUUUUACUUGUUUUGUUUGUUUUGUCGGAUAAACUUUUCAAUGUAUUGAGAAUAUAAUUUGGUAUAAUAAGUGUCAUAAUACAAUAAUUUAAAUUUUUAUUUUAAAUUUGCCUCUAUUUAUAUUAUUAUAUUUGAUGUAACUGACUGUGUUCCGGCAGUCUCGGUUUUUGUAGUGUUUGCAUUGUGUUUCUGGAGGAAUCUUAAACCUGAAACCGCACAAGUUUUCUGAACGCAAGUACACAAAAAGGUGGCUUCCUUCCUCCCAAGUGGUAUCGUGGUGGUACGGUCAACUUCAUGUACAAAAGUAAUCACAGUAGACUAUGCAAAAAGGCAAGCCCAUAUGAUAGUGACAAAGGAGAAGAAAACAAUGGGGAGGAGUUGGGAGAUUUAAAAUUUUAAAUACACAUAAACAUUAGUUUCAUGACUUUGAUUCAUUCCUAACGACUUUAAAGCGAAGGGUCUACAACGAGUAAAUAUGAAGAAAAAAAAGAAAAGUGUUAAAAGCAGAAUUAGGUUAGGUCAGUUAACCAUGAUAAUGUGUCCGUUCACCCCCUCAAUAUCGUCUUAUGUGUGUUUGUUUUCCUUCACUAGCCCUUAUUGGACAAGACUAAACUACUAGUUAGUCUAGUCUCAUGUUUGUUACUUCACGGAUUAGCUUUAGUGGGAGUAAGUCGGAUUCGCCUCAACUAAGAACUGAUUUGGUACUAAGGUGCUUUUAUAAAAAGUGGGUAUAAAAAAAAACUGAGCUCAAAAAGGUGUUUGGUAAACAGUUAAAAACAAUUUAUUUUCACACUUUUAGAUGAACAAAAACUGAAAACGUAAAGCAGCAAAAAUGAACUUAUUCUCAAAGUACAGCAGAAGCAAUUUUUUCUCAAAGCACAUCAACAAGUAAAUAUGAAGAAAGAAAAAAAGGUGUUAAAAACAAAAUUAGGUUACAUCAGUUAACCAUGACAAUUUAUCAGUUCACCCACUCAAUAUUGUGUUAUCAAGAAAGGAAUUAAGGGUGUGUUUGUUUCCUUCACUAGCCUUCACUAGACUAAUAGUUAGUCCAAUCUCAUCUCUCUCAUCUUAUGUUUGUUACUUCAACGGACUAGGUUUAGUGACUAAUAUUUAGUCCAGUCUCAUCUUAUAUUUGUUACUUCAACGGACUAGGUUUAGUGGGAGUAAGAUAGCCUCGGCCUGGACUACGGACCAGAUGGUCUUAGCGAGACGUCGUGAACCAUGGGACCAGCUAAUACCUUCGAUCGCUCUCUGCUCGCGUUCUCUCCCUCUCUCUUUGUCCCCAACCCUGAAUCAUGAACAAAGACCUCGAUUCGAGAUGGGAACCAGAAUUGGACUUUUGCAGUGAUUUGCCACACUUUUCAGUCCCCAGAGGGUUCAGUUUGCGAUCUCCCUUGAGUUUUGAUCAAGGAGUUUGUAUUGGGUAGGUAGAUUUUGGGGUUUUACAAUCAGCUAAUCGAAAUAUCGAAUUUGAAAUUAUUGAAAUUCUCGGAAUAUUGGGGAUUUGUUCUAAUUCAUUGCUCUGAAAUGUAGGGUUUUGGGGUUUUGCAGGUGCAAGAGGAGAAGAUGAAAGUCAACAUCUUGCGUAUCCUUCUCACUGUGUUUGUGUUAUCAUGUUCUUUCUUUCAAAUUACUCUAGUUUAUAUGCCAUUUGCAACUAGCUCUUGUAAUUUUCUAUACUUUUUAUUCCAAUAUAUUAACUUUGUUGCAUUUAAUCAUAUGGUAGACUGAAUUUUGGCUUGAUAGUUUCGAAUUCCUAUGGUUUUGAUUUUGUUCUUUCUUUCAAAUUUACUAGUUUAUACCAUUUAGAAAUAGCUUUUGUAAUGCUCUUUUCUUUCCCGUCUUCAAACUGUUGCAUCUAAUUGUGGUGGAAUGAAUUUCAGCUUGACGGUAUUGAAUUUCAAUGAUUUGUCAUCCUCUGGAACUAUGAAUAGUUAAUGAGCUGUGGAGUUUUACUACCUUAAUUGUAGUCUAAUGUUACGAAUGGCGAUCACAAGAUCAUUAUCUAUUAUGUUAGUCAUGAAUCUCUAGCAUAUGCUCCCCCUGUUUAUGAUUUGGUGCGAUUAUCUUUUUAACAACGAUCGUGAUAAUUUGACAAUCCCAUUUGCUCGGUGAUCUUGUUUUAACUUGGAACAUCUUUGAUGGGAAAUGGACGUGUUGUGAAUUUUAUCGUAACUGUUUUCUCUUGACCCUUCUCUCUUUGCGAAUAUCUGCCGGGGAUUUUAAACAGAGUAUGUCUUUUUUACCUUUUUCUAUCUCUUAUGUUAAUUAAUCAAUUAGAAAUAAUCAAUUGCUGCAUGUGUGAAUGUGUCUAAGUGUAAAUUUGAUGUGCCUUUUUUUUCUGGGAUAUGUUUUAUUUCAUCUACUUUGGAGCUCUAACUCUUAUCCCUUUGGACCUGCAGGUGGGAUGUUGUUGCUUCAUGGACAUGGGAUGCACAAGACGAAAUAUGUGGGAUUUGUAGGAUGGUAUUUGAUGGUUGUUGUCCCGAUUGUAAACUCCCUGGGGAUAAUUGCCUGCUAAGUAAGUCGCUAGAAAUUUGAUGUUACCCAUUUGUUUCAAUUUAUCUGUUAUUUUUCCUUUUAUGAAUUGAUUGAUAAGUUUUUGUAAGUUGAAGUGAUUUUUUCCUUCAUUCCCUGCUUUCGUUUUGCCAGAAAUUUGAUGUUAUCAUAUUUUGGGAUGGGUUAAUUGGUAUCUUGUGGGAAAGUUUGUGAAGAAGGAUUUGUGUGCAUCUACAUUGUUUAAUGAAAUAGCUUAAGAGACAAAGUGAGGACGCUGCAAGAGACCUCUUCGAUCGAAUGACCCAUUUUUUUCAUAACAUGGUUGUAUGCUCUCAGUUUUGCAUAAUUAGGGGUGAAUUAUGGAAUGGAUGGGAUUCGGGAGGCAGAUUAACUAAAAUUCUAGGGGUGCUACUCUGUUCCAAGCACUAGCAGAACCGUUGUGACAUGUACCCUCAAUUUUUUAUCCCACAGCUGCAGUUCAUCAAUCAGCAGUGCAUUUUUCUUGUCUACUACAAGUGAUGCAAUAUGAGAAAGCUACUGUUAUCCGUGAAAGUGUUUUUGAUACUGCAGGAAGGUCAAAAGAAUAAGCUCUUCAAGUCAUGAACGUAUUUUCUUCGGUCCUGGACGGAUGUGUCUUGAGGUAUCUUAAGCUUUCAGACAAAGCCAUGGGCGAAAAGGGUGUCAAUGCAUUUGGGUCACUUAUGAGAUCACAAAACACUUUGGAAGAGCCUUAUUUGAUGAAUGUGGUAGGGCUCAAUAUGUAUCACAACAUGAGAGGAGUGGCACCGCGAUGUCAUUAAGAAGGUCAAAUGGCUGAACGAGACCUAUGCCGCCAAGACUGAUGCACUACAAACUCUUAGGUGGUAAGCUUGAGCAUUGUGUCUUCUAGGAGGCAUGUGAUCCUUGUAGACGAGACCUAUGCCACCAAGACUAAUGCACUGGAAGCUGUUAUGCAUGCACCUGUCCAUAUUCAAGGAUCUCUGACUUUUUUGUGCAAUCGGUAUCAAUUGCUCAUAUUGGCUGUAAUGUAUACUGCUGAUGAGGAUUUGGAGUCUAUAACCAAUGUUCAAUAAAUCUUAUACAAGGCUCGUUCAUCUUCUAAACUGCAAAUUUGGUUCUAUUUGCCUAUCAAUUUGAGUCGUUGAAAGUUUUUGCUUCAAUGGAGUUCCUUUUUUUUUUGGUAUAAUAUUGGUUUAAUUCUUGUUAAUCGUAUAGUAUUAGUUCGUGGUUGAAAGAACUUAAAAUUGAACAAUAAUUUGCAAACACCAAACUAUGAACAGUACUGUUUUCACUAUCCUGCUUCUUAGUCUGACACUGCAUCAAACGUUUUACUAAAUCAGUCCAGCUUAUUAUAGUCUAAGCUAGUCCAGGUUAGUCCCUGAAGCUAGUCCAGUCCGAAAUUAUCCGGUGCAACAAACGCACCCUAAGUUGCUUAUCAAUAAGAAAAAACAAUUAUUUUAUUUAAUACAAAGAAAAAAACUAAGAUAAAGGCCCAUCCAUAACUGGAAACGGGAAAAUGAAAGUGGAUAAGCUUAUUUGUUCUCUUCUUGCCAACUUUCUCCCAAGCAUUCAAUUUUAUUUGAAAAAUAAUUUCCUACAAGAUAACAGAAGUGUUUUACGCACACCUUAACACGCUCGUGUUUUUUUGUUUUUAUAAAAACACGAAAUGUUAGUUGACAUAAUCCUAACAUUGAAAUUUUUCUGUGCCUCGAACAAAUUGCCCUUGAUAUAAAGUCGGUUUAACUUCACGAGGUUUCCGCUAAUGCGUGGAAUAUAUACUUCCAUAUGAAUAUAUUUGAGGGAUGAUGCUUUACACCGUUUUUUACUUCCACAUACAUUCUUGUUAAUUUAUGUUAUUUGAAUUUCUUUAAUUUAUUCAAUUCAACAGCCAAAGAUUAAGAAUAACGUAUGGGAAGUAAAAAGAAAUAUGUAGAUAGCACUACCCUAUUUAAAAAGAAAACGGUAACAUAUUUUGUAACAAAAUUUGAUUAAUAUCAUCAAACACAAGUAGUGAAAAUUACUUAUGUUUAAUUACCUCUCUGUCAAACUCCGUUAUGUCUUUUUCUUGUGUUCGAUACAUGUCCAGAUCAUGUCCAGGAAUGAUUUGUAAACAUGACUAUCAAAUAAAUAGAACACAUUUUCACGUGAGUAUCGAUCCCAAUAAAUUUCUAUCAAAUAAAUAACAUGGCUAUAUAUGCAAUUAGUCUAGGAAUAAUUUGUAAACAUGGCUAUCAAUUGUUAUUUUGGAUUUGUCUAAGGAAAACGCUGAUAUUUUGUUAUAGUCGUUGUGAUAGCUGCACAUUUUCACAAGUAAUGAAAUUUCUUCAGAUGCUUAGUUAUGUUGUCCAACUGUGAAUUUGAAACAUAUUCUAACAAAAGUUAAAACAUAUGUUCAAAGAAAAACUAUGAUGUGAUGGUGCAAUAUCGACACGUGCAUGGGCGGAUGUACAUUGGGACUAAGGUGGUCCUAGAACCACUCGAAGGCUAGACAUAUACAUGUGAAGAUCUUCUGAUGACCGUCCAAGGAUUUGAUGUAAUGUCUGCUAGCAUAUCUCGACAAGUUGCAUCGACAACACGCAAUAGAUUCUCUUGAUUUCACUAAUCAAAUUGCUUCCGCAAAAUGCCUCACUAAAUAAACUGAAUGCCUCGAGCCCACCACAUGUUCGACAAAAUGCUUCGAUAAAUAAACUGAAUUUUUUUUAUCACAUUCUGUAUAUAUCUAAAAAAAUUAAACCUUCAACACUGCAACUCCCCAAUGUUCGAAUCUUGAUCUGUCAUUGAACACAUGGUAUAUACAGAUGAACAGCAUGCAUGAUAAAUAUUACCCACUAUUAUGACCCUAUAUCUUGUUUAACAAACUGGUAGCUUCCUUAAACUCAACUGCCUUUUCUGGUGGAGUCUCUUAUCUUCUCAAAACGCGAGCAGGAACCCAUCUGCAAGAAUAAAUCCAAUCGGAUACAAUCUAUAAAGGAGAAAGAACCACAAGCAAGCAACUUAAUGUGAUGACAUUUUUGACACGUACCUACAUUCUCAUUUCUCACAACGGUCCAAGAAAUCAUUGAACUUCUCCAGAAGAUCUGGAUACAUUCCGAAUAAAUCAGUCGCCUGACUUGGGGGCAGAGUUUACCAUAAAAAAGAUGUCAAACUAGAGACAACACCACCAUGUAAUCAAUCCUUUUAUAAAGGGCGACCCUAAAUCAGUACGGCUCCACUCUUUGUGAGGGUCGAGUGGGAACGUCUAUUGUAUGCAGCCUUACUCUUGCUUUGAAAAUAGACUGUUUUUACGACUAGAACCACCUUUCGGUCACAAAGGACCAACUUUUUCAUUACGCCAGGGCUCGCCCUCGUAAUCAGUUUUUUUAUCUUACAUAAUAUUUUUGAACAAAGUUUAAUAAAUAGAAAGAUGAAAUCUAUGCUCAAAAAGUAAGCAGACAAUGUAUAAGACUCACCAAAGUUUGUAGAUCAUUCCUCGUAAUUAUUCCCUUGUGAAUUGUGAUAAAUCUGAAAGCACUUCAAAAACUCCUCGCAGUAAACUUAACUGCACAACCUCAUUUGCACUUCUUCACAGAAAAUGAAUCCCUGGCGGUAUAUGCCCGACGAAAACCUGAGAGACUGUAAGCAACACUCGGUUAGUAACAUUAGCAUACUGAAAUUGUUAGAAGAACACUUGCAAUUUGCGAAAAAAUUAAUGAACGGAAGAAAAACAAGGCUAGGGUUUGAAAAUUAUAUAUAGAACAAAAACAUAUCAUCAUAUUAAAUCAAAUCAGAUACAAUCUAAAAGGUAAAGAACCACAAGAAAGCAGCAUAAAAGUGAUGGCGUUUUCUUUUUACAGUUACCUGCAUUUUCACGACGCUCCAAUAAAUCAUUGAACUCCUCCAGAAGAUCUGGAUACUGUCCCAAUACAUCAGUCACCUGAGAUGGGCAAAGUUUACCGGAAAAAGUGAAACUAGAGGCAACAAUAUUUUGUAAGAAAGUUUACCGAACAGAAAGAUAUAUGUGUGGUUAUCAUAAAUUAUCCUUUGUCCAGUUUGCCCUAGCUUGAAGAGCAAGCACACAGGGCCUGCACGUUAAAAGUGUUGAUUAAGUGCUGAACAUCCAUGGGGUAACAUGUGCCAAAACUUGCAGAUCAUUCCUUUUAAUUAUUCCGUUGCUAUAAAUGUUAAGCAACUUAAAACAUUCCCGCAAGUCAUCUUUACUACACUCUUGAAUCUUGUGAAUAUUUGCUUAAUCUAGUUCCUAUAACAACAAAAAAGUUUAUAAUAUCAACAGAAAAACAUGAAGAACAUGUUUUCAGAAACAUGAGAGGGGGCAGACUUGCCUACACUCCGAGAUUCUACCGUAGCGUUCCAGACCAAUAUAUAAUGCUAUGAGGGGAAAGAAAAUUCAAAAGGGGUAUUAAAUGCACAUAGACUCUCGAUUUUUACUCAACCCUGUCGUGUUACCUUAGAGAUUUUAUUUUAUCUGAUGGGGGAAACGAAAAAAAGGCUAAAGCCCUUUAUAUAGGGCUAAACGCGCCUCCCCUGUAACUAAUAAUUAAGGUAAAGGGUCUUUACCAAGCCUCCAAUCUUCGACCCACUCAAGCUUCAUUGGCUUCAGAAGCCAUGAUGGCAUCUUGAGAUGUAGAGAACUAUAGGAGGUGUCUCUCACGGUCUCACCAGAAGAGGGUAUCUUUCCUCUCGUACUACUUUCCUCAACUUUCUGCUUACAACAUUAAUAAAUUAAUCUAGCCCUACCCAACUCCAAACCCAAACACAAAUCCAAAGUUUGUUUGCACUUUAAAUGGUGCAAGCCGUACUGGUAAACAAGAAUUAGAGACGAGACUUGAAAUACAUGGUAAGCACUGUUUUGUAAACAGAGUGGAAGAAAGAGAUAGAGAGAAAGAAAAUGUAUGUAUUAUUUUCCUUUCAAUUCAACAACAUUAACACUGAUUACAUUGUGUAUAUAUCUAGCAACAUUGCUUAGAUACUAAGCUAACAUAGGACUCUUAAGAUGUUGACACUUGUCACAACCUUACACCAUAGACUCUUAACCAACUUAACUACCUCACAUACAUCCUAACCAUCUCACACACAUGCACAUAUUAUAGUUAUCAUCCUCCCUCAAUCUCAGAGUGGAGCUUGCCAAGGCUGAGAUUGUAGCAGUGUGUUUGAUAUAGAGGAGCAGACAACCCCUUUGUAAGGAUAUCAGCAAACUGCUCAUUGGAGGAAACAAAGUGCACCUGCAGAAGCUUCUUUGCCACCCUUUCUCGGACAAAAUGAACAUCAACCUCAAUAUGUUUGGUCCGCUGAUGCAUGACAGGAUUAUAUGCAAGGGCAAUAGCAGAAAGAUUAUCACAGUACAGGGUCGUCGGACAAGGCACAUCAAUUUUCAUAAAGUGAAGAAUCUGUUUGAUCCAAUCAAUUUCUGCAGAAGUACUUGAGAGGGCGCGGUAUUCAGCUUCUGUAGAUGAACGAGAAACUGUAUUUUGUUUCUUGGAUGACCAAGAAAUGGGAUUUGGCCCGAGAAACACAACUAAACCAGUAGUAGACCGUCUGUCAUUAGGGUCUCCAGCCCAAUCAGCAUCACUGAAUGCAUGAAGAUUCAAGUCUCCUUUGCGAAACUGAUGCCAAGGUCCAUAGUACCUUUUAAAUAGCGAAGAAUCCUCUUCACAGCAGCAUAAUGAGAGUCCAUUGGACAGUGCAUGAAUUGACAAACCUGAUGAACCGAGAAGGAGAUAUCGGGCCUUGUGAAAGUGAGAUAUUGAAGAGCACCCACAAUGCUUCUAUAGAGAGAAGGAUUAUUGAAAUGAUGGCCAUCAUCUUUCAAUAACCUAUUAUAAGGUAAGCAAGGUGUGGAGCACGGCUUAUAAUGAACCAUGUCAGCUUUAACCAACAAAUCAGACACAUAUUUAGACUGAGAGAGGAACAGUCCACUUGCAUUCUGUGUGAUUUGGAUCCCAAGAAAAUAAUGAAGAGGACCUAAAUCUUUAAUAUCAAAUUCCUCAGUCAAAGCCGUAAUCACUGCAGCAAUAGGGACAAAAUGACUCCCUAUGAUGAUAAUAUCAUCCACAUAAAGGAGGAGAAGGACCACAGAAUGUCCAUCAUGCUUGACAAAUAAAGACGGAUUAGAAUAUGUUGAAAGGAACCCCAGAGAAGGAAGAAAAGAUGUGAACCUCUCAUUCCAUGCUCUCGGGGCUUGUUUUAAGUCAUACAAAGACUUAUGCAAUCUGCAAACAUGUGUAGGGUUAUGUGGAUCACUAAACCCUAGUGGCUGGGACAUAUACACUUCCUCAUUAAGAAUGCCAUGAAGAAAUGCAUUCUUCACAUCGAGUUGACGCAAAGACCACCCAAAAUGUGCUGCCAAGGCUAUGACCAACCUCACAGUUGUAGGUUUGACAACCGGACUAAAAGUCUCGCCAUAGUCAAUACCCUCUUCUUGAUUGAAACCUUUGGCAACAAGCCUUGCUUUGUACCUGGAAAUAGUCCCAUCAGCAUGUCUCUUAAGCUUGAAAACCCACUUGCAGCCUACCAAAUUCUUAUUAUGAGGUAAUGGGACCAAAGACCAAGUAUGUUGUGUUUUAAGAGUAGCCAACUCUUCUUCCAUAGUAGAAAACCAUAAAUGAGACGUUAGAGCCGACUUAUAGGUGGCAGGUUCCAUUUGAGAAAGAUCAACUGAAUCAGCAUCUUGAACCACAGAAAGAAAAGCUUUCUUCUUCGAAAUACCAUUUUUUGCUCAGGUUUGCAUAGAAUGAGUGUUCAUAUGAGGAAUAGGAAGAAGAACCUGCAAUCUGUCAGGUUGAAACUCAUGUUGUAUGGCAACACCAGGAGCACUCGAAGGCAGAGUAGGAGACUCAUGAAAGAUCUCAGAACAGGACACAUUUGGAAUCGUAGGAGCCACAUGGAAUGAAGAAGAGGAUUGGUGGCCUGUUGAUGCAGUAAUGGACUGUAAUGGAGUAGAAGUACCACUGUGUUGAUCAGAACAGGGAUGUGACAUAGGCUCUGGCAUACUAGGUGUCCUAGAAUGUGGGAGGGACACAAUAUGAUUGGUACCAGUGACUAAAAUGAAUGGAGAUGGGGAAGAGGGUACAGAUGUAGAGAUGGAGUGAUUAGAGACAGAACAUGUAGCAGACAAGGUAAGAUAUGGAAAUUCUGACUCAUCAAACAUUACAUGUCUGGAAAUAUAAAACCGGGUAUGAACAAUGUCAUAGCAAAUGAAACCUUUGUAACUGGAAGCAUAGCCUAGAAAAAUGCAUUUGAUUGUCUUGGGUUGUAACUUGGUACUGUUAUAUGGUUUUAGUAACGGAAAUAUUGAGCAACCAAAUAUUCUGAGAUGAUGAACAUCGGGAAUAUCAUUAAACAAUAGUUCAAAAAGAGAUUUAUUAUAAAGUGUAGGUGAGGGCAUUCGAUUGAUAAGGUAAACAGCAGCUUGGACAGCAAAAGACCAGAAAAUUAGGGGUAAGGAAGCUGUUUGUAACAGGGUUAUAGCAGUUUCAAUGAUAUGCCUAUGCUUCCGUUCAGCUAACCCGUUUUGCUCAGGUGUAUAAGGACAGGAUAGGUGAUGUUUGAUGCCUUUGUCCAACAAAAACUUUUGAAAAGAUUUACUAAGAUAUUCUCCUCCACUAUCACUUUGUAAUGUUUUAAUGGAAGUGGAAAAAUGAUUAGAGACAAAAUUAGAAAAACCAACAAAGGUAGAGAAAACAUCACUUUUAUUAAGAAUGGGAAACAACCAACAAUGUCUAUUGCAUUCAUCAAUGAAUGUCACAUAGUACCGAAAACCAUCUAUCGAAGUACAAGGAGAAGGACCCCAUACAUCACUAUGAAUGAUUUCAAAUGGGUGGAGAGACUUAGACACAGAUUUAACAAAGGGCAAUUUACAAAACUUGCCUUCCAGACAUGUAUGACACAUUACAGGCAAGGAAUCAGGUGAGACAGACAGAUUACACUUUUUUAACAUGACAGAGACCACAUAAUUAGAUGGGUGACCUAACCUACUAUGCCAAAGACUAGAAGAUACUUGACGGCCAAGGUAGGCAGCUUGAGGCUGAGAAAAGAUAGCUCGAACUCUUACUGGAAGUGGUAUGGGAUACAAUCCAUUACUGCAUUUGCCUUGAAAGAGAAUCUUCCCUGUGGCUUUGUCCUGGAUCCAAAAACAAAAGGCAUCAUAGAUCAACCAACAAUGAUUAUCUAAGCACAAUUGAUGCACAGAUAACAGGUUCUGAGAUAAUCCAGGAACACAAAGAACUGAAUUUAAUUGCAAUGGUUUUAAAGGAGUAUGAAGAGUGGAGGAACCAAUAUGAGAUAUUGAUAAACCUGCACCACUCGCAGUCUGAAUGGUUUCAUCAGCAGGGUAUGGAGAGGCCAGGGACAUAUUACUCAAGUCAGCUGUCAUAUGGGAAGAUGCUCCAGAAUCAGUAAGCCAAAAUUGUUGAGGAUGAGCACUUGGCUGAUGAUGUUGUGAUGAAGAAACAUGCAAAGCAGUUGGAGCUUGAGUAGAAGGGUUAGAGUUUCUGAAAUGGCAAUAUUUAGCACUAUGAUUCUUCUUCCCACAGAUUUGACAACCCUCAGAAAUGGUACUAUCAGAAUUCCGGAAUCGGCAAGUUGGAGCAAAAUGGCCAAACUUGCCACAAAUUUGACAAGAGUUACUAGAAACACCCUGUUGCUUUGGUGGAGAAGAACCAAGAAUGCCAGGAGCCGAAUUAUAAUUGCCAUAAAUGGACUUGGAAUUUCCAAACCGAGACUGAGAAUUGUACUGAAAUUUCCCUUUGUAUUUGUUCUUGCUUUGGUUUGGCCUGAUCCCAGAAUGACCGGAUGAAUAAAAUGUAGACGGAGAAGAACCACCAUAAGAAGUAUCAGUGGAAUGACCCUCAAGUUUAGAGACACUGCCAUUAUUUCGAGCAACCAUAACAGACAAGAAAGGUGUAAUGGGAAUGUUUUCAACCAUUGCUUCCUCAGCAAGUAACUGAGAUCGGAGAUCUUUCAUGGAGAUGACAUUUUCACGGCCUCGAAUAAUAGAUCUCAGAGUAUUAUAUUCAGAUGAGAGACCAUUCAAGGUCAAAAUCACAAUAUCGUCAUCAUCGAACUGAACUCCAGCAGCAAACAGAUAAUCACGAGCUUCUUUAAUGCGUUGCAAAUAUAUCGAAAUCGAAUCCGUACCUUUCUUGAUGUUCUGUAAUUCAUAUUUCAUCUGAAAGAUCAUUGUUCUAGUGACAAUCGAAAAUUGUUCUUUGAGACGCUGCCACAGAUCAUGAGCGCUGGAACUACCAAUUGCACAAGAAACUGCUGAAGGAGAUAAAGUAGCUGUGAGUAAUUGCAUUAAUGCCCGAUCGUGCAUUUUCCAAACCUUGAAGUCAUCACUUUCAGUCGAAGAUGAAACAUCACUCGAAGGGACAUAGGAACCUUCAAAAAUAGGGACAUUGAAUUGAGCAGGACAUGGAUGAGACCCAUCGACAAAACCCAUAAGACCAUGGCCUUCAAGUAGCAACUCGAUCUGGAAAUUCCAAGUUAGAUAAUUGGAAUCAUCGAGUUUGACAGUCACAGAAGAAGAAAUUGUGGAUAUGAGAGACGUGAUGGGAGAUUGAAGAAUCUGCAGUUGAGCAGAAGUCACCAUUGCAACCAAAGAAGGAAGAAAUCUAAAUGAAGAAUUUCUUAGAGGAAUUAUAACAAACACUUGGUGUGCAAAGAAAAGGUUGCACCCAGUCGAAGACACAGAGAAAAAUCAAGGCCCGGAGAAAAAGAAGACAUACCGUUGAUGCAGAAUAUAGAGCGGAAGCAGAAGAACAAGAUCGAGAAACCUUCAAGCCGAAGCUUUUCAGGCGAAUGAUACCAUGUAAACAGAGAGGAAGAAAGAGAUAGAGAGAAAGAAAAUGUAUGUAUUAUUUUCCUUUCAAUUCAACAACAUUAACACUGAUUACAUUGUGUAUAUAUCUAGCAACAUUGCUUAGAUACUAAGCUAACAUAGGACUCUUAAGAUGUUGACACUUGUCACAACCUUACACCAUAGACUCUUAACCAACUUAACUACCUCACAUACAUCCUAACCAUCUCACACACAUGCACAUAUUAUAGUUAUCAUGUUUAACCACUUGUGUCUUGUGAGACUCUUCAUAUUUUGCUUUUAGUGGAAAAAGUUAAACAAUCGGGUCGUUUUUUUCUUUUUCAAUUGUAUUGGUAAUGUGGAGGUUCUUUUUCUUUUUUCUUUCUUUUUUUUUUUUUCUGGUCAAUAGUAAUGUGGAGGUAGUAAUCAAGCAAUUCCAUAUCAAGUUCAUAAAACUUGGGUAUGUUUUUACGGAAAAUUUAAUUACUAGACAACAAUGUACAUCAGAGUUUGGAACAAGGGAAAAUGGGUAAUGUUAGAGAAACCAUAUAUUUAAAUUAAAUUUUGUAAAUCAUAUGAUAUGGUGAUUGAUGAUUGAAUUAUUAUUUAAGUGUUGAUUAACAUAUUUAUUUUGUGUUAAUGAUGCAUCACAUAAUUUACAAAUUUGGUCAAAAAAUUAGUCUCUUUAGCAUUAUCCAAUACUUGUGCAAUGCCUUAACAUCCUAUCUAGUUUUCCAGUCCAUACUUCUUGCCCAAAGCCUACAUACUACACCAUUAUUACAAAAGAAAAUUAAUGAAAAUAGCUUGAAAACUUUGAAUUUUAACGAUAAGGACAAAAUAAAAUGUAAAGUGAAUAGUAAUAGGAUUGACUUUUUAGUGUAAAUAUGAUUUUUCGUUAAAAUGAAAAGUACUAGUUCCCAUUAUUACAAAGAGACUUGAAGCUUUUACAACUUUAGACUUCAUGCUUGGGACUAUUUUAGACCUUCAUCAUCAACCACCAUUUAGACGGGGCCAAAACGAAACAACAAAAAGAACGGAGGGGCUAAUUGUAAUUUCAUUACAAUUAAGUGCCCUCUUGACGUGGGGUUCUUUGGAGGCUGACCAAUGAGAAGUAAGCACCUGUAGGACCCUUGGCCAAAAGCGACGAGUGGGUCCCCUUCUCCACCACCCACCCUUUAUCGAGCACGGCAAUCAUAUCGCAAUUCUGUAUCGUACUCAACCUGUGGGCCACCACCACACUAGUCCUCCCCACCAUCACGCGCUCUAGCGCGUCCUGCACAACCUUCUCCGAUCGACUGUCGAGCGCGCUGGUCGCCUCGUCCAACAACAAAACGACAGGGUUUCGAAGUAUCGCCCUGGCUAUGGCAAUCCGCUGUUUUUGUCCUCCGGAUAACUGCACUCCUCUAUCCCCGCACGACGUGUCGUAUCCAUCUUUUAAUCCGGCGAUGAAAUCGUGCGCGUUGGCUGCCCUUGCAGCUUCCACCACCUCCAACUCGUCGACCUUAUCUGACACGCCGUACACAAUGUUUUCUCGUAUCGUCCCGGCGAACAACGUUGGCUCUUGGCUGACCAACGCUAUGUGUUUUCUCAACGACUUGAGGUGGUACGACUUCACAUCUCGACCGUCGAUUUUUACUUCCCCUUUAAUGGGAUCAUAAAACCGUUCGAUCAGUCCAAUGAUCGUUGAUUUACCCGAACCACUUUGGCCCACGAGUGCCGUUGAUUUUCCCGCAUCGAUUUUGAUUGAGAAGCCUUUGAAGAUCAUAACAUCGGGCCUAGCGGGGUACGCAAAAUGUAUGUCGUGUAGCUCAAUGUGACCCGUUAUUGCUUCGGGCUCGAGACCUUCCGGGUCUUCAGGCUCAAUUUUUGUGUAUCGGUCUAACACCGCGAAAACAGACCCGACGGCAUCUGCGCCCUUGGCGAGGUCCGUGGUCAUGCUACCGGCAUCGGCAAUGACCCGGCCUGUGCUCACCAAGAUCAUGAAGGUCUGGAAUAGUUGUUGGGCUUUGACGUAGCCCUUGGCAACAAGCUUGCCUCCGUACCAAAAGUCGAAGGCCCAAGUGACGGUUGUGAGGCUUUGGGAACAAGCGAGUCCAAUGCCGGCGUACCACGACUGUCGGAUACUCUCCCGACGAGGGCCUUCUUGGGCCUUUUCGAGCAUUUUCAAUAGUCGGUCUUGGGAUGAGAAGGCCGUGACUGUCCGGAGGUUGGACACUGCUUCCGCGGCGAGCUUGCUGCUUUCUUCCUGGGAUUUUAUGGCCUUCCUGGACAUGCUUUUGAGCAGGACUCGCCUUGUGUAGAAGCAUACAAUGAUGAGGGGUUGUACGGCUAUCAUGACAAUUGCAAGCCUCCAUGUAAUGAUCAAUCCCAUUGUGCAAGCUACUGUUACUGCUGAGAUGGUUUGUACAACAAGAGCCAUUCGAUCACCCACCAAAGAUCUCACCUGCAACAAAAUAAUCAACCACUGUUCAUAUUAAAUCUUCAAAAUAAUUCAUACUUUUCACUGUUAUAGCUAAGAACAGUCCAACUAGCUCUCCAGUGUUAUUUUUCUCUUCGAACUUCAAAUUAAAUUCGAAGUUCGAAUCACAUUGUUAUAAUAGAUUUAGUUAAUUCGGAAUCUUCUGCGUAAUUAUAAAAAUGUAAUUUUUUAUUGUAAUUAUUUUAUGAUUCCUUCUACAUAUGCGUUUUGCCACUCUUAUAUAUAUUGUAAACAUUGUAUUAGAUUAAUUAAUUAGUUGUAUUUCUACACACAUUUAUUUUAGAGAGUUUUAACAAACAUAGAAUAUGCGACUCCAUACAUGAUUCUAAUGAGUAUUACUAUGGACACACUCUUAAACUAGUGAAUGUGAUUAGUUUAUGUGCUUAAACUAUAUUAUCGAUCGUACUAAAUUAUCAGUGAACAAAUUUGAUAUUUUGAUUAGACGUACCACAUUGGCAUCUUUGGCGAGUCUAGAGCAAAUGGCACCGCUAGAAUUCUCAUCCUGAUCAAACCACCCCACUUCAAAAGUGAGUACCUUUGAAAGCAUCCUCUCUCUAACCCUCUUAGUCAAGUACUCUCCCAUGUAAGCAAAGUUGUAAUGCUGGCUGACAUUGAUCAGCAACGAGAAGAUUGCCAACCCUAGAAAGCAAAGCGAGUAAGUCCUUGUUUUCGCCUUAAUCUUGUCGUGAUCCGUCAAGAAAUAAACCGACACCAUGGAACCCAUGGCAAAUGCGUACAGCGGUUGUACUGCCCCAAAAAGAGUCGCACUCGUGCACCCCAUAACUGCUUGUUUCCACUCCGGAAGGUUCAAGGCCAAAAGUCUCCUAAAAGAAGGCACGGGCAGUUUCUUAUGUUCAUACCCUACAACACUCUCUUGAUCAGGAGCUCUACCCUGAGCAAAUGAGUUCGCCGAACUCGAACGACUCAACAUGGAGAGCCUACGGCUGCUUGUGCUGUGCCUACGGCUGCUUGUGCUGUGAAUGUCUUUUGAAAUGGAAGACGAAGCACCGUAAUGCCCUAACUCUUCCGGUUCUUUUUCUUUUUCUGUUUGUUGGAGGCGGACAAGGGACGUGUAGUGGCCAUGUUCGCGUUGGGAGAGCUCGUCGUGGGAGCCGGUUUCCAUGACCUGACCGUUUUGAACUACGGCAAUCACGUCUGCGUUUCGGAUGGUGGAGAGGCGGUGCGCGAUGAUGAUUGUGGUGCGGCCGACGGCUGCUUUGUCUAGGGCUUCUUGGACUACUCGUUCGGAUUCGGAGUCCAGUGCGCUGGUGGCUUCGUCUAGGAGGAGGAUACGAGGCUUCUUGAUGAUGGCUCGUGCAAUGGCGAUCCUUUGUUUCUGUCCUCCCGACAUUUGAACACCCCGCUCGCCAACCUGUUUAAUCACAACGUUAAUUUGUUUUAGUACUUGCAAAACCUAGUAAAAAAAAAAGUGUCUGCAUGUUUCAUAAAAAAAGUCGUACCCAGUGCACAAGGCUCCCGCUUUACGCAGGGUCUGGGAGAGGUGAAUGUCGGCUAGCCUUACCCCCAUUUAUGGAGAGGUUGCUCCCAAGUUUCGAACCCGAGACCUACCGCUCAUGGGCGAAGGCACUUGCCAUCGCACCAAGUACUAAAUACUAAAUAGACUUACUCAUAAAAGAUUGUCCUAAAAUAGCAAUUAAUAUAUGACUUUUUAGCUAAAAUGGUUUCUUAAAUUGACGUAACUCUUCAUUUUGAUCUCUGAAAUUUCAAAUCAAUAGAGUUGGUCCCUGAGUUUGUCCAUCGUCACUCAUUUUGGUAAUUUUGUGAAAAAUUUCAGUUAAAUAAAAUAAAAUGACAAACAUACGUUCAAUUUUGUCAUAUCAUUUUGGCUAAUUGUUUAUUAAAUCAAGGGUAUUUUUGUCAUUUUGGUCAUUGUUUAACAGAAAUUUUGGAUAAAAAGCCUUAAUAUAAUUAUAAGAGAAACAAAAAUCAGGUUCGCCACUGCAGCAAUAUAAAUAUGAAUAACGUAUUGACAUGCAAUGAAGUUAUCGAGUUGAGUAAUGCUAAACUUACUACAUUUGUACUAUCUCUUUAAUAAGGGUAAGGUCAACCAACAUAUGUGGUUCUCAUCUCUAUUAAAAAAUUGGUGUAAAUAUGAUAUGAAAAAUAUGAUAAGAAUAACAUAUUUGUAUCGAGUUUAAAUGUCAUCACCAUGGCAUACGAUAAGUCUUUUUAUUUACGGGGCUAGUCUUAGUCUAGUGAUUAUUUGAAGGAACUUCUAACUUGAAACUUUUCCAUACAUGAACAAAAGGAAGGUAUCUUAAAAGGAAGGUAUCUUAUAAGGCAGUGUCGACCGAUCACAAACAUCAUUGUCAAAGAAGCAAUACAUGUUGUUCGAGUAUAUGAUGCAAACUGAUGUCUGCAAAUAGUGAUGCGCAUGCAAUACUACUUCUAUAUUGGGUUAGCAACUUUGGACGAUUGAAGGAAGACCUUCAUAGCCUAGUGGGGGACAAAAUCAUCAAUGUUUAGGAGCAAUAAGAUGCAUUCCUAUGUUGAUCCACCACACACUUGACGACAAACAUACCAAAGGACAGGAAUCCAGAUACUCUUUGUGAAGAUCUCGAGGAUCUGUGAAUCAUGUUCGUUCAUUAUUUAUCAAGUGGUCAGAAAUUAUUUUAAUUAUUUUAUUUAAAAUUGAAUACAAAUAGUACCUGACAAAAAACUCACCGCAUAAUGUAUGAUAAAUUGACACGAUUUACGGAUUCCCGAGAUAUUCACAAAGAGAAUCUAGAGAGGAUCUUGUUGAAAAAGACAGAACCUUUGACAUCGUGAAUUAUGUGAUUAACAAAUGGAAAGCAAUAAUUUGUCAUUUGCUUAAAAGAUGGAAUGUUUAAAUGUCACACAUGAUUUAAGAAAAUUUCAGUGUGCUGAUAACACAGUUUAGUACACAAAGCGUCAUAAUAUUAGUAGUUGGAUACUUUAAAAAAAAUCAAACACUAGUAUUACAAUAUUUAAUGUACCAAUCUAUGUUCUGGACACUAAAAAAACAUUUUUAUUCCAAAAAAAUUAUUUGAGUUCUUCUAUACAAGAGUCAUUCAUUUUUGUUAAUUAACAAAUUAAAUUUUGAGAUACGUGCUAAAACUUUUCUUUUUGGUAAUUAAAAUUAGAUAUUUUGGUAUAUUAGUCAAACUAUGAUUAACAGUUAAAAGUAAUAAUCUCUUAUUUGAAAAAGUCAACAAGUGGCUUGUCACUAAUAAAACUAAUUAACGUGUUAUUAUACUAGUGAAGUAAUUACCUGAGUAUCGUAUCCUUGAGGCAACUGGGAGAUGAAAUUAUGAGCAUUAGCAGCUUUCCCAGCCUCAGUAAUCUCUUCAAUCCCAGCAUCUUCUUUCCCAAAAAGUAUGUUCUCCUUAAUGCUGGUUGCAAAUAGAGCAGGCUCUUGGCUCACCAAACCCAUCUGCGAUCGCAGCCACUUGAGCUGAAGCUUAUUUAUCGCCACCCCAUCAAGAAGAAUCUCGCCUCCGAGCGGAUCAUAAAACCGCUGCAACAGGGCUAUCACCGUGGACUUCCCCGAGCCGCUUCCGCCCACCAACGCCACCGUUUUGCCCGCCGGAACUGUCAGGUUGAAGUCUUUGAAGAUAAUGCUUUCCGGCCUCGACGGGUAUGCGAAUUCCACGUGCUUGAAUUCAACUUCACCGGAAACAUCCUCCAAGAUUUCGCCUUCCAUGUUGUCGGAAUCGAUCUUGGGAACUCUUCUUAUCACUUCCAUUAUGCGCUCGGCUGCCGAACAUGCCUCUGAAAAGUACUUCAAGUUUGAUAGUCCAGAACCUAAUGCCCUAUUCACCAAAACAUUAAAACCAUGCAUUAAGAUUAAGAUCGAUAUUAUUGGGAAGAUUAUGAAUUUGUGUUUAAGAACAAAACGGAAGAAAAUCAAAGCAUGCAUCAGUAUUUUUAAGAUCAAUUUUUUGGGAAGGUUCUAAAUUUGUCCUAACAAGUAUCAGAUUACUAAUUUACAGACUACAGUAUAUGGUACAUUGUCGAACUUUUGUCGUAACAAAUUAAAAAAAGAGCAAUAUGUACGAGUAGACAUUUUGCAAAUUAUUUAUUAAAAAUAGAAUGAGAGACACUAAACAUAUAAUAUGUCUUAUGCUACUCACAGUUUUGUGCCUUUUUAAAUAAUACACAUUCAGUGUCAUUCAUGUUCUAUUUUCGACUAAAAAUCUAAACCGGUUCAAUCAAUGCAUAUUUUCCAUCAUAAAGAAAAAAAAUCAACAAUAUACCGGGUAUUUUAUCCACAUUAAAAACAUGCAAAAAGGGGUUUAGCAUUCUUACAAUCCGCCAACGGCGAUGGCAGCACCAACAGCAAAAACAGUGCCUCCCUGAGCGCCAUGGUACAUGACCAUUCUGCUUCCAUAAAAAGACAUGAAAGACCAAAUGGCGAAGACAACGCCGUUGCUUCCGAUGGCCAGUCCUUUAGCCAAGCCCUGGCUCAAUCCCAACCUGACGGAGCCCUGAAGAGCCGCAGAGAAUUCCGAUAUGGUUUUGUUUUCUCCGACGAAAGCAUAAACUGUGCGGAUUGAAGAAAUUGCCUGCUCUGCUAUGUGCCAGCCUUGUUGUACUCUUCCCUAAUCUGCCUAGCUAAUCCCAUCAAAGUCCUUCCGUAAAUUAAACCGGGAAUUACUAGCAGCACCACAAAUGGAAACCCUACGAUUGCUAGCCUCCACAUCAUUAUAAAAGCCGCCACGUAGCUUCCGGAGAACAUGGAGAAAUUCAUCAAGAAGUUCGGUAGCUGGUGGAAUUUGAAACAUGCAACUUCAUUAAUUGAUGAAAAUAAACUGGUAACGAUUAUUAGCACUACAAAAUAAUCGUUAUCCUCUCAAGCGUCUAUUAGAAUGACGAUUUUGAAAGGUGCUGAUAACAACUCUCAAUAAAUUACACAGAUUGAAAACUUGUGGGAUUACCUUUUCACUUAGGACAUCUUGAAUCACUAAGCUAUCAUUAGAGACACUUGUGAUCACUUCUGAGGUGCUUGUGACAUGUAAAUCAAAGUAGCCCACAUCUUGCCUUAGAACUGCUUUCAAAUAUCGUACUCUCAUCCUAGCUGCCUGCCUCUCGCCAGUUCUUGUCCAGCAAUAUCCCUCUACAAAAUUACAAAUUCAAAGAAAUAAAAAAAUAUAUAUUACUAAAUUAUAAUUCCAUUUGAUCUUUGAUAACAAGCAAAAGUAAACAACAUUUGGUGAAACUCACCUAGGAAACAGCAUACAAAUGACCCACAAGCCAAGUACAACAGCGCCACUGCAUUCUGCCAACCAUAAAAAACAAAACUCAAUUAGAAAAUUUUGUGUUUGCCUUUCUGCGACUAUUUUUGCACUCCAUUUUUCUUUUUCUUUUAGCCAUUAAAUUGAAUAAAUCAAAAGAGAAUCAACAUGCAAUAUUAAAGUAAAAUACGAAGGGUGAAAACAAAUGAUUCCGCAAACAAAGCGCACAGAGAGAAGGUGAAAACAAAUGAUUCCGCAACAAAGCGCGCAGAGAGAGAGGGAGAGAGAGAGAGAGAGAGAGAGAGUUUUUAGUUAAUUACCUUAUUUAUGUUAUGCAGAAAAGCAACCUGAGCUGAAGUUGGUGAACCGCCAAUAUUGUUCAUCAAUUUGCUAGUGAUCAACAAAACCAACGGUGUGGAAAAGCCAUCACCAAGGGAUCCAAAUAGCCCUAAGAUCAUCAGCAAUCUAUCAACCCCAUCAGCAUGCAUGAAAAUGGACCGCAUGGACCCAACUUUCAUGAUACUGUUGUUGUUGCUGUUGUCAUUACUGGGGCUUUUCUGUCCCAUUUUCCCUCCCUUUCUCAGCAACCAAAUAAUAGUUAAGAUUGGCAGAACACCUCCCGACGUGCGGUUUAACUUAUAUAUGCUUCAAGAAAGUACAAACCCUUUUGCCUUGACCGUAGUACUGAGAAGAAAGAUAUAUACAGGUGUAUAUAUAGAAGAAAUUUCAGUGCAACAUGUAUACAGGAUAGCACAUUAUAUGUUAUUAUACAAAUGAUGAAAUAUAUGUAUUAAAAAAUUAAUAACUUAAAAAAUAAAAUUUGUUACUACUUAUAUAAAAAUACUUAAUGUACAUUUCUUGUUUCGAUCACAUUAAAAAAUUUCAGUGCGAAAAAAGAGGGGACUUCAGAGUCCAGAGGGAUUGCAUAUGGACAGGAUUAUAGUAAAUAAACUAAAGUUUGGAUGAGUAAAAUGAACACGUGCUGAUGAGUGAAGAUUACGGCUGUGCUUACGGGCCUUUCUCUGCGGAUAGCGUCAUUAGUGACGAUCGAUGGGUCGGUGGACCCACCCAGUAACCAUUUGUUAGUGUUUUUAAUAAUUUUUUUAACUGAAACGUAUGAUUUUUUUUUUUUCUUUUUUUUUUUGUUACUUAAGGGUGCGUUUGGUACGGGACGGGACGGGACGGGACGGGACAGGACGGAACGAAGGUGUAAUUUUUGAAAAAGACAUGGGGUAUAUUUGUCUUAAAAUGGUAAAACAUUGUGUUCCACAGACGUGGAACAAACCCGUUCCAGGGGGAGGUGGAACGCAAAAACACCCAAAAUCUGUCCCGUGGAACAGCCCGUUCCAUCCAUUUUUGGCGCACCAAACGCGGGACGGAACGCCUCGUCCCGUUCCGUCCCGUCCCGUCCCAUGUACCAAACGCACCCUAAAGGAAAAUGAGAAUUUGAAACUAUUACAAUUAAUGAUGAUAAUUUCGAACUCAAACGCAGGAGUGAAAACUCAUAAUCCUAUCCAACCAUAUACGUUUACGAUAUUUAUUACAACAAAAGAAAUUGUACAAGAGGGUUAAAUCACAAAUGAUAGAAGAAAACAAAUCUUUGUCGGCGCUUUUAAUCCGAAGUCAAGAAGAAAAAAAGACCAUCAUGACAAAAAUUAUAAAAAUUUAUAAAUUAAACAUUAGAAAAUUCUCAAUCACAACAUCCGCUAACAUAUCUGAUGAUUCUUCAAACCAAACAGUUUCUUGCUCGCAGCAAUCCCCGCCCCCACCCCAACCCUCCUUUUGCAAAUCUGCAGAACAUUGCAGGAAUAUAUGGUCUCUGCUGGUGCUUAAUUUUUUGACUUGGAAGCUCGAUCGUGGAAAUUAGAAACUGCCAUGUUACCUUCAAGUUGGGACAAAGAAUUAACUAAUUAUAUUUGAAGCUUUUUGUUUUGAGAAGCGUUUUUUUUUUUCCUACCUCAUUUCUACUUUCUUUUUCAAUACUCCUUUCUAUCUGUUUAUUUAAUUCCACAUAUCAAUCUUUUUUUCUUCAUUAAAACGAACCUUAGCUUGAUAUUUUUAUAUUGAAAAUUGGGCUAAAAGCACAAGCCCAAACAAAACUAAUCAAUAAAAAGUUUAAAAUGGGACAUCUCAAGUCGAUCUUCAUGAACAAAACUAACGAACAAGAAGGAGGAUUAUCAAAGUAAAAAAUGCGUAUAUCUAAAUCACGAUUAUAGUUCACUAAAUUAUCUGUCACAAAAUUCUUUUCUUUGUAGUCAUGCCGAAGAUCGCAUUGCCAAGAUUUUGAAAGCACUCUCAACAGGCCAAAACAAGAAAGAAUAAUUGCCAGCAACUUGCAUCACCAAAUAAAUUGUGAAGAACAUUUUGAAGAAAAUAUUGCUUUUAUACAAAAUUAUGCCACCUAGUUGAGUCAUAAUUACAUAUGGAACUCAUUAUAUAUACACAAACUCGCAUCUAUAUCCAUAAGUCGCUUGAAAAAUAAAUGGUUAAUCCGCAUAUAUGUCGAGACAACUAUCACCAAACCAAAUGCUGAUUAGUUAAAUAGAAAGAAAAAAAAAAGGGUUUAACCCCAUCUAACCCUAUUUGACGGUCGAUGGGUUGUUGUUGGGGUUGGGUCAGUGUGUCGGUGGCUGUUGAGCUUAUUUUUUCUUUGUAUUUUUAAUUUUACUUAAUUGUUGACAAAGUUAGAUGGGUAAAAUUUGGCGACAGGAGAGGUCACAUAAUGUUUUGAAUGUAAAAGAUUUGGACUCGAACAAUAAUUUGGAAUAAAAUAUUUCUAUUAUUAUUUCCCACAAAUGGAGUUGUAAACGACUAUUAAAACCUGUAUUCAAACAAAUAAUCAGCAGUAAAACAUUCACUGAAAUUUCAACAAAUAUUUCAUAUGACUGUCCAAAAGAUUCGUAAAUAAUUAUCAGUGAUAUAUAUAUAUUUUUUUUGGUCAAACAAAGAUUCGUACAAGGCUUGCACAUCAGGUGCAUAAAACUCUUAUUAGAAUUUAGAAUUGCAUCUCUGUCGUCACAUCCCUGUCAUUACGAUUAUAUAUGUAAUUAAGUGCAAACGACGGUCAACAGUGUACAUAAUCACGUUGUACAGAGCACUGUGAGACAGUUAAGCUGAGAAAAUUAAAAUAAGACGGGCACUUAACUUUCAAACUAGCUUGCUUAUAUAUCUACUAAUUGAAAAGUUGUAGUUGAUUAAGAGCUUCUCAUAAGCAUUAAAAAAUCAUUAUAUAAGAUUACUGUCGAUCUGAUGCUAGCUCAUCGCAGUCAUAAAUUGACAUCCCACUUCUCAUUCCACAAAUAAAAGAAAUAAAAAAGAAUAAAUAAAUAAACAAAAACAAAUAUCUUAGUCCAAAAGGAUCAAAAUCAUAUAGGGUUCGGAUUGCAAGGGACAAAAAUGAGAUUGCCUUUUGCGACAAAAACAGUCUCAACUCUCAAUGGUGUGAAAAAGAGGGUAUCUCUCGACAAAAAUUAAUAAAUUUUUCAGUGUGUCGAAAAUAAGGUCUGGUACACUAAAUGUAAUAAUACAAGUAGUUAGAAAUUUGAAAAAAAAAAAACCAAUUAUAUUAUAACACUUUAUAUACCUGACCAUACGUAUUUCUGCUACACUAAAAAUUUUCUCGACAAAAACAUGCAAGAAAGUGAACACGUGGCUCAUAACAUACACAUGGCUUGCAUCCAAUAAUCUUAUUUUUUUUAGUUCGAUAUUGAGUGAUAUUUUAUGGCAAAUUAAGGCGUGCAUGCAUUUGCUUUGCUUGCCGUUGUGUCUAUUAAUUUCAAUCGGUUUGAACACAUAUUUAUAAAGACUUGGCAUUAAAUUUGGCUUUUAUUGUCCCUGCAGGUUUCUUGAUAUGUUUCCCAAUUUUCAAAAACGAAUUUAUAAAAGAGUUGCAUGAAUUAGAAAAUAACGUUCAAAACAGUUGCUAAAAUGCUGUGGAAUUGUGCAUUAAUAUGCACGGCUAAUGCCUCCAACACGUGACCUAAUUUGGUAGUUUUCAGUUGCAGAAGCAUAUGCAGAUGGUGCCACGUGAAAAUUGUGGAGGGAGGAAAAGGGAAAGACAUGCAGUGGUCUUCUCUCUGCAAGAGGAAGCAUUAAUGCACUUUAACCAAACAGCUCCUUGUUAAGAGCGAAGAAAUUAAGGAACCCUCUGUAUUUUCGAGAAAUGCUAAGAAAAUUCUUUAUAGACUUUUUGUUCAUAGUUUAACGUCAAUUCUUGUAUUAAUAUUAUAAAAUAUUAUGUCAAAAGUAUGCCAUAACAAAAAGCCUAUCGAGAGCUAUUUUUUUAAGAAAAUCCCAUUAACAUUUCUCAUAACUUUUAUGGAACAUAUAUGCUAAGUUUUUCUGUCUCUUAACCAUCGUAGUAAGAGUAGAGGCCAGUAUUUCAAGUAGUACAUAUGACGUAUUUGCAUGUUGCUAUAUGGCUUCCAUUUAAAGAUUACACGUUCUAAUUCGUGUAUUUAGUCCAACUGUCCAACUGCCCAAGUGAUGAAGAAGCAUAUAUAAAGAAAGAUACACACAUAAUAUAUAAGAAAGAUAUUUUUUUUGUCCAGAUUAAGAGUUUCACCCUUCUUAGGAAUCUUUUGGAAGUUUGUUUAAAUGGUUGAAAGCGUUUUUGCAGUUAAUCCUUAGUAAAAAUGCAAGUGAAUCUUGAAAAAACAUUUGAAGUGGCAAUGUCACAUCCCGGCCCGGGGCGGAUCACUUCCCCUCCCCGUUCCACCACAGUAGCAUGAUAUUGUCCGCUUUGGGCUUACCAUUCUCUCACGGUUUUGUUUUUGGGAACUCACGAGCAACUUCCCAGUGGGUCACCCAUCAUAGGAGUGCUCUGGCCUCCUUCUCGCUUAACUUCGGAGUUCCGACGGAACCCGAAGCCAGUGAGCUCCCAAAAAGCCUCGUGCUAGGUAGGGAUGAGAAUAUACAUUUAAGGAUCACUCCCUGAGCGAUGUGGGAUGUCACAAUCCACCCCCCUUAGGGGCCUGACGUCCUCGUUGGCACACACGCGGCGAGGGUUAGGCUCUGAUACCAAAUCGUCACAUCCCGGCCCGGGACGGAUCACUUCCCGGGCCCGUUCCACCACUGUAGCACGAUAUUGUCCGCUUUGGGCUUACCAUUCCCUCACGGUUUUGUUUUUGGGAACUCAUGAGCAACUUCCCAGUGGGUCACCCAUCCUGGGAGUGCUCUGACCUCCUUCUUGCUUAACUUUGGAGUUCCGACGGAACCCAAAGCCAGUGAGCUCCCAAAAGGCCUCAUGCUAGGUAGGGAUGAGAAUAUACAUUUAAGGAUCACUCCCUGGGCGAUGUGGGAUGUCACUGGCAGGAAGUACUUCAAGUAUUUUUGAAAUCCAAAAAAUAUUUUCUAAAAUUGUUUUCAGUUAUUUUAAAAGGAUCUCCAAACAAGCCCUUAUAUGUUGAAGCCAACGAAGAAAAGGGAUUGACAUUGACUAUGUAUUAUGUACACCAUAAUACCAUUGUCUUCUCUAUUUUAAUUUGUAUUUUUCUUGCUGAAGUAUUAGAAACGCACGUAGUGACGUUCUCGUUUGAUGUGAUCUAACCAAUAAUCCAUGGUCUUCUCUUAAACUAAUAACUUAAACAAAUUAAAAAUUAACUUAUACAAAUCCAAAACAAAGUUGACGGUUAAUCUGAUUAAAUUUGGACUAUUUACAGCUAAAUUGGGUAUAUUGAUGGAAUAGUUUAAGGAUAUACUUAAUUUAGAUGAUCCAAAUAGUAUUGUCACAAGACUGAAUACGGAAGAUUAAAUCGAUUAUAUGUAAAUAAUGUUUUGCAAUAUUAACAUAUAUAUAGUAAGAGUUCUUAUUUUUUGUCCAUAUGAAGAGUUUCAUCUCUUCUUCCUGCUCGUUUAGAAAUAUUUUUAAAAUGCUUAAAACCGUUUUUUGUGAAAAUAUUUUUGAAACCAACCUUUAGUAAAAAUGCAAAUUAAUUAUAAAAAAUACUUAAAGAAGCACCAGUUAUUUUAAAAACACUUUCACACGAUUCUUUAUAUGAAGCCAAAGAAGGAAAGGGGUUGACAUUGAUUAAGUAGUAUACCAUAAUACCGUUUUCUUCUUUAUUUUAAUUUGUAUUUUUCUUGUUGAAGUAAACAAACGCACGUAGUGACGUUCUUGUUUGAUGUGAUAUUUCCAAUUACCCAUGGUCUUCUCUUAAACUAAUAACUUAAACAAAUUAAAAAUUAAUUUAUACAAAUCUAAAACAAAGUGGCCAGUUAAUCUAAUUUACAGCUAAAUUGGGUAUAUUGAUGGAAUAUUUUAAGUAGAUAUUUAAUUUAGAUGAUCCAAAUGGUAUUGUUAUGAGACCGGAUACGGAAGAUGAAAACAAUUAUAUGUAAUUUAUGUUUUGUAAUAUUAACAUAUAUACGCAUUUCAGGUGUUGUGUUCGAUUUCUUCGUUAAAUCCCACGCUUGAAAAGAUAAGAAAGUAGCAUCCUAAUCACAUUUCCAAUUGGCCGGCAGACAGUUGAGCAUGGACAUAUUCUUCAUCAACAAACUCAUUAAUAGAUAUCCAACUAAUUGGUCGGUUACCAAUUUUAAUUUGUUGCUCUUUUUUCUUGUAGUAUUGAUUAUAAAUGGGAUAUAACUUGAGAAUUGUUAGCAGUCUAAAAAUCUUAUUUUACACUCCUCAUAAGUGUAUUUUUUUUUCUUCUAAUUAUAGAAAGUUUAGAGUGUCAAAUGAAAUUUUUGAAAUGCUAAUAACAAUUCCCUAUUUCUUACCCUCUAUAUUUCACUAAUGGCUGGCGUGACCGCUUACACUUGAAGAGAAAAACUUGGGUGUACGUAACCAAAUUAUACCCUCCUCGAUCUUUUGAUCGCUCUCUCACUCAUUACAUAACCAAAUCACGUAUUGGGUAAGAUAGAAAAAAAAUAUGCCUAAUUAUAUGGAAGAAUCUCCUCCUUGCGUGACUUAAUUUAUGAUUAUAACUUAGGAGAAAAAUUAACUUGAACAUAAUAUUGGGUUCUAUCAUGCUCAAUCUUAAUCUCAAUCUUAUUCAUUGCGUAACUAAAUCACAUAAUGAGUGACAUAAGAGAAAAAUAUAUACCUAACUAUAAGAAUCUCCCUACACAUUUGAGGAAAACAACUACUGCUUUAUUUAGAUGAUACUUGUUGAGACUUAAGAGUAUUAAUUUCACAUUGGAGAACCAAGAGAACUUUGCAUAUACUUAUAAGGAAUUAAGCUACUCCCAUUGGUAUUAGAGCAUGUUGUUCCACAUUAGUAUCAGAGCAUGUUGUUCCAUGUGUGAAGCCCAACAACAACACAUGCUCUACGUCAUCCAAUUUGUGUUGUCCACAUAGACUUGAGAAUUCGCCGCACGUGAGGAGCCUUGUUGAGAGUAUUAAUCUUACAAUGAAGAAAUAAUGGACCUUGCAUAUGCUUAUAAAAAUUGAGUUACUCUCUAUAUAUAUUACCAAUUAAUUUUAUGGUUGAACUCUAACUUUCUUCAGUUCACAUAACACUUGAUAUCAGUAUAGCUUUCAGUUGUGAACGUACAAGAAAAAAGUUCCUAAAUCAUUAAAAGUAAAUAUGGCAGUGACUUUAAUUUUUUCAAAUGGAAAAUAACAUAUAUUUGGACAGGACUAAUCAGUAAUCACCAACUUGAACAAUUCUUUCUUGUACGCUUUGUAUUAUACUUCAAUAUGGGGGAAUUUAUUUUGCAUGUAAAGGUGGGAAUAAAGGCAAAUUUGAAGAGAAGAAGAUUUAAUACACCCAUAAUAUUGGGUUUCCCACUUGAAACAUCUUUAAUUUUUUAGUGGUGCUAUUUACACACACAUUUUCACUUUUUACACUCCUAUCAAUUUUUAGUUGUCGGAUCGAAUGAAUUAAAAAAUAUCAAAUGAUAGAAAUUAACCAAAAUUGUGUCAAAAGUAAAAAUGAGUGUGUGGAUAUCAGAAUCUUUUUUUUUUUUUUUUUUUUUUUAAUUUCAAGACCACAUCAGUCAUAUAUUAACUGUCUUCAAGCUCAACCACCCAAUUAUUUCCUAAUAAAAGUGGUUGUUUUUAAGCAUGAAGAUGAUUUGUAUACUUUCCUUAGAAAGAAUGGGAUCAAAUCCAGAAAGAAUUGGAUCAAAUCCAUCUUUCCUGGAAAUUAAUAGCUAAUUAACUUGAUAUUAACUUUUUGCACACAAUCUAACUUAAAACACAUUGCGUGCAAAAAUUGAUUACAUGAAUAUUAUUUUUAAUUACCAAAUGUAUUCUAAUUGUUGCUUGAUGAGUUUUAUAAGUCGAAAAUUGAGUACGCUAACGAGCAUAUACAAACAAACUAUGAAGAAGACCUUAUUAAUUGAAACAAAAUAGAGCACUACAAAUUUGCCAAGAUGGCUACAUAACCCGUAAAAUUACAUGUUGUAAGACCAAGUUACAAAGUAUUAUAUAUAGAAAAAUAAUAUAAACCUAAUAGGCAAGAAAAUGAAACCCUAAUUUUAACGGACUAGGGUCAAAAAACCAAAUAUUAAAAUAAACCUGUAUUUUCCAACAUUCUAUUCAUUUUAUUGGCAAUUCAUUGGUGCAUUUAACUGAUGUAAAGAACUUGUAACUCAAGUAAAUAAGAGUAUACUUAGUUAUUUACUCAUACACUCAAACAGUAUUAUCUUCUAUUCUUCCUUCUUUAUAUCACUUUUUAUAAAAAGAAAACAAAAGUUAUGCACGUUUUUACGCUUCUGCAGUAGCAUAGAUUCUAUGUAGACAUCAAGGAAUAUUUAUAACCGUCUGUUGCACUGUGCGCAUCGAUGCUGCCAUUUUUCCAACUCCAGAGCAAAGAGCUUCUAAAUUCGUCAAGACUGAACACGGUGAAUUUUUGCUAAUAUAUAUAUAUAUAUAUAUAUAUAUAUAUAUAUAUAUAUAUAUAUAUAUAUAUAUAUAUAUAUAUAUAUCCAUUGGAAUUUGGUUCUUAAUGCUUGUGGUUUUGGUCCUCAAUGAUAUUAUUAACCAAUGUCAGCUCGAUAAAAGCAAGGGGGCACACUCCAGUCCAGUGCUACUUGAUUAUGUCGACCCUGGUGGACAUGAUCAAUUUUAAUUUGCUUGCUUGGAGCUCUAUAUUCCUCCUUCUAAUUGGCUUUGUUAAUGCAUUGCUGUCUACACUCUACAAGAAGGGUUUGACAGCAUGUAUCUCAUAAGUAUUGCACAAGAGCUUAAAAUAUAUACCUUUUUACGAUCAAGUGAUUUGAUAUUAGACGAGAUUUUUCACUAGAUUGCUCAAAGAUAACACAUGCUCCAGCCUCCAACGUCACAUUAUUCACUUAUUAGGCUCAAGAUGUAAUACACGUGAGGUAGCGUGAAUGAGAUAAUUAAAGUAGCUAGCUAGUAGUGCAUGCCAGGCCUCAAUAAACUUGUGGACCUCUUCGGCUUCCCAAGUAAACUACACAAUAGAGAAGAGUAAUGGAGAUGCUUCAUUUCAAUAGGGUUCAUUUAAUAAUGGGGAAUCAAGAUCCUCUCUAGAUCUUCAAGUCCCGUGUUAGCAGAUUCAAAAAUCUAGGCUGUUCAAAGAAAGAGGAGAGAGAUUCGAACUUGGUUUGUGUAAGGUUAGCUAGUGAGAUGGACAAAUAGGAACUAUAAGAUUUUAAAUUAGUGAUCUGAAUCUCUGAGUCCGCUAACUAAGAACACAUAGAUGAUAGAUGCAAAGAGGAUCUCAAUUCGUUAAGGGUUUGCUGAUGGCUGAUGCUACCGUUGUACUAUAGAAGGGGACAAUACUAUUAUUGAAGCAGAGGACCCAAAAGGGUCCAUAACUCCAUGUAUUUGAGGCUCCACCAUUUGCUUUUUGAUACCCCAAUUUGGAAGAACAGCUCCCCCAUCAUCCAUUUUUUUCUACAGAAUCUUUCAGCGGAUUUAGAAAAAAAGCAAAUUAUUUUCCUCAUGAUUAAAGAAAAAGCAGCUACCCUUCUUAGGUCAUCCAACAACCUCUUUAAUUACCAUCCCCACCAUUAACAAUCACCAACAGUUGCCCUGAGAGCCAUAUAUGGUAGCUAUCGCUAUUUAAACAGUCAUUCCAUUUGGAAAGAGAUUCUUUCCGGAUCUAUUCUAUCAACGUCCACGGAUCAAGUGAUAUGAACAUUUGAAAUUUAAUGCAAUUGUUAAAAUUAUUAUAACUUUUAAAAGGGGUCUCUGUUUUUAGCUGUUGCAUCAAAUUUCAAAAGUUCAAAUCAUUUGAUCCGUGGACUUUGGUGGAAGAGAUCCGGAGAUGAUCUCUUUCCCUUCUAUUUCUCCAACUUUCAUUUAUUUGGUUCCAUUAAGUAGGUCAAUAAAGGUCAUUCAAUACUACGAUCUGAUGGUAUUUCUCUUCACUUGGAAGUGAACUUUCACUAUUUAAACAGUCCUUCCAUUCCUCCAACUUUCAUUUAUUUGGUUCCAUUAAGUAGGUCAAUAAAGGUCAUUCAGUACUACGAUAUGGUGAUAUUCAUCUUCACUUGGAAGUGAGAGGUCUUAGGUUUGAAUCUCGUGGAUGGCGAAUUCGAUACCAAAUUAGGUUGCCCAUUGUGUGACUUAUCCGAACUCCUCAUUCCCCUAGUGUAAAAAUAUCGAUAUACUCAAAAGUAGGUCGAUAAAGGUACAUGCAUGGAGGUAAUGGAAUAUACUUUGUAUCUCUUACUGUUUAAGACUUCAAAACAUGAGUAAAUUAAGGGUGGUGCUAUCGACACAUCUCUUUUUUUGCUUCCCUACACUCCUCUCAAUUUUGUUGAAUGUUAAUUACGGGAAUGAGUACAAUACUUAUACUUAUUUAAUAUAAGGGUUAUUUUGGUUUUGAUCCUUUAUCAACUUAAUUGUUAGACUGAAACCUUAUUUGUUUAAAUAUUUUGAUCGAUGUCCUUAACAUCAUUUAAGAGAUUUAACUCAUGCAUUUAUGCAUUUAAUGUCCCACAAAUUAUGAAAUUUAAACAAAUUGAAAUAAUAUUUUAAAAUAUAAUAAAUACUUAAAAAUAAAUAUUAGAAUAAUAUUGUUCUUCACAAAUUAUAGAAAGAAAAUAAUGUGCCCACAAAAUUAAGAACAUAUUUUAAAAAAUAAUUACUGAUAUAUUUUAAAACAUAAAAUAAAUACAUAUAAUUAGUAUGCGUACAUUUAGCAAAAUAAAAAAUGGGUACAAAUAAAUUAAAAAAUAUGGGUACAAAUACAAAUAAAACUUUAAAAAAUAUGGGCACAAAAAGAAAUUAAUAUAAGAGUACAAUUUAAAACUGAAAAGAAAAUUGGUACAAAUGAAAAAAGGUUGCAAAUUAAAAAUGGGUACAAACUAAAAAUAAAAAUAUAUGACAACAAAUUUAGCCAUAAAUAUAAAUAUACCAAAUAUAACAUUAGAAAUGAAUAUAUUUAGAAAUAAAAAAUAUUUUAUUAUUGAAAUAAUUAAUAUCGUUUAUUAAAAUUUAAGGACAUUGAUAAAAUUUUGAAAAGGAAUAAGAUUUUAAUUAAUGGAGUAACAAAAAGAAAGAUGAUAACCUAAUUUCUCCUUAAUAUAAUUAUCAUCUAACUAUCAGAUAUAAUUUAUGUGAAUAUACGAUUAAUACAAUCACCAUCUGACUCUUAAAAAUGAUGAUUAUACCAAAUAAAUGUAAAUAUUGUAAACAAAAUUAACAUGACCAAAAUAAAAUCGAAAACAAGUGCCUUUGUCAUAAUUAGUCCCCUAGAAAUUCAACCUCACCAGAGAAUCAAUAUGUGAAAAAAUAUCUACCUUAAUCUGCCAGCCAAACUACAAACACUUCACAUCAAGGAAUAUGAAAACUGAAAUUCCUAACUGGAGUUCUAUUUUUUUAAUCCCAUUUGCCCUACUGGGGUUCCUGUUAUAACCAACUAAUGCAAGUUUUGAUAACUAGGAAUUCCAUUCAUCAUUUACUUCCAUGAUUGCCUAGCUCACUCAAAUUGUUCUUGUUGUUGGGAGUUGAAUUUUCUUCCCUCCUCUCAAUUUCCUCUUCUUUUUUCUCUUUUAUCAAAGAAGGUAAAAUAAAAUGAUGAUGUUUCUUAAUUUUGAGUGUUUAAAUAAGAGAAGAAGGAGGAGAGGAAAAAAUGGAAGGGGAGAGAAUCUAGAUCCUUGUUUUUGCGCGAGUGAUAGAGAAAGGGAGAUGGUUUAUCAAUCCUCUAAUAAUUUUGAUUGUUGAUGUCCUACAGAUGAGAGGCUGAAAGUUACAUUAAUUAUUGUCAAACAUUUGAUGAUCAUAAUUUUGUUAAUGAUUAUCAACUCCACCAAUAAUCCAAUUAAUUAAUUAGUAAAUUAUUAAGGAGUUUUUAUCACAAAAAGUUUUUGAAAUUAACCCAUUCUAUGACACACCCCGACCUAAAUCGAGGUAUGCUGGCAGUCAUGUGAGGGUGAUGUAGCCAUGUGCGCCGUGCGGAAGUGAAGGUGAUGAGAUAAUUUGGGUAAAUAAAAACCAAACUAACUAACUUACACUGUUCUAAAAAACGGCCUAGGCACUAGGUGGUGGUGAGUCGAGGCAUUUUCUUGCAAGUCGGUUGGAAAAAUUGGAUCGGCUCUAGGCGGCGCCUAGGCGGGGUAGGUGGGGCUAGGCGGUUUUUUUUUUUAAUGAAAUUAAAAAAUAAAAUAAAAAAUCCUAUCUAAGUCUAAGUUGUUUAAAAUUGUGAACUUGUUGUACAUUUGUCAUCCUACAAUGCUCCUCACUAUGGUUAUAUGACAUAUAUGCUUAAUGUGUUUUUAAAUUUUGGACUUGUUGGAUACUCUUUUUUCAUUUUAUCAUUUUUUUUAUUAUCUUAUCCAUGGAUUUCAUACAACUAUAAUUUUUUGUAAGUGUCAAUAUGCACUUAUUUACAAGAUAUAGAAGAAAAGUACCUAAAUCCGCCUAGGAUGCCUAGGCGCCCGCCUAGACCCUGCCUAGCCGCCUAGGCGCUAGGCGCCAGCCCGCCGCCUGACUAGCGCCUAGCGUUUUUUAGAACCUUGCUUACACUAGACUAGUAUAUAAGUACGAGUGGAAGUGUUAGUGUAGAUACACAUAAUCAGAGCGUAGGUACCAAGGUCAGUCCAACAUGCUAAAUACUAAUUAUACAGGAUAUGAAAAAAAACCUUACAUUGAUAGAUGUUUAUCAUAACUGCCGCAGAGUCCUCGUGACUCACCAACAUGAACUUCUAUCUAGAACCUGGAGGGGCGCAAAACAGAAAAUGUGAGUGGGCAAAAAUAAAAUUUUUCAAAACCAUUUCACUUUCAAAACAUAUAACCCCUCACCGUAAAACCCAUAUAAUUUCCCAUAAAAUAAUAAUACAUACGUAUAUAGAAAUCGUGCUUGAGAGUGAAAACUAAGUAUAUGCCAUGUCAACCAUCUCAUGAAUGAAAUAAGUAAGCUAAGUGAAAUGAAUCAACAUAAAAUAAGAUGCCAGCCGGAGUCACCUAACUUGACCUGUACGGCUGAGUUUAUAGCUCAUCAAUCAAAUCUUGCACACGAGUCGGAACCACCUAAUGUGGUCUGUACAACAGGCUAGGUGUAAAUAAAUACGCUCAAGUGCUACGUUCAUGUGAAGGCUGUGCGAAAUAUCGCAAGUCACCUAUGAGUCGGAACCACCUAGUGUGGUAUGUACGACAUGUUGGAACUUGUCUUGGAUCCAAGGUGAGCGUGUGGUGCGGGAGGUGAACGAUCACGUGAAGGCUAGGCCCUGGCCUAGGACGGAGCACUAACACCGAGGUGCAGGAUAAUGAGCACUAAAUGCAUGUAAACAUAACUAUACACACUGCAAUCACUAUCAUCAAUAUGUACUCACCUGAAGCUUACCUUGGCGUCCGCAGCAUCAUGCAAUAAUAUGCAUAUCUAUACUAAUGCAUAUGCUAAAAUGUAAUGCAAUUGACAUGGCAUUUAAAAACGCAAAUCCACUUAAAAUAAUUUCUGAGAAAAUGGAAAACAUAUAUACGUAUAUAUAGAAAACCAAAAGUCCACUCACCGGUAUGUAGCUGGGUCGUAACCCCUGAGUCUCGCCGGACUGCGCUCGUCCUCAAGAAACGUCUCACCUAUAUGUAAAACAACUAUUUUAACGUUACUUUUAAGCACAUAAUCAAAACCAUAAAAUAACUUCUCAUACGUUACUCAAUUGGGGUGUUUGAAUAUACCAUCGUGGCUUACUUAACACCACGAGCAUCCCCAUAUUUUUAGAAAAAAUUUCCGAUGACCUACGCGCCGGCCCACGUAGGCAAGUGCCUGACACGUUGGACGGAACCUUUAACGCCGUUAGAGAAUAUUCCGCUAAAUAAUAGAAUAUUUCGUUAAAUAUACCUGACGCCGUUAGUAUAUUCCGUCAAAGUUGACGGAAUAUGCUCAUUUCUUCUCCGAUGUUUCACCAGGAUCCGUCACCAAUUGCCGCUGUGUCACCGGAUUCUGGAAAAAUCUUUAAACCUUAAUAUCUUCCUCGUUUUUCAACCAAAUUUCAUAAACUUUAUAUCAAUUUGAAGCCCUGAACGAGUAGAACAUGAUUUUAGCUCUUAGAGGUCCUAAAACUGAUGAAGUAUAGUCGGAAUAUAUCUUGAAUAUUCUAAUCAACCUGCAACUUGAGGAACUAGCCUAUCCCGACAUCCAAAACUUUCCAAAAAUUGUUCCCAGGUCUCUAUGGAGUAGUUUUAAGACUCCAUUAAGCUUUAAAACUCCGUGAAAUAACCACGAUCACGACGGAGCAACAGAGCACCACGCCAAAGCUCCUAGGUUCUCAGGUUCCUGUGAUCUGUUCUUUGAUCCAAUGGUAUGGAUGGGUUCGUAAAGUCACCAGAAACACGUUGGUGCAAAGCUCAAGCUCGAUCGAUGAAGUUUGGAUGAUGUUUGAGAGUUGAAGGCUAGGAUCGUACAUACAAGGAAGAAUAGUCGAGAAAAAAGAAAAGAGUAAGAGAAGGUUUGCACGUGUGAGUGUAUGUGUGUGUUACGGGGAUUGGGCAGAAAUAAAAGAAACAAAGCCUUGUUUGGGCUAUGGAAUUAGGGCCUAACAAUUGGUCUAAGGUUGUAGGAAAAGAAAAGAAAAUGAUUGGUAGAUUAAGUGUAAAACCAAAACUUAUUCAUCUACACCUAUUUGUUCGUAACAUUUUCGUUACGAACUUGAUUUGAUCACAUUAGCAGGAAAAUAAUAAUUUAAAACUAUACACGUACAUCCACGUCAUUAAGCCUCGAGGGCAUAAUCGUCAUUUCACACAUUCAAGGAUAAAAAUAUAUAAUUAAUCGGGACGGGUCGUCACAUUCUAUCAAGAUGGUCCCUGAAAUUGAAAAUCGAUCAAUGUAGUCAUUGAAAAUUAAUGUCGCAAAUCAAUGUGGUCAUUCCAUCAUAAUUUUGUUAAAAUUUAUGUUAUGUGCUAAUGUGGCACAUAACUAGGUCCCAUAAUAAUUAAAUAUUAUUGUUGACCCUAAAAACUACUAAACCUACGUGGUGUGCAGGCCGAGUAAUUAGUAAGCUAACUACGUCAUUCGAUUGUAUGCGGGGCGUGCCAACUCGUCGGCCGAGGAGCAAAAUUUGUUGAUAUUGCGUUGGGUGCGCGAUUGAUUUCUCGAUCGUGCGACUGCGGUCGAGGAAGGAACACGCCUCGGCCUUCAGGUUCUAGAGCUUAAAGACAAAGCUACUAGUUCUGUGAAGUUCACAAAUUGUCGGCGCCGGAUUCGGUCACUGUGAUUAUAUUUGUAAGAGUAUAAGCACGCCGAAUUGACAUCAGAGUAUAAGGACACAAGUAUUCAAAACGAAUAUACGUCUUGAUUGUGAAAGUGGUUCGGCGGUCAGAAUGCCGAACUCUAAAACCUACUUGCGAAUAACUAAUCAUAAACGACUCAGUGUUUAAUGUGCCGAGUAUAAUAACUUGUAACACAUCACUUCGCCGAGAAGGCUAACGAGAUAACCUCUGCCGAUAAGGAUUCAAAAAUCCUUCUUGACCUAGACUUUGAUAGGUAACUAGUCGGCCCUGUCGCAGUGCUGUUUAUCCAAACUGAAGAUGCUCCACGGUUGGCUGAUUCUACGGCAACAGUGUUGUUUAUCCAAACUGAAGUUGCGUUGGCGAAAAGAGGAAAAACAAAAAUCUCAAGGUUGUUGAGAGGUUUCGCAUAGAGCGAGAGAAUGUGCAUGGCAAUUUGUGUGUUGAAUUGGAGGGGCUUUUUACGUUGCACAGCGCCUCAUAUUUAUAGGGUUGAUAUUUGCUUGACACGGCUAGAUAAUUGUGGAGUCCAACUACAACUCUAACUUGCAGAAUGAAAUAUGAUAUGUGUGGCUGACUUUUCAAAUAAAAACCCAUAUAGGUUUAUCCCAUCAUGACCAAAGACCUAGCCUAUCUAGGCUUCUUAUCAUAACUCCAUCACCAUCAAAUCCUAGGCUUAUCGCAUUACCACAUCAUCACCAAAAACCUAGCUUUCCUAGGCUCUUAUCAUCUUUUACCAAAACUGCCGCAUGCAUCAUGAACUUCAAAUUCAUAUAGAUAAUAUCUCAUCAUGCCCGCUUCAUUAUCUGAUGUCGUGCAUAUCCCGGAUUUAGAGUAAUAUAAGGUUCAAAUAAUUUAAUAUAUUACUAAAAGAUAAUACCAUGAUUAAAAUCACAAUAUUAUUUUUCAAUAAUAAUACAAAAUUAUUUCAACCACUUUAUCAUUCAACGGCCUCUAUCACUCGGGCCGAUAGUGUAAAAACGGGUCCAAACAAUUACCAUCUUAAAAUAUUUAGUAAUAAAAAAUAUUUUUUAUUUUGUUUUAUAUAAAUAAAAACUUAAAAAAAAAGAGAAAAAAAAAAGAAACCGAUCAUCUUCUUCCCCUUCACUGAAUAAUAUAUGGUAUUGUUGCAUGCAUUAACCAUGCGUAUGUUGAAUUUAUGAAGUUUCAAAUUAGAUUUUGAUUUCUUCUUGGCAAACUCAUAAAUCAUGAGUUUGAGGAGGAAUAUUGGAAAAUACAAAGAAAAGUAUUUUAAAAUUUUAUUUUAAUUAGGAAUUUGAUAUGAUUUGAUUUAAUUAAGGGAUUUUGUCACAUCCCGGCCCGGGGCGGACCACAUCCCGGGCCCAUUCCACCGCCGUAGCACGAUAUUGUCUGCUUUGGGCUUACCAUUCCUUCACGGUUUUGUUUUUGGGAACUCACGAGCAACUUCCCAGUGGGUCACCCAUCCUGGGAGUGCUCUGGCCUCAUUCUCGCUUAACUUCGGAGUUCCGACGGAACCCGAAGCCAGUGAGCUUCCAAAAGGUCUCGUGCUAGGUAAGGAUGAGAAUAUACAUUUAAGGAUCACCCCCUGGGCAAUGUGGGAUGUCACAAUCCACCCUCCUUAGGGGGCCGGAUGUCCUCGUCGGCACACCACGACCAGGGUUAAGCUCUGAUACCAAUUUGUCACAUCCCGGCCCAAGGUCCACCACAUCCCGGGCCCGCUCCACCACCGUAGCACGAUAUUGUCCGUUUUGGGCUUACCAUUCCCUCACGGUUUUGUUUUUGAGAACUCAUGAGCAACUUCCCAGUGGGUCACCCAUCCUGGGAGUGCUCUGACCUCCUUCUCACUUAACUUCGGAGUUCCGACGGAACCCGAAGCCAGUGAGCUCCCAAAAGGCCUCGUGCUAGGUAGGGAUGGGAAUAUACAUUUAAGGAUCACCCCCUGGGCGAUGUGGGAUGUCACAGAUUUGAUACGAUUUGAUUUGGUUUGGCUUGGUUUAGUUGGUAUUUUGAAAAGAUUUAGUGUUAGUUUUAGUUGAGCUUUCGAAAAGAGACGUUAGUUCCGAAGAUUAUGAUUUGUUAGUCGCCCUUUCGAAAAAGGCAUUUGUUAUAGUUGGGCUUUUCAAAAGAUUGGCGCUAGUUCCAGUUGGACAUUCAAAAAGAGACGUUAGUUAAGGUGGAUUGCAAUUUGUUGAACGUUCGAAACGAUUGGCGUUUUGUUUCAAAAUAUCAAUGAAGAUUUAUUGGCUGUGUGGCUCACUUAAUACGUGGCCUUGUGUGAGGGGGUGUUAAAUUUUAUAAAGUUUCAAAUUUGAUUUGAUUCCUUCUUGGUGAACUCAUAAAUCAAGAGUUUAAAGGGGAGUGCUAAAAAAUAUAAAAGAAAGUAUUUUAGAGAUUUGUUUUAGAGUAAAUUACAUAUUAACCCCUCAGGUUUGAGGUCUAUUACAACCUCAUACAACAUCUUUAAAACAUUUCACUUUCAUACCUCACGUACUGUUUUAUUUCAAAAUAAUACCUCUGUUACAUUUUUCAUCUAUUGAUCCGUUAAGCGCUGACGUGGCUGCCACGUUUGUGCCACAUGGUUGCCAAGUGUGUGCCAUGUGGCAAAACAAAAAAUUUAUUUUUUUUAAAAACUUGAAUCUUCUAAAUUAAAAAUUAAAAAAAAAAAAAAAGCUAAAACCUUAUCCCCCUCUUCCUCUUCUCUUCUCCCCGCAACCCCCAAACCCAAAAACCUUAUCUCCCCUCCUCAUCCUCUCAAUCCUUCUCCCCCAUCUUCAUCUUUUUCCCUUGCAACCCAAAAAAAAAAAAAAAAAAAAAAAGUCCUUUUGUUCGUCUUCCCCACCCCUCCUCCUCAUCCUGUCUUCUCCCCCAUCUUUAUCUUCUUCCCCCUGCAACCUAGAAAAAAAAAAAGAAAAAAAAAAACCCCAUCAGUUCAUCUUUCCCCCAUUCCUCCUCCCUUCCUCCUUCCUUCUCUUCUUCCCCAUCUUCGUCUUCUUCCCCCAACCCCCCACCUGCAACCCAGAAAAAAAAAAAAAAAAAAAAACUCAGAUCUCAUUUACUCCCAGUUCGUGAGGUGAAGAUGGAAGGAAUGAGUGUUGGAUUUAAGGAGUGGGGUGUGUAGAGGAGGGAAGAGGGUGGGUGCGGAGGGAGAGAUGUGGGUUUCUGAGUGUGGGGGGGGGAUAAUCGGGAAUGGAGGUGGGGUGAGGGGGGAAUAAUUGGCGAGGUCAGUCACGGGAGGAGGGGGAGGGUGGGGGUCAGUCGCAGGAGGAGGAGGAGGAGGAGGGGGGAGGGUGGGGGUUAGUCGCUGCAGCAGGAGGGGGAUAGGGGAGUGUGGGGGGAAUAAUCGACAGGGAGGUUUUUUUCUUCCUGGGUUUGGGGGGGUUGCGGGCAUUUGUUUCAACUUUUGCUUUUAUUUUAUUUUAUUUUUUAAGAAAAUUCAGUUUUUAAAAAAAUUAAAUUUUUUUUUUUGCCACGUGGCACAAAUGUGGCAGCCACGUCAGCAUUUAACGGAUUAAUGGAUUGAAAAUCUAACGGAUGUAUUAUAUUGAAAUAAAAUAGUACUUGAGAUAUAAAAGUGAAAUGUUUUAAAGUUGUUGUAUGGGGUUAUAGUAAACCUCAAAACCUGAGGGGCUACUGUGUAAUUUACCCUUUGUUUUAAUUAGGGAUUUGGUAUGGUUUGAUUUAAGGGAACUUUAACGAAAAAUCACAUUUUUACACUAAAAAGUCAAUCAUUGUACUAUUCACUUUACUCUUUAUUUUGUCCUUAUUGUUAAAACUCAAAAUUUUCAAGUUUUUUUCCAUUAGUUUUCCUUCGAUUUAAUUAGAGAUUUGAUAUAAUUUGAUUUGGUUUGGUCAAGAUUUCCUUAUUUUGUGGACAAACUAUUGUUUUAAUUUAUUUCCUAAUAUUGCUCCUUUUAAUUUUAUAAAUAACUCUUUAUGAAAAAGAAUAAAGUGUCAAAGAGAUUAUUAGACAAUUUUGAAUUUUCCAUAAACCCUUUAUUUUCAACUUGUCAAAUUAUUAGAGAGACAGGCCAAAUGCCUAGUAACACUGAUAUUGUCCUCAAUUUGUAAUUACCACCUGCACAGUUUGACAAAUGGGAGUUUUAUCACAAAAAAUCUCCUUAUUAGAUGGAGUGAGGUUAAAAUAUUUUAAUUCUUCCUCUUCUCUAUCUCUACCUGAGGUAAGAUAUUUUAACAAUACACACACACACACACACACACACACACACACACACACACACACACACACACACAUAUAUAUAUAUAGAUAUAUAUGACAACAACAACAACAACAAAGCCUUUUCCCACUAGGUGGGGUCGGCUAUAUGAAUCCUAGAACGCCAUUGCGCUCGGUUUUGUGUCAUGUCCUCCGUUAGAUCCAAGUACUCUAAGCCUUUUCUUAGAGUCUCUUCCAAAGUUUUCCUAGGUCUUCCUCUACCCCUUCGGCCCUGAACCUCUGUCCCGUAGUCACAUCUUCGAACCGGAGCAUCAGUCGGCCUUCUUUGCACAUGUCCAAAUCACCGGAACCGAUUUUCUCUCAUCUUUCCUUCAAUUUCGGCUACUCCUACUUUACCUCGGAUAUCCUCAUUCUCAAUCUUAUCAUUUCUCGUGUGCCCACACAUCCCACGAAGCAUCCUCAUCUCCGCUACACCCAUUUUGUGUACGUGUUGAUGUUUCACCGCCCAAACAUUCUAUGCCAUACAACAUCGUUGGCCUUAUUGCCGUCCUAUAAAAUUUUCCCUUGAGCUUCAGUGGCCUACGACGGUCACACAACACGCCGGAUGCACUCUUACACUUCAUCCAUCCAGCUCGUAUUCUAUGGUUGAGAUCUCCAUCUAAUUCUCCGUUCUCUUGCAAGAUAGAUCCUAGGUAGCGAAAACGGUCGCUUUUUGUGAUCUUCGCUAGAUUGCUCCGGUCAUUAGUGUGGAUAAGUAUAUAAAUGGAUAGAGAUAGGAAAGCAAACACAGGAUGUACGUGGUUCACCCAGAUUGGCUACGUCCACGGAAUAGAAGAGUUCUCAUUAAUUGUGAAGGGUUUACACAAGUACAUAGGUUCAAGCUCUCCUUUAGUGAGUACAAGUGAAUGAUUUAGUACAAAUGACAUUAGAGUACAAAUGACAUUAGGAAAUAUUGUGAGAGAAUGAUCUCGUAAUCACGAAACUUCUAAGUGUCGGAGUGUGGUAUCAUCUUGACUUGCCUUAUCUGUCUCAUAGGUAGAUGUGGCAGCUUCUCUGGAAGUACUCUUCCUCCAUCCAGGGGUGGUAUCUUUAACUGGUGGAGAUGCACAAGGUAAUGUAUCAAUUUCACUUGAAGCUUACUUGUAGUUUCAGGCUUGGUCAAGCGCGAUACAAACCAUGUAGUAGGAGUCCCCCAAGUCGCCGAGCUAGGGGAUCUGCUGAAAGAGGUGACAGACAAGGUAAGCAAUCAGAGCUCCGGCUGAUUGUUCACCUUCUCCCCAUCUUGCAGCAGCAUGAAGGAUAAAGAGAAGAAAAAUGAGAAGAGAUGAUAUGGGAUACUUUUGCUUUUGAAGAAGUAACUUUCCACAGACUUAUUCUUGAACUGAGCUGGAGGGUUUUCUGGUUUCCUCCAGAGUAUAAGGCCGACUGAAGAAUUUGAGGGUCAAAACAAGUCCAUCAAAUCUAGAGUACGUUCGACCCUGCUGAUAUGGGAUACUUUUUGCUUUUGACAGAGUAAUGGAUGUAUCGGCACGUGUGCUGUUACGCUUGUCUCCACAUGCUUCCUUGUAUCCUUCGCACUUGCCCUAUUUGUUCCUCAAGCAGAUGCGGUAUCUUCCCUGGAAACAUAAGAUGUUGAAGAUGAGUACUCGAGAGCAAUGCCAGGUAAGUAAUCAGGUAAGGGGUUCCAGGCAGUCAGUUCCUGGCUGGGAGCUUGAUUUCAAGUGCUGACUGAUUGCUCUCUUUCUCAUUGUCUUGCAGGUAAAAACAAGGCCAAAGGAAAAGACAGGGAAAAAGCAUGAUAUGGGAUACUCUUGCUUUUAACCCUGAUGAUAUGAGAUAUUCUUGCUCUAGUAUAGCUUGUUUUGCAGAGGUAUUAUCGGGGGGAAAGAAAGCUGAAUAUUUCGAAAGGCUUCGUUGGGAGUGCCCUCUCAGAUAUGAGGAAGGGUUGAGCAUUUUUGCAGGUCUGCCUGUCCGUUGGGGAUGGAGGUCGACAUAUAUAGGAGUCUCCCUAACAACAAGUAGUAAUGCUAUUCCUUUACCCUGCUUGGUCAUAGCACGGUAGUGGGAGCUGCCAGCUUCACAUGUUUUAACUCUGUCAGAGCACUUUGAAAAAGUGGUAUGUGGUAUCUGGCUCUCGAGAUUCGGAGAACGAUGCUUGUUCGAUUUUUGAGAAAGCAAUCAUGCUGGGGGUCUGGCUCUCGAGAUUCGGGGAGCAGUGUCUCUUCGAUUUUUUGAGAAAGUAAUCAUGUUGGGAGUCUGGCUCUCGAGAUUCGGAGGGCGGUGCCUCUUCGAUUUUGGAAUAAGCAAUCUUGUUGGGAGUGUUUUCUCGGAUGUGAGUAAAGGUUGGGCAUGUUUGCUAGUCUACCUUGCCACGAAGCACGGAGGUUGACACACAGGGACUUUCCAAUUAUCCAGCAGUGGUACUGUUCCUUUACCCUUGUGGGUAAUAAUAUGGUAGCUAGACCUUCAAAAUUUAUGUGUCUAAACUUUGUUAGUGCUGUUUCUUUGCUAUUCUUUUACCUUUCUUGGUCAGAGCGAUGUAGUGGGAGCUGCAAGCUUCACGUGCUCAACUUUGGCAGAGACUUUGGCAAAGUUAUCUGUGGUACCCAUGAGCUAUUGUUGCGUGUGGGAAGUGGGUGAUUGAACAGUAAGAUUCAUGUGCUUUCCACUUCACCAGAAGUCUUCGACAGAAUGCCCAUAAUUUCCGCAAAGCUGAGUGUGCGUGUGACAGGUGCUGACAAGGCUAGAAAAGUAGGUGUCUCUUCGAUUUCUGAGAUCGGCCCUCGUGGUCUCUGAGCAGCCCAGCUUUUGAGAAAGCGAGCGCCUCUUCGAUUGAUUCGGAGAACGAUGCCUCUUCGAUUUUUGAGAAAGCAAUCAUGCUAGGGGUCUGGCUCUCGAGAUUCGAGGAGCAGUGUCUCUUCGAUUUUUGAGAAAGUAAUCAUGUUGGGAGUCUGGCUCUCGAGAUUCGGAGGGCGGUGCCUCUUCGAUUUUGGAGCAAGCAAUCUUGUUGGGAGUGUUUUCUUGCAUGUGAGUAAAGGUUGGGCAUGUUUGCUAGUCUACCUUGCCACGAAGCACAGAGGUUGACACACAGGGACUUUCCAAAUAUCCAGCAAUGGUACUGUUCCUUUACCCUCUCUUCGAUUUUUGAGAAAGUAGUCAUGUUGGGAGUCUGGCUCUCGAGAUUCGGAGGACGGUGCCUCUUCGAUUUUGGAGCAAGCAAUCUUAUUGGGAGUGUUUUCUCGAAUGUGAGUAAAGGUUGGGCAUGUUUGCUAGUCUACCUUGCCACGAGGCACAGAGGUUGACACACAGGGACUUUCCAAUUAUCCAGCAGUGGUACUGUUCCUUUACCCUUGUGGGUAAUAAUAUGGUAGCUAGACCUUCAAAAUUUAUGUGUCUAAACUUUGUUAGUGCUGUUUCUUUACUAUUCUUUUACCCUUCUUGGUCAGAGCGAUGUAGUGGGAGCUGCAAGCUUCACAUGCUCAACUUUGGCAGAGAACUUUGGCAAAGUUAUCUGUGGUACCCAUGAGCUAUUGUUGCGUGUGGGAAGUGGGUGAUUGGACAGUAAGAUUCAUGUGUUUUCUACUUCCCCAGAAGUCUUCGACAGAAUACCCAUAAUUUCCGCAAAGCUGAGUGUGCGUGUGACAGGUGCUGACAAGGCUGGAAAAGUAGGUGCCUCUUCAAUUUCUGAGAUCGGCCCUCGUGGUCUCUGAGGAGCCCAGCUUUUGAGAAAGCGAGCGCCUCUUCGAUUUCUGAGAUCGGCUUUCGUGAUCUUUGAGCAGCCCAACUUUUGAGAAAGCAAACACCUCUUCGAUUUAUGAGAUCAACCCUCGUGGUCUCUAAGCAGCCCAGCUUUUGAGAAAGCAAACGCCUCUUCGAUUUUUGAGCAGGCGCCUCUUCGAUGUCUGAGGCUCCGUCGAGUGCAGCUUUUUAUAGGGGCUGGCAUUAAGUUCCAAAGCACACUUGAAUCUCCACCAGUAGAAGCUCCAUUCUUGCACUUCUAAGAUCUUGAUUUGUCCGACCUCUUCUCUCUUCAACACCUUUGAAAAUGUCUGGCCCCUCCGACCGUCGUUUUGACUUGAACCUUGUUGAAGAGGCAGCCCCGCCUUCUCCAGACAACAUAUGGCGCCCAUCCUUCGUCUCCCCUACUGGUCCUCUUACCGUUGGGGAUUCCGUGAUGAAGAAUGAUAUGACCGCUGCGGUGGUGGCCAGGAACCUUCUCACUCCCAAAGAUAACAGACUACUUUCCAAACGGUCUGAUGAGUUAGCUGUUAAGGAUUCGCUGGCUCUCAGUGUUCAGUGUGCAGGUUCUGUGUCUAAUAUGGCCCAACGCCUAUUUGCUCGAACCCGCCAAGUUGAAUCAUUGGCGGCCGAAAUGAUGAGUCUCAAACAGGAGAUUAGAGGGCUCAAGCAUGAGAAUAAACAGUUGCACCGGCUCGCACAUGACUAUGCUACAAACAUGAAAAGGAAGCUUGACCAGAUGAAGGAAACUGAUGGUCAGGUUUUACUUGAUCAUCAGAGAUUUGUGGGUUUGUUCCAAAGGCAUUUAUUGCCUUCGUCUUCUGGGGCUGUACCGCGUAAUGAAGCUCCAAAUGAUCAACCUCUGAUGCCUCCUCCUUCUAGGGUUCUGUCCAGUACUGAGGCUCCGAAUGAUCCCCCUCCGAUGCCUUCUCUUUCUGGGGCUCUACCGACUGCUGAGACUUCUCCUAAGCAACCUUUGUGAAGGCUCCAUCUUGUUUGUUUAUUUUUGACUCAUGUAUAUGUACAUAUUUUUGUAGCUUAUCGGGGAUAUCAAUAAAUAAGCUUUCCUUCAUUUCAACGUAUUGUGUUAAAUACACCAAAGCCUUCUUCGCUAAGUUCUUUGAAUUUUCUUUUGUUGAAACUUGUAUGUUGAAGUUUUCUGAGUGGAGCAUGUAGGUUGGGGUAGUGUUCCCUUAAUUUUCCGAGUGAGGAAAACUUCUCGGUUGGAGACUUGGAAAAUCCAAGUCACUGAGUGGGAUCGGCUAUAUGAAUCUUAGAACGCCAUUGUGCUCGGUCCUGUGUCAUGUCCUUCGUUAGAUCCAAGUACUCUAAGUCUUUUCUUAGAGUCUCUUCCAAAGUUUUCCUAGGUCUUCCUCUACCCCUUCGGCCCUGAACCUCUGUCCCAUAGUCGCAUCUUCUAAUCGGAGCGUCAGUAGGCCUUCUUUGCACAUGUCCAAACCACCGUAACCGAUUUUCUCUCAUCUUUCCUUCAAUUUCGGCUACUCCUACUUUACCCCGGAUAUCCUCAUUCCUAAUCUUAUCCUUUCUCGUGUGCCCACACAUCCAACGAAGCAUCCUCAUCUCCGCUACACCCAUUUUGUGUACGUGUUGAUGCUUCACCGCCCAACAUUCUGUGCCAUACAGCAUCGCCGGCCUUAUUGCCGUCCUAUAAAAUUUUCCCUUGAGCUUCAGUGGCAUACGGCGGUCACACAACACGCCAGAUGCACUCUUCCACUUCAUCUAUCCAGCUUGUAUUCUACGGUUGAGAUCUCCAUAUAAUUCUCCGUUCUUUUGCAAGAUAGAUCCUAGGUAACGAAAACGGUCGCUCUUUGGUAUUUCUUGAUCUCCGAUCCUCACCCCUAACUCGUUUUGGCCUCCAUUUGCACUGAACUUGCACUCCAUAUAUUCUGUCUUUGAUCGGCUUAGGCGAAGACCUUUAGAUUCCAACACUUCUCUCCAAAGGUUAAGCUUUGCAUUUACCCCUUCCUGAGUUUCAUCUAUCAACACUAUAUCGUCUGCGAAAAGCAUACACCAAGGAAUAUCAUCUUGAAUAUGUCCUGUUAACUCAUCCAUCACCAACGCAAAAAGGUAAGGACUUAAGGAUGAGCCUUGAUGUAAUCCUACAGUUAUGGGAAAGCUUUCGGUUUGUCCUUCAUGAGUUCUUACGGCAGUCUUUGCUCCUUCAUACAUAUCCUUUAUAGCUUGAAUAUAUGCUACUCGUACUCCUUUCUUCUCUAAAAUCCUCCACAGAAUGUCUCUUAGGACCCUAUCAUACGCUUUUCCAAAUCUAUAAAGACCAUGUGUAAAUCCUUUUUCCCAUCUCUAUAUCUUUCCAUCAAUCUUCGUAAGAGAUAGAUUGCCUCCAUGGUUGAGCGCCCUGGCAUGAACCCGAAUUGGUUGUCCGAAACCCGUGUCUCUUGCCUCAAUCUAUGCUCAAUGACUCUCUCCCAGAGCUUCAUUGUAUGACUUAUUAACUUAAUACCCCUAUAGUUCAUGCAAUUUUGUACGUCGCCCUUAUUCUUGUAGAUAGGCACCAAAGUGCUCGUUCGCCACUCAUUUGGCAUCUUCUUCGUUUUCAAAAUCCUAUUGAAAAGGUCAGUGAGCCAUGUUAUACCUGUCUCUCCCAAAACUUUCCACACUUCGAUUGGUAUAUCGUCUGGGCCUAUUGCUUUUCUAUGCUUCAUCUUCUUCAAAGCUACAACCACUUCUUCCUUCCGGAUUCGACGAUAAAAAGAGUAGUUUCUACACUCUUCUGAGUUACUCAACUCCCCUAAAGAAGCACUCCUUUCAUGUCAUUCAUUGAAAAGAUUAUGAAAAUAACCUCUCCAUCUGUCUUUAACCGCGUUCUCUGUAGCAAGAACCUUUCCAUCCUCAUCCUUGAUGCACCUCACUUGGUUGAGGUCCCUUGUCUUCUUUUCCCUUGCUCUAGCUAGUUUAUAGAUAUCCAACUCUCCUUCUUUGGUAUCUAGUCGUUUAUACAUAUCGUCGUAAGCCGCUAACUUAGCUUCUCUGACAGCUUUCUUCGCCUCUUGCUUCGUUUUUCUAUACCUUUCACCAUUUUCAUCGGUCCUCUCCUUGUAUAAGGCUUUACAACAUUCCUUCUUAGCCUUCACCUUUGUUUGUACCUCCUCAUUCCACCACCAAGAUUCCUUUUGGUGUGGGGCAAAGCCCUUGGACUCUCCUAAUACCUCUUUUGCUACUUUUCAGAUACAACUAGCCAUGGAAUCCCACAUUUGGCUAGCUUCCCCCUCUCUAUCCCACACACAUUGGGUGAUUACCUUCUCUUUGAAAAUGGCUUGUUUUUCUUCUUUUAGAUUCCACCAUCUAGUCCUUGGGCACUUCCAAGUCUUGUUCUUUUGUCUCACUCUUUUGAUAUGUACAUCCAUCACCAACAAGCGAUGUUGAUUAGCCACGCUCUCUCCUGGUAUAACUUUGCAAUCCUUACAAGUUAUACGAUCUCCUUUCCUCAUUAGAAGAAAAUCUAUUUGUGUUUUUGACGACCCACUCUUGUAGGUGAUCACAUGUUCUUCUCUCUUCUUAAAGAAGGUGUUGGCUAAGAAGAGAUCAUAUGCCAUUGCAAAAUCCAAGAUAGCUUCCCCAUCCUCGUUUCUCUCCCCAAAACCAUGGCCACCAUGAAAACCUCCAUAGUUGCCUGUCUCCCUGCCCACGUGUCCAUUUAAAUCUCCUCCUAUAAAUAACUUCUCCGUCUGAGCAAUUCCUUGCACCAAGUCUCCAAGGUCUUCCCAAAAUUUCUCCUUCGAACUCGUAUCCAACCCUACUUGAGGUGCGUACGCACUAAUCACAUUGAUAAGUUCUUGUCCUAUUACAAUCUUGAUUGCCAUGAUUCUAUCUCCUACCCUCUUGACAUCUACAACAUCUUGUGUCAAGGUCUUGUCCACGAUGAUGCCAACACCGUUUCUCGUUCUAUUUGUGCCCGAAUACCAAAGUUUAAACCCUGAGUUUUCUAGAUCCUUUGUCUUACUACCAACCCACUUAGUUUCUUGUAGGCACAUAAUAUUUAUCCUUCUCCUCACCAUAACUUCCACUACUUCCAUAGAUUUUCCCGUUAAGGUUCCUAUAUUCCACGUUCCUAAACGCAUUUUGCUCUCUUGAACUCUACCCUUCUGUCCUAACUUCUUCACCCUCCCCCGUCUAAUAGGAUCAAAGUACUUCUUUUGUGUGUCCCGUGUAAAGUUGAUAGGAGCAUAUGCCCCCAAACAACUUUGAGUGGAGUCGUUCGAAAAGAAGUUUCUACGGCCCCCUUGCUCAUUUAACACUGCAUCCGGGUGCCGAUGGAGAUACAGCGACCCUUGCUCACUUAUCACUGUGCUCGGGCCACACAGCGCGCCACUUACGGGUGACGCCCUAGCUUUAGCGCGAUUUUGUUCUGGAUUCAUUUUCAUAAGGAUUCGACGUGAUCAUGGAGUGCCGGCUGUCGACUACCUGACGCCCUCCCCCUCCUCCUUUAUCCGGGCUUGGGACCGGCAAUGUAAAAUUACAUAGAUAUAUAUGAGAUGAAUAAAAAAAAAAACAUGCACAAAGGCAAAAUACUUUUUGUUUGGAGGGAAACAUUGUGGAGGUUGAAUCUCACAUUGAGAAAAAAAGAAAUAUUGCAUGUACUUAUAAAUAGUUAAACUACUUAUAUGAGUGAAACUCAACUGCAACACAUGUUUCACAUCAUUCAAUUUGUGUUGUUUACAUAUUAAGUUUCAAAAUUCGAUACUUAUAUAUUUAUAAGUAGUUAAAAUACUUCUUAUAUUACCAAUAUUUAUGAAACCUCGACUUCUCCAAGAAGUCCAAAUGUAUAUCAAUAAUCCCUUUGCAUUUCCGUUGUUGAAAUUAUAUGCUUCUUGAUAAUGGAAACCAGCAAAAGUGGAUAAAAAUAGUACUAUGACAGUUAUGUGCCGACAUCCCACCAGCCGUCCAACAUGACCAUGCAACAGCUUUUUCUGCAGGCACAUCUCUCUAUUUCGAAUCCGAAUCUUUGCCGGAUUCUUUUUAUGAGAAUUUCGAGAAUUCAGGAAUCGUGUCUGUUCAUCAUACAUCGUGCAAUCAGUAAUUAUUUUAAAUCUUUUCAUUUAAAAUUAAACAUAAAUAGUAUCUGAUAAAAAUUGAUCGCACGAUAUACGAUGAACGAAUACGAUUCACAGAUAUCUAAAAUCCUCACCAAAAGAAUCCGAAAAGAAUCAUUCCAGCAAUCUCUCACCUCAUCCACCCAGCACAUGAAAAAAAAAACAAAACAAAAACAAAAAACACUGUUACGCAACCGCGAUAUAUGUAUUGUGUCACCACUUCUAUUGUAAGGCUGAAUCUCUCCUACCGCCACUUAGGGUUUUGGCUAAGUCACCUUCCAUUUCAGCUUCGAAUGGAAUGCAACCGGACGGUACCAUUGCGGAUUGUCAUGACAUUACUAUGCAGAGAUCACCUCAACUUUUAAUCACUCCAUAUUGGACUCAUAGGUGGUAAUCUAGUCACAUAGAUACAGAGAUGAAGCGAUGAUUUUUAUUUUUUUGUAUUUUUUUUUUAUAGAAGUGUGUUAGGCGAGAUUAACUAUUUGUCAGUGUGCAAGACACAAACCAUCUUCCUAAAAAAAAAAAAAGGACCGCACAUCUAAAGACUCAACGUAUGCCAAGUGUUUAUUAGAAGCACAUAUAUCCAUUAUAUCCAUAACUAAAACACUACUACACAUGGUCAUUUCGGGGACAUUCAAAGCGUAAAACCUCGAAUAUAUGUGUAAACGCGCAUAAGCACUUAAACUCGCAAGGAGUAAUGCUAGGGAGACCAAAUUUAUAAACUAAAUUUUGCAAAUCAAAUGAUGUGGAUGUUGACGAUGGCUGAAUUAUUACAUAAGUGUCGAUUAACGUGCUUAUUUCCUAUUGGUGACACACCAUUUGGUUUGCAAAUUUGAUUUAAAAAUUUGGUCUCCUAGCAUUAUCCAACUUGCAAACGCACCUUUAUUAAAAGUCGAACAUGACCUAUUUUUCCUAGUGCUGGUAGUGGGCCCUUUUUGGGCUUGACCAUCAAAAUUUAAAUAAAAGAAAAAAUUAAUGAAAAUGAUUUGAAAACUUUGAAUUUUAAUAAAAAAAACAAAAAAAUGUUGUAAGUAAAUAGUACUAGGAGUGACUUUUUAAAGUAAAAAUGUCAUUUUCGUUAAAAGUGAACGGUACAGAAAGUGUUUCGUUAAAACUCCCUUUAAUAAAAGGGUAAUGGGCCUAGUCUUGGGCUUGAAAGACCAUUAUGAAUUUAUGAUCUCGCAUAUGAGAAAAUAGAUCCGCGGUCGAGUGUGAUGAUCUGAGACUGUUUGAGUAGGAAGAAGCGCGAAACAGAAGCACACAAGUCAUGGCGGGAAGCGACGCUCGGAAGCAGCUCCUAAACUUAAUUAACGAUUUCGCAUCUGAAAAGUCGCACGGAGGUACAGUUCUUACCUACACACCUUUUCCCGUUCUGCAUUCGCUACUCUGUUUGGUUCCCGAGAAAAUGUGGAUGAAAAGGAAAAUUUGAAAAAUCAAUUUUCUCGAGAAACGAGCAAGUAGAGUUCCGAUUUUUUUAUUUCACUAAAUUUAGCUAGACAUUGAACUGAAGAACUUUAAUGUGCACGAUUUGAGAAAUACAGAGCGAAGAGUGGUAAGUCUGAGGAAGAGAAUCGACGAGCUCGGAUCCGAGCUGGAAGUUGCAAAUGCAGAGCUCGAAGAAGCGAAGCGCGCCAAGGAAUACACCGAGCAAGAGAUCAAAGGCUACGAAGUUGAAUUGGCGAUGAACGAAGCAGCAAUUCAAACGCUGGAGGUUUGUUCGUUAUUUUUGUGCAUUUUUUGAAUUGAGUGAUUUUGUUCUUGAUGUGAUUAGGUUUUAAUCUGAUUUUUCAAAUUCAGUUGAGGAUUUCUCAUACACAAGAAGAGAUUUCCGACGUUGGAUCUGAAGUCGAAGCUCUCAAGGUAUUUGGAAUUUCAGUUUCUUGUAAUUAGUUAGCAAAAUGUUUGGUUACUGAUCCUCAUUGUGUUAUUUUUGUGCUUGGAUCUUGCAAAAGAACAAACAAGCUGCUUCGCGGUAUGAAAUUUUCAUGUUAAUUGUUUUUCGAUUAAAUUCCACAUCUCCAUUUCUUUUCGAAAUCUAAUUGCUUUCCUAUUAAUUACUUUCAGUAAUUGUUUAUGCAGAGACGAGUUUAUAAGUGAAAUGAUUGAGAUAAACACUAAGAUAAGGUUAGCAUCAUUUUAGAAGGAAAAUGUUGUACUUGUAUGCUACAUUUUAUGCAUGUAACGAAGAAGAGGAGGCAUUUUCGUAAUCUUGACAGACAGUUAACUGAAUUUUGCUUUGAUCAGUUUUCACAUUUUAUGAAUUGAUCGACGAAGCUGCAGUUCUUAAGAAGUUCACAAAUAAUUUGGAAUGCGUGACGUAUUUCUGGUGCCCCAUUAUAGUCUACUUUCGCAUUUGUGAAUGCAGGAGGUUCCAAGAGUCAAUUGCUGGCCAUAUUCAUGAGGAAGAGUACAGUGGAAGUGCAGAAGGUGAUGGCCUGUGUACGUUUAGCCAUUAACCAGAAGAAUUGAUCUCGUAACAUGUGCUGUUCCAUCUUAUUCCAAUUCAUUUGUUGAAUUUUCCGUUUGUUAUGGAUUAAAAUCCUCCAUCUCUCGUUACUCCUCAAAAGAAAUCUCUCUCACAAUUGGAACAAAAUGAUCCCAUAAUGUAGUGUGGGUAGAAACUGAAAGAAAUUGCAAUUUUGUUUCAGAAGAAGAUCCCAAGGUAGGAAAGGAGGAGGUUACUGAAGGUGAUUUAAGAGAACUUGAGGAUAUGCUUGCUGGUGUGGUGUCUCAGGCAACCAAAGCGGAAGAAGAAUACGAAGCUGAACAGAAUACUCAAAAGCAGGUGAAGAAAUUGGUCUUUGAAACAUUACAAAUGGUUAACUUUACAGUUUGAUAAAAGCUUAGCUUAACACUUCUGCCUCUGCAGGUCCAGCAGGCGCUGAGUGCUUGCAGAAGGGAGGUGUUCUUAAUGGAGGAGACGUUGAAAGCAACGAAAGAAGUGUGUGAUGUGACAAGAUAUCCUUUUUAAGAAUACAUUGGUUACUGAAAUUGUUCAAUGCUUAAGCACAAUCAUAAGAACAGUUGGCUACUUGCAAUUUUCAUCGUUUUGAAAACUGCCAUAAUUGAAUGCAACCCAAAUCCACAUCGGCUAUUUGUACAAGCUUCUUGGACAGCUUUCUUCCCAAGUGAAUGCCUGUUUUAGUUAGUCUAGAAUUCAAUUGCUAUGUUGGAUUUUAAGGUCUAGUUUUGCGCUAAAUGCCAUAUUUGUGAGCAUGACCUACAUAUAUUUUGCCUUUGACGGGAAACAAGCAGACUUCAGAAUUGGAACAGAUCUGUGCUACCGUUGGUGAGACGUUGCAGAGCAGAUGUGUCUGUCCCAGUUGUCAUUUUGACAACGUGGAGGUCCUGGGUGGAUUGAUUCAGUCAAGUUAGGCAGAUUAACAUUUUGUAAGUAAUAAUCUACUUCUCAUAACUACACUUUAUAUGUUCGUUUAACCUAACACGUAAUGUACUGCAAUUGAGAACUUGAAGAACUAUAAAUCUAUGGCACUCCUACACAAUUUAUCAGUGACCCCAGUUUGCCUCUGACUUUGUUAAGGUUCUGUACUGCUGAAUUUGCAUUUUAAACCUUUCUAUAUAUUAUUUCAGCUUCAUUUCUAUAAACAUUUGAGAGCAUACAUCGAAGAACACAACUUGCUAAACGCUAGCUGCAACCACUGUCAUCUAUUUGUUCUAUACAACUUGCAUUUCCUGCUGGUGAUUCUUCUAUAUCCUUUAAGAUCAUUGAUAAUAAUGUAGAACUGGCCUCUUCGUCAUGGUCUCUCUGUACCUGCAUCGGUAAAUUUAUUCUCAUUAUUCAACAACAAAAGCUUCAUCUCCUUAUAAAACUCAAAUUGAACAUGAGUAUAGUGUACUGAUACUUGACACUGUUAGAGAGAACUUACAAUUUCUUUAAGAGUUGGUAUGAUGGGAAGAACGGUAUGAAUUGAAACCAUUCUUGGAUUAGUAGAUUGCAGUACGUCUACCUGUGUUGCGAAUAGGGCAGAGACAGGGCGAUGGUCAGAGAACUUACUUUCACUACGGAAAUAAGAGAGCUGUGUCACUCCUUUUCCAUACCACAUAAUUCUAUCGCACCUGCCACCAUAAUCAAAUUAUCUCUUUAGUUUUUAUGUCGCAGAAGAAAGAAGUUAAGCUGUUUGUAGAUAAAGGCUCGUGGGAGGCCUAUCGGGGGUAGAUAACUUAGUCUAGGGUAGGUCCUCAUGAGUCUCUAAGGUAAAGCUAUCGCUGGUCUAUUGUGUUGUGGCCACAUUUAUCUGUGAGAGCUAAACAUCUAGUAGCAUGGUGGUGGUUCUUACCAUGCUGGAGUCCUUUGCUUCUCUCCUGAUCUGCUUGGAAGCCCACCUGAAUAGCGAUUGCAGUUUGAUGAAGAAUACUUAUAGGUAGGUGCAAAUUCUAAAGCUCCCUCCAUCCAACCCUGAAAUGCCCCACCAUAUUCCCGUUCCAUACGAAGCUGAUCAAACUCUUGCAAUGCUCUCCAGUCUAGUUUCCUUAUCAGCUGCCUGGCUGAAUUGUCCUCCAAGUAUAGCCUAUAGUUUAGAUCCCCAAACCAAAAAAUCCGACUGUUUCACAACAGAAAAAUUAGCUCGUUAAGGAUGACUUCAUACAUUCUUCGAUAAUUUUAACUCAUCAAGUUAAUUGGGUCAGCCAGAUACCUUAUUGGUUUUGAAAUCUGGUUAAUUUUUGACUGACUCCUGUGAGUAUCGAAUUUUGAUUACUUACUAAAUCUUGCUCGGUAUGCAAUAUAGUUAUAUUAAAGCAAAAAAAAUUUGAACUACUAGUUGUCAAAUUUGUCCUUCUAUCAUUGUCAGAUUUAGGAUGAGGAACACCUACUCGUGUCCUAAGAUGGUGAGAGGAUGAGGAAUAUCGUCGUCUGAAGGGUAUCGAGGGAAAGAAGUUCGCUUGAAAAUCUCUGCGACUUGAUGAUUCCUUCUGCCUUCAUCUCCUUUCUUCUCACCAGAAGCUAGAUGGGCUACAACGAAGCAAAAACUAGUUCCUUCAAUCGUCAUGCUAACUGAAACCGAGCCUUUGUUUCCCAAAUAACCCAUGAUGCCGCAGGCCACGGAACAAACCUUAACAUUUGAAAUGUCAUAUUUUUUUACCAAUUCACUUUUCAUCCAUACAGUAAUGAAGACUCCUACCAUCUUCUUGCUUGCCAUCAGCUUGUACUUACUCACACUCCUUGGCUUUUCAUGCAGGGUUCUUGAUUGCUCUCUCGUGAUUUCAGGUUCGGGUUCGGAAACUUGCACGUAGUGGUAGUUCUCACUUGAAAUUGGAUUCACAAUGGGCGUCAACCAAGGGCACCCGAAUUUUUCGUUGAGAGCUUUUCCUAUCAGCAGGUUCCAGUUUCUUGCUACGGUUGGGUCUUCCGCUCCUAUCACAUUUCGGGCCCUCAAAGGUACGAUCUCCUGAAAUCUGCAAGCAAAAUUACUAGUUUUGAGAUUCUAGCUUGUGAUAUCCUGAAACUAUAAGUAAUGUUGAGGUCGAAAUUUGUAUAACAUACCCGAGAACAUACAUGUCUGCCGCAUCAUCCUUAAGAUUCAGCCACUCAUCCAAAUCUACUGCCAAGCUCCCUACCGGAGACCGUCCGGCAACAUUCCAAGUUCCCACGAAGAUUCUAAAACAAACGAAAAUGGUUAUCAGACGGAGUACUACGAAGAUCAUACACUUUCUCGUUGCUUUGUUUCUUCCAUAAAUCGAAAAAUUACCUCAGCUCACUAGUUGAAGUGCCUGGAUCCAUCUCCAUGGACCGAAAGAGAAUAUCAUCCAAGUAAUCUCCGCUUUCAUCUUUGCCCCCAUCUGAAGAAAAGUUGAGUAAACUUCAGUCCGGAUUGAACUUACGCUGUGGGAAGAAACAAGAAGUCGAUAUCAGAUGCAUAGAUAGAAGAAACAAAACCUGAAACUUGACUCAGUUGAUAGGGGUCAGCUCUCUUAUGCUUUCUCUUGAACCACUUUCUAAACCUUCUCCUCCUCGAUUUAUGAUCCUCUCCGUCCAUCCCUAACCAUCCCGUCUUUCGUUGUCCAUGCAAGCUGUUCCUGCACCUUGCUGAUCAGAUGAAAGUUGUUCCCCUCCUACCAUGGCGGCUUCAAGUCGCAUUGCUCUGGACACGAAAACAAAACGCGGAUUUAGCCGUAAGAUCAUUGUGUAACCCGCCGUAUUCGCAAGGAUUUGAAAGCGUAGAAACAGACAAGCACAAGAAGCUGAGGGAAAAUACAGAUCCUGCGGCAAACAAAAGAGAGAAAACAUACCGUGCGGGUGAAGUAAAAGGUGGGUUGGAAUUAGGAUAACAAAUGGAGGAUUAAUAGGGCUAUGAAGAAAGAUAUUGGCCUCGCAGUGAUUCUAUCAUUUGGUUGGUUUAUUAGGGUUGGUUAGGUUGGUGCUUGUCACGUUGGUGUUGUGGGAUUUCUGCGUGACAAGUUUAUUACAUGUCCAAAUCAAACAAUUUAAAGCCAAGUUAUAGGCUAGUGGUCCAAGUCCAAUCAACAAGCUAGAAUCUCUUUCGUACGUUGCUGCCCCUUAAUUACGAGUUGAGAUUCUCUUUGAAUUUUAAGUUUGAAGCUAAAGAAUUUCUGAGAUUUGGAUCACUCAUUUUAAAUUGUGUGAUCCUCAUUAGCUCAUUAUGCUGGCUCAUUUCACACAAACCAUGAGUUUGAAUCCCUCUUUCUCUCUCUUCAAUGGCUCGGAUUUUUGGGUCCUUGAGCUCCGGACAUAGAGAUUAAGAGAGGAUCUUGACUCCUUAAUUAAACGAAAUGAACCUAAGGAACCAAUUCAUAGUGUUUUUUAUUAAUCAUUUGUUUGACUUAUACUGGUUGUCUAUCGAUCAUUGAUGAAUGUACGUAAAUUACUGAUCGAUCGUUGCACUGCAUAUUUAUGAGUGACUCUUUGAAAAUAUGAUAAGCUAAGACAGUUGUAAAGCUCGUAUGUAAAUAGGUGUUAAGCCAAUGAUAGAAACGAGUCUCGCGAAGGAUUAAGCUUAAGGACUCUGGUUUAUAUAUGAUAAGUUGUUGUAAAAACCCGUAACAAGGAUUAAUAGCCAAAAACAAAACUAUUAAUGACAGAUCAUCUCACCAUCAGUCCAUGUGGGAGCAUGGAUAUGUGGCCCAUGGUAGUAGUAAUGACACUAGCGACUUGUACGUUUGAAUUUAUUGUGCAAGCACAUGAAGUACAUAACAUGACAAAACAAUAUAUACACGAAGAUUUUUUAUGGUGUUCUAGAGCAAUUUUGAGGUCUUUUAACCGUUUAAAUUUUUAAUAAGAAAAUACAAAAAUCAAAGUGAAACGGUUAAAAUCAAAGGAAAAUUAAUGAAAAAAGUUUGAAAACUUUGAGUUUUAACGGUAAAGAUAAAUAAAGGGUAAAUUGAAUAGUAGCAGGAUUGAUUUUUUAGUGUAAAAAUGUAGUUUUUCGUUAAAGUGAACAGUACCGAGAGUUUUUCAUUAAAGUUUCCUAAAAUCAAAUGGUCCCUUACUAUAGUAGUGGAAAAAUGUUAAAUUUUUGUAUGAUAGUGUAGAUUCGUAUUUAAUUUGAUAUUUAAUCUAACAAAAUUUAUCAUUAUAACAUAUCACAGUUUUUGUCAGCUGCACAAUUUUGUUCAAUUCAUUUUUUUUUGGACUUGGAUUGUCUGCCCUCCUAGUUGUGGUGCCCUUCCAUGCCCUCUUAUUUUGUGCGGUCACGGUUAAGUCACGUUAAUAUUUUAUAUUUUUAUUAUUUUUUGUCUUAUUAUCUUAUUAAAAAAUUAAUAUAAAAUAUUGACGUGGUUUAACCGUGACCGCACAAAAUAGGAGGGCAUGGAAGGGCACCAUAACUAAGAGGGCAGACAAGUCCUUUUCUUUUUCCACCCAACUUAGCAUCUAGGGUGGUCUUUUAAGUAGGCCGGUCGGAUAUCAUCUGGUCCAAACUUAUCCUCAAUUGCAAGAAAAAUAAAUAAAAAAUCCAAUUUUUUAUUUUUUAUGGGUUUCUUUUUGUUGAGGUUCAAUAAUGUAGACACAAAGUACAAAGUAUUAAUUUUUAAUUUUUUUAUGGGUUUCUUUUUGUGGAGGUUCAAUAAUGUAGACCCAAAGUACAAAGUAUUAUCAUACUGAAAAUAUAUCAAAUACAAAGGGUCUCGCGCCUUUUUUUGACGACUAAGAAGUAGGAGUGUGAUAUUCACAUCCUUCAUUUUACUUUUCAUAUAUUUUUUAAUUUUUGGCCGUUGGAUUGGAUGAAUUGAAAAAUAUCAACGAACAGAAAUUAACAAAGGUGUGUGAGAAGUAAUUUAGGGUGUGUGGAUAGCACAUCCCAAAAAUAUUAUUUAAGACAUUCUCCUUCGAUUAGAUAAUUGUUUGGGUCUAGUUUAUAGAGAAGCAAUCUUGUUGGCGGAUAUAAUUACCAGCAUAGGAUUUCAUUUUAAUGAUUUCAUAUUUGGGACGGGUCACUGCCUCCUUAUGGCGACGGGUCACUGCCUCCUUAUGGCGAAAAGUGCCCAUCUCUUUGAUUCCAUCGGAACUGAAGUCAUUCUAUCUAAUGUAUUUCCCUUUUUUCAUAAGAAAAAUAAUAAUAAAACAAGGUAUAUAUUUUUGUUGGAUACAUGGAACGAAAUAGAUGCGAUUCCAGUACCUUUCUACCUCAAAUUAUAAUGAAUCCGGAUCCUCUUUGUGAAGAUUCCAAGGAUUUGUGAAUCAUAUCCGUUCAUUGUACAUCGUACGGUUAAAAAUUAUUUUAAAUAUUUUUAUUUAAUGUUAAAUACAAAGAAUACUUGAUAAAAACUAACUGCAUGAUGUACGAUGAACGAACACGAUUUACGAAUCUCCAGGAUCCUCACUAAGGGUGCAUUUGUUGCACCAAACUAUCUCGGACCGGAUUAACUUUUAGGAUUAAGCUGAACUGGCUUAGAAUAGAUUAAGCUGGAUUAACGUAAUAAAGCGUUUGAUGCUAUGUCGGACUAAAAAAAGGAUAAUGAAAACAGUGAAAAAUGGACCGUAUACAAUCAUAGCAACACAAUUUCAUGCAACAACAUCAUAUACUAACUAACCUGCAAUCAAAUCCUAAAUUGAAAAAUACGAAGGAGGAGAAAUUGCAAAUUAGCUCAUAAUCCAAUCCAUAAGUUCGUUUUCUAUAUAAAAAAACCAAAGAUUUCCAUGCCCAAUUCAAAUCAAACCAAACAAUAAAUCCACACUGCCAAUAAAUUUCCCCUAAAUGAAAAAGAUUAAAAAAAUAAAAAUAAAAAUUGUGGGAAAAAAUGGAAAAAAGCGAAUCAGUCUAUCAGACCUCUGCCUAAUUGAGAUCCUUCAUCUCUGAAUCAAACCUCCAGCCGCAAGCCCACCAUAAUCUCCUCAUCUAACCUCUCUUCUCCGAUGAACCAUCCUCAUCCCCUCUUCCAAUCGACGUGAAUGACCAUGCCGUCGGUAGUGAAGAGCUUUCUAUGGCAGACUCGGCUUCGCUCUCGUCCUUUAUGAAGUCGAAGAAGUGCGGAGCCGAAAACAAGUACAUCUAGUCGACGAUCGUCGCCAUCGCCAUCGAUGGGUUGGUCGGCGAGGUCAGUUGACCAGACCAAAACAAAGAAGCGAGGAGAACAACUGGAUGAGGACACGAACGGUCUUAGCAAUCCUGUGCUUAUUAGGGCGUCUCGCUAAGACCUUCUAACUAAGGACUUAGUCGGCUCUAAUCUCAUUAAAUCUAUUCCUGCAUGUAACAAACACGAUAUUCGAUUAAUAGCUAGUCCAGUCCAGACCAAAAAUAUUUAGUGAAGGCAAACAAACAAACCCUAAAAGGAUCGGAGAGGAUCAUGUUGGAACUAUAAUGAGAUGCUUACUUACUCCUCAACCUUCCUUCACUGGGGACCCAUUUGCUUCGUUUUCCAAUUAUUAAUCAUCAAAUUACGAUCUUGCCCUCCCAUUUUAGCACCCAUUUUCACAGUAUUGAAUACCUUGUCAAGUGUUUGGAAAAUUGUUUGGGUGGGAAAAAGAACCUUAGUUAAUUGUUAUUGUUGCUACCCACAUAUGGCGGGCUCGGGUUCGUAUCUAUAUUCUUCUCACGUGAUCUCGUACAUAAGAAAACAUUUUCAUCAUGUGAAAACAUAGAUAAAAAUAAGAAUAUAUAUCAUAAUACACACAAAUCUCUUUACAAGGUUAUAAUAUAAAAGGUACACUCAAAGUUUUGGGAAUAAUAUUCAUACACCUCGUUUUACUUUUCACUUCAUUUUUAAUUUUCAGCUGUCAAAUCUAAUGAAUUAAAAAAGAUCAAAUUGUACAUUUUAUUUAUUUAUCUCUAUCAAAAUGUUGUAAAAUCCAAGAAUUUAAUCAAGAUAAAAGAGUGAAACUUUUGAUCAAGAAAAUGGAAAAAAUAAAGAGUGAACCAAGAUCAAUAGCUUAAACAGAUUACAGGUUUGAACAUCAGAAUGCUGAUUUUUUGAAACCCUAAACCCUUCAAACCUCAAUCAAUUUCUUGCAUCGGAAACCAAAUGCUGCCGGAACAUAACGAUGAAAGCUUCCACUUUCUCAUUCAAAUCCUCCUCCGACAGCUUCCGAACCUCCUCCUCCUCCUCCUCCGUAUCGUCUUCAUCCCGCUCUUGCUCGCUCUCGCCGCCGCCGCGCGCUGAGCUCUUGCACAUUUCAUCCUCACAUUCCUUAACUUCUUCAACCGCUUGAGGAGCAGAUUGGCACCGAUAUUCUCUUCUCCUCUUUCCCCCUCCAUUGCUUUUGAUCCCUUCGCCAUUGUCGUUUUCGCAAUCUCGAUUCCGAUUAAUAUUUGAGGUCCCGGAAGAAAUGGAGGUGAAGACAAUGGCUAGGAGGACGAGGUUGAGCAGAAGGAAAACCGACGCCCGCCAUUGCUCCAUGAGAAACACCAUUAAUAUAACACGUUUUAAACAUGCCAUUGCCACAGCUGCUCCUGCUGUGAACAAAACUGUGUUUACUCUCCCACUCUCUCUCCACUUCUCCAUGUGAUCGAUGCGUUUGGUUUUUUAAGAUGUUCAAAUUCUACAUGUAUAAAUUGUGAUAUCAUCUCUUUGGUUUAUAUACACCAAGGGAAUGAGAUUUAUCUAAAAAGAAAAAAAAAUUCAGUGUGUCUGAGAACACGGUCACGAAAUUUACUUGGGCAAAGGAGCGGAUUUUGUGGGAUUUGUGAGUGCGCUUCACUUUUCAGGGGAGACAUUUAGACAUAAAUCCACUAAAGCCUGCAGUCCCUGCACUCCAUGUACUUCCCAUCAGCAACCUGCACUGGAACCAUUUGAAGGAUCCGGAUUCUCUCUUCUCUUAUUUUUCUUAUUUUUCAGUUUCUUCCUAUUUAAACGUUCUCGAUUAAGUUGCGUUAACAUCUUGUGAUGAUUUAUUUACAGAGAAAACGACAAGAAGGAAUGAGGUGGGGAAGAGAGAGGAUUUGGAUGUGAGAGAAUCUUACUCCCGUUAUGAUAUGAUUUCUCCUAUUUAGAUUUAGCCUUCUAGCUAGUUCAUGAAAUAUUCUUGCAUGUAAUCAGAGUAUAUGUUUAUCAUUCUAUCUCACCUGUUACGUGAUAUUUGAUCAUGAGAGUAAGUACGAUAGAGGACAUCCUCAAUUACCCUCAAAUGUUUCUCUUGAUUUUGGCAAUUUAGCUGGGCUUAAAUUCUCAAAAAUAUAUUCUCAAUGAAUGUUGUCAUAGUCAGGCAGCCUUGCAGUUCUUAUCAAACAUAGUCUUGACAAUUUCUCCUACUUUAGAUUUAACCAUGCAAGUUUCUAAUGUUUGAUUUUGAAGACAUCCGUAGAUUUAAUUGAAUAUAUAUAUAUAUAUAUAUAUAUAUAUAUAUAUAUAUAUAUAUAUAUAUAUUCAUCACGCCAUCUCAUCUAUUACGUAAUUUAUAGUAAUAUGAUAAAUGAGAUUAUGCAACAAAAUAUCGUGUUAACUCGAAAAUUUUCCCUUGUUUUUGGUGCUUGGCUUUAAUCCAAGUGUGCCCAAACAAGUAUCAUUACUUUUUGGAUUAUCAAGAUCGAUCUUCUACUUGAUUCUAUGAAAUUGAGAAAAAUAAAUUAUUUGAUUUAGAUUUAAGAUAAAUGCUAAUGAGGCUUUGUCACUUGAUAAUCAACAUUAAUUGUCGUAAUAAUAUUAUAAAAUAUUAUACAAAAAAUAUAAGAUAAAAAAGAAUUCUAUUUUGAGAAAAGCAAAAAUUAAGGGAAGUAGGAAUCACUUACCAAGGUAAGGAAAGGCGCGUGCCUUUUUACUCGAAUCCGAAGUUGGAAGUUGGAAAAGAGGGACUUGCCGCGUAACGGAGGGGCAACGGAAUUAUGGAACGUGAAGGUCGAAAAAGCACGCCUGUUUGCUUCAUCAUCAGAAAACGACCCCACAUGCCACCGUAAUUACAUCACAACCAUCGGCAGCUGCUGUCAUUGUCAACACCAGACAAUCGUUCUUUUGGUUCUUUUCGGUUUCUGGAUUUUUUUCAAAUUUUCAUAGGAAGAUGAGAUAUGCUUUACUAAUAAAAUAUUAGAGGGAACACAAAUUGCCUUCUCUCUCUCAACCAGGCAAAAUGGCCUCACUAACUCAGAUUUCAAAUGUUUUCGGAUCUCUGUCCAAAGCCGAGGGAUCAAGAAAUUUAAACUAAUCAAUUAAAUUAUACAGUCUUUAAGCGGCCUAAAUCUCUUUCUCUCUCUUGAAGGGCCAGAACUCUUUGCUCCAUUAAGCUUUCGACACAAAAAUUAAGAAAGGAUUUGAAUUCAUGAACUCCCACCAAGUAUUUUUACCUAGACAAUUCCCUAGUUCUUUGGAGGAGUGUUUUGCCUUUGUGGCUCAACAAAUCUCAUUUGCUUAGCAGUUACAUUAAUAUGGUCCAGCCAACCAAACCGGUCGAGCUGAACCUGGUUUGGUUUGGACAAAAAAAUUGCAUGGUUUAAAAUCGAACCGAACCGGACUGAAAUGCAAUAACCAGCUGUUAUGCUGUGGGUAGACCUUUGGAAUCGAAUUGCAUCGCUUUAGAUUGCACCCUUUUGCGGACCAAAACAAAAUAAAAAAGAAUCAAAUAAGAAAUGGCCCAAAUUUUCAGAAACUAGACAGCUAUGAACUGGUUAUUAUUCUUUUGGCUUGAAAUGUGAUAUUCUAAAUCUAAACUAGUCUAAUCUACGAGGGAUUGAUUUGGGUGCAAGCAGGCGGACACACCUGCCUUUUGCCAAACUGACCUAAAUAAGACAUCUUAGGGGAAGUUUUGACAGGAAUUGAAUUUGUCACCUGUUAGCUUUGGCACCGGUAUUGGAUUUGUAAAAUAGCAUUCAAAUGCAAAUUAGAAAACUAACAGAAAUGAACGGAUAUUACUGCAGAUUUAUAAAUCUCUCUCUUGCCAUCUCUCUUUCGAAAACUACCUCUGAUCGGGGGUUGUUAAUCCCAUCUCUUCCCAGACAACGAUAUGAGCUGCCAACAAAUGAAAGAUUAAGAGAGAUCAAUCACCCCGUAGCAGUAACUUAACAAGCAUAUAGAUUAUAGAGUUAUAGAGGUUACAUAAGUUACUUCUAGUCCCCAAAAAUAAAAAUUUUACAGACAAACCAUAUAUCAAAGCAUAAAUAUGCGAGAAAACAGCGGCUAAGUUCCCAUCUUCAGUGAUCAUGUUAUAGUUCUAUCCCUGGGAAUUAAAGCUCUACAAUAUACUUCAGAUCAUUUCAAUUAAAGAUCCUGAGUUUCAAUGAAACAUUAAAAUAUUUGACUCUAUUUGUUGUGCUCUAUGAAAUUUUAACAAAUAUGUGCGAGUUGUAACACGUCGUGGUUCAUGAUUGCCUAAUCGAGCUACUUUCCUCCCCAGCCUAAGUAUUUCCCAAACACAGUGCAAAGUGACCUUAGCAGUUAGCCGUUGGCGUGCUAAUACAAUUCACAGUUAUGAAAAACAAGGUCAAGCUAUCUCAGUUUCAAUUCAAAUUGAAGGAGUGAAGAAAAGGAUUGUUGGCAACCAACCUGUCGAGCAACCUGAGCUAGUCGCCGGCUGUCCCUAGAUAAUUCAUUUGUCGUUUGUGGCUGUUGUGCAACACAUUCUUUCUCUUCCGUCCUCCUCUUAGCAGUGUUCUCUUCAAAGGCAGCAGUUUCACCAGGGUUUCUUGAGGAAUUCUUGCGCUUCCUCUGGAAAGUGUACUUGAGAAGUCUGCUGUUGUCCACAAGACUAGGAGAACCAUUUGAUUGUUCUGAUGCUCUCGCGUCUUUUAAUUCAGUACUCAUCAAUGAUGCACUUGUAUCUUUUAAUUCAGAUUUCAUCAAUGAUGCAUUCACAUGUAUUAAUUCAGAAUUCAUCAAUGAUACUUUGACAGUUUUUAACUCAGAGUUCAUUAGUGAUACAUCAGCAGAACCAAGGUUGAGUGCAGAACUCGGAGCCUCUGAAUUCUCCAUAGCAUCACUUUCCGUCAUCAACACAGGCACAUCUAUCAACUCCAUGUCCUUGUCUGCUGCAUCUUGGACAGCUCCAGAUCUAUUGAUCCCCUUCAUGCUCACAUUGACACUAGCUGACCCUGAUAUAGGAUCCACAUGACUUCCAAUUAAUGUCAACCCAGGAUCCAGACGAGGCAAUGGCUUCAUCUUAGCCUCAUUUUCAGUUGUGUUUGGUUUAUCUUCCCAAGAUUUCAAACCACCAUGAUGUAAAUAUGCAAAAGUCCUGCAGCGGGAAAGAACAGAAGACGGCUGAUCAGUACUCGUGAGUGAGGUUGUAAUGCCAUCCUUACUUUUCAUUUUCCUUUUUCUUUUUCCCUUCGGAAUAUUCUUAACUAUGUCCAUGAAAUAGCAGCUACUAUGCUGCAAACUUUCUUCCAACUCACUGGAACUUCUUGUCAUGGCUACAUUCUCGGUCUUGAUAGAGGGCAGGAUGCAAGCUUCUUUAGGGGAUCCAUCAUUUCCAUUCAGAGAAUAUAUUCUGCAAUGAGAUUGAACAAAAUUUGGUUGGUGAGAUUUCACGAGCUCACUAGGACGACAUCGGCGUGAAGUUUUGGAUUUCCCAAAUCGAGUCUUUCUUCUGCGUAAUGUGUGUACUUUAGCAUGACUUUUGGUUUUUCCCACAGAUAACCCAUUAACUACUUCCAUGCUGUUGUCGCUAAAAGAGGGCAAAUUACACCUUUCUUCCUCGUCAAUUUCUUUGAUGACCAACUCAUUCUUCCCGGGGGAAUUGUGAUUGUCUACGUAUCCAGAAGGCAGCACUUUCUCAUCAAUUAAGCUUCUUUCAAAUGCACGGAUUCUCUGUGUACACCCAUUUCUGAGCAGCUCUGGCUCCUUACGGCUCAUGAUUAUUGAGGCAAGGUCAGAGUCAGGGGCAUAAAAUUUAUCCAAUUCAGGAACACUUAACUGCUCACUUUGUUUCAUUUCAUUAAAGAACUUAUGCUCAAUACCUCUAUUUACUUCGAUGUUCAUUGGGCCUGAAGUUGGAACAGUUUCAUGUCCUGAACCUGAAGGAGAUAGUAUGAUGGGCUCAGGUGUCGGAUUGUCAGAAAAUGAUGUAUCUUCCCUCAUGAUUUGUUCGUCCAAAGGCUUCACUUGGUUGUUAUUUAGCCUCUCCAAUUCACUCCAUACUUGUUUUAAUUCUGAUCUCAGAUCAGUUAUGAUAUCCUCCGCCUCUUGGAGCUGCGCUUCAACCUCUUCAAUCUUUCGUUGUUGGCUCAAAGAUGUUAUCUCCGCGUCACUAGUCUGCAUCAAUUAAAAUAUCGAUUAAUCCAAUAUAAAAACACUUAUAGUAAAUACAAGGAGUAGUGAUCAGUAGAAAUUCCGUAAGGUAAAAACUAAAACUCUUUGUAUCACUCAAUUUGCACAUGUGUUAUUGCAAAGAGAAUCUAAAGAACCUUCAAGCAACACCAGACGAUGCCAGUAUAAACCACCAAACAUCACAAAGGGGGGAACCUGAAAAUUUAGACAAGGCAUAACAGAUACAUCACAGGAGUUUAAAAAUGUGUAGAUUGAUUGAACAUCAACAAGGAGUGAACAUCAACAAAGAGCUUACUGCUAAACAAUGACAUUGACAUUCCUAACAAGUAGUUAGCGUUCGGGAAAUGCUUUCUUGCUUUUCGGGAAAUUUAAUUGCCUUAACAGAAGACGCAAAGAAUACCACUUAGUGGGAAAAGGCUUUGUUGUUGUUGUAACAGAAGACACAAAGAAUCCCAACUUCAAGUGUCAAGCUUCUUCAAAGUUCAAAAUAUCCGAAAAUGGCUUCUUUCACUACUACGAAUCACGAUUACUCUCAAAUCUAACACAGUCACAUUCCAUCCAAACUAGAUUAUAAAGAUUCAGAGCUUAAACAUUAACAAAGAGCUUUCUUGCUUUUAGAAAUAGAAAACUGCUUUUACAGCAGACAAAAAGACACCCAAUUUUGAAAGUGAAGCUUCAUCUAAGUUCAAUAGAACAGAAAAUGGCCUCUUUCGCGAAAACGAAUCGCAAUUACAACCUCCAGAAUUCAAACACAUUCACAUUCCAUCAAAAAAAAAAUAAAUCACAAAGAUUCAAGAUUGAUGAUUCCAUUUAGUUUAGACAAAUAAAAAACCCCUCUUUCCAAGAACAAGAAUCCGAUCAUCAAAACUGGUUCAAAAAACAAGGAUGCAAAAUUCAGAAGGAAAAAAAUAAAAGAAAAGAAAAAUAAGAAAGAAACAAACCUUGGAAUCGAGCAUUUGCUUUAAGCGGCAAAGCACGCGAAGCGCUUCGCCUUUCGUAAAUUGCAGAUCGUGCUGGUACCGAAGAGCGUUGCGCUCCGACGCCAUUACUCUCGCCGCCGCCUCUUUCGCCGUGUUCAGAAUUAUCUCCGCGUACGCCUUCUUCAGAGCCACCAUUUUCUGCACCAUCAACAGCAAAACAAAGUAAAUCAGCGCCGGAUUUCACAAAAUGAAAUAAAAAGAUUUGAAAUCGAGGCGGCGGGAGUGGCGGAGAUGGUAGUGGCGCCACCAGUAGUAGUGGAAGGUGGUUGGGAAUUUCACCUGCGCCUCGUCGUCCAUUUUCUCUUGGGGGGAGUUUUCGCUAGUUGGCCGUAUUGCGUGCGCCCCUGUCCGUUAGGAAACUGAAAGUCCGUUCUCUAUCUAAUUUUACCUAAUUGCCCCUUAAUUCUAUUUGAAUUACAAUGCUUUGACCGGAAAUAUUAUUUCGUUGUAUUAGAAUACAGCCACGUGAAAUUACUCGUCAAACUUGUUACAACACGCAGAGACGAUGGAGGUGAUAUUUUCUUCUUUUAUGAUGUCGUAAUUAAACAUCCGCUCAUAACACAUCAAAUAAACUGUUAUAUCACGUGAUUAUAUUUUAGUACGAUUUAGUUUACACAAUUAGUUGGUUUGACCAAACAUUUGUACGUCAACCUUGUUCUAUUAUGAACGCUUCUAAGUUUUGACAUGUCACAUUAGAAUAACGACCUCGUAUAAAGUUUCACGGAAUUGGAUCCUCUCCUAAGCCCAAGGAGGGGAUCCUCCUGACCAAGGAACGUGGGCAGUUGGAUUUUCAUCUAAUGACUAUAAUUAUUAUAACUUUAAAGAGACCUCUUAUUUGUAGUUGUUGGAUAAAAAUCCAAUGACCCAUGUUCCUUGAUCAGGAGGAUCCUCUCCUUGGGCUCAGGAAAUGAUUCAAUUCCAAGUUUCACUAUGGGUUUUGGAUUGCUACGAUGACAUUUAGACUAAAUUAUUAAAUAAUAUAUUAUAAAAUAUUAAGGGAUUGGAAAUGACAUUCAUAGGCAUUGAAAUGCAUGUGAAGAAAUUUAUAAAUUUUAUAUAAAAUGAGUCAUUUACAAAUUUAUUGUAGCAUUAUGGUUGGGUAAUGCUAUUCACACAUUUCUUUCUACCUUUCACACACCCUUAUUAAAUUUUGUUCAUUGAUAAUUUUUUUUUAAAUUCAUUCGAUCUAUGGGAAAAAAGUAAGAGAAGUAUGUUAAAUGUAAAAAGAAGUGUGUGUAUAACAUCAUCCUUACCAGUUUCUCUCUGUAGACAAUAGAAUGUCACAAGAGUCUAAGCAUGCCUUAGUAGUUAGCAAGGCUUUGAAAUUAAUAUGACGUUAUAAAUCAGAAUGAUAUGACCAAACUAGAAGCUAAACAAAUUAGAUAAUGAGAGAUUUUUCAGUGUGCUCAGCAUAAGAGGUGGUACAUCAUAUGUCAUUAAUCAUUAUGUAAAUGAUGUAAUAUGUGUGUUAAAAAGUUAAUAACCUAAAAAAUAAAAUUUCUCACUAUUUACAUAAAAACACUUGAUAUAUCACUCGUUUUUCUGUCACAAUAAAAAAAAAUUCCAUGAUAAGUAGAGGAGCAAUACUAAAGAUAAAUUCCAACCCAAUAUACUAGCCACUAGCUAAUAGCUAGUGGCAGUCAAAAUGCAUAUUGCCCAAUGCCCAACCCUGAUUGGCUGCGCAAUAAAGGACAAAUCACCAUAAAUAAAAAUGAACUUUAACGAAAAGUAUCCGGUACUGUUCACUUUAACGAAAAACCACAUUUUUACACUAAAAAGUCAAUUCUGAUACUAUUCAUUUUACCCUUUAUUUUGUCCUUAUCAUUAAAACUCACAUUAAUUAUAAACUAAUUGGAAGUUAGUUAAACAAUUAAGGAAGUAUCAUAUUCAAUUCAUUUUGUAGUGUAGUAGGCACCCCUUUUGGUCAAAUAAUCCCUUAAUUAAAAAGUAAUUAAAUUGAACACCUGUCCACUAAACCAAGAAGAAAUUCAACCCAAGAUUUUACAAGCAACUCAUUUGACUGGAUUGUACUGAUAAAUUGAUAAUUUCAGACUUUCAGACAGAGAAGCAGAGAAGUCAAUGGCCCUCGUCUUGUCUAUCGCACGUUCUUCUUCCUUUACAGGAUCAUACGUGCAAAGUUGACCGAAAAGUUCGGACCUUUGAGCAUUUCAGACAUCACCAAGAAGAACCCACAAUUUGUUUUUCCUGCUGAAUUGCCCGGAUAUGGAUUCCCGCAUCGCCAGGAUUUGGAUUCCGGUACUGUUAUGGGGCUGUAUGAGCACCCAUUUCUGCUCUUACGCCGCCGUGGUCGAAGACGACGUGAGGUGCCUUCAGGGGCUGAAGCAGUCGCUGAAUGACCCGCUCGGAAAGCUGGCGUCUUGGGAUUUCAGGAACCACACCGUCGGAUUCAUCUGCGAUUUCGUUGGCGUCACCUGCUGGAACGAUCGGGAGAAUCGGAUCUUUAGUCUGGAGCUCCGAGACAUGGAGAUCACCGGCGAGGUCCCGAAGGAUAUCGAGUACUGCGCCAGCCUCACGAAGCUGGAUCUCGGCGGGAACGAGAUUUCCGGGCCGAUUCCCCCGGAUAUUUGCGAUUGGUUGCCCUUUUUGGUGACCCUCGAUUUGUCCGGGAACGACUUCUCCGGCGCUAUCCCGCCGGACCUGCAGCACUGUGAGUAUCUGAACAUUCUGAUCCUUUCGGACAACAAGCUUUCGGGUCCGAUUCCCUAUGAAUUUUCUAGCUUGGGUAGGCUUAAGACGUUUUCAGUGGCGAAUAAUAAGUUGAAGGGGUCUAUCCCUUCGUUUUUCGACGGGUUUGAUAAGGCGGACUUUGCCGGGAACAGCGGCCUUUGCGGCGGGCCUCUCGGGUCGAAGUGUGGUGGUCUGAGCAAGAAGAGUGUUACUAUUAUAAUUGCUGCCGGAGUUUUUGGCGCUGCGGCGUCUUUGCUGGCUUUUUUGGGGCUGUGGUGGUGGUACCAUGUGAGGCAGAGUAAGCGGCGGAGGACGGGAGGUUAUGGUGUUGGGAGGGAGGAUUGGGCUGAGAGGUUGAGGGCUCAUAAGCUUACUCAGGUUUCCUUGUUUCAGAAGCCACUUGUGAAGGUUAAGUUGGCGGAUUUGAUGGCGGCUACCAAUAAUUUUAGCCCCAAAAAUGUGAUCAUUUCGACUAGGACAGGGACAACUUACAAGGCUCUGCUGCCUGAUGGGUCGGCGCUGGCCAUUAAGCGGCUUAGUGCUUGUAAGCUCGGUGAGAAGCAGUUUCGGUUGGAGAUGAACCGGUUAGGACAACUUAGACAUCCGAAUUUGGCCCCCCUUUUGGGGUUCUGCAUUGUGGAGGAGGAGAAGCUUUUGGUGUACAAGUACUUGUCGAGUGGGACUUUGCAUUCGUUGUUGCACGGAAGUGGUGAGGGAUUGGACUGGUCGACUAGGUUUAGGAUCGGUUUGGGUGCUGCCAGGGGACUUUCUUGGCUUCACCACGGUUGCCAACCUCCGAUUAUGCAUCAGAACAUAUGCUCCAAUGUGAUCCUCCUCGACGAGGAUUUUGAUGCUAGGAUAAUGGAUUUUGGAUUGGCAACGCUCACGGCUUCUGAUUCUAAGGAGAGCAGUUUUGUUAACGGAGACUUGGGAGAACUUGGUUAUGUAGCUCCAGAGUAUCCGAGUACUCUGGUUGCUUCACUGAAAGGGGACGUUUAUGGACUUGGAAUUGUGCUUCUGGAGCUGGCAACCGGGCAAAAGCCUCUUGAAGUCAGCACUGCUGAUGAAGGUUUCAAGGGUAAUGUAGUGGAUUGGGUGAAUCGUCUCUCUAGUUCUGGUCGAACCAAGGAUGCCAUCGAUAAAGCUCUCAUCGGAAAAGGGCAUGACGAGGAAAUUUUGCAGUUUCUGAAGAUUGCUAGUAGUUGUGUGAUUUCUCGGCCUAAAGACAGGUGGUCUAUGUACCAGGUUUACCAUGCAUUGAAGAGUAUGAGCAAAGAACACAGUUUCAGGGGACAAGACGACGAGUUUCCAUUGCUUUUUCGCAGGCCAGAUAAGGAAUAAGGAUUCCGCUUAAACUCAAAUAAAGCGGAGAGAGAUGACAAAUGGUUGCAGAAUUCCAUAUCGAGGUAAUUUAUCAUAAGGCUCAUGUAUGUAAAUCGUACGAUGUGAUCUCGAUUUUAAUUAGUUAGCUGUAUAAUCCAAUAAACAAGCUAUAGGUCCUGCAGCCCACGAAUUUUUUUUGUUAGAGAUCCAGCGACAUUUACAAUAUGCUUUCCAGUUCUUCGCCACGGAAAAUUGGAACGAAAGAUGACAAUGGAACUUCUAGUGUAAUAUACUAUAUGCAAACAGUUAAAUCCUUGCCUUCUAUCUGUUCAAUCUGUUUUUAAGUGCUACUUUUACUGCUUCACACGAAGAAAAAUUUUCAGGAUGUCAAGCUUUUCUGAAUCGUGCUAGACUCCAUAGACUACCGUGACCUUCACCUUCUCGUUGUUCAGAUUUAAACAAGAUUUUGUGUUUCGUGCUGAUUCUACUGAGUUCAACUUCUUACAACCUCCUUUCGUAUUAACUGUGUUUAUGAUUUAAACAAGAUUUUGUUUUGCUUCCAAGGAUCAGUUUCACUCUUUCAGAAAUUAACUGUGUUUAUGAUCAAUUUAUGUGUUGGCCAAGAAACUGGUGGAUGGACUAUAGGCUUGAACUACAACUUAUAGAACUGAGCCCGACCUAGGCGCUAAGCUAGAACCGAGCAGACAAUCAAGCCGGACCUGUUCGAUGCAGACUGAGGCUUUCUACUUGUUUUGAGCACUGUUCUAAAAAUCCUCACUUAGCGCCGCCUAGACCAUGCCUAGGCGCUAGGCGGCUGACUACCGUCCCAAUUAGUACUUAGGCGUUUGAAAAUUAAGAAAUGACGCCUACACCUGCUGAGGGGUCCGCCCAGACCAGCCUAGAGACCCGCCUAGAUUGUGAAUCACUUAGACAGAAAAUAAAUAACUUUCAUUUUAUAUUUUCUUUUUUCCCAAUAAAUUGUAUGAGACUUGUUGAAUACUUAAAUAAACACACAUUAUAUGCUUGUUCCUCAUGUUUUCAUUAUGUUCCAAUACUUUAUAAUAUAUACGUCAUUCUAUUUUGUAGUUUAUAAUGAAAUUAUAUAUAUUUGAAGUAUAAACAGACACUUAUUUACACGAAAUAUAUUAGAUUUACUUAAAGCGGGACAAAUCUUGUAACAUCCCACAUCGCUUAGGGGAGUGAAUCCUGUAAGCCUUAUAUGUAUAUCUCAUUAUAUACGUCAUUCUAUUUUGUAGUUUAUAAUGAAAUUAUAUAUAUUUGAAGUAUAAACAGACACUUAUUUACACAAAAUAUAUUAGAUUUACUUAAAACGAGAAAAAUCUUGUAACAUUCCACAUCGUCCAGGGGAGUGGAUCCUGUAAGCCUUAUAUGUAUAUUCCCAUCUCUAUCUAGCACGAGACUUUUUGGGAGCUCACUGGCUUCGGGUUCCAUCGGAAUUUCGAAGUUAAGCGAGUUCGCACGAGAGCAAUCUUAUGAUGGGUGACCUACUGAGAAGUUCUCGUGUGAGUUUCCAGAAACAAAACCGUAAGGGUGUGGUCGGGGUCCAAAGUGGACAAUAUCGUGCUACGGUGGAGUCGAGCACGGGAUGUGGUAGGGGCUCGGGCCGGUAUGUAACAAUUUCGUAUCAGAGUCAAUCCUUGGCCGGAAGUGUGCCGAUGCGAACGUCGGGCCCCUAAGGGGGGUGAAUUAUAACAUCCCAUAUCGCCCAGGGGAGUGGAUCCUGUAAACCUUAUAUGUAUAUUCAAAUCUCUACAUAGCACGAGGCCUUUUGGGAGCUCAUUGGCUUUUGGUUCCAUCGGAACUUCGAAGUUAAGCGAGUUCGCGCGAGAGCAAUCCCAUGAUGGGUGAUUCACUGGGAAGUUCUCGUGUGAGUUUCCAGAAACAAAACUGUGAAGGCAUGGUUUGGGCCCAAAGCGGACAAUAUUGUGCUACGGUGAAGUCGAGCCCGGGAUGUGGUGGAGCCUGAUCCAGGGUGUGACAAUAGGUGUCGAAGCAGAGAAGAUAUAACACGAAAUCACUGGUAAGGAAAUUCCUCGUAGCUCAGAUCGUAUUCCUCGUUAUAAGGUCUUGAAUGGAGCGCAAAACAAACGUGAGUGGACCAAGUUUAUAUAUAUAUAUAAUAAUAAUAAUAAUAAUAAUAAUAAUAAUAAUAAUAAUAAAACUGUUAUCAACAUAUUAACCCCUUAGGUUUUAUGAAAACACAUAUAUCAUGAUCGACAUAGGUUUUCCGAAACCUAGCAUGUCGUGCAAUGUCUCAAAUCAUAACUUGUAUAUAUAAUAUUCACUAGUGAAUGUCUAAUAACCCCCAUGCCUCAUGCCGGCUCACCGGCUCCCCGUCUCUGAGCAGAUAGUCAGAGGAAAACACAUUAUAGGCCCUAUGCCGGCUCUUUGUCCUGUGCUAAAUAGCCAGAGGAAACACACUCCAGGCCCUAUGCCAACACCAAACCAUCGCCUGGGACGGAUCAGAAUAUAUCCAUACGUCCCGUAACGGAAAUGACCACUAGGUAAGUACAAAACCAUUGAACAUAUAUAUAUUGAAAAACAACUUUAUAGUAUAAAGUCAUCCAUCAUCUAUACUAUAAAGAGGUAUUUUAAACAUGUUCUAAAUAUCAUAUCGUCAUCCAUCAUAUAUUUUAUAAGAACACGGGUUAUAUGAAAAAUAGAAGUAAUUCAAACUAGCCUCAGUAAGCAUGUUAUCUCAAAUCGUUUCAUAGAACAUAAUUGUUAAAUCAUGAUUUUCAUGUAUGCAUUUCUACUAUUAAAACGUGCAUUUUUAGAAGGGGUCCACUCACCGUACAUCGUUGGUGCAAAACCAUACCGAAAAGGAAUAACGGAAUCACCGCUAAUAAUCACACCUAUUCAUAUAAAGGAGUACAUUUAGUCAAACUCUACUCAAACGAUUGAAUUUGGGAAAACGGACUUCAGAAAUGGGUACAGAACGUCGAAAUUAGCCUAGGAGAGGUCUCAGACGAAAACAAAAAAGUCAACCCGAAAGUCAAAGUCAACGGUCAAUGGUCAACGUUGACCGGCUUAACAGUCAUACCGAGUCAAACGGGUUUGGGCUUAGGGUUGGACCGGGUUUAAGGCUUUAGGGUUGGGCCAAUUGGGCCCUAAGGGUUUGGGUUUAGAUAAUUAGGUGGGCUGGUUCUUAGGGGUUUAGAAGGUCUCUAGGCUCGGCCCAGACCCACACACGACUUGAGUGCCUAAUUAGAAAGGGUUUAGGGUUUAGUCAACGGGCCAAAUACCCUAAAUGAAACGGCCUGAAGGCCUUUUGGGUUUUUAAGGAAUUAAAAUAAAAAUAAAAAGGGAACGGGCUAGGGUAAUGAGCUGAAACAAAACGGGCUUAAGGUCUGUGGGUUUAAAAAACAGCCUGAAGGCCUUGGUUGAACGAAGAAGAACGCCGGAGCUUCUACAACUCCAGCCGACUGCAAACGCACAUUCUAGACCCUGAUCUAGGUAUCAAAUGAAGAACUAGACGAGAUGAGUGUUUUUAUACCUUUGGUUUGCGUAGAACGGUCGGAGGUGAUUGGAAAAUCCCUCGACAACCACGGGCUCGUCGGAGAUGGGUGUGCCUUCCCCUGAGCCGAUCUCGUUCUAUAAUCUUGAUAAAAAUGAGCUAAAACUUAACAAUUUCAUUCAAGCUUCGUAAUAGAACGAAAAGAGAGGAAAAUCUGAAACUUGCUUAACCGAAAAAACGAAUGAAUCUUAUCGGAGAGUUCCUGGGUUCCAUCGCUCCUCACAUUGACGGGAGAGAGAGAUGGCGGAAUGCUAAUGACGAUGAUGAUGCGUGAACGAUGGUGAGGGUGUGGGUGUACUUGGGUGUUCACAGGUGAAAGGAAUUGAGAGGGAUGAGAAGGUUUUGAGAGAGGGAAGGGAGAGUGAGUGCAGAGACAGAGAGAGAGAAAGGAAAAAGGGGUCACAGGUAGGGGAUAGAGAGAGAAACGUGAGGGGUGAUGGGGUGCUACCACUUGGCAGUUUGAGGAUGAGAACAAAUCUCCUUUUUAGAUCUUGAUUAAGUAAAGGAAUAGGGUCCAAAUUGAUAAUUCUAUUAAUAUUUGGGGAGAAUUAUAUAAUUACAUUUAUAAGUGGGGGUGAGUGUAACAAUCUACCCCCCGUAUAUAAAUUUCGUCCCCGAAAUUUACAACCUUAAGCAAAUAAAAACGGAUACUGACUCCUCAUCAAAUCCUUCGUUUCCCACAUCGCUUCCUCAGCAGCGUGGUUCCUCCAAAGCACCGUCACCAACGAAAUAACUUUGUUCAUCAACACUUUAUCAUGUCAAUCAAGUAUAGCCACUGGUUCUUCGACAUAGUUAACAUCCUGAUUCAUUUCCAGCGGCUUUAACUAAAUGAUAUAAGAGGGAUCUGAUACAUAUUUCCGAAGCAUAGAAAUAUGGAAAAUGUUGUGAAUCAGUGACAACUCCGAUGGUAGCUCCAAUCUGUAGGCAACUGCACCAAUUCUCUCAGUAAUCUGAUAGGGACCAACGUAUCGAUGACUCAACUUUCCUCGCUUACCAAAACGAACAACAUCCUUCCAGGGAGACAACUUCAAUAACACAAAGUCACCAACCUUAUACUCACUAUCCCUGGAAUAUUUAUCCACGAUACUUUUCUGUCGAUCUUGAGCUGCUUUUAGGUUUCUUUUAAUCAGCUGGAUGUUAGCAUUAGUAGUGUCCACAAUCUCUGGUCCUAGUAACACUCGUUUGCUGACCUCUAUCCAACAUAACGGCAUCUGACACAUUUUUCCAUACAGAGCCUCAUAAGGUGUCAUAUCGAUACUCGAAUGAUAGCUGUUAUUAUAUGCAAACUUAACCAACGGCAGAUAGCUAUCCCAAUUACCAUUCCAUUGGAUAACAUACACUCUCAACAUGUCUUCCAAUGUUUAAAUUGUCCGCUUAGACUGACCAUCGGUCUGUGGAUGGUAGGCAGUGUUGAACAACAAUCGAGUACCCAUGACAGUAUUAAAAGCUUUCCAAAAUCCAUACACAAAAUCCAUGGCGAUGUCUUCCCAUUUCCACGCUGGUAGCGGAAGAUUUUGCAUUCGUCCCUCAGGUCUUUGUCUCUCGGCCUACACCUGUUGACAAAUGAUACAUCUACUCACAUAAUCCGUCACAUCAUUUCCAUCUACUCACAUAAUCCCCCAGAUCUUCAUUUAUAUCCAGUAAUAGAACAGAUGGAUAAUGCGAUAUAAUUUGGUGCUUCCCGGAUGCAUGACAUAUGCUGAAAUGUGCGCUUCAUCCAAGAUUUCCUUUUUCACUACUUCGUUAUCCUGAGGCACGUACAAUCUGUUUCCCUACAUUAAUGCUUCAUCCUUUCGGAUAUUAAAAUCUUCAUUUUCUCCUUUAUCCACCGAAAUCUUUAUGUCAGCAUAUUCAUGAUCAAGUUCCUGGGCUUCUCAGACCAUAUCCACUAAAACAUGUCUAACUUGGAAAUGUGCCAACCAAGCUCCCUGAUCACCCGGUUUCACCGUAACACCGAUUUCUCAAAGAAAAAAUAGUAGCGGGACAUGGAUAGCUCUAAGGGAUGCAAGUUGUUCGUGAUAUUUCUGACUAAGUGCAUCCGCCACUACAUUGGCAUGUCCGGGAUGAUAUUCAAUCGUGGAAUUAUAGCCAGUGAUAAGUUACAUCCACCUUCUCUGCCUCAAGUUCAAGUCUCUCUGCGUAAAGAUAUAUUUGAGGCUCUUAUGAUCAGUGAAGAUGCGGCACUUCUCGCCGUAUAAGUAAUGUCUCCAAAUCUUCAGAGCGAACACCACUGCACUAAGUUCCAAAUCAUGUGUAGGAUAGUUUCUCUCGUGGAUCUUGAGCUGCCUGGAAGUAUAGGCAAUGACUCUUUCAUGUUGUAUCAAUACACAACCCAGACCUGAUAGAGAUGCAUUCGUGUAUAUCUCAAACUCACUGCUAUCUUCCGGGAGAGCAAGAACAGGUACUUGAGUGAGAUGCUGCUUCAGCUCCUGAAAACUCCACUCACAGUCUUCAUCCCAAUUAAACUUAACCUCUUUCCGAGUUAACUUAUUCAAAGGCAGGGCAAUUGCUGAGAAACCAUGAAUAAAUUGUCGGUAAUAGCCAGCCAGACUUAGAAAACUCCUCACUUCUAUAACAUUCCUUGGUUAUUCUCAUGUAGUUAUUGCCAACACCUUCUGAUGAUCCAUACCAAUUCCCUCAGCAGAUACAUGUCUGAGGAAACUGAUAUGGUUUAACCAAAACUGACACUUGCUGAACUUAGCAUGCAGCUGUUGACUUCUUAACCUUUCCAACACCAACCUUAAAUGUUUCCUGUAUGUGUUACCACUCUUAGAAUAGAUCAGAAUAUCAUCGAUAAACACAAUCAUAAACCGAUACAGAUACGGUCUAAAGACUCUGUUCAUUAAAUCUAUGAAUGCUGCAGGUGCAUUUGUCAAUCCAAAAGGCAUGACACGGAAUUCAAAGUGUCCAUACCUAGUGCGGAAGGCAGUCUUCGGUACAUCUUUCUCCCGAAUUAGCAGCUGAUGAUAACCAGAGUGAAGAUCGAUCUUAGAGAACACCUUAGCACCCUUCAGCUGGUUAAAUAGGCCAUCGAUUCGAGGCAUGGGAUAACGGUUCUUCACCGUCACCCGGUUCAGCUGCCGGUAGUCGAUGCAACGUCUCAUCGAUCCAUCAUUCUUUUUGACAAAUAAAAUAGGAGCGCCCUAGGGAGACAUGCUGGGCUGGAUACAACAUUUAUCCACAAACUCCCGAAGUUGAAUCUUCAAUUCCCUCAACUUUGCUGGUGCCAUUCGAUAAGGUGGUAAAGAAAUAAGGUCCGUACCUGGAAGUCAAUCGAUGGAAAAUUCAAUUUCCCUCGCAGGUGGUAACCCUGGUAAAUCCUCCGAAAAUACAUCAGUGAAUUUCUUCACCACGGGUACAUCUUUAGGACUUAGCAAAGAUUUAUCCAUCGUCACUACGUGGGCUAGGAAUCCCACACAUCCCCUAUUCAACAAUUUAGUCGCCUGGAUAGCAGAAAUAAUACUAUUAGGAAGGAUUCGUCGCUCACCCUAAAAUGUGAUCGACGGUCGUCCAGGCCAUUUGAACGUCAUAAAUUUCUCCUAACAUGCGACAUAAGCACGAUGCCUGGAUAACCAAUCCAUCCCCAAAAUAACAUCGAACUCCGCCAAAUUAAAAUGAACCAGAUUAGCCUUCAUCAUUUCCCCUUCCACUAUUACCAAGCAACUUUUAUACUCCCACUUUACACAGAAAAGAUCUCCUUGCGGUAUUUGCACAAGCAUAUCAUAGCUCAGCGGUGUAGGUUGCGAAUUUAAAUUCGGUGCAAAUGAUAAAGACACAAAUGAAAAAGUAGCACCUGGAUCAAUGAGAACUCUUACCCAAUUACCACAAAUAAGUAACAUACCAGUAAUAACUUGGGGAUCCUGAUCACCCUCCUGCUGAGUCAUGACGUUGAUACGUCCAUUGAACUGACGUCUUGCACCACUGUUACAGCCACUUCGAGCCCUAAAACCCUGGUUGUUACGGCCUGCUCGGUUCCUCUGAGUGCGGCUACCCGAAACUGCACUAAACUGUUGCGGUUAUCUUUAAGUAGAAAAUUGAGUAUUUUGGCUUCCACUCCCGCCAUAGUUUUGAGUAUAAUUGUCGCCAUAACUAGAACUCGAGUUACCCCAUCCACUAGAACUCGGAACAGAUGCAUAACUCUCGACAGGAUGUCCUGAAGAGCAAAAUUUGGUAAUAUGCCCCGUGCCUCCACACCUGUGACACAUGAUUGGUGAUCUGAAGUGACUGAAUGAUCGCCUUCCAGAUUCGUUGCCUGAGCCCUUGCUAGAAGAGCUUGAACCCUAGCCCUGACGUUUGAAGGAAUAUGUGUCUAGGGCCAACAAAGUUAAAGGAGCCACCAGGUUCCCUCAUACUCCGAGAUCGAAAACCACGACCUAUUUGGUUCUGGUACCGAAGUUGGUCUUGAUUUUUGGGUAAUUCCUGAAACUGUGACUGCUCCUGAUUAAUAGUCUCCCACCUAGACUGCUCAAUUCUCAAGCAGGUCUCGAUCAUCUCCUCGUAGCUUCUGUGUCUCUAGGCUGCCACUGCUUCACGAUAGUCUAGAUUCAAGCAGAUCAAUAACGGAACCAUCAUUUCGUUCAGAUUUCCAUAAGUCCUGCAUGAUGUCUUGAUAGAUGCCGAAAAGUAUUAUCCAUCUUAGUGACACUCAAAUCGCAUUGGCGAAACUCUAGAAAUUGUUGUCUCAUCCUUAACUGAUAACUAGGGCUCAGAAAAUAUGCGCUGAAGAGUCUCCAGAAUGUAGCCCAAGUCAUCGAAGUAGUAGGUGGGCGAGCAUCCUUCACUAAUUUCCACCAAAUCUUAGCAUUCACUUUAAGAAAAUAAGCUGCAAUCUUGGCCCAUUCACCUGGUAGACAUCUCAUACCCUCCAAAGUGUCUUCUACCUGCUCCAACCAGUCCUCAGCCUCCAGACAAGCUCCCACUACUCGAAGAUCCGGAAUACCAUGACUAUGAGCAAUCUCAAUAUAGGUGCGAUUCGAUCUAUUACCACUAGUAAAGGCAUUCCGUAUAGCAUUAGUCAAUUGUUGGAUUCCUCCCCUACACCAAAACGAGCUCGACGAGGUACAUUCCCACCAGCGGGAUCCAUAAUUCUGAUAAGAGACGGGCAAGAUUUAGAACAACUGGAGAUUAAAGAUACGAUAAAAAUGAUGAUUACCAAAUGGUGGAAAGAAAUCCUAAGUAUGCUAUGAAUGAAUGACACGCCCUGACCCGGAUGUCCUCGGGACAUCGGGAUGGUCACGUGUUGGCCGACAUCCGAAAAGUGACGAAAGCCAUUUAAUUUAAGCAAUUACUGAGAAACAUGCUAAAAUAGGCAAUAUGGACUAAUAACACAAUACUGAAGUUCAACAGCUAAUUAAUAAAAUUAUGAUAACACACAUAAUGUUCAGAGCAUACGUCUAAUACAGAAUACAAGCGGAAUUUAAGAUAGAGAAUUGCUAUUACAAUAGGUGCCGAAGCAUAAAAGAUAUAACAUGAAAUCACUGGUAGGGAAAUUCCUCGUAUCUCAGAUCGUAUUCCUCGUUAUAAGGUCCUCAAAGGGGCACAAAACAAACAUGAGUGGACCAUGUUAAUAUAUAUAUAUAUAUAUAUAUAUAUAUAUAUAUAUAUAUAUAAAAUAAAACAAUUAUCAACAUAUUAACCCCCAGGUUUUAUGAAAACACAUAUAUUAACUUGGUUCACUCACGUUUGUUUUGUGCCCCCUUAAGGACCUUAUAACGAGAAAUACGAUCUGAGCUACGAGGAAUUUGCCUACCAGUGAUUUCGUGCUAUAUCUUCUCUGCUUUGGCACCUAUUGUAAUAGCACUUUUCAAUCUUAAAUUCUACUUGUACUCUGUAUUAGACGUAUGCUCUGAACAUUAUGUGUGUUAUCAUAAUUUUAUUAAUUAGUUGUUGAACUUUAGUAUUGUGUUAUUAGUCCAUAUUGCUUGUUUUAGCAUAUUUCUCAGUAAUUGCUUAAAUUAAAUGACUUUCGUAACCCUUCAGGUGUCGGCCAGCACGUGACCAUCCCGAUGUCCCGAAGACAUCAGGGUCGAAGCGUGUUAGAUUGGUAUCAGAGCAUGAUUCAUUCAAAGCAUACUUAAGAUUUCUUUCCAUCAUUUGGUAAUCAUCAUUUUUAUUGUAUCUUUAAUCUCUAGUUGUUCUAAAUCGUGCUUGUCUCUUAUCAGAAUUAUAGAUCCCGCUGAUGGGAAUGUACCUUGUCGAGCUCGUUCUGGUGUAGGGGGAGGAAUCCAGCAAUUGACUAAUGCUAUAUGGAAUGCCUUACUGGUGGUAAUAGAUCGAAUUGCACCUAUAUUGAGAUUACUCAUAGUCAUGGUAUUCCGAAUCUUUAAGUAGUGAGAGCCUGUCUGGAGGCUGAGGACUGGUUGGAGCAAGUGGAAGAUACUCUAGAGAGUAUGAGAUGUCUACCAGGUGAAUGAGCGGAGAUUGCAGCUUGUUUUCUUAAGAGGAAUGCUAAGAUUGGUGGAAAUCAGUGAAAGAUAUUCAUCCACCUGGUACUUCGAUGACUUGGGCUACAUUCCGGAGACUCUUCAGCGUACAUUUUCUGAGCCCUAAUUAUCAGUUAAGGAUGAGACAACAAUUUCUAGAGUUUUGCCAAGUCGAUUUGAGUGUCACUGAGGUGGAUAAUACUUUUCAGCAUAUGUCGAGACAUCAUGCAAGGACUUAUAGAAAUCCGAACAAAAUGAUGGUUCAGUUACUGAUCUGUUUGAAUCCAGACUAUCGUGAAGCAGUGGCAACCUAGAGACAUAGAAAUUACAAAGAGAUGAUUGAGACUUGCUUGAGAAUUGAGCAGUCUAGGUGUGUGACUAUUAAUCAGGAACAGUCACAAUUUCAGGAACCACCCAAAAAUCAAAACCGACCUCGGUACCAGAACCAUAGGGGUCGUGGUUUUCAAUCUCGAAGUAUGAAGGAACCUGGUGGCUCCUCUAACUUUGUUGGCCUUAGACACUCUCAUUCCUUCAAACGUCAGGGCCAGGGUUCAUGUUCUUCUAGCGAGGGCUCAGGCAACGAAUAUGGGAGGCGAUCAUUCAGUCAUUUCACAUCACCAAUCACAUGUCACAGGUGUGGAGGCAUGAGGCAUAUUGUCAGAUUUUGCUCUUCAGGGCAGCCUGCCGAAAGUUAUGCAUUUGUUCCGAGUUAUGGUGGAUAACCCGAGUUCUAGUUAUGACAGCAAUUAUACUCAGAACUAUGGCGGGAGUGGGAGCCAGAAUACUCAAUUUUCUACUUAGAGACAGCCGCAACAGUUUAGUGCAGCUUCGGGUAGCCACACUCAGGGGAACCAAGCAUGCCUUAACAACCAGGGUUUUAGGGCUCGAGGUGGCCGUAAUAAUAGUGCAGGACUUCAGUUCCAUGGAUGUAUCAACGUCAUGACUCAGCAUGAGACUUAUCAGGAUCUUCAAGUUAUUACUGGUAUGUUACUUAUUUGUGGUAAUUGGGCGAAAGUUCUCAUUGAUCUGGUGCUACUUUUUCAUUUAUGUCUUCAUCAUUUGCACUGAAUUUAAAUUCGCAACCUACACUGCUUGGCUAUGAUAUGCUUGUGCAAAUGCCGUAAAGAGAUAUGUUCUGUGCAAAGUGGAAGUAUAAAAGUUGCCUGGCAAUAGUGGAAGGGGAAAUGAUGGAGGCUAGUUUGGUUCCUUUUAAUGUGGCGGAGUUUGAUGUUAUUUUGGGGAUGGAUUGGCUAUCUAGGCACCGUGCUUAUGUCGCAUGUUGGGAGAAAUCUGUGACGUUCAAUCGGCCUGGACGAUCGUCGAUCACACUUCAGGAUGAGUGACGAUGGAUAAAUCCUCAUUAAGUCCUAAAUAUGUACCCGUGGUGAAGAAAUUCACUGAUGUAUUUCUAGAGGAUAUACCAGGAUUACCACCUGCGAGGGAAAUUGAAUUUACCAUCGAUUUACUUCCAGGUACGGACCAUAUUUCUUUACCACCUUAUCGAAUGGCAUCAGUAGAGUUGAAGGAAUUGAAUAUUCAAUUUCAGGAAUUAGUGGAUAAAGGUUACAUCCAUCCUAGUAUGUCUCCCUGGGGCACUCCUGUUUUAUUUGUCAAAAAGAAGGAUGGAUCAAUGAGACUUUGCAUCAACUACCAGUAGUUGAACCGGGUGACGGUGAAGAAUCGUUAUCCUCUACCUCGAAUCGAUAACUUGUUUGACCAGCUGAAGGGUGCUCAUGUGUUCUCUAAGAUCGAUCUUCGUUCUGGUUAUCAUUAACUGCUAAUUCGGGAGGAAGAUGUACCGAAGACUGCUUUCCGCACUAGGUAUGGACACUUUGAAUUCCGUGUCAUGCCUUUUGGAUUGACAAAUGCACCUGCAUUGUUCAUGGAUUUGAUGAACAGAGUCUUUACCGUAUCUGGACCGGUUUAUGAUUGUGGUCAUCGAUGAUAUUCUGAUAUAUUCUAAGAGUGUUAACGAACACAUGGAACAUUUAAGGUUGGUGUUGGAAAGGUUGAGAAGUUAGCAGCUGCAUGCUAAGUUCAAAAAGUGUCAGUUUUGGUUAAACCAUAUCAGUUUCCUCGGACAUGUAGUAUCUGCUGAGGGAAUUGGUGUGGAUCAUCAGAAGGUGUUGGCAAUAACUACAUGAGAACAACCGAGGAAUGUUACAGAAGUAAGGAGUUUUCUAGGUGUGGCUGGCUAUUACUGACUAUUUAUUCAGGGUUUCUCAGCAAUUGCCUUGUUUUUGAAUAAGUUGACUCGAAAGGAGGUCGAGUUUAAGUGGGAUGAAGACUGUACGCGGAGUUUUCAGGAGCUGAAGCAGCGUCUCACUCAAGCUCUUGUUGUUGCUCUCCCAGACGAUAACGGUGAGUUUAAGAUCUAUACGGAUGCAUCUUUGUCAGGUUUGGGUUUUGUAUUGAUGCAGCAUGAAAGAGUCAUUGCCUAUGCUUCCAGGAAGCUUAAGACCCACGGGAGAAACUAUCCCACACAUGAUUUGGAACUUGGUGCAUUGGUGUUCGCUCUAAAGAUUUGGAGACAUUACUUGUACGGCGAGAAGUGUCUCAUCUUCACUGAUCAUAAGAGCCUCAAAUAUAUCUUUACGCAGAGAGACUUGAACUUAAGGUAGAGAAGGUGGAUGUAACUUAUCAUUGAUUAUAACUGCACGAUUGAAUAUUAUCCCAAACAUGCCAAUGUAGUGGCGAAUGCACAAGUUAGAAAUAUCACGAACAACUUGCAUCCCUUAGAGCUAUCCAUGUCCCACUACUAUUUUCGCUUCGAGAAACUGGCGUCACGGUGAAACCGGGUGAUCGGGGAGCUUGAUUGGCACAUUUCCAGGUUAGACCUGUUUUAGUGGAUAUGGUCCGAGAACCCCAAGAACUUGAUCAUGAAUGUGCCGACAUAAAGACUUCGGUGGAAAAAUGAGAAAAUGAGGAUUUUAAUAUCUGAAAGGAUGAAACAUUAAUGUGGGGAAACAGACUGUACGUGCCUUACGUGCCUCAGAAUAACGAAUCAGUGAAAAUGGAAAUCAUGGAUGAAGCGCACCUUUCAGCAUAUGCCAUGCAUCGGGGAAACACCAAAUUAUAUCGCACUAUCCGUCCGUUCUAUUAUUGGAUAGGAAUGAAGCGGGAUGUGGCAAAUUAUGUAAGUAGAUGCAUCAUUUGUCAACAGGUGAAGGCCAAUAGACAGACCUGGGGGACUAAUGCAAAAUCUUCCGAUAGCAACGUGGAAAUGGGAAGACAUCACUAUGGAUUUUGUGUACGGUUUACCGAGGACACAGUCAAGAUUGGACGACAUUUGGGAAAUUAUGGAUCGACUCACUAAGACCGCUCACUUCUUGCCUGUUUGACAGACCUAUUCCUUGAAGAAGUUGUCAAAGUUGUUCAUCGAUAAUAUUGUCAGACUUCAUGGUGUACCCGUCUAUAUUGUUUCAGACAGAGAUCCCAGGUUUACUUUCAGGUUUUAGAAAGCUUUUAAUACUGCCAUGGGUACUCAAUUGCUUUUUAGCACUACCUAUCAUCCACAGACCAAUGGUCAGUCUGAGCAGACAAUUCAAACAUUAGAAGACAUGUUGAGAGUGUCUGUUCUCCAAUGGAAGGGUAAUUGGGAUAACUAUCUGCCGUUGGUUGAGUUUGCAUACAAUAACAUCUAUCAUUCGAGUAUCGGUAUGGCACCUUAUGAGGCUCUGUAAGGAAAAGUGUGUUCGAUGCCGUUAUGUUGGAUAGAGGUCUGCGAAUGAGUGUUACUAUGACCAGAGAUUGUGGACACUACUAAUGCUAACAUCCAGCUGAUUAAAAGAAACCGAAAGGCAGCGCAAGAUCGACAGAAAAGUAUCGUGGAUAAACAUUCCAGGGGCAGUGAGUCUAAGGUUGGUGACUUUGUGUUUUUGAAGUUGUCUCCCUGGAAGGGUGUUGUUCGUUUUGGUAAACGAGGAAAGUUUAGUCCUCAAUACGUUGGUUCUUAUCAGAUUAAUGAGAGAAUUGGUGCAGUUGCCUACAGAUUAGAGCUACCAUUGGAGUUGUCACUGAUUUACAACGUUUUCCAUGUUUCUAUGCUUCGGAAAUAUGUACCAUAUCCCUUUCAUAUCAUUCAGUUAGAGUCGCUGGAAGUGAAUCAGGAUGCUAGCUAUGUCGAAGAUCCAGUGGCUAUACUUGAUCGACAGGAUAAAGUGUUGAGGAACAAAGUUAUUUCGUUGGUGAAUGUGCUUUGGAGGAACCACGUUGUUGAGGAAGCAACGUGGGAAAUAGAGGAUUUGAUGAGGAGUCAGUAUUCGUUUUUAUUUGCUUAAGGUUGUAAAUUUCAGGGACGAAAUUUUUAUAAGGGGGGUAGAUUGUUACACCCACCCCCACUUAUAAAUGUAAUUCUGUAAUUCUCCCCAAAUAUUAAUAGAAUUAUCAAUUUGGACCCCAUUCCUUUACCCAAUCAGGAUCUGAAAAUGAGAUUUGUUCUCAUUCUCAAACUGCCAUGUGGCAACACCCUAUCACCCCCUACGUUUCUCUCUCUGUCCCCUACCCGUGACCCCUUUUCCUUUCUUUCUUUGCACUCACUAUCCAUUCCUUCUCUCGAAACCCCCUAAUCCCUUUCCAUUCCUUUAACCCAAGAACACCCAAGUGCACCUACACCCUUACCAUCGUUCAGGCAUCAUCAUCAUCAUCAGCAUUCCGCCGUCUCUCUCUCUCCCAUCGCUGCGAGGAGCGGUGGAACCCAAGAACUCUUCGGCGAGAUUCAUUCGUUUUUCCGGUUAUGUAAGUUUUGGAUUUUCCUCUAUUUUCGUUCUAUUGUGAAGCUCGAAUGAAAUUUGUUGAGUUUUAGCUCAUUUUUAUCAAGGUUGUAACACGAGAUCAGCUCGGGGGAAGACACACCAAUCUCUGGCGAGCCCGUGGUUGUCGAGUGAUUUUCCGAUCACCUCCGACCGUUUUACGGUAAACCAAAGAUAUAAAAACACUCAUCUCGUCUUGUUCUUCAUUUUGAUACCUAGAUCGGGGUCUAGGGUGUGCGUUUGCAGUCGGCCGGAGCUGUAGAAGCUCCGACAUUCUUCUUCGUUCAACCAAGGCCUUUAGGCCGUUUUCUAAACCCACGGGCCUUAAGCCCGUUUUGUUUUAGCCCAAUACCCUAGCCCGUUCCCUUUUUAUUUUUAUUUUAAUUCCUUAAAAACCCAAAAGGCCUUCGGGCCGUUUCAUUUAGGGCAUUUGGCCCGUUGACUAAACCCUAAACCCUUUCUAAUUAGGCCAUCGGGUCGUGUGUGGGUCUAGGUCGAGUCUAGAGACCUCCUAAACCCCUAAGAACUAGCCCGCCUAAUUAUCUAAACCAAAACCCUUAGGGCCCGAUCGGCCUAACCCUAAAGCCCUAAACCCGGUCCAACCCUAAGCUUAGACCCGUUUGACCUGGUCUGACCGUUGAUCCGGUCAACGUUGAUCGUUGACUUUGAUUUUCGUGUUGACUUUUCUGUUUUCGUCCGAUACCUCUCUUAGGCUAAUUUUGACGUUUUGUACCUAUUUUUGAAGUCCGUUUUUCCAAAUUCAAUCGUUUGAGUAGAGUUUGACUAAAUGUACUCCUUUAUGUGAAUAGGUGUGAUUAUUAGCGGUGAUUCCGUUAUUCCUUUUUUAGUAUAGCUUUGCACCAACGGUGUAUAGUGAGUAGACCCCUUCUAAAAAUGCAUGUUUUAUAGUACAAAUGCAUACAUGAAAAACAUGAUUUAACAAUUAUGUUCUAUGAAACUUUUUGAGAUAACAUGCUUACUAACACAAGUUUGAAUUACUACUAUUUUUCUUAUAACCCGUGUUCUUAUAAAAUAUCUUAUGGAUGACGAUAUGAUAUUUAGAACAUGUUUAGAACACAUCUUUAUAGUAUAGAUGAUGGAUGACUUUAUACUAUGAAGUUGUUUUUCAAUAUAUAUAUGUUCAAUGGUUUUGUACUUACCUAGUGGUCCUUUUCGCUACGGGACGUAGGGAUAGAUUUAGGUCCGUCCCGGGCGACAAUUUUGUGUUGGCAUAUGGCCUGGAGUGUGUUUCCUCUGGCUAUUUAGCACAGGGACGGGGAGCAUGCAUGUGGCCUGUAGUGUGUUUUCCUCUGACUGUCUGCUCAGAGACGGGGAGCCGGUGUAACGCCCCUGCCCCGAAAUAUUUGUAUAUUUCGAAAAAUAUUUAUGGUAGGCCUAACCUAAAAACAUAGCUAAUUUAUGUUCUUCUCUUGGAUCAAUUUCCAUCUGUAUACUAGGUAUUGUUUGGUACGUGGGAUGGGACUGGAUGGAACGGGACCAGCCGUUCCGUCCCACGUUUGGUGCGCCUAAAAACUGUGGAACGGGUUGUCCCAUGGGACGAAAUUUGGCUGAUUUUUCGUUUCACCUCUUCCCCCUGGAACAACCCUUUCCACAUCCGUGGAACACAAAUUUAUAACAUUUUAUGACAAAAUUUCUCCUUAUCUUUUUCAAUAUUUACAUCAUCUGUUCCGUCCCGUCCCGUCUGCGUACCAAACGGUACCCUAAUUCUCGAAGAUUGAAACACAUUUAUUUCGCGGCUGCAUCUAACGUCUCGUUAGACUGCCUACGUACCCUCAACAGGGAUCAAGCCUUUCGUAGUUCAAAACUUCAAAUUUUAAACCGAACCCGAAAUAUUCCUUUAAUCCUGCAUAUACCAAAAUCGUAGUAAUAUUCAAACCACAACAAUUAAAUUUAUAAAAACAUAAUUAGAAUAAUGAAAUUCGCAUAAAACACACUUGUCGGCUCCCUGGCCGUGCGCCACCGCACCCGCCGCCACGAUUUGCCGAAAAAUUCAAUUAUUUUUAAAAAUUCUCAAAAAUUACAGAAAUGAAGAUCUUAAUGAAGAAAAUUUCAUACCUGCAACCAAGGCCAACUUGGCCUGGAAAGACUCCAAUUUCGUCAAAACCCGUCGGAACCCUAGAAUUUGGGUGUCCUCAAUUUGACUCCAUAGCAACUCCGACGCCCCAACCAAUGAAUGGGCUUUGUUCCAGCUCUUAACAUGAGUCUAAUUGUGGUAUUAAUUUGAUGGAAUCAUUUGAGAAUUGGGGAAACAAGGUCACGAGUUCACCGCACCCACCGGUGUGGUUUUCCCAAAUCCAAAGCCAAAUUACAUAAAUUUCGAGGUGUAUUAGGGAGAAGGAAGGUUAUGGAGGGUUUUACAAGGGUUAAUUUGAUGUAAUUUCACCGGAAAGAUGGCUAAUUUUGUCGGAAAAAUGGGAAAGAAACCCGACCGGGUCGGGUCCGGUCACACUGGUCAAAGGAUCCCCGCUCCCUCAUUCUCUCCUUUCCUCUCCCGAUUCUCUCUCCCCAUUUGUCAUCCUUUCCUCCCCUCCUCUUCUCCUCCCUCCUUUCUCUCCUUUAUGAUCCAUCUCCACCGCCCAUCUUUUUUGUCUUUAAAUCUCGGCCACACACAUGGCCUUCCAGAUUUGUCUUAAAAAAUUUGGAGUUAUCUUGAACUCAACUAUUUUACUAAAAUGCCCCUAACUUUAAACAUAAUAACUUCUUCGUUCUAACUCCGUUUCAUGAACGGUUUGCGCCUACGCAUUCGUGAGGUCGAGCUCUAUUCAAAAAUAUAAUUUUUGACCUCGAAAGGUCUACGUAUUUUAAAUAAUCAAGGUCCAAACUUUAAACCUCGUAACUAGUUUAAUUUAAAACUAACUUACACGAAUUAUUAUAAAUUCUUGAAAAAUCAUAUAAAAGCUCAAUAAUAUUCUCGAUUUAAUUCUUCAUAAUCAUACAUCGAUUUAUUUUCGAUUUUCUCCACAUUUUCAUAUAUUUAAAAUUUUCAGGGUAUUACAUUCACCCCCCGUUAAAAUAAAUCUCGUCCCCGAGAUUUCAAUCGUCAAAUCACGAUAAGGAACUAGCAUUAUUUCCACCAUUUCUUUUAGGGUGAAUAAAAUUAUAACCUCCACCUACGAUUUCAAGCAAAACAACGAAUUAUAAUCGUGAUUAUUUCUCUCAUUGUCAUAUCCCCAACACAUUCAUUGUCAAAUUUAGUAUAAAAAAUUUUAACUAUACCCAUUGGUAAAAUAAAUCCUCAUUUAGCCAAAAUUUCUCAUGGCCUUCAUUGGCUAUACGCAGCCAUUUACCACAAUUCUUUUUUUUUUUUUUUUUUUUUUUACAAUCAUCACUGACGAUACCAACAUCAGAAAAUACCCAAUAUUGGCAGCAUAAGUAUUAUAAAUUUUCAGACAUAACUAUUCCCGACCAAUUAAAUACUGAAAUUUCAAAUCAUCGACUAGUAACCUAGUAGAAUUUCAAGCCAAAUCUUUAUAAUUGACAAACCAAAUAUCAACAAUUUCAACCAAAUUCUAACCACAGCUUGAAUAAUUUAGUGAGCUACAUGUCCAGUGUACUGUCUACAUUUCAUAAAAAAUUUCACAUCUCACACCACCAAAAAUUUGUUGAUAUUAAACAAGCUUAGAAUUUCAUUUCAUAGUUUCAUCCUUACCUACCACCAUUCUAAUUAUAUUAGGUAGACCAUAACCAUCGUUUAUAAUUUCCUUUCCCAUUCAAUAAAUCACAAUCGCUUCCAUAAAUAUUGAUAUGCCCAACCAAAAUUUUCAUGGCCAUCAGAUUUUUAAAUUUCGAGUUAUACUUACCAUUAUCAAAACAAUGAUUUCACCACCAUUUUCUUUUACCUCCAUAAGUGACUAGUAUGCGGAAAAUAUUGUAUUAUAUCUGGCCAAUAUUCACCACUUUUUUUUUUCUUUCACGGCCCUUCUCGCCCAAUUGCACAUUUACAGGUCAUUGUACCCAAAUUUCACAUCUACGGGCCCUUUUUGCCCAAUCCCAUUUCCACGGGCUCUUUUCGGCCCAAUCACAUAUCCACGGACUCUUUUCGCCCUAAUCACAUGUCCACGGGCUCUUUUCGGCCCAAUCACAGAUCCACGGGCUCUUUUCGGCCCAAUCACAUGUCCACGGGCUAUUUUCGGUCCACUGGCACAGGUAUAAUGCAAUUUUUCCAUCUACUUGUCACCAUUCCACCAUCAUUUUAGCAUUUCACAUUUUCAUAAUGCAUAACAAAAAUCAAUUCAAUUCUAAAUUAAACCAAACUUUAAUCAAAUGCUCAUCUUCAAAGCUAUAACAUAAAUAUGAUAUUUUAAAAUUUUCCUACUCCCAUUCCAUUCAAUUCAAAGUAUCAUACUUCACAACAAUACAUUCCACAAAAGUUCCUUAUUAUUCAAAGAACUUAGAGACUAAUGCAAUAUAAAUAAAAAAAAUUAUUUCUACUAUCACUAUUUCAUAUUCAUCAUGGAAUUGUCAUCACAAGCACAAUGCAUACAUAUAUGUAUUUCCUAUACGUUUUCCAUAAUGCAUAAUAUAAAUUCAACCCUAAAUAAAGGUUAACCCCAACCUUAAUCAAAUACCCCCAACAUUAAGGCUAUUACAAGAGAUGUGACAUUUCAAAAAUUUCUAUUCCCAUUUAAUUCAUUUCAUGAUGAUUUACAACGCAUACUUUCCACAUAGAUUCCUCAUGUUUCAUAGAAUUUAUGAGAUAAUGCAAUACCAACGAGAUCCAUAACUCACAUUCAAAACUCAACCAUCUCAUAAUGUAAAGUGGGAUCAUUUGCUCUGAUACCAUUUGUAAAGCCCAUGCCCCGAAAUAUUUGUAUAUUUCGGAAAAUAUUUAUGGUAGGCCCAACCUAAAAACAUAGCUAAUUUAUGUUCUUCUCUUGGAUCAAUUUCCAUCUAUAUACUAAUUCUCGAAGAUUUAAACACAUUUAUUUUGCGGCUGCAUCUAACGUCUCGUUAGACUGCUUACGUACCCUCAAUAGGGAUCAAGCCUUUCGUAGUUCAAAACUUCAAAUUUUAAACCGAACCCGAAAUAUUCCUUUAAUCCCGCAUAUACCAAAAUCGUAGUAAUAUUCAAACCACAACAAUUAAAUUUAUAAAAAAAAUAAUUAGAAUAACAAAAUUUGCAUAAAACUCACUUGUCGGCUCCCUGGCCGUGCACCACCGCACUCGCCACCGCAGGUGGCGGUCGGCCGCCCCGGUUCGCCGAAAAAUUCAAUUAUUUUUAAAAAUUCUCAAAAAUUACAAAAAUGAAGAUCUCAAUGAGUAAAGAAAAUUUCAUACCUGCAACCAAGGCCAAUUUGGCCUGGAAAGACUCCAAUUUCGUCAAAACCCGUCAGAACCCUAGAAUUUAGGUGUCCUCAAUUCGACUCCAUAGCAACUCCGACGCCCCAACCAAUGAAUGGGCUUUGUUCCAGCUCUUAAGAGGAGUCUAAUUGUGGUAUUAAUUUGAUGGAAUCAUUUGAGAAUUGGGGAAACAAGGUCACGAGUUCACCGCACCCACCGGUGCGGUUUUCCCAAAUCCAAAGCCAAAUUACAUAAAUUUCGAGGUGUAUUAGGGAGAAGGAAGGUUAUGGAGGGUUUUACAAUGGUUAAUUUGAUGUAAUUUCGCUGGAAAAAUGGCUAGUUUCGUCGGAAAAAUGGGAAAGAAACCCGACCGGGUUGGGUCCGGUCACACGGGUCAAGGGACCCCCCGCUCCCUCAUUCUCUCCUUUCCUCUCCCGGUUCUCUCUCCCCAUUGGUCAUCCUUUCCUCCCCUCCUCUUCUCCUCCCUCAUUUCUCUCCUUUAUAAUCCAUCUCCACCACCCAUCUUUUCUGUCUUUAAAUCUCGGCCACACAUGUGGCCUUCCAGAUUUGUCUUAAAAAAUCUGGAGUUAUCUUGAACUCAACUAUUUUACUAAAAUGCCCCCAACUUUAAACGUUAAUAACUUCUUCGUUCUAACUCCGUUUCACGGACGGUUUGCGCCUACACGUUCGUGAGGUCGAGCUCUAUUCAAAAAUAUAAUUUUUGACCUCGAAAGGUCUACGUAUUUUAAAUAAUCAAGGUCCAAACUUUAAACCUCGUAACUAGUUUAAUUUAAAACUAACUUACACGAAUUAUUAUAAAUUCUUGAAAAAUCAUAUAAAAGCUCAAUAAUAUUCUCGAUUUAAUUCUUCAUAAUCAUACAUCGAUUUAUUUUCGAUUUUCUCCACAUUGCCAUAUAUUUAAAAUUUUCAGGGUAUUACAGCCGGCAUGGGGUCUGGGGGUUAUUGGACAUUCACUAGUGAAUAUUAUAUAUACAAGUUAUGAUUUGAGACAUUGCACGACAUGCUAGGUUUCAGAAAACCUAUGUUGAUCAUGAUAUAUGUGUUUUCAUAAAAUCUGGAGGUUAGUAUGUUGAUAAUUAUUUUAUUAUAUAUAUAUCAACUUGGUCCACUCACAUUUGUUUUACGCCCUCUUCAGGACCUUAUAACGAGGAAUAUGAUCUGAGCUACGAGGAAUUUCCCUACCAAUGAUUUCGUGCUAUAUCUUCUCUACUUCGGCACCUAUUGUAAUAGCACUUCUCUAUCUUAAAUUCCACUUAUACUCUGUAUUAGACAUAUGCUCUGAAUAUUAUGUGUUAUCAUAAUUUUAUUAAUUAGUUGUUGAACUUUAGUAUUGUAUUAUUAAUCCAUAUUGCCUGUUUUAGCAUAUUUCUCAGUAAUUGCUUAAAUUAAAUUACUUUCGUCACCCUUCGGAUGCCAGCUAGCACGUGACCAUCCCGAUGUCCCGAGGACAUUGGGGUCCGGGUGUGUCAAGUCUUGUGCAAUAGCAACGAGAUGUGAGUAACUGGUAGAUCAAUAAGACACAACCAAACCGCCAACCACUCACAUUUAGCAACAAUUAUGCAAGAUUUUUUCUGCAUAACUGAUCACAUUGGUGACACUCUUUAAUUCAGGUGGAUCCUACAUGCAAUAGUAAAUGCUGCGUAGCCCACCUCUAUAUUUGGAAGAGUGGCAACAAUGCCGUAAAUUUUGUGUGUUUAAGUUGUGCGAUUGUUCUGCCAUUUAGUAUUACGGUCUAGUGGUAUUCCUCUUCACUUGUAAGUGAGAGGUCUUAGGUUCGAUUUUCGCCAAAUGCGAGUUUGAACCACAUUAUUGUUUAGCUCAUUGUAAAGCUAAGCUCACCCCUUCCCCUUAGUGCAGAUAAUAUCGUUUGUUCUAAAAAAAAUAGUGUGAUUGUUCUAGCAUUGCUUUUAAGUAUGAUUAAUGACCCGAAUUUCGUAAUUAAUUACUGAUAUCAAAAUGAUUAGUGACCCGAAUUUCGUAAUUAAUUAUUGAUAUCAAAACCGAUAUCUUAAGCUAGUGAUAAAGUAAUUUGGUUGGAAUAGUUUGAAUGCAAAGAGAGGGGAAAUGCACUGCACGGAAGGGAGAGAAUUUUUAGUGUGAAGGGAACACAGCGUAGUAUAUUAAAUGUUAUAAUAUUAAUAGUUGAAUACUUAAAUAAUUUUUUUAACCACUUGUACCAUGUCAUUUGAUGAACUCAACCAUGUUUUUAGCACAGUGAAAAUUUUCUCGAAGGGAGGGGAGAGGAGUCUGUCUCCCAUGCGACAAAGAAAAGGACCGUAAUUUUGAAUCUCACUCGUUCACUUUUGGACCCAGUCCUCGCCUUUCCUCUCGAAUCAAUCAAAAUCAAACCACAAAAGGAAGCAAAAGUUAAAGCAAACACCACAUUUUUAAGCUCCUUCGUUUUCACUUUUGCAUAUUCACAGCACUUUCUCUUUUUUUUCCUUUUCUUUUCUAAAUCUUUUUUUUUUUUUUAAAUUUACGUUUGGUGGGUUAUGCUUUAUGUUAUAUCUUCCUUUUUUUUUGGGAGAAAAUACGCAUUAAAUGAAGGGAUUCGAUUGGAAGCCUAGAUAUCAGGUGGCGGGGAACGAGAUAUUUUUUAAUAUGACCAGCAGACGAGGUGAUACACCUCAUGUCACUAUACAAAUAAUGAGAUAUGUGUGUUAAAAAACUAAUAACUUAAAAAAUAAAAAUUCUCAUCACUUACAUAAAAACAUGUGAUGAUGUACCAUUCGUGUUCUCGUCACAAUUAAAAUUUCUCACGGUGAACGCCCUUAAACAAGCUCACGCCCCGUGCAUUCAACAUCUUUCUUUUCAAAGAUAAAUUUAAAAAAAAAAAGAAAUGGGAGCCUUAUCAGCACAAACACUAUUCAAGGUUCUUACUUUUAGUGGAAGAGAAUUGCUUUACGUGGGAAACACAAACAACAAAAGCCACUUGAAGAAGGCCUAACUAUUAGAAAGCAGAGAGAUGAAUGAUGAGUGAGUCACGCAAGUUACAAGCUCCACUCCACUCCACUCCAAUCAGUCUCAUGUGGGGUCACGUAACGAGAGAGAUAUUCACAUCUUCACGUGAGUGCAUAUUUCGAGUGACAUCAAUAUAUAUCAUGCGAGGGGGACCAAGACUUCAAUAGAGCUAUCUGACUAGGCUAACUCUCACAUCGGAUGGUACUAGAUUAUAUAUACUUGGUUUUUUCAAUACAAAAGUGAAAUCCACUCCAUUAACUUGUCUCCAAAACAUUUUAAGCAAACAUAAUCGAGAUACAUUCAAAAGUUCUUAUCUUUCUCAAGAUUCUUGAACGUGUAUAUUUGGUUUGAGAUAAGCUUUGGCUUCUUUCCAUGCCCAUGAACAACCCUACAGUGAGUCUGCAACAAUGCUCGGAACUUGGAAAUCGAUCAAACUAGUGAGCUUAAGCUUAUCUUUCUCCUAAAAAAUCUAGUAACUAAUCACUCCACAAGUCCUAAUUCCUACCGGGCAGGGAAAACGAUAAUUAACUGAAGGAUAAAAAAAAAUGCAGAAUGCAGAUAUAUAAUUAACUUAUUGUACAUGCCUCCUGCUCGAGUUCUGAUGCUUCAAAACUCCGCACGUCUAGGCUCGUGUAGGUGGUUGUCUAGUCUUCACUGCUCUCCUGUAUACACAAAAAAGAAAGCACUAAAAAUAUGAGAGGCGAACAAUUCGGGGGCUCCAUGGUCUUCUAUCAUACUUAAGAUUACAAUUAAUAUCCUGAUUAAUCUUGAAUUCUUACGGGAAAAAAGAGCGGAUGAACACUUUUAAAUAGAUUAACAAAAUUAGUAAAAGAAAAAGGAGAAGCUAGUUCUUUAUGUUCUCUCCCACAACAAAAGUUGUCUUCUUCUUUCUCCAAGGCCUUUAUGUGUUGCUUAUAAAAAUAAGAGAAAGCUUGGUAUAUAAAGAAGCUUUUGAUAAAGAGGGAGACAAUCAUCAAUUUCCAUAUAUAAUCUGAAAUAUAAGUUCCUUCUAUUUAGAAUAUAUAAUAAAUUUAUCGAUUUCUUUUGCUUAGUGUUGAUAUCAAAGCCGGUUAAUAAAGUUCACCGUCACGUCUCAUAUGAAACGUAAUUUAUGGAAACAAUAUAUUCUCUUUCCAAUUGAUGUGAUCUGGCUUUUCCUAUAUUGGUUUUCUUUCUUUAGGAUCUUUGUCUACUGAAGGACUUACCUACACCCCAGGAUGCCAUUUUAGUUUCCCGGACCAAUGAUACAAUGCCAUGAGUUUUAAAUCCCCCACACAGCAUUGUAUUAUUGAUCUGGGACGCUAGUGGCAUCCCGGGGUAUAGGGAAGUCUCUCUCCUCAGUCUCAGUAUGCAUGUCCCCUUCCCUCAUAUUUAAGCAUGCAGCAGACAUUAUUGUGCGAGAGAGAAAUAUACUAGUACAAAUUGAUGAAGGAAAAUGAAAGUACCUGUUAUGAAUGGGAUCAGGUCCAUUUGGCACUCUUCUUUUGCUCACGUAGAUAAAGGUGGAGUCCCAGACAACAGUAUGCUUCUCUCUUCCAAUCAACUUCCAAUGCUUGAAGAUUUUAGUGGAUGAAACUGUAACGGUUGGUUUUUUUUCGGCACCGCGGUUUACAAGUAUUCCAGCAAGGAAAAACCAGAAGACAACCAGCAUCAGAAGAGCUCCAAACAGAGCUCUUAAAACCUUCCUGCGACUCUCCAUGUAUAUGUCUCCCCUUAGCCCCCUCCGACUUUAAGUUUUACCUACUGGCUUUCCGACCACGCCUGAUGGCCAGUCAUUUCAAACCAAGAUAAAGACUGUACCCAAAAGACCAAUGCUUGUGGCGAGAGGACAAGGAUGAACUCUCAGACAAGCAAGCACAAAUGGAAACACAGAGAGAGAGAGAGAGAGAGAGAGAGAGAGCAAAAAGGAGAACAGAAUAGAACAAAUGAUUAGGUUGUAACUUGGCGGGUAGAGUUGUUGGUUCUAUUUAAAGGCUCAUACAAGAAGGUGCUGUAUGAGAUCUGUAUCUGUGAGUGUGAGUGAAGAGAGAGAGAGAGAGAGAGAAUAAGCGGAGAAUAAUAAACAGAAAAGUUCGUUAUUCUAACCCUUUUCUGUGUUGAAUGGGUCCAUUUGAACUCUCUUUCUCUGCUUUAGUUUGUGUUUUGCAGCUAAUAGGGGACCUCACUGUCCUCCUAAUCCUUACGUACUCCCAAGUUUCUAAAAGACAUAGAGCCUAGAGCUACCCCAUUAUAUACAAUCGGGACUGAGGAAGUUGGAACCCCCUACUUACUGGUUUGCUUGUUCCCCUCUACCGGAAAAAUCUUGGAUCCGAUUGCUGGACCACGUAACCUGUCCAACCCUCCCAACAACAGAGUCGGGUCCCCCUGUAUUUGGUCCCACCCAACCACACGCUGGUCCUACAGUUUGAGUCAGCUACCCUAUAUGGUAGCUGCACACAAACUCCUCCAUCCCCACCUAUGAUGAAUACUUGGCUCCAGAGUACAAGCUGACUUCUUAACUGAAUUAAACUAAUCUCACAUUAUAUAAACGGCCUCACCCACAUUCUUCACCCAAACAACAGAAACCAAAUGAUAUCAAUGAUAAUAAUAUUAAUAAACAGAAAGGUGUCAGGCUAAAACUUUGGCUACGGUUGAGAGUUUUCUUGCUUAGUAAGGAUCUCGACAUAUGAUUGUCUGUAAUAAAGUAAUAAUUAAUAAUAAAAAGAAAGUUCAUAUGCUACUUUUCAUUCAAACAAAACAAUACCAAAUAGUCACCUAGGCAUAAUUUUCCAAAUAUGCCCUCAAAAUGAGGAGAAAUUUCCAAACAGAAUUUAAAAGUCCCACUAAAAAGAGGGUAAAUGCUUUAGAACUAUGAAUUAAGCUAUCAAUUAUGUAAUUACUUUGAUGCAAUCAAUUCAUUACAGGACCAUAAGGUUUUUCUGUCCCCUAGUCAGUUGCAACACUACUCAACAUCAGUCAGUCACAUGAAUAUAUGAUAUACAAUGUAUCACAAAAGCUUACUCUACCUACUCCUCAAGCGUCUUCAAGUAAGGAUGAUCUCGUAACAGACUGAACUAGUUUUAUUCACAUGCAUGCGGAUGUGCAAAAUUUAAAAGCCUGUAGAGUAACAAGAGUUGAAUAAAGAUAUGUGAGCACAUAAUUACUCUACUAAAUUCAGUAAUACAUAACAAAGAUACAAACUGGAGAAGCAAACACACAAGUAAAUUUCCAAAAUCUACUUUCUUAUUAAUCAUAACAUGAGAAGGGUAUAAUAGGGAAUUUCCCAUCAGACUCAUCAAUGUCAGCAACAACCCUAGCAUUUUAAGAAUACAACCUGAGAGUGACAGUUAAUUGAGGAAUCAGAAACAUUGAAACCUGAAAAAAAACUAGUGGUGUUUUACGAAAUCUGACGAUGAUACCACAUGAUUGAACUUUAUCCAUGGUCACUACUUACAGAAACUGAUGUGUACAAAAGCUCGCCCGAGAGACGAUUAUUAAGUGACAGAUAAAGAAAUGCUACCAGAAAGGUACCUAUCCAAUAUUAUUUAAAUACUGAACUUGACUUGAAUUUGAGAUAUUUGUCUAUCCAAUUCUGCAAAUAUAUCCAGUCAGAAAAUGUUAGUUCUUUGUGAUGCACAGUAUCCAUGUGAGUGUGAGUGAACUAAUCAAUCUGACAUACAUAUGAGAUUAACACGUCACAAUAAAUCCAACCCUCCUCAUCCCACAAUGAAGGCAUGAACCUAGUUCAAAGUUAGUAUUCUGUCCAAAACAAGUGUACCCUGCAUGUCUGAUAUAAUGCCUUAUUGAAUCUACUAGUUUUCCCCCACUCCAUAUGCAACUUCUUUGUGCUUUCAGAGAAACAGAAAAUCAAACUUGCAAUUACGAAACUCAAAGUAUUUAUUAAGGGCCACCGUUUGUCAUUUGAUCAAAAUUCACCUCUCUUUAUGAAAUUUGUACUUUUAGAUACUGCCACCUCUAUUAGGUGAACAUAUAAUGUGCUUUCAAGGGCCCAGUAAAACCAAGAGAUUCAGUCAAAAGUAUUUGCUUCACCUUAGAUCUUAGAAGCAUAAAUCACUUAGUGGGGUCAACCAAUUUUAUACUAAGAUGCAAUGCGCUCUUCUAGACCUCCAUUGCCGCCCUUGAAUGGAGUAAGACCACACACCAAUAUGAAUAAAAUAAUGCCAACAUCAUAUCAGCAAGGAUUCAAAAGAAAAUAAAGGAUACCAAUUUUUAAGGAAAUUCUAAAGGAAAUGUUUUGCUACAAAUCAACAAGACAAUAGUAUAAGUAGAUAGGCUAUGUAGAACAUAAAUACAUACAUCUUGCAUUCAAAAUUUAAAAGGAAACAACUUUUUAUAUAGUUAUAAAAUAAGUUUAUAACUUUAGCAUUGGAAGAUCAAGAGAUAGACCAUGUAGCACAUAUAUAUCUUGUAUUCAUAAGAAAAGAAUUCACAUAUAUAGCAGGUAUUGAUAUCGAGCAAUUUUGGUGUCAUUAUUUGAAGCAAAACCAAAUGAUAAGUUGGCUAUAAGACCUAAUAAUUUGAGCAACUCAGAUAUGGGAGAAGAUAAAUACUUAGGAAUACACCUAAACAGUUAACUUUCCAAUGAAAGAAAUAUAUACAAAAAAUUAGUUUCAGAUUUCUUACUUUCUUGACAAAACUCAGAUUUAACAUAAAAAAGUUUAACUCAUUUUUAACAUUAGUUGAUCAUCCAGGAAACUCUAAUUUAUCAGAUAAGUCUUUAACCUGCAGCUGCAAUAUUUAGGUCCAACAAUCAGAGAGAUGUAACACUAUGGACAUAUACAUAAUAUGUUACACCUAUGGGACCAUGUCGAAAACACAACUCAUAUAUACUGCCAAUGAAACAACUAAUAUAGUUAUGUGGUCACUGGUUAGGAUAGCUAUCAUUAUCUCACAUUUCAUAAUGCUUUAUCCAUAGUAAAACUGCUGAUAGUGUCCAUUACCUUCACAAGGCAUCCAAAUGAAUCCAGCAUGUCAGUCCUUAGUGGGUACUCAACUACCUAGACCAUGAAUUUGGAAGAUUAAUGAAGAACUGGCAAAAACAUAAGCAAUAACAGAAAUAGAAAUCAGAACUUACUAUGAAGGUAUCUUCUCCAACUAGGUCCGAACUUGAUAUUUGAUCCAUCAGCACUGCAUAGUCAACUUCCAUAUACGGAGGGGUAACACUAAUGUAAUCAAAUGGUUCUUUACCUGCAGGAAAUUGAAUUUUAUUGUAAUGAUUGGAUAUAAAAAGAAAAUGAAAUAUGGUACAUAUGACUUAAGAAAUAUGACGAUGACAAAUAUAAGAUUAUGACAAUGUUUUUGCACCAUGAAGUCUCUUCUAAUCAGCACUCAUCCUUUGUCUAUGUUACAGAGAGAGAGAGAGAAAGAGAGUAUUAGCACAUACCUGCAAGUUUCUGUGCACGUUACAUGAAUUUUUCAACACGAACAGUAUGUAUAACUGACACAUCAAGAAACCCAGUCCAUUCCAAAUUUGGACGUAAAACAUCUGAAAUGACCCAUGGAUCCAUCUCAACAAAAUGUACCUGGAAUUGGUAAUUGUGAAAGGUAGGAAAUCCAUAAAGAUGUAUGUUCCUUGACCCAAAGAGACGAGAGAAACAUGCUACAAUGUACAACAAAAACAGAAAAAAAAUGCAUUGUACAAAACUUUUCGUUGGAGAUUCCACGUUAAAACCCAACUUCACUUAAAACUAGACGACUACUUUAGACUGUUGUAGGUUCAGCACUUCAGCUAUGAGUUGAGAGCUAAAGUACAUACGUAAAACUAUUAUACAAAAUUCAAGAUUUUUGUAGUAGAAAGAGAUAUGAACUAAUUUAUGAAUGGUACCUCAGAGAGUACCCUCGGCUAAGAGCUUCAAUUCCAACCGAUCCAGUACCACUGUACAAGUCUAACCAACGGCCAGGCCUUAAAGAUGCAGGACAACCCCCAGCAGCCUAAGAUUUUUGGCACAAAUAUUAAUUUACAAGCACAAAUGUCAAAUUUACAAGCACGUGUCGUAGACAAAAGACUUACUUACCUGCAGGAUAUCAAAGGCUGCACCUUUCUCGACCUCCAUCAACGGGCGCACAUCCAUACCCUUUGGAGAUAGCAACUUCAUUCUCCGAGCCUUUCCUCCAAGAACCUACAUUGGCUGCAACCUCAUACUCGAGAAAUCUUAAUAAAUCAGUAUUUCACUAUUUUCCAACUGACAAACAUGUUAUUGUAUACCGCCAUUUCGCUAAUCAACAAGUAGCAGCUAAAUGUGUUCUUAACUUGCAUUAAAAACUAAUAAGAAAAGACACAAAAUUUGGAGAUAUUGUAUACAGUAAGCAACUUAUGGGUAGUUCGUGGGGCCUUGGGCUCCCUUGGUGUAAUUUGCAUGUCCCGUCCAGACUCUUUUAGCUUUUUCUUCCUCUUCCCCUAACGUUCCAAUUUCCAAACGUAAAUACACACACACACACACACACACAUAUAUAUAUAUAUAUAUAUAUAUAUAUAUAUAUAUAUAUAUAUAUAUAUAUAUAUAUAUAUAUAUAUAUCACCAGUAAUAAUCAAACAGAUUAACGGAAGAGAGAGAGGUACGUUUGGAAAGGGCUCAGGAGAUAAGGCCUCGUCGGGGUUGAAACCGUACUGCUCCAUCAACGGACGCACUCCACGAUUCCUUCUCCGAUUCUGCAGCCAUUAACACAACUAAAAAGUUCAAAUUUCUAAGAAAAAGGACGAAACUUUGAUCAGAUGAACUGUGUCGUACAAAAACGAUGAGGUUUACCGGAAGCGUGGACGACGACGGGCGAUUGUGGUCGAUUGUUUGCAGAAAUUGAUGCGAGGAGGAGUGGUAGAAGGCCAGCCAAAUUCCGUAGCUGUUACAUUCAUUCGGAAUGGAGAGAGAAUCGAAGGAGAUGAAACCACCAUUGCCGCUCUGCCUGAGCUCCACCUCAAGCUGCAGACCGUAGAGGGAGAGCUCCUCACUUCGUCUCUCAAGUUAUCAGAAACAAGUAUCCUUUUUUCUCUUGGGCUGAAUACGAGCUGGGCCUACAUGUGGGGUUAUUGAGCUGGGCCUAUAGUAACUCAACUACGUGUGUUUUUCUACACGUCGGUCGGAGAUGACCUUAUUGACAACAGUCGAACAAUUUAAAUUAUUUAAAUUUGUUUGAUUCUUAAGCUUCAGACAGCGAAAUCCGAAGAUGAUUUCUGUCCACUUAUACUAAAAGAAGAACGUCGCCGAAAUUAUUUCUGAAACGACAUGAAGCUGACACGUGCCACAUCAAACAUGCAAUGCAAACACGGAGUCUAACCAUGACGAUCAGCUCGCCACGCGGCAUCGUCUCAGCCGUCGAUUACUAAGGUGGAAAGAGCGCGUCACAGAAACUGAACUAUCCCACCAAACUACCCGUUGCCAAAAUUAAAAUCCAAUUUAUAAUUAAAAAUUAGUCACUUCUGCGUUCCACAUAAUUGACAUUUCUCCGGGCGUCACAAAGACUCCAACUUUGCCCAGUUCCGAAGUCGCAAGCGAGCGAGAAGGAGGCCUCGAAUCUUGAUUAAUUAAUUGAUUAAUUAAGUAUUUAAUUAAUUUAGUUUUGGGGAAAUGGGAGCUUGUGCUUCGAGGCCGAAGGGCUGCAGUUUCGGAUUCUCGAAGAAGAAAAAGAAGAAUGGCGGCGGCCGCCGCCUGAGACGAGUCAUUCGCCGGCGCGUUUCGUCGUCCUCCGGUCGCUCCGUUCCUGCACUCCAAGGUGUUUAAUUUACUCUUUGAUUGGUUUGGGUUUGCUUUUUAUUUUAUUUGUUUCUGUUUUGAUUUAAUUUAAUCGGAUGAGUUCUGACCAGCAGGAAGUAUGGAUGGGGCGUUUUUUGAUGCAAAUUCGGCGAUCGAGUCGGAGCGAGAUGACGAUUUUUACAGUGUUUACGAUGGUAUUAUCAUUUCUCAAUUUCAGUAUUUUUUUUCAUUUUUUUUUUCAAAUAAUUGUGUAGCGUUAUGCCACCGAAGUUAAGCGAGUUUAGGCGAGAGCAUUAUUUAAGAAGUGGGUUGGUUUGAUAUAAUAUGCAGAUGUGAUGUCAUUAAACGAGUCGGAAAGUGCAUCCACGUUGAGUGUUUUGUCACCGAGAGGUCUUUCUCGGCAGGCACAGAAACCGCCGCCAUUGCAUUCCACCUCCGCUGUGUCUGCAGAGGAGAUCGUGGACGAACAUGGCGGAGGGGACAGAAUGCAGGGACUGGAUCACUGUGGGAUUCUUCAAAAUUCUUGCUUGCCUUGUCGUCCUUCCAAUAGCCUGUCGGGCGACAAAAGAAUAACCACGGCCACGCCAAGUUUGAGGAGGAAAGGCCUUUCGUUUAAAUGGAGGGAAGGGCAUUCUGCUGCAGCUGCAGUUGAUCACACCCCCACAUUACGUGAGUGUUGCCCGUGGACUUUCCCAUUUGUUAGUAUUAUGAUGCAGCUUAACAAUGUGGACUGGCAGCUGAUCUUAAUCUUCCCUGUUUGUGUUAGUUUCACCGAGAUCGCUUGCGAAAAGACCACUAGCCGGUUCUACAAUUCCCUACUGUCCCAUUGAGAAGAGAAUGCCAGAUUGUUGGUCACCUCUCGAGCCAAACACUUUCAAAGUCCGGGGUAAAAAUUAUCUUAGGUGAGAGCUUAGUACUUUCAAUAGAAUUGAUCUUUUUCUCUAUUUUCUCGGAAUAAUCUGUCUGAUUUGUGUUUGUAUCAACUCUUCAUUUGCUUGAUAGGGAUAAGAAGAAAGAAAUUGCUCCGAAUUGCGCUGCAUUUUAUCCUUUUGCCGCUGAUAUUUUCGUAUCUCCGAAAAAGAUUGAUCACAUUGCUCGAUUUGUGAAACUUCCGGUUGUGAGUACCACCGGAGAUGUCCCUUCUAUUCUUGUUGUAAAUGUUCAGGUGCCUAUUCCUUCACAAACUUAUUUUCCUGAACUUUUUACGUCUUAUUUCGUUUCCGUGCUAAACCUGUUUGUAUGUUCAUAAUCUGUUUGUCCUCUAUGUUUGGGAAUAGUUUUUCUUCUUAUGCUAAAUGCUCUUUGUAAUUUUUUCUCAAAUUCUAUGUGAAUCUUCUAUGCUACAGAUACCACUUUAUCCAGCCAAUUUUUUCAUAGGCGAUGGUGAUGGAGAAGGAAUGAACUUGGUUAUGUAUUGUAAGAUUUCUGAAACUUAUUCGAAGGAGCUUCCUCCUCAUUUCCGAGAAAGUAUCACUGUAAGCUGCUUGAAACUCUAGCUGUGGCCGUUCCUGAUUUUUAACACGUAUAAAUAAAGUUACGAAGUUUGGUUUUCUUGAAAAUAUGCUGCAUCACAUGGCAGACUCGUGACUCGCUCAUUAGGUUGAUUUAGUAUGUAUAACUAAUUAAUUAUUGUGUCCUUGGUUAAUUUCUUGACAGAGAUUAAUCAAUGAUGAAGUGGAGAGAGUUAGAGGAUUCCCUGUCGAUACAAUUGCACCCUUCAGGGAAAGAUUGAAAAUUUUGGGCCGAGUGGCAAAUUUGGAGGAUCUUCAUUUAAACACAGCCGAGAAGAAGCUAAUGAAUGCUUACAAUGAAAAACCUGUUCUUUCACGUCCUCAACAUGAAUUUUACUUGGUAAGUUUUGGUUUCGAUUCUCCACCUGCAUAAUUAUCAGAAAAUGCACCAUAUCCAUUUAACCUUUCUUUCCCUCCAAUCAUACUCAUACAGGGAGAAAACUACUUCGAGAUCGAUUUGGAUAUGCACAGAUUCAGCUACAUCCCUAGAAAAGGUAUUGAUGCAUUUCACGAAAGAAUGAAGCUGACGAUAUUGGAUUUUGGUCUCACAAUUCAGGUAAACAAUAUAUUUCAUAAAUCUGAACUUGGCGUAUUUACCUCAUACUUAAGAUCGACACCUAAUCUGUGCUAUGCAUUGUGAAUUUCAAAUAGGGGAACAAAGCAGAAGAGUUGCCGGAGCAUUUGUUAUGCUGCAUACGGUUCAACAAAGUUGACUACAAUAAUAAAUCAUUACCGGUGGUUCUGAAUCAAAAGUUUCUGUAAUCCCAACACAAUACUCGAGUUUUUCAAAUCGAUAAAUAACAGAAAAAUAAGUUAACUAAUACGAGAACAUAUGGAGUCUCAAAAUCUUAGUAUUGAGCUUCUUCAAUUUGUAUGUAUAUAGAAUUUUGAAUGUACAGUUUCAGCAGGAAGAGUGAAAUAAAGAGAACAGAAAAUUUUAUUCAUACUUCCGUGUCCAGUAUGCUUCCGGUUUCUGUAUGCAGCUUCUUGGCAGCAACGGGUUUGGCUAUAAAUCGAAGCAAGAGCCGGUAUCUUCACCUCUCCUCCUCCUGCUGCGUCUACAGGUCUCAUUCACUCCCCUCCAUUUAAAUCCACUGAUUGUAUCUUGAAGCUGCUUCUUUUAUCUGUGUGCUGAUGAUCGAUAAUUUCAUCUUUCCAGAUGUUCAUGGUAAGAAAGUAAGAAACAUAGAUUUCAUUCAAAUCUUCAGUCGUGAGGUACUUAUGAAACGAAGAUCCAACUACGCUGCAGGUGGCCUCAUACAUCGCCCAAAAACGGUACACAAAGAACAUUUAUGAACAUUUUCUUCAGGCUUAGAACGUAAAGAUGAAUCUGGUGAGGAAUGUGAAUCAGCAUCCUUUCUUUCUCGAAACCCUUCGUCUGGAUUUGGAUGUUCUUCCCCGUCAGUUUUGUUCAUCGAAAUAGUGACCUUCAGAGUAGGCUUUUUGUCGAGGACUUGAAUCUUAUCCUCCCAAAUGAGGCCGGAGGAGCCCUGCCUUCGGAAUGAAGUCGCCGAUCUCUGCAACGCAGUCAUUGAUCGAUACUUUCGGUCUCUGUCUCCGUCUUGCUUUGUUUCAUCCGUCUUGUUUCGGUCCCCUUCCUUGACUGGGAGGAGGAUGAUAUUAAAAGGCUUUCCUUUUUCUAACUAACAAACGGUUUCUUGUUUUGAGUUUGUGGCCACUUACCCGUAAUUACAGCUGAGCGAGAGGAGUUUUCAUUAAGUGACCUUGAAAUAUCAAAUAGUGGUUUUUAUGUGGUUAUAGUAUUCUAGAUGCAAUUACAUUACUAUGCUGCGUAAAACAUUCAGCGUUUAAAAUAUUCGUAUCGGUGUAAAUAUCGAUAUGCAAAUUUACGAAAAUAUCGAUUGAUAUAUUGAUAUUGAUAUCGGUUGUUCUUGAUAGAAAUAAUGGAAAAUUGCUAAAAAAAUAUGGAAAUUUCAAAUAAAACUUUAGGAAAUGUCAACACAGGUUUAUACGAAAUGCAAGAGUUUUUCCGAUAUUUAACUGAUAUGUCAAAUAUAUUGAUAAAAUAUGUCAAUUUUAGCUAAAAUUUAAGAGUUUCUCUGAUAUAUGAUGAAGUCUAAACUUCAACCCCUCCCCAUAUCUUUCUAGUAUCAAAGAAAUUUCAAACAUUGUCCACAUUCCAAUAUUACACAAGAACUUUUAACGAGUAACUAAAAAGUCCUUCAUUUUACGACUAUCAUCUCUCCUAGGUUUUGGUAACUUGUUAGUUCACGUUAUAAUGAGUGGAUGGCGAAUUUAUGCCUUAGGUUAUAAUAUAACAAUAAUCCACCCAUAUUAAAACGUGAUCAUUUUCUAAUACUAUCUAAUAAUCUCUCGUCAAAUAUGGUUAAUUGUAGAAAAAUUACUUAAAAAUGAUGACAAGGGAAAGUAGUUUUUUCUCUCCCUCAACCUUAAAUAAUUUCAUCUCGAUUAUUGUGGUCUGAUCCUUGGUGGCAAGUGAAAAGUAAUAUAGAUAAUUUCAUUACGUAAUUAUCGGAACAUGUUAAAACUGAGACAAGAAAUUAACUUCAUUAAUGCAGAUGUAAGUUAUUACCGGUGAUAAUAGUAGUAUGUUCGCCCGUUGCAUCCAAAGUUCGAAUCCGCCUUUCUCUAAAUUAUCAUAGUUUAUAAGAUAUCGUCUUAUAAAAAAAAAAGUUUAACUACUAAUUAAUAAUCGAAAGAAGCAUCCAAAAGUUGAGGAAAAGCUGCCUGCAUCUCACUGUCUUGAUCCAAGAUAGUCUCCACAAACGAACUCAUGGAAGACGAAGAAGCUUGCUGAUCAAGCAAGCCAUUGCUCCUCUGACCUCCGAAAUCACAUCCCUCAAUUGCAUCAGAGUUGCCUUGCACUCCAAGUUUAGGGUUUUCUAAAGCUGACAUCACCACGUCAUGCAAAUCUUGUUCUUGCUUCAAAUGAUCAGCUGAUGCAAAAGGAUCAGCUGAUGCAAAAGGAUCAUGGAGAAGAAACUCACUCCAGUUAAACGGAGAAGAAGACGGCGUAACCUGAGCCUCGUGUGAUUCCCGGCACGCGUAAGUUGGUUGAGAAAUUAAUUGAUGAUCUGUGGCACGAGGAGAGGAUGAUGAGGAGCAAGAGGAGGUUACUUCAUUUAAAAAGGCUGCUCAAUUUGCACACUCUCUUGAAACCGAUGAGCCAAAAAGCCAAGUGAAAGUGUGCUAUCACAGGAAUUGUGCUCUGAUCCUUGUCCAUUAAUAUUAGGGUUCAUCAUCACACGGGUAUAUGGGAUUCCUGUGAUGCCGGAAGAAGGCUCUGGUUCGGGUGCGAAUGCCCUAUUUGAGAACUUAAAGAAGUACGAUAAUUGAUUUCCGGCAGCGGUUGGGAGGCCGCUGAUGUUUCCGUAGUCGGAGAGGAUCUGGGAGUAGGGUUUGUGGGUGACAGGGUCAAUUCCCAUUUUGGAAAGCUUCUUUUUGAGCUUGGUGUUCCAGUAGUUUUUGACGUCAUUGUCUGUUCUUCCUGGUAGUUGCUUGGCAAUGUGAGACCACCUGCAUUGCAUAAAACAAGUAUUGCAUGUGUUAGUAAACGCAUAGGAAGUUAAUAAUGUGAAUAAUUCCAAUAUUUAUUUGCUUGUAGAUAUGAAAAAGUCGGAAAUCAGAAUAAUUUCGAUUCUCAUUUUAAGCAAGUAAACAUGUCAUCAGGCUUUAGAGUUAGAGUGAGUGUUUGAAAUCCAUUCAAUAAGGCCAAAUCAGAUCUUUGAAUCUUACUUUUCUCAUGUUAAUCUUGAUUAAUCUCUUGGCAUUUUAAUUUUAUCUACUUAAAAGAGACAUCUUUUGGUUAAUUUUUCUAAGCAAAUAUGUGCACAUAAAAGCAGUUACAAAUUUUUCAUAAAAAAUUUAAAAGGAUUGAUAUUAAAUAUACAUUAAAGGGACACUAAACCUCAAUUUAUGUACGGCUUACUGUCUAUCUGUGUCCAUCAAUUCGCUUUUUUGGCUAAAAGUUUGUAAACUGUUGUAUUUGCUUGUGGUAUUGACAACAACACUCAUAUGAAAAGGAGAAAAGUAAACAAAGAAAUCAACUCCACCUGCUUCCGAUGGCCUUGUGAAGGUUAAUGAUAUGUUGUUCCUCUUGAGGAGUGAAGUUGUCAUGCUUGAGGUCAGGCCUCAGGUAAUUAGUCCACCGAAGCCUGCAACUCUUCCCACAUCUGUUGAGUCCUGCAGACAAACCAUGCAAACACAUAAUCUUUAAACAUCGGACAAACUAACGAAAUAGUUAUCAAAUAGGCACUUCGGUUAGCAAUUAAAUAAGUUAAGCAUAAAACUGAACCUGCUUUUUUAGGAACCAAUGUCCAAUUUCCGACACCAUAUUUCGAUACAUAUGCAAGAAUUUUUGCAUCCUCUGCGGCAGUCCAGAGGCCUCGUUUCACAUUCGAUUUAUCGCAGCAAGGCGGCCUUCCCAUAGAGAGAGAGAGAGAGAGAGAGAGAGAGAGAGAGAGAGAGGUGAAAGAGAAUAAUUAUGUAAUGGUGAUGCAAGUUCUAAGCUUUGCAAGUGUUAUUUAAAAAGAGGAAAGAAAUUGGCAAAGAGAAGAGGGCAAGGAAUGCAUGCUAAUAGGCUCUCAAUUAACCAGAAUUGCAUGAUCAUUUUCAUCUCUCGGAAAACUAACGGUUUAACAUGACAUCACAAACCUAUGCUCUCUCUCUCUCUCUCUCUCUCUCUCUCUCUCUCUCUCUCUCUCUCUCUCUCUCUCUCUCUCUCAGCUGGCUCAAAUUGGAUGAAUUAUUUGGUUAAGGCACAAGCACAAUAAAUCCAAGGCCGCGUGGUAACAAAAAUUAGGAUUUUAAACCCUCGUGGUGUAGUCCAUUAGCAAAUUUAGUCAUUUCAACACAUUCAUAGGAUGUAAAGAGCUCGCGAUGCUUCAACGAAUAACCUUUCAUAUUUGUAAUAGUAAACUGUGCAACAAUGAACAAUGUUUCUAAAAUUUUGAUCUGGGCACAGCAGCGCCAAACAUAUAUCUCACUAUGGCAGAGCUCAAUGUUAUAUACAACUUAGCAUUUAACCGUUCUGUGUAAAUAUUGACCUCCCUUAGGACGAACACGCCUUGCAACUCUUCCUACAGUAUCCAAGAAGUCCCUCCGUGCCUAUCAUAUAAGUUGGGUUCUUUUUGCAUUCUCCCGCUUUAGCCCACACGGGGCAGUUAUCAUUUUCGUCUGAACAAACCCCGCCAGUUGCACGCUUUAUUAGUGACUUCUCGAAGGAUCUCACAUGAAUCCACUUGGUUGCAGACCAUUUCUCACCCUCAAUGACAGGGCAACUCCCGUGCAAGCUGCUUGGAUCGGUUGUUGCAUUGGGAUGGAGACUGAAGAACAGCAAGGCGUCACCCUUGUGCGGUUUCACUGUAAGGAUACAUAGACAUAGUAAAUAAAUGAAUACAACACAAAUAUAACAGCAAAUACGAUUUGUCUCUAUGAAUUUCAAACUACAAUUCACUACCCGCUCCCGCACUGUACACAGGACACACCCACUUGUGAAUUAGUUAAAAGAUAACUAAGCAGCAAGUUUCAAAUACAUUUAGUUUACGUGACCAUAUCAUAACGUGAUACCUGAAUAGCCGUCUUUAGCACAAUCAGACAUGUCAUCAUCCUUAGGUUGAGACAGUUUUCCCUGUCAACACAUAAGAAGACGAAUGAAAAUUCAAUAGGUAAGGAAAAAAAAGAGGACGAGAAUUCAGCCUUGCAAGUAACCAAUUACCUCCGAAUUGGGAAAGACUGUUUCCCCACCCUUUUCAACAUUAGAGAGAUACAUCAAUACAGUGGCAACACGGUGGCCACCCAAUUCUUGGUUAGUCUUGUCUUGAAAAUAAUCGAAAUGUGGUUCGUACUUUUGACCAUGUUCAUAAUGCAGUAUCUGAAUGGACUCACCAUUUUCUGAUAAGAAAAGAAAAGGAAGUUCAAUAAAGAUGAAAUAAGACUUCAAUAAAGAUGAAAUAAGACACUUUCUCAGUAGUCCAAUAAGCUAUAAAUCAACCGCGCACAAGAAAUUACCAACUGGAAGAAAGGUCCAUGCAGCAAUCCUGGCCUCAAUGUUAGCAACUAUUUCAUCCUUUAAGGUGAAACAAAGAACACCAAGUAAGCCUUCUGAGUUCAAAAGUCAGAGAAUAAAUAGAAAAUAUAUGCACACAUGGGAAUGUAUCUAUCAUGCAACGUACCAAAAGGAGAAUAAUGGGUAUGGACCUCAGAGCAUAGUAAGAAGGAUCAUUACUUGACAACUAAGCACAAACAGAAACUUCUCUAUUUUCCGAAACAGAUACAUUGAUACGAAGGUUUGAUCAAUAAUCCCACUCACACAUUUUUUAUAUGACGAACAACAAACUUGAGUUUAUGUAAAUUAGAAGAAGAUGAUCAUCUUGACCAUUUCCGCACACUAGAUUCAAUUGUCCACAGUGGAAAAACCAUACUUAAUAACCCGAAGAAUGUUCGGCUUUUCAGUUAUAAUUCCACAACUUGGACAACACCAAAGGAAAUUAACAAUUGUACCGAACUAGAAGGUCCAGAACUACACGAAAGGACUACUAUGAGUUGUUGAAUCUACCACAAACAGUAUACAUAAAUGUGUACAUAGUAAGAUGCACUACAAAUUGUCAAACUCAUCAACAUCCUCUAUUUCUAAGCUAUGUCCGCAGACCUUCAAACGUAUAAUGGAUAACAUGAAGUGACAAAAAAAUUGAAUCACAACGCAUUAGACUGAUACCAUUACGACAUUAAUGAAGUAAAUCAAAAUCAUCGAACGAAUUCAAACCAUCCAUUCAGGAAAGCAGAGGAAUUGACAAACCUGAGCUUUCAGAAGGAACAUGCCGGAGCUCGUCCGGACUUCACUCUCCAUACUCUGGCCAGACUCGUUAUCGGCCACCAUAGACUUUUCUAGCUUAUCCUUCGCCUACCUCGCGAAAUUCACACAAACCAAACCAAAUUAUUACUGAUUAAAGACUCUAAUUAGUGAAUUUCAGAUGGACUAAAAACAAAAUUCAAUGAAAAUAUAGGGAAGAAAAUCAUUUACAAUUUCAAUUAGAUGAUCACAUUCCUCCUCAGAAAGAAACCCCUUAUGCAAAAACGCCCUGUAGAUUGUUGAUCACACGGGAAUUUUAAAAAAAAUUAAUGAAACAAUAAUAAAAAGAGAAAUUCAGCAGAUAUUAUUGGAGAUGCAAUUGAGAAAAACAAACCUGGGACGCCAUGAGAGCUGACUGACACGAGUCGGAUCGAAGGUAGCAGAUGAAGCUCCUCUUCUCAAUCUGAUCACCGAUCCCUCGCUGAAAAUUCACACAAUUUCCAAACAAACAAAAAAUUUAAUUCCACAAAAAUGUAGAUAAAAAAAUACGUAGAGAGAGAAAGAGACGGAGAAAUACGUUUUCUUCUGCUCGAGCAAUACUGGGAUGCGAGUUCGAGAAUGGGCGAGGUGAGGGAAAAUGCAGAGGAAACAGAGAGAAAGUGCGAGAAAGCAUCGAAGAUCCAUGAGAAAAUCUAGGGCUUUGGUGAAGGUCUGUAAGAAAUGUUACAGAAUCGGAGGAGACGAAGAGGGAAGACGUUGGCCCUUCCUUGGGGUUUUAUGGCGGUAAAAGUACUAAAACGGUGGGUUGGUUUGCAAAUUAAUUAAUUUUCUUGCUAAAAGUUAAUUAAUUAAUUCGAUUUUUUAGCUUUUUAUUCAGGUGUGACAAGUAAAUGGAUAUGUUUUGGAAUUGGAUCCUCUCCGAGGCAAAGCCUCGGAUUCUUCCUGAUCGGACAAUACGGAUAAUUAGAUUUUGAUUCAACGGUUACAAAUAGGAAGGUCUCUUUAAAAUUAUAAUAAUUAUAUCCGUUAGAUCAAAAUCCAACGAUCCGUGUCGGUUAGGAGGAUCCCUCGGGGAGGAUCCAAUUCCAUAUGUUUUCUACGGUCAAAGCCCCAAUUGUUAUUUUUUGGAAUGUUCCUUGAGUUUGAGGCUCGUAGGGUAUACAAAAUCCAAAAGGUCAGUCGAAAGAAAGAAAAACAAAUACCAAGGGUUGGUGAGGUAGAGAAAUGACAGAAUAGAUCGAAGAGGAAAUGGAUCGUCGGAAAAUAAAAGGAUGCGGUGGGAUUUAUAGAGUUAGUGUCCGAGUUCUGAUUUGGGCCCGUGAUAUUUUUUUCAAAAAAGGAACGACGCCACGAAUAUGCGUUGGAUUUUGGCUACCUUAUAUCGUUUCAGCUUCCAAAAUAGUGUUUAAAGUUUCGUAGUAAAUACUAUACCUUUCGGUUUCCAUCCGAUUAAUGUUUAAUUAAUGUUGUUUAAUCCCUAGAUUUCUUUUAGUUGUUCCAAGCAAUUGUAAUCUUUUAUUUAAGUCAUCAUGAUGUAACAAAUGUAAUCAUUCAAUCAUCAAUCAAUAUUAACCCUUUGGGAUUUCUCUCAACUUUCUGGUGGAUUGACUUUGUUCUUCAAGAAAUUACGUUGGUAACCCUUUUGAUUAUUUUUUGUUGUGCUAGUUAGAGAAAAAUUUCGAUAGGGCUGUUUGAUUGGGUAGCUAUCACAUUAAGUGGAUUAGUGAGGUGUUGGAUCAAACUCAUGUUUUGCAGCAAUGUUGCUUUCUCCUACUCGUCAUGGGUCUAAAACUUAUCAUGUAAACUGAGUAUAGAUGGUGCGGUUUAGUGCCAUCGGUUUUUCGAGUUAGUAGCUAGUUGAUUCGUCAGGUCAGUUGUUACAAUGAUAAAUUUUUUUGUUUUUGUGACUAUUAUUCUAUUGUCUUCAUCGACCAACAUUUUUUGUAAAUCAUGAGUUAGGUGUAGUUACGCACUGUAACUAAAUCGACUUCCCGUUCAUCCCAAAUUCUUAAUUAUACUUAUAAUAAAAAAAAUGACCCACUUAGAACUCUCGAUUCCGUUCGUUGUAUAACUUCAAAGAUCUAGGCUUGCAUUGUGUAACACAAUGUUAAAUAUUGGGCCUAGGAAGGUUAAAUAUUGGGCCUGAGAUCUUGUGGGAAUUUACAUUUUGCUACUACCCAACCUCUUUAUUAUUGGGCCAGUUAAUAUUAACUGUUGACUACUAUAAUAAAGUUCACAAAUUUUAUUGUUUUGCACGAAAAUAUUAUUACACUUAGCAUAUUGCACUGUGUUUCCAUCAUAUUGAAAAAUGUCUCAUAUUAACUGGGCAAUUGGCCUUAGGUAUUUUCAAAAAGGUUGUACUAUCCACACAUGCAAUUUUACCUCUCACACAUCCUUCUUAAUUUUUGACCGUCGGAUCUAAAGAAUUGAAAAAAAUCAAUGAACAAAGAUUAACAAAAGUGUGUAGGAGGUUAAAGGGAAUGUGUGAAUAGAAUUAUCCUUAUCAAAAUUAGAGAAAAUUUUAAUUGUGACGAGAAUACGAGUGGUACAUCACAUGUUUUGUAAGUGGUGGAAAAUUUUACUUUUUAAGUUAUUAACUUUUUAAUAUAUAUAUCUCACAAUUUGUAUAGUGACAUGUGAUGUACCACCUCGUGUACCAAUCACAUUGAAAAAUCUCUCUCACAAUUGACCUCUAGGACUAGGCGAAAGUACAAAGCAAAGGAAUAACAAAUACAUUUAAACUAGUAAAUGUAUUUCAACUAAUUACCAUGCAUAAGUUGUUAUAUGCAUGUGAUUAUCUGCGAUUAAAUUUAUGAGAAGGAACAAAAAAAAAACACACACACCAAUUAUGGCUAGCAGCCCAUAAUUUUCUUAGCUGUAGCCGCGCGCUUAGACUUUUCCGCCACGAUGCCGUCGUUCCCCGCCAAAGCCCGGUACUUGUCCUUCCGCGUGAAGGUGGUGCACUCGUACGACAAGCUCGCCGCGAUGUUCCUCUGUAUGUAAUUCGCCACGUCAUGACUCGACUUCCCGGCACCACAAGUCAUCUCGUAAGGCAGCUUGUUCAAAAACGUCACUUCGUACGCCGGGCUAGGGUUCAUGAAGAAGUAGAACGGGUCCAUCCCCUUCCAUCCUCGAGCCGUCGUCCCGUGGAACAUGCUCAUCCGGUUUGACAUGGCUACGGGGACGAGCUCGUCUGUCAGCUCAGCGAACAGGGCUGAAAACCGGAGCAAAAAUGGUUCCCGGCACGUUGUUCCCUCGGGGCAUAUGACGAGGUCGCCUUGUUCCAAGAGCUCUUUAAUCUGGUUCGCGUCCUUGACCCGGUCCCGGGUGAGCCGGACGGUCUUAAUUGGCGAGAUGAGCUCCGACAGGCGCGAGAGAGAGUAGGUCACGGCCGGAAUGGGCCGGCCUAGAGCGGUCGAGAGAAAAAUCGGGUCGAGGAGAGUGCGGUGGGAGCAAAUGAAAAGAACUCCGGUUUGGCCUGUGGAUUUCUUGGCGGGAGGUGGUGGGGUCCCUUUGAUAUACACCCGUACGCCCAACGCCCAAAAAGCGUAGUAUACGACGUGCAUAGGAAGCAGUGAGCCGGCUGCUACUCGCAAGCAAGCUAAAAGAAAACCGACCGGGAUCCAAAGAAUUAUAAGCAAAGCCAUGAGCGGCGAUGGCUUCUGAGCCAGCCUUCCGUCGUGAAACACUAUCGGUUUUGGCAACUUGUCGUGGCUCACCGCCUCGACUUCCGGCGUAGCAGGAACCACGUAGCUCUCUUUGCAUCGGUUCAUGAAUGGGUAAUCCGUUUUCCGAUCACCGAGCCCGAUAUCUGGUGCGGACGAGGGCUCGUUGCCAAACGCUUUGUUAAGCGCGUUGGCCUUGGCUUCACCGACCAAAACUCCGGGAUUGAGAACCCGCCCAGUGGCUCUGCCUCUGUAGGUGUCGAUCUCAGUCCCCAGAACCAGGUCAGCACCCAAAAACUCCUUCAAAAACGGCUCCACCAUGAUUCUGGGGUUCGCGGUCAAAACGCAGCGUUUCCCACAUGAAGAGAAGACUCUCCACGUCUCGGAGUGCAAGUCCGCUGAAUAGAACUUGGGGAGUACCGCACGCGCCACGGAUUCGAUGUCGGAAACUCUCAUGCCGGCGAAGGUGGCAAAAACCAUGACACGAAUGCCGGCUGACUCCGAUACAAAGUAGUACAGCAGGCCAAUGAGUGGAGACGCCAGUAGUAAAAAGAGAAGCCUUAGUAUGCCGCCGACCUCGAACGCGACGAGGGCAAAGUAAGGGAAUGAGCUCCGUCCUCUAAGCAAAGUGCCAUCCAUGUCCGCCAUCACGGUAUGUUUUUCGCGACCAAUUGACGGGCAGCGGUCGAUUGUCGAGAAGGUAGGAAGAGAACGUUCCUCUACAGUGGUGGCCAUGGAGGGGAAUGAAUUUUUUGCCAAUUAGACUACCUUGGCUAUGGAAAAACUGUUUGUACUAACAAUUUUUAUGUUUAGUUAGUGUUAAUUUGUUAUUAGCACCUGACUAAGAGGGUUUGUAUGUGGAUAUAUAUAGAGGGAGACAGAGAGAGCAAUAUGGUGGUUGCUUGAAUGUUUUGGCUUAUGUGAUCAAUGACAGUGUCGCCGAGAGUUCCGAAAACAAGUGAGAAAUGGUGAAAACAUCAUAUUGGAUUCACCACCCAUUUGUCUUGUGUGUGUUGUAUUGUGUAUGAGGCUUAAUAAUGAACGAUGAGAGAGAAAGAUGCUAAUUAUUGUAUUAGUGCUUAAUAUUAUGGAGACGUUUAUGAAUAGGUUUUUUUUAGUGUAUCUGAAAAAUUAUAACAUACAAUGUACUAUUUUGUGCUUUGAGCGCACAUCGACAAUGCUACAUUACUUGGAAUAUGAGUCACAUUACUCAAAAUGUGAGUCAAUUUACGUGUUGUAAUGAGUUAAGGUAUAAUGUAAGUGAAUCAAUAUAUCAUGCUAACGAUGACAGUCAUAAGAAAUUUUUCUUCUAAACACCGAGUUUGUAAAGUCAUAUUAUAAUAAAUAUUAACGUGUUAUAACAUAAUUAAACUGAUUAUAUUGUAUCGUAAACCUCAAAAUGAUUUCUUAAUAAAAAUAUUGAUCUAUUAGCCAUGCAUGACUCUAAUGACAUGAACGUUGAUCUCUAUCAUGCUUUAAUGUUUUUAAUGCGUUUUGGUGAAAGAAAUUGAGAGCAUCUUCGUGCGUGUCGCCGAUGUCUGUCGUGUAGUGGCCUCGUAUUUGUCCUUAAUCAGAUGAUAAUGGAAAGUUGUCCGCGGGGUCUUUGGUUUGCUCGGCCCACCGGUGGCCCAAUAACCGUAAUAAUUCAUGUGGCUUUUAAGACUGUCAUUGAUGACACGUAGCUGGAGGGGGUGAGGGGGAGGAUGAAGAUUAUCCAGUAGAUUUGAAACAUGACCCAGUAUGUCAUGAAUUCAGGCCCUUCUUGCAAAAGAAUUUCUAUUAUUAUUUUUUAAAUAGAGACUAGGUGUGAGGUUUAUUCCACAUCAAAUUUUUACAAUCUGAAUCAUCUAGUUUGUAAGUCUUGAUUAAUAAAUAAUUCUUGCAACAAUUCAAUUCAAUCUCAAUGAUACCCAUGCACAACCUCUGGCCCGAGAAGGACUCUGAACUCGGCCCAACCAACACUAGGCCGAGAACAUUAUAAACUUGGCUCAAAACCAUAUUUUUGGGCUCAAACAAUACGUUAAUUUUUUUUAAACCCAAUUAGAUGUCUUAAAUAUUUCCGAUUUGCCUAAUAUUUUGGAAGAAUGAUCUAUGAGGUGCAACUUGAAAAAUAGACGGUUCAGAUCGUUAAAAUUCAAUAUCAUGUGGAUCCCACAACUAAUCCCCAUUUUUAUAUAAAAAAAAAAAUAGGGAUCCCUUCCCUUAAAGGCUUCCUAUAUUAUAAGGUCAGAAAUAGACACUUACAAAGUUAUUUCAACUUUUAUGAUGACAUAUAAUGUAUUGGGCUAUGUUUUAAUAGCAUAGAAACUUCUCUCGGGAAGGAGGGAGUUGAAAAAUGCUCGAUGUAAAAGUUGUGGUGAAAUAUGAUAAUUUUUAUGUCUCGUUUGAUAACUAUUUUGUUUUAAGUUUUUUUAGUUAAAAAAAUAAUAAAAACUCAAACCCAAAUUCAAAUUUUGAAUUGUUUUUUGCUUUUUAUUUUCUGAAAACUAAACCUAGUUAACCAAUAAUUUUUUAUUUUUCAAAAGUGAAAACAAAAACUGAAAGUUAAAUACUGUUUUCAUUUUUUUUUAUAUAUCUAGUGGAAUUCCAACUUUGCCAUUAAAUAAAUAAAGAAUUUAAGAAAAUUAAAUUUAGAAUUCCAACUUUGCCAUUAAAUGUUUAGUGGAAUACCGUCGAUCAUUGAUGCUCUCCUUCUUGUUUCUCUAUUUGAAUGUGGAUCCAGUCAAUUGGAGGCCGAUUUGAAGUGGGAUUGACGGGAGCAUAGUGCGGAGCCAUGUUCGACGUCGACGUUGGCAUCGACGCCGCCGAUAUAGUAUGAUGAUUCAUAUUCUUCUAAAGGUAUGAGAAGAGGGAGGAAGAGAAAGAGAAUAAAAAGACCACUCUCUAUUUUCGAAGAGGGAGGAAGCCAAAGAGAAUAAAAAGACCACUCUCUAUUUUCUUUCUUUUCUUUAUUUAGGGGCAAAUUUGGGAGUUCGUUAGAGAAAAUUGCUUAGUUGGAUGUCGGGAUAAAACAAAUGGGUCCAAAUAAAAUUUCCAUUUUCACAAUUUAGGAAAAGUUUAAUGAAAAAGUUUGGGUAGUGGAAUCCACAUACUUCUUUUUAUCUUUUACACUUUCUUUAUUAAUUUGUGUCAUUUGAUCAUUUUUAAUGCAUUUGGUCGGAUAACCGAAAAUUAUAAGAAGCGUAUAAAUAACAUCACCCUCAAGUAUAAUCCUAAAGAAAGGCUGGCUGCACAAGAAAAAGAAGCGCAUGGAACCAUUAAAAAAAAAGAAAAAUUAAUGAAAUGUUCAAAAAAAAUUUAGUUUUAGUAAAAAUGAUAAAUAAAGAUGUAAUGAAUAGUACUAAAAAAAGAUAAAAAUAUAAUUUUUUAUUAAAAUGAACAAUACUAAAAGUGUUUUGUUAAAACUCUCUUAAAAAAAAAGCAGAAUCAAAACACUCAUAAAUCAGAUUAUAAAAGAACAAAAGAGAUCAAAGUGCUAAGGAGACAAAAGUUCAUUUUCAAAAAGUGCAUUUCCAGCCAAAGUUUCAGACAUUUUUCAUGUCAAUUCCGGCUCCAACAUAUAGUGAAGUGAUUGAAAAGACGACACCACUGAUGGAGUAUUCAAUAGGGUUGCCACAUCAUGGCAGUACCGGUACGUGUGUGGCUGGCGCAUUAAGAGCAGUUCCAGCGUGGAAACACCCCAAGCAAGACACUAUGUUAUCCACUUAAUAAACAGUAACUGUUCUUAAUAAAUAGUAACCAUCUUUUGCAUUUCUACUGUUGCACUUCAAUAGCUCUGGCAAUAAGCAAUAAAAUAUUAGCAUUUUAUUUAUUUAUAAAAUAAUACAAAAUAAUUUUAUUUGUAAUUUCGGAUAAGAUUUUUAAUCGUUCUCGUUGCGCCACGUGUUAUUAUCCGAAAAGUUAUAAAAUAAUACAAAAUAAUUUUAUUUGUAAUUUCAUAUAAGAUUUUUAAUCGUUCUCGUUGCGUCACGUGUCAUAAAAUUUAAAAAGACAAUUAUUGGUGAUGGAUUUCCGAUAAAAUUAUUAACCAAUCACGUCGUGUUUACGUGUCAUAAUUUUUUAGGAUAGAUUUCCAUCAGAUUUUCAACGAAUGACAGCAUGCCACGUGGCAUUAUCUACAACCUAAUCAUUUCUGAAUCCUCCAUAUAAUCUACCAUCCAUCCUCACAAAUCUUACACCAAUUUUCUCAAGAUCUCUAUCAUUAUUCAUAGUUUCUGCUUCAUUCUUCACGAAAAUCUAUAUCAUUAUUCAUAGUUUAUGCUUUAUUUUUACAAUGUCUUCUUCUUUAAGGAUGAUGUGGGAAAUCGAUCAGCAAGAGAAAGAAUUGUUUAACCAAUCAGAAGGAAUGUUUAAUCUCCAGGUGUGGUUUCUGCUUCAUUCUUCACGAAAAUCUAUAUCAUUAUUCAUAGUUUAUGCUUCAUUUUUACAAUUUCUUCUUCUUUAAGGAUGAUGUGGGAACUCGAUCAGCAAGAGGAAGAAUUGUUUAACCAAUCAGAAGAAAUGUUCAAUCUCUAGGUGGCCCAAAAUGAGAGGGAAGAGGACGAGGAGCAUAGAAUGAGAGAUGAUAACGCAACAUCUUCAAGAAGCGUCCAAUUCGUAUCUGCAUCAGUAGUCAUUUGUUGAAAAAAAAAAGUGGAUUGAAACUUUGAGAGAAAGAUAAGAAUGUGGUUGAAAGUAGUUGAGAAAAUAUGAAAUAAUGGUGUAAGGUAGAUGAUAAUGAGAAGGUAUUUAUAGAAAAGUAAAAACAAUUUUUUUUUUUAAAUUUCAAUUUUUUUUCUUCAGAUUUUUAUUAAUUUUUAAAUUUUGUUAUUCAACUAAUUAAUCUCUGUUGUUGGAUUAAAAAAAUUGAAUUCCAACACUCCAGAUUGUGCCACGUGGCACAACGGUAACAUUUUUGAAAUUAAAACUAUUUUUUUAUUUAUAAAGGAGAAUAAUAUCAACCGUUGAUCUUAGAUCCAACGGUUGAUAUUAAAUAAGAUUUUUUUCAUUUUUUCACCGUUGCAAAUCUGACGGUCUACAUUUUCUUGCCAUUGAGAUCCAACGGACCAUAGGAAGCCACGUGGCUUCCCAACGGAAACAAUUUGAAAUUGCGUUGCGGGCCCCAUGCGCUGAAAACAUGUAGGGUGACACGCCCCCACGCGUGGGUGCAGUGCAAGCGCCUAACAGAAAAAAAUAAAAAAAGGGGUUGACGUUAACCUUACGUCAGAUAGCCUUCGGUUUCACGGGCUGGCAAUUCGUGACAGGCCUGGUGCUUGAGCAUGCCCUGUCCCUCGGGCUCCCACACGUUGGAGUCAAUAGGCCGGGCUCUCGGGCCCUGUUUGCUGGCCUGUCCCCUGAGCUCCAGCCAACGCUGGAAGUGCUCUAAGGUAGUGCGUACAAUAUGUUAGGGUUUGUGAGUUUUAAUACAUGGGACGGUUGGUUUUAUGUGAGAGCGAACGAGGCAAAUUGUUGUGCCCGAUGUUUGUGUAGGGCUGCCUCAUUAAGGCAGUUCGUACAACAUGUAGGGUUCAAGAAUAAUUGGUGAGUUAAAAUACAUGAAGAAUGCUGGUUUUAUGAACAAUGUUUGACCACUCAAGGAUAAGUAAGAAUUUAUACACAAAACUCUUCAUGUUAGAAUCACAGAGCUUCAUGCAUAUAUUGAGAACCUUUCAUAUAUGAAUCACUUAGAAAAUAUCAUCUCAGUAAAAAAUGAAUUAAAAGUAAUAUUGUUUAGUCAAUUUAUUGUACAGCAAAACUACACAACCAACCGUAAUUUUAAUUGACUUUUGCAGAGGUGAUUUUUAUAGAGUGAUUUGUAACAUAAAUGGUUCCGAUCAUAAACACAAAGUUUUAUAAAUCGGCAACGAACGGUUUUGAGUAGGAACUCCUACGCAUUCUUUAAGUAACCAAAUCUUGUUCCUAGUUUUAUGUCAGGACGAAUGAAGUAAAUAGUAUGUGCCCGAUGUUUUUCUCCACAACCUCACACCAAUAGAGGGAGAGAGACUUAAGUAACCAUCUACAAAUUGGAUGUUAUAGUAUUCCAAACAAAUCGCAAAGGGUAGCGUUUUUAAAUUUUUCAUAUGCCAACGCGUGAUUAGUGUCUUGCCCCGCCAUUGUGACGUCCUUAGAGCAACUCCACCCUUGGAGCCCUACCCCCAGGCAAUCCACUAUUCAAUCCACCAUGUGAACAGUAACUGCCCUAAUGAACAGUAACUGCCUUUUGCAUCUCCAUUGUUGCACUUGAAUAGCCCUGGCAAUAGGCAAUAAAAUAUUAUUAUUAUUAUUGUUUUUUACAAAAUAAUACUAAAUAAGUUUAUUUGUAAUUUCGGAUAAGAUAUUUUAAAUCGUUCUCGUUGCGCCACGUGUCAUUUACCCAAAACGACUAUUAUUGGUCAUAAAUUUCGAUAAAAUUUUUAUCCAAUGAGAAGGUAUUUAUAGAAAAGUAGAAACAUUUUUUUUUAAAUUUUCAGAAUUUUUUUUCGGAUUUUUUACAAUUUUUAAAUUUUUUUAUUCAAAUAAUUAAUCUCUGUCGUUGGAUUUAAAAAAAUUAAAUUCUAACACUCCAGAUUGUGCCACAUGUCACAACGGUAACUUUUCUUAAUUUUAAACUUUUUUUUUUAAUUUAUAAAGCAUAUUAAUAUAAACCGUUGAUCUCAGAUCGAACGGUUGAUAUUAAAUCAAUUUUUUUUAAUUACCGUUUCAAAUCGAACAGCUCAUAUUAAAGAGCCGUUGAGAUCGAACGGAUCGUGGGAAGCCACGUGGCUUCCCAACGAUCACCUGCUAAAACUAGCGUGCGAGCCCCGUGCCCUAUAAAGUUGUCGGCUGACACGCCCCUACUUGUGAGUGAGGAGCACGCGCCUGACACAAAAAAAAUAAAAAAAUACCGACGCCAGGCCUGGCGUUAGCCUGACGUCACACCCACCUCGGGCUGUAGGGCUGGCAAUCCUCCACGGACCUGGCCCUCGGGCUCCCACCUUCACUCGGGCUGCCCAACGCUGGAGCCUUAUCCACCGGCCCUCGGGCCCUUUCUCUUCGCCUGUCCCUCGAGCAACCACCAAGGGCGGAGUUGCUCUUAAGGGUAAAGAAACUCCCAUGCCAAGUGACAAAGGAAAGCUAGCUAGGUUCCAUUUUACACCCCCACUAUGCAAUGAGUUGAAUGAAGGAAUUAUGUGAAGAUAAUAUGUCAUUGAGAACAUGAACAACUCACAAGAAUGCUAAAAUCCUUUCUCUCGCGCCAUCAAAAUUCAUCAGAAAAAUUCAAAAUCUAAGUAUGGACCUGACGAUCGAUUCGAUUCGGUAGCUCCCUUCUUGUUCUGAGGCACUGCAGACUUGAAUGUGUGACUUAGAGUAGCAAGAUCAAACGGUUUUGGAAUCUCCGGCGGGCGCGUGCUGCGAAUGAGAGCCCAAUUUACGCUUGCAAAGAAGGGGUGCUGUUUAAUUUCUGUGGCACCACGUUUAAAUCCCAGUCUCUUUUGAGGGUUCUUCACAAGUAAGCCCCGGAUCAAAUCCUUUGCGGCGAAACUGACGUUGAAUCCAUCCUUAAACUGAAGAGAAUGACCAACCACAUUGAACAACGUCUCCCGGUUUCCAUUCCCUUUGAAUGGCGUCCUCCCAUGCAGCAGCUCAUACAAGAAGAUACCGAAAGUCCACCAAUCAACUGCGCUACCAUGACCGUCACCUCUGAUUAUUUCGGGAGCUAAAUACUCAUGUGUCCCGACGAAUGACAUAGAGCGGGCACUCGUUGGCUCAGCAAUAAGUACAGGCAACGAAUCCGAAUUUCCAAAACCUGUUCUUUCGGCUUUCUCCUUGGUUGAUUUGGAUCUAAGAAACCGAGGCUUAAAGCAAGAGGGUUGCAAACAAGCAGGUUGAACACAAACCGGUAAUUUGCACGACGGAUCAAUGCAUGCAGGCUGAAUGCAGUAAGUAGAUAUUCUACAAGAUGGAUCGUUGCCGGACUGAACGAGAGUAGGACUCACAUAACAUCUCAACGAUAAAUCGAAAUCGGAAAGCAUGAUAUGGCCGUCCUCCCUCACUAGCACGUUUUCUGGUUUUAAGUCUCUGUACACCACUCCCAUCAUGUGGAGAUACUCUAGGGCAAGAAGCACUUCUGAAGCAUAGAACCUGCAAAACAAAAUGCAAUUUGAUCAUAAAUCACUAUGAAUGUAACCAAUACUCACUGACAUGUAAGAAUGUUAAAACACAUGACAUAUAUUGCGUUAUAACUGUGAGAUACUGCCACAGUGCAGUACGCGAUGUAGGUAAGUCCAUCCCCACGAGAGAGAACAGGAAGGGGGAGGAUUUAACGGAAUCAUAAUGUUGGUGGCCACACGGCUAUCAAGCCAACGGUUUUGGGAUCUAGGUCCAACCACAUAUAAGAGUGUUGUGGCUACAAACAUAACAAGAUGGUUGAAAACUGAAGUGGUGAGUUUUGAAAAAUAUUUAUACUAAAAACGCUUUCAAUUAUUUUAAUGUAUUUUCAAAGUCCUUAAAUAGGGAAUAUGAUCCUUUCCGAAUUCUCAUUAUGAAAAAUCGGAGGAUUAAUCAAUUGUGUCCGUUCAUCAUCUAUCUAUCGUGUCUUAAAUAGUUAUCAGUGUGGAUACAAUAUACUGACGAAAGAACUACGACGUCCUUAUUCUUUAAUAAUAUCACGCAGAGAAAAUACAAGGACAAAAGGGUAAUAUCAAGACAAAUCGACGCUAACCUCGCUGCUUGUUCAGUAAAAUGCUUCCCGGGCUGGCGCUGCCGCAGCGUAUGAAGAUCGCCGCCGCAGCAAAACUCCAUUAACAAGCAAGAAAACUUAUCGGUCUCGAAAUUCGAAUAGAGGGUCGGAAGAAACGGAUGGUCCAGCAACCCCAAUAUGUCCCUCUCCGUCUGAGCUCUGAUCAGCUUCUUCCUCCCCGCCAACAUUCCUUUGUCCAUUACUUUCAUGGCGAAAAAGCAACCCAUCCCUCUCAGCUCCGCCAAGUAGACGCUUCCGAUGUCGCCGCAGCCGAGCUUCUUCAGCAGCCGGAAAUGGCCGAGACCCAAGUCUCCGUCUCUGGAAUUCACUGAUUGUAUCGCGUCCCACCGCGCGUCGUUGCCUUUGUGCGGCUUCGAAGGGCAGAAGCUCCUGCAGCUGCCCUCGUUCGGAUCGGACAGGCUGGAAUUACCCAAGUGACUUAAACUGCUUUUGUCACUUUCGUCUUCGCAAUCAGCAUUCUCGGCGUUCUUGUGUACUUCUAGAGUUCCAUUGCUGCUGACCUUGGUGCUAUCGGACCCAGAAACGAUGCUGCUACACAUGCUAAUGCUGAAGCUGUUUUGGAAGCUGAGAUCUUGGAGGUUGCUGGUGACGGAUUCGCCGUCCUGGGAUUCGCCGGAAGGGGGCGUCUUGUCCAUGGUUGAGAGGUUGCGGAUGAGGUGUUCGAUGAAUGUCAGAGACAAAAAAUGCGAUAAGAAAUGGGGGUUGGUGGUGGGAUGGGGUUGGAUGGGGGUGUGAACGAGGUGGUCAAAGGGAGGACGAGAGAGACGCGGGCGCGAAGAAGGGAGCUGAGCGUAGGGACCCAAAAGAGAGUGUACAAAAACGGUGUUCAAAUUUGAAAUGAGACUGAGUGUGGGAAGAACGGGGUGAGAGAACCAAUGUCCAUUUUCUUACUCUCUGUCCCAGAAAAUGUUACAGCUUGGAGACAAAACACAACACAGAGAGAUAGAGAGAGAGAGAGAGAGAGAGGGAGGAUGAGAGAGAAAGGAACAGAGAAUCCCUGUUCACGAGGACGACAAAAGCCUUUCAGAUUUUUCUAAUGAAAUCGAAAGUGCAAAAACAUAUUUUACACCUCCUCAGCCAAUACCGUGGUGGCCUUCCCUCUGGUUUGAGUGUUUGGUGCAAUGUGAUUCUCAAUUUUGGGUUGGUGGAAGGUCCGUGAUAUAUCGUCACAGCGACAUUUUGGUGUAUAUAAGUUUGUGAGUAUGAACAGUUUCAAUGUACUGCAUCCAGACUUGAGUAGAUGGUAUUUGCUGAGAUGGUGAAUAGCAAAUUUGCAAAGUGAAAUUGAUGCAGGGGAUGCAGUGUGCAUACCAUUGGAUAUUCUUGACAGCUGAAUGUGGCAGGUGAAGGAGAAGGUAAGGUAAUCCACUCUGGACAAUAAUGUCAUUUUCCAUGUAUGUGAAUAGAUUUUACUAAAAAGAGGCAAUUUUUUAUUUUUUGAAUUUCUGAAACAUAUUUUGCAGAGACCAGAACAAGAAGGGAACUCAUUUAUUAUUUUGUUAUAAAAUGGGCAACAAAUAUCACUAUUGUUAUAACAAAUAUUAUCUGGAUUUUGGAAAGAAAACAAUGCACAAAAGCUGAGAGGGUCUGGUCAGAAUCCUGGGUUGAAUUUCUUGAUUACCACAUUAAUUGCAUUGAUGAUUAUCCGAGAGUUUUUGAGAAAUGCUAAGGAGACUCUCUAUAAACUUUUUAUCACCUCACAAUUUAACUUUAAUUCUUAUGUAAAUAUUAGUUCAUAGAGAGUCACUUUUGAGUGAGUCUCCUUAAUAUUUCGUUUAUCAUAUUACACAAAUCUUUCAUCAUCAUUGACCCGUUGGCAAAUUGUUGUAAAGCUUUUGCCUUUCUGCUUUCUGAGAGAAAUUUAGGUGCAACCAAUUGUAUAUCCUCCCUUAUCAAUCUCGCUCCUCACGUGACACAUGAGAUGUAUAACAUGAACGAGUUUAUACUCCGUUAAGGUUUUGCACACAAAAUGAGAGAAACUUAGGUAUAACUGAACUUAUAUCCUCUUAUGUUUAGCAUCAUUUUAGUAUCUCUCCCUUCACAUAAUAUAUCACAUGAGGAGAGAAAUAGACACAUUAUCAUAUAUAAUCGAUUGCACAUAAUAUUUUAACGUAUAAAAGAGUAACCUUAAAGUUGGGAAUUGAGGGUCACAUCACUCUUUUUUCUGCUAAGUCGGCACCGCUGAUAAUUACUGCCCAUCUUAUUUUUUCCAUGUGGCCUAUUAGUGGUGAUUUUUGUGUGCAAAAGUAAUUAGACAUUGUUUUGCUUCUCAUGAUUUGUCAACGGAGGGUCCAAAUGGCAGUUUAAGAAUGUUGCUUAAAGGGGCAACAUAACUAUAAUCCUGUCUUAAUUAUCUCCGAAGAUUGUCCACUUCAAACCUUGAAGUGCAAUCCAAGAAGAAGCACCAUUUAACUUUACCUAUAAAUGUUGCUGCUAAACAAACAUUGUAUUCCACCUGAAUGUACCAUGAAGUUGCCUGACUCUGUUGCCGCUUUCUUUCUGCUCCUACUGUGGACUUUCAUGUUAUUUGGUAAUUUCGUUGAAACAUAAAAAUUGGGAGUACAGGGGAGAAAACGUGAAUGCGAAAAUCACUUUCCGCUUUUAGAGUAGACUCAUAUUUUUCAGUGUCAAAUAUGUUCUUAAUCUUAUAUGUAUGAUAGCAUUGAAUCAAUAUAUUCUAUUGCAGGACAGGGAAUGGCACAUACAGUUACAUUUUACAUACAGAAUAAGUGCCCCUUCCCCAUAUGGCCAGCGACUGCCCCCAACACCGGAGAGCCUGUGAUAGCUGAUGGCGGCUUCUUCCUCCCCGCCGGACAUACUCAGCCCAUUACUGCCCCGUGGUCAUGGAGCGGUCGGAUUUGGGCCCGAACAGGAUGCGACUUUGUCUCCAACUGCAAGCCUGCUUGCGAAACAGGAGAUUGUGGCGGACGAUUAGCAUGCAAUGGACUAAUAGGCAAUCCACCGGUGACACUAGUGGAAGUUUCGCUUCAAGACGACAAAGGCAAGCCAAAUUUCUACGCUGUGAGCGUGGUUGAUGGAUAUAAUCUUCCGGUUGCAAUCUUAUCAAGGCCGGCGGCAUCCAAUUGCGCUGUCAGAGGGUGUUUGAAAGAUUUGAAAACUUGUUGCCCCGAUGAGCUGAAGGUUUUAAACGACGAAGGGGAAGUUGUGGCGUGCAAAAGUGCUUGUUUGGCGUUUGAUACGGACUCGUUUUGUUGCCGGAAUAAGUAUGGAACCCCGGAAAAAUGCAAGCCGAGUGUGUACUCGAAGAUAUUCAAAGAUGCUUGCCCUUCGUAUUACAGCUAUGCUUAUGAUUCACCACCUCCAUUGGUGACUUGCAAGGCAAGCGAGUAUGUGAUCACAUUUUGUCCUGCAGGGUGGGGUGCUGCUGGGUAUACCUCUUUGUAGCUAGUUUGCCCUUCAUUUGUGGUAAUCCAGUUUUAUAUUUGAUUAAGAGUAUUUUCAUUGUAAUAAGUAUCAAGUUUUAUUUGCUUUUGGUUCUUAUGGUUAUGUUUAUAUGUUACGUUUAUUUUCGUUGGAUCCUCAAUUUCUCCGAAUUUUAAAAGGGAAAGACCUAGGAGUAGUCAGACAAUUGUUCGAACUGUUCAACCCGAUCAGACCAGACCAAACCAAACCAAACGAAUUUGAGCAAUUUGGUUUGAAUUUUAUGUUAAAGCAAUGAAAUCUUAUAUGAACAGAACCAAACUAAGCGGUUUGGUUCCUAUCGAAUUUGACUCUUUGAAACUCACCUAAACAUAACUUAAUUGUCAAUAUUACUUUUAUUAUUUUGUUAACACUUGCAUUGAGUUAGUGUCGAAAUUCUCCCUUGCAAUUUUUUUUUUCACAAGCUUAAUCACUUAAAUCUCAACCGUUCACACGUAAAAAAAAGUGAAUAAGCAAAAUUUUGAGUCAGUAUGUGAUUUGAAUGUUUAACCGAACCAAACGGAAUCGUCCCUGGCCCACCUGUAGGUCAUACUAGCCCAAAAGAUCUGUUUUUGGGAUUCAUUUGUGUACUAGUAUAGAGAUGGGCCUUUGCAGUAUGAAUACGUAGUAAGUGAAUACAAGGCCCAUUUAUGUCUGAAAGCCCAUAUCAAAAUCCAGGACCUUCGCAUUAGGGUUUUAACACCUCCGCCGUUACACUAUAAAUAUGCUCUCCUAGAGCUCCAAACCAUCUUCUUCUUCCUCCUCCUGUCGCUCUAGGGUUUCUCGUCAACUGCGCAGAAACACACACUCUCCGCUGCCCGCUCCCCUUCCGCCGCCCCUCCGCCUCCGCCGCCCCUCCCUCUUCAUGUAUGAUUUAUUUAGUUUGUUUUACUUCAAUUUUAGUUUUGUGAUGUGGAAAUUGCGAAUCAGGUGAUGAAGAAAAUACUGCAACAAUAUGAUGGAUACGCUCCAUUUUCCGUGAUUCGUAGUAUUUAAGUCUCUGAUGAUUUCUUCCACUCUUCCUAUUUUUUGUUGAUUUUUUUUUGUUUCAUGAAUUUCUCAAAAAAAAAAAACCAAUUUAAUUGGAAAUAUUAGGGUUUAAAGUGUGAUAUGAUGAGGAACUUAUUGGUCCGUGUUUCUGAUUUAACCGUGACCGACAACCCUUAACCAUCUCUGAUCGCUCUUCCAAUUUUUACCAAUUUCAAAUUUUCGUUUAAACUAUUUAGUUUUUUUUUUUUUUAAAUUCUGUUCGAAUUUUGUGUUGAUCUUGCUCUGUGAUUACGUGCCUGGAAUUGGCAAUAUACGCUAUUCCGAUUCAGAACAUGAAUGGAUAACUCUUAAGAGAAAUUAUGAGAGCAAUUAGUUUCUAAUUGUUGCUUAAUUUUUGUUUUCGGGUUUAAUAUUUAUUUAUUUUUACAAUAUUCUGCUGUGAUGAUUUCUGAAUUAAUUCACAUGUCAGACUUCAGAGGUUUUGUAAAAAAAUCAAUGAGAAUGAAAAUUCAAAUUAUCUGAGCAGAAUUAUUAUUUUUAUUUAUAUUAUGAUUAUUUUUUUGAAUUAUAAUUUUUGUCUGAAUGUAAAAAAAUGGAUAUCGAUGAUGACAAAAUGUAAGGCUUGUUUCUCAAGAACAUUCGCAGUGGCCGCCUAAGAGCUUUCGCCUUUCGCCGGGCUUGAGAGCUUAUGCUGCUUUUUUCCUUCCUUGGAUGUCUGAGAUUGUUUUCCUUCACAUUUGUUCUGCGCAGUUACUGCUCAGUUACAAGAAAACCUACUCCGAGGCAAACAACCGAAUAAACUAUUAGAAAAGAGUAGUGCGAGGAGUUCACAACCUAACCACGACGUCGCAUCUAAUGCUAGAGCGUCCCUCCUUGCAUUAACAUAAUCACUAAGGGUGGGUAAUGGAUGGCCAUUAUUACACAGAACAUGGACAAAUGAGAAGAUGGGGUUAGUCGACCCAAACACGAUCACAUACUUAACCAUUAAUUAGGCAAGAAACCUAAAUCCCAAAGAGAUUGCAAGGAAAACACAUCCACUCCAAGUAGUCACUAGUUUUUAUCACCGUUUGAUUAUAUAGCUCAACGUACGGUGAUUAAUUUAAUAUCUAAUUUAAUAAAACAAUAAUGUUUGGUUGAUGAGUAGGAACUUGAAAUCAAAACUUAUUGUGUUUGAAUCGCAUAAUCGUUCAUAUUAUAAAUUAUAUUGUAAAGAUCAUCUUUGUAAAAAAAUUAAUUAAAAUUAAGGUUUUGUUAAUUUAUUUUAGUAAAUACAGACGGUUUGAAGCUGCUAGGGUUAGUUUCAAUGUUUUUUUUAGGAAAAUUAAUGAAAAAGGUUUGAAAAGAAACUUACUCAAAACUUAUUGUGUUUGAAUUGCACAAUCGUUUAUAUUAUAAAUCAUAUUGUAAAGAUCAUCUUUGUAAAAAAAUGAAAUAAAAUUAAGGUUAUUUUGUUAAUCUAUUUUAGUAAAUACACAGACGGUUUGAAGCUGCUAGGGUUAGUUUCAAUGUUUUUUUUAGAAAAAUUAAUGAAAAGGGUUUGAAACUUUGAGUUUUAACGAUAAGGACAAAAUAAAGGGUAAAUUGAAUAGUACUACCGGAAUUGACUUUUUAGUGUAAAAAUAUGAUUUUUCGUUAAAGUAAACAGUAUUAAAACUCCUUUGUUUUUUGUUUUGGGCUCAAAAUUUUGUUUCAGGCUCUUUAAUUGCUUUGAAGGUCUUUUUGUUUGUGUGUAUGUAUGUGGCCUUUUUCUAGUGUAAUUGUUGUGUUCUAAUAAAGCAACUUUUCACUAAAAAAAAAAGAAAAACUAAUGAAAAAGAUUUGAAAAUUUUAAGUUUUAACGAUAAGGACAAAAUAAAGGGUAAGGUGAAUGAUAUUAGAAUUAACUUUUUAGUGUAAAAAUAUAAUUUUUAUUAAAAUAAACAGUUAAAGAAUUUUUUUGUUAAAAUUCUCAAAAAAAAAAAAAGGAUGGGAUGAGUAUUUUUUUUUGCUUAAGAAACUGUUGACCCUAGAAACUACAAAACCUACGUGGCGCGCAGGCCGAGUAAUCUAUAAGCUAACUACGUCCGUCGGUGAUUGCGGGGCGUGCCAACUCGUCGGCCGAGCUCGGCCGAGGAGUAAAUUUUUUGAUGUUGCGUUGGGCGCGCGACUAACUUCUGCGUCUUGCGAUUGCGGCCGAGAAAGGAACACGUCUCGGCCUCUUGGGCUCUCGAACCUGAAGAUAAGGUUACUAUUUUUACGAAGUCCAAUAUCAAAUUCGGCUUUCAACGUGCCGAAUGUAAUCACUUGUAACACCUCACUUCGCCGAGAAGGCUGAUGAGAUGACCUCGACCAAUAAGGAUUCAGAAAUCCUUCUCGACCGAGACUUGGAUAGGUAAUCAACCGUCCUCGCCGCAGUGCUGUUGAUGCCAACGGAAGAUGCUGUGAGAUCGGCUGAUUCUACGGUGAUACCGUCCUCGCCGCCAGUGCUGUUGAUGCCAACGGAAAGAUGCUGUGAGAUCGAGGCUAUUCUACGUGAUAGCUAUCUCGCCGACUUUAAGAUAUCACCGGUUGCUUCCACAGUGCUGUUGAUGCCAACGGAAGAUGUGUCAGCGAAAAGAGAAAAUAAAAAAUCUCAGUUGUUGAGAGAAUUUGCGCAGGGCAGUUGUGUGUUGAAUUGGAGGUCCUCUUUCCGUUGUUCGUGACUCUGUAUUUAUAAUGGCUGAUGUACUUGCUUGGCACGACUAGAUAGAGUUGUAAAGUCCAACUGCAACUUAAACUUGUGAAAAGAAAUUUGAUCCAUAUCAGAGGGCUAUCCUUCAACUGCCGUGCCCUCUCAAACAAAUCAAAAGCAUGUCAAGGCUUAUCACAUCAUCUGACCAAAUAGUGAUAACUACUAUUUAUAUUAUAUAUAUUAUAUAUAUAUAUAUAUAUAUAUAUAUAUAUAUAUAUAAAAUAUACAUAUAUAUAAUAUAUAUAUAUAUAUAUUUUUGCAGCAAGCAUAGCAUAUAUAUAUAUUGCGGGAUAUAUUUUGGGAGAUUCACGGCAUACAUGCCAUUAAUUUACUUCAUCUGACAACACCCCCUUAGGUCUCCUAUCUCAUCCUCACCUCAUCCAUAAUAGCCAUCACCAUUCUGAUAAGACGAAUUUUAAAUUCAUUUUACUUCCAAGUGCUGUCAGACAUCAAUUCGAAUUCUACUGCUUAUUUCGGGAUAUGAAUCGCACUCUAUUUAGCUGGUUUAAAAAGAUACCAAGAUAAUUCAUAUUAAAAGAUAAUUAUAAUAUUAUCUUUUAAUAAUCAAAUUAUUUCCACUGUCUCAUCUGCCAGUCGAGAAUCAUGUCCACUCAACGGCCUCGAUCGCUUGGGCCGAUGAUGUAAAAUCGGGUCCAAACAGAAACAUAUAGCAGAUUUUGACUGUUUGACUUGGAAUAUACGAAAAUCUCUCUCCUCUGUCUUUUGGGACAUGGGAUAGCUAGCUUAGCUAAAAUAUGUAGCAUCGAAGAAUCGAUUGCACUGCUCGUGACGACUCGACGGUGUUGCUUGCGACAAUCCAAACGACGGUUCUCGCGACGAGACAUGGAGGCUGAAAAGCGGUCGCUGAAACGAAGAAGAGCGUCAGUUGAAAAGAAGAUGAUGAACAAAAACAAAUUGAAGAAACAGAUUGCUGCCGACAGAAAAAAUUGCACAAGAAGAGAAGAAAUGGAGUGGAAGAACGGAGAGUUGGAUAGGGACUUGUAACUUGUGUGUAUGGUUGGGUUACUGUUGACCCUAAAAACUACCAAGCCUACAUGGCACGCAGGCCGAGUAAUCUAUAAGCUAACUGCGUACUUCGGUGAAUGCAGGCGUGCCAACUCGUCGGCCAAGCUCGGCCGGGGAGUAAAUUUGUUGAUGUUGCGUUGGGUGCGCGGCUGACUUCUGCGUCUUGCGAUUGCGACCAAGGAAGGAACACGUCUCGGCCUCUUGGGUUCUUGAAACCUGAAGACAAGGCUACUAUUCUUACGAAGUUCACGAAUUGUCGCCGUCGGAUUCGGCCACAGUGAUGGUAUUCGUCAGAGUAAACUCUCGCCGAAUCGACACCAAAGUGUAAGGGCACAAAUACUCAAAGCAGAUAUGAGUCUUAAUAAUGAACGUGGUUCGGCCGUCUGAAUGCCGAACUCUAAAUCCCACUUGGGAGUAUCCGAUCAUACAAGAACUCGGCGUGCAAUGCACCGAGCCUAAUAAAUUGUAACACCUCACCUCGCCGAGAAGGCUAAUGAGAUGACCUCGACCAAAAAGGAUUUAGAAAUCCUUCUCGACAGAGACUUUGAUAGGUAACCAACCGUCCUCGCUGCAGUGCUGUUGAUGCCAACGGAAGAUGCUGCGAGACCGGCUGAUUCUACGGCGACAGAGCUAUCUAUGCCGACUGAAGAUAUCACCGGUUCCUUUCAAAGUGCUGUUGAUGCCAACGGAAGAUGUGUCAGCGAAAAGAGAAAAUAAAAAAUCUCAAGUUGUUGAGAGAGUUUGCGCAUGGCAGUUGUGUGUUGAAUUGAAUGGGGCUUGAACGAUGCGUAACCUCUUCUAUUUAUAGCACCGGAUACCUUCAAGGGUGAAUUAAAAACCUACCCGGAUUAGGACUUCUUCUCCUAAUCAAACUCUAACUCGACCAGUCCUAUUUUCACUAUAAUUUUGAACCCAGUCCUUUAUCGAGAUGGAUUCACUUCCGGGUUAUUAAUCUCGCCGAGACUCCUUAUUGCGCCAGGAUUCGACUCGUCUUGCAGCAUGACUUAAUCGACCCAAGUUUGGAAGCCCACGACCUAAACGAUCCAUGAUAAUCUCGUCGUAAGGCCUUCUGGGCCGAGAAUGAUUCUAUACUUGGUCCAAACUAAUAUUUUGGGCCCAAACAGUUACGUAAUCCAUCCUAGUUUCCUUACUUUGGAUUUGUAGCCAAUCCGGUUCACAUUACAAUUUUUCACAUCAAACAUUGGUUGAGUUACCAGUCUAAAUUAGUUGGAAACAACCCAUCUCAUCAAGCUCACCAAAUAGGGUCUUGGUCCUUUUAGGAAAAAAAAUGAAAGUAAGAUUGUAAAUAAAAAAGUUAUAUUAAUUGGUAUUAUUCAUAUCUUUAAUGAGAAAAAGCAUCUUUUUUGGAAGUAAGUAUAAAGCUGUUUAUGCUUUCUGCUGUUUUGAACACGAUUUUUAUCUUUGUUUACCAAACUUUUUUUAAUAAAUUUCUUUAAAAUAAAACUGUUAUCCCAAACCACCUCCUUAAUAUCAUCUAGUGUACACCCAAUUGUUUGUUUUUGUCAAACAACUUAUUUCAUUAAAAAUAACGCUAAUACAAAAUGAGAAAACUCCAAAGCAAUUUCCAAAACUAAACUACAAAUCUAUCCAAAUAUAAAAAGAAAGUUCAAAAUCAAAUUCCCAACACUAAAGUAAGUCCAUCCCAAUACAAAAAGAAAGUCCAAAAGCAUCCAAAACUAAACUAUAAAUCUAUCCAAAUAUAAAAAGAAAGUUCAAAAUCAAAUUCCCAUCACUAAAGUAAGUCCAUCCCAAUACAAAAAGAAAGUCCAAAAGCAAAUUCCCAACGCUAAAGUACCAGUCAAUCCCAAUACAAAGAGCUUCGAACCGUCAGUCUUUAUACAAGAAUUUCUCCUAAUGAUGGGCUAUUUACUUUCGGGCUCUAUACGGGGUUAUAUAUAUUUAUUUAUUUAUGUAGUAAUUGAUUACGCGAUUUUUUUUUUUGUGUUAACUUUUCUUAAGGUGACUUUUUGGCUUGUUGUCUAAAAAAAAUUAUGAACAUUUCAACCUAAAAAAAUUCAAAUUCUAACAAAGUAAGAUUUUAGCACUUAUUGAACCUGCUAAGCAGGCCAUUCAACCCGUUGAAAUUUGAUCAAACGACUACAAUUAUUAUAACUUUUAGAGGGUCCCAUUGUUUGUAGUCGUUGAAUCAAAUUUCAAUGACCUGCUCAGUAGGCUUAGUUUUAUUGGAUAUGGAGGGGAUCCGGUUCCGGUUUUUCAUACUCAAGUCAAGACUGAAGGUUAGCAUUCUAUGAUAUUUUUGUAAUUUUGUUCCGGAUUUAUUUUCCCUUUGCAAGCAAAAGUUGCAAUUCAUAUGUUAAAAAAGUAACCUCCACGUUCUACAAAGUUUUCCCUUUGCAAAGCAAAAUUGCAUCAGUUUGGAUUUAUUUCCAAUUGAGUGGUUUUUUUUUUUUCCAGGAACGGUUGCUACCCUUAACCCCACCUCACACUCAUCCACCGCACAACAAUACAAAAAAAGGGCUGAAAAGUUACAAACACAUGAAGAGAGAGGAGGACUUAAAUUUCUAAAUCCAAUUUUGGAUUUUAUCUUUAUAUUUUCUCUCUUUCUCACUGCUUUAUUGUUUGGCUUUGAUGUUGGCAUAAUCAAUCAAUAUGAUAUUCUCUCUGUUUUCUUUUGUUUUUUUUUAUUGUUGUUCAAUGCAAAUUUUGGUUGGAACGUAAAGCAAGCAGGUGCAAUCAUUGAUAAGUUUUGUAUUGGAUGUAAUCCUUUACCGCUUUUGGCUAAUUUUGUGUUUAAAACGAUUAAGCUAAUUUUGAUCAGGAUGCAAUUCGUUCAUAGAAAUUUUGCUUCUUUCUUUGUUCGUUCACUUAGAAAGUUUUGUAAUUUUCUUAAGGAAAUUCCUUAACUGAUUGAAAUUUGGCCGGAAAAGAACCACGGUUAAAACUACAAAAUACAGUUUUGUACUCAAAGUAAGAAAUUCAAACUUUUUUUGUGUGAAAUUAUGAUGGAAUCGCAAAUUUGUGAGGUAUAUCUUAGACUAUUGGUUGUAGAGUCACCUUCCCACAACUAUUACAUUGUCUCUUGAUUGGAUGAAUUUUUAUAAAUUUUUAUAAUUUCCAGGAUCUAUGGUUGCAAUGCUUUUGAUGCAUGCAAUAAGGAGGAUGCUACUACUCUUAUGGAGCUUCUUUGGCAUGGUAAGUUGAAGUUGCAUAUAAUUUUUUUUUUCGUUCACAAAAUUCAUUAUCUUGCUAUCCUGGCAAUUAGUAGUGUCUUACAAUUGGUGAAGUGUAUGAAUAAAUGUGUGGAGGUUUGAAUUGUACAGAUGAAAGUGAAUUUUAACAGCUCUAACUUAGAUUUCUUAUUAAUUUCUUUCAUUUGUGUUCAACUAUUUUACCAUUUUGGUAUAUAAGUACAACUAUUGAUUGAAAACCACAUAAAUUACCUAACGGCCGAGAAAUCAUUUGUGUUAGAAGAACAUAAUAUGAUGUAAAACUCCAAUUUUGGGCACUUAAAUAUACGUUUUUUUUUUCAAUUACAAUCACUCAGCAUGAAGGUUCAAUUGGAUUUGUUCUGGUUUCCAAGAAUUUUUCUUUGUUGGUUACCAGUUAAUUUAUGUGGCGGGAGUUUAGUUUUUGCUUUUCUGCCUAUGUAUGUAUGAUUUGAAAUGGACAGUUCAAUUUGCUAUAUAUAAAUUUGUAGUUGAAGAGUUCGAAGGAGAGGUGAAUUAGAAAACAAUGGGGAGAAGAGUGACGGAGUUGAGGAGUUGAGGAGUUGAGAGUUAACGAGGUAUACUUGAACUUCUGUAUGAUGUUCCUGAUAUUGGACAAAAUCUUUGGAUUUCAAAUGUUUGAAUUUGAAUCGGACAAAAUCUUUGGAAUAUUUCAGCUCAAAUCGGUCGGAAUCGGAUGUUCCUAUCCAAGUUGCACCCAUACUCACGCCAAAACCAAAACCCUUAAAAUUUGUAAAGAAAAAAAAAACUCUUCCCACUCAUCACUCACGCCAAAACCAAAAUACUCGUUUCAUUCAAACAACACGACUUAGGGCUGAUUUGGUAUUGAUGUGUUUUGAAAAAAAAGCUGCUUCUGCUAUGUUGUGAGAAUAAGCGACUGUGAAAUAAAGCUGUAGAGUAUUUGGUAAAUUUUUUUGUAAAAAUGCUUUUGAAAAAAAAAAGCAGUAUUAUAGUGUUUGGUAAACUUUUAUAUAAAACAAAUGUGAAAAAAAGCCGGUUUUUCAAAGCUGGGUUUUGCAGCUUCUUGUUUUGGUUUUUUUCACCCAAAACUGUGAAAAAAAACUGAAGCUGAAUGUUUACCAAACACAAAAAAGCUCCUAACUUUUUUUCAUACCAGCUUUUGUUUUAAUCACCUCAAUCCCAAACUGCACCUUACUCCCUCCAAACCCUCCAAUCCCAAACUUCAUAUGGAACCAUUAUUUUCAAUAUUUACUUGUGUUAUACGUUUGGAGAAAUUUUGAUUCGAGAAAAUGUUCGACAUACCAGGACAGAAAAGUUUGCUGAAAUUUCGGUGUCCAUAAGCGGAAAAUAAGAGCACGUUUCGGUCAGCACUAACUGAGUACAAACGAAAAUAUGUUCUCUAAACCGGACUUCCACACAAGCUUCCGGUCUUCUUGUCUACCGAAAGCAGCUUUUAUAUUUGACAGCUGACUGCUGCAAACAACUGGUGUUACUUCAAUACUUUUCCUGUUAAUCUCUCUAACAUAGAAAAAUUCUUAAAUUUUAAGCUAGAAGACAUGAUAUGUGUACAUUAAAGGAUGGCACUGACUUGGAAGUCUUUGGACGAUCGUACCAGUGUCGAUUCUCAUAGCAUUAAGGAUAGCCUCGACAACACGGUUGUCAUCUCGAAGGGCACGGGAGUAGCUGUCAUUAAACGAGGAAGAUGUAGAUGUUAUUGGCCUUGGUUUUGAGUGGUGAGGUGGACCAUUGACUUGUAAGUCUUGUUUUUGUUUUCUUAUCAGAGACUCGGAAUUUUCAUAACAGCAACAUUAUGGUCUACGAUUCCAUGUCCAAAUCUUUCACCUCUAAGUGUUUCCAUUACGGCACAUAAUUUGGAACAUCUAAAAGAGGAGAAGGAAAUUGUUAUUAACAUUUCAAAAAUCUUAUUCUACACUCCUCACAAGUGUAUUUUUCUUUCUAAUUCUAGAAAGUUUUGUCACAUCCCGACUCGAUUCUGCCGUAGCACGAUAUUGUCUAUUGUGGGUCCCAACUACGCCCUCAUGGUUUUGUUUCUGGGAACUCAAACAAGAACUUUUUAGUGGAUCACCCAUCAUAGGAUUGCUCUCGCCCAAUCUCGCUUAACUUUGGAGUUCCUAUGGAAUCCGAAACCAGUGAGUUCCCAAAAUGCCACGUGCUAAAGGAGGUGAGCAUGUACAUAUAAGGCAUAGAGGAUCCUCACCCCUGGGCAAUGUGGGAUCUAACAAGUUUAGAGUGUCAAAUGAGAUUUUUGAAGUGCUAAUAACAAUUCCCGAAGAGAAAAUCUCCUAUAUAUACAUGGCAGUUUUCUCUUUUAAUACUGCAGACUCAUUUUUUGUACUACAAAUCAUCCCAUUGCAUGCUCACAUUCGAAAUAUGGGUAUUUGAGAUUGGUAUAACUCCUCAUCUAGUCUCUGAGAUUUAAAAUUUAUAGAACUAGUACUUGAGUUUGUCCACCGUCAAUCAUUUCGUGAAAAAUGUUCGUUAAUAAGGAAAAUAGUCUCAAUUUUUUUUCAAAUCAUUUUGACCCGUUAUUUAUUAAAUUGAAGGUAUUUUGUUAUGUUUGUUCUUAUUUAACAGAAAUUUUCUUACAAAAAACUAAAAUGAUGACGGUGGACAAACUCACAGACCAUUUCUAUCAUUUUAAAUUUUAGAUAUCUAAUGAGAAGUUCUGUCAAUCUUAGAACUAAAAAGCCGUAAAAAAUGGCCUUUUGUAGUCUUUAGUCAAUAAUGGUGGGCUACAGUUGCAAAACCCCAGCACACUUCCUCUUGCUUUCCUUUAAUCAAUGGAAUAUUGUGAACAAUGAAACUCAUCAAACUUCCCGCUGCUUGCCUUUAGUCAACUUAUCUUCCAUGAAAAGAGCAUCUCCUCCACUCUAUAUAAAACCAUGUCUUUCCUUGUAGCAGAAACAGAAAAACCUAAACCUUCAAGAGAUUCCUAAAACCCUUCCGACGAAAACGAAGAUGAUGGGAGAAAUGUGGGCUCAAAUGGGCUCGGUGAUUGCGAGUGUCAUGUUCGUUAAUGCCAUAGUUCAACAAUACCUUCCCCCCCAUCUUCGGUACCAUGUAGGAAGAUACACUCAAAAACUAGUGGGCUUUGUCUACCCUUACAUCCAAAUCAUCUUUGAUGAAUUCACCAAUGAUUUUCGCAAGCGAAGCGAAAUCUAUUCCGCCAUCCAGAGCUACCUCAGUGCGAAAUCUUCCACUCGGGCUAAGCGGUUAAAAGCUCAUGAAGUCAAGGACAGCAAGUCUCUGGUCCUUGGCAUGGAUGACAAUGAAGAAGUGACUGAUGAAUUUCAAGGCGUUAAGCUUUCAUGGGUUUUGAGGAAACAAACGGCGAAUCAGACUUCAUUUUCUUUCUAUCCUCAGUCUGAUGAGAAGAAACAUUAUAGGCUGACGUUCCACAGACGCCAUAGAGAUAUCAUCACGAGGUCUUACCUUGAUCAUGUGAUUAAAGAAGGGAAAGAGUUAUUGGUGAGCAACAGGCAACGAAAGCUCUAUAUCAACAAUCCUACACAGGAUUGGCAUCCCUACAGGGGGACAAAGUGGAGCCAUGUGGCGUUUGAGCACCCGGCAUCAUUUGAAACCCUAGCAAUGGACCCGAAAAUGAAGGAGGAAAUCAUCAGUGACCUCAUCAAGUUCAGAAAGGGAAAGGAGUACUAUGCGAAAAUCGGGAAGCCUUGGAAGCGGGGUUAUCUCCUUUACGGGCCACCAGGCACUGGAAAGUCUACCAUGGUUGCUGCCAUGUCUAAUUUCAUGGAUUAUGAUGUCUAUGAUCUUGAGUUAACGACGGUGAAGGACAACACUGAGCUGAGGAAGCUACUGAUUGACACGCCGAGUAAGUCUAUAAUUGUGAUUGAGGACAUUGAUUGCUCGCUUGAUCUUACAGGACAGCGAAAGAAGAAGAAGGAGAAGGAUGAGGAGGACAAGGAAGAAAAUAAGGAUCCAGUUCGAAAAAUGAGGGAAGGUCAAGAAAACCCACAGAGCAAGGUGACUCUUUCGGGGCUGCUAAACUUUAUCGAUGGGAUUUGGUCAGCUUGUGGAGGGGAGAGAUUGAUUGUGUUUACGACUAAUUAUGUGGAGAAACUUGAUCCUGCGCUCAUUAGAAGAGGAAGGAUGGACAAACACAUAGAAUUGUCCUACUGCUGCUUCGAAGCAUUCAAAGUGCUUGCUAGGAAUUAUUUGGAUUUGGAUUCACACGAGUUGUUUGAAACGAUUGCUCGUUUGUUGGGUGAAACCAAUAUGACUCCUGCUGAUGUCGCUGAGAACUUGAUGCCUAAGUCUGUUAGGCAGGAUGCUAAAUCUUGUUUGAAGAACUUGAUCGAAGCUCUUGAGGCUGCGAAGGAGGAGGCAAGAGUGAAGGCCGAGGAAGAAGCAAAGUCAAAGGCAGAGGAAGAGGCAAAACUGAAGAUAGAGAAAGAAGAAAAAGAGAAAGACCUGCCAAAAGUUGAAGAGAAAUGCAAUGGAAAACAAGUUGAAACGGGCGAAGAAAACAGAGUUAGCGCUUGAAGAUGAACGAAAGAGAGUGAAAUCAUAUGUAUGAAUUUCAACCUUGCUUAAAUUGUAUUUUGUAGAGUCUCAUCAGUGUGUGUUUUUCCUUAAUGUGUACUAAGAAUAAUUUCAUGGGGCUGUACUAAUUAAGCGUUUCGAUCAUCAAGGGCAUAAGUAACCUGUACCGCAAGGAAAAAAUGUCUAUUUCUUUGAAUAAGUUUAACUAAGUAACUCUAAUCUGUGUUUUAUCAAAAUAUCCUUAGUUAAUUAAGUUCUUUCGUAUCUUAUUUUGUUUCUUAAAGUGAAAUUUUCUCACUUAACAACUAAUUGUAUGUUGCAAGAAACUAAGACUGAUUGAUCCACAGUAGACAGACAUGAUGAUGAUGAUGGGAGAAAUGUGGGUUCAACCGGACGCGGAGAUUUGCUAGUGUGAUGCUUCAUGCUUGUUUAUGCCAAAUUUCUGCAUUUUUUCCCAUCGCUUUCGAGGCAUAGAGACUGAAUCCGCCCGCCAUUGUAGAUGAUCAGAAUGCUUAGUAUAUUCAUACAAAGUAAUCACUGUGGUGCUUCAUGCUUGUUUACGCUAAAUUUUAAGUAUUUUCCCUUCUCUAAGAAAAAAUUAUUUAUGUAAAGCUAUGAAGUAUACAUCAUUUCUCAACAAAAUACAGAGGCCAAACAAGAAAGCAAAGUUUAAACAUGACUCCAGCAGACAUGUUUGCUCAUCUGGGAUCCGCAGUUGGCAGUUUGAUGUUUGCGUGGUCUAUCAUCCCACAAUACCUUCCUUACAGCCUUCGAAGCCAGACUAAGAAAUACUCUCAAAGAUUGGAGGGUUUCGUCUACCCUUACAUCCAAAUCACAUUCGAUGAAUUCAUUGGAGAGCGUCUCAAGCGCAAUGAACCUUAUUCCUCCAUUGAGAAAUAUCUAAGCUCCAAAUCUUUACGCAAGCAAAGCGCCUAAAGGCCGACAUAAAAAACUAACAGUCCCUUGCUUUUAGCCUGGAUGACUAUCAAGAGGUCACCGACAAGUUCCAAGUGUCACGGGAUGACUCUUUAAGCCUUCCGCCCAUGCGGCACUUAGACUUGAAUACCUCGAUGAACAAGCUAAGUAAGUCUUCGAAGCCUCGCUUCCCCGGAUCGAAUCACAAAGAAAGCUAAGAUAGCUUGGAGAAUGCUAAAAUCACUUAGAACAUGGGAGAAAGGAAGCUUUGUAUUGAAACUUAAGAGAACUUUACAAUUGCUUACAAUUCUUGGAUGCCUUGGCCAAAUGGCCUUGCCUCCUAUUUAUAGGCCUAAGUUACCUCCUCAAUGGAGGGUUCUAGAAUUCCCUACUUACAUCCAAAAAUAUCUAGCAUAGUUCUAGAUACAACUUGCCUAAUCUAGAUUGUUCUAGGUGAGGCUUAAAUUUGUACACUUGUGUGGAAUGUUCUGGAAUGCCCUAGAUUAUCUUGAACGCUCCGCCAUGUUCUUGAUUUUUCCGGGAUGUUCCAGAAGCUUCCAUGAAGACAAGGCUUUAUGGGCUUAGAUAUAUGAUGUCUUGGGCGAUUUCUUUGUUUUUAACAUAUGGCCCGUGACAUCCUCCCCCACUUAAGCCGUCGACGUCCUCGUCAACUCUUGCCUCUCGAAUGUCUGAAUCAAGUCCUUAUAUUGCCAUAAGGACGUCUCUUUCUCCCAUGUUGCUUCGGAGUAUGGUAGCCCCUUCCAUUUGACAAAGUACUCCAUAUGCUUUGGUUGUCUUGGUCGCACCACGACACGCUUGGCUUCAAUGCUCUCCGCUUCUUUGUCAAAUGCCUCCGUCAUUAAAGGGGGUGCUCGAUGAGACUCACCUCGGCUUGGUUCCUCAUCGUCUGCAUGAUAAGGCUUCAAGUUGCUCACAUGGAACACCGGGUGAAACUUGAGGCGGGGUGGGAGUUCCACACCAUACGCGGCUUUGCCAACCUUCUUGAUGAUAGGGAAUGGUCCCUCAUAUUUCCGCAACAAGCUCUUGUGCAAGCCACGAGUACUCUUGUGCUGAGACGCAUUGAGCUUCACAAAGACUUGGUUGCCAGUUUGGAACUCCACAUUCAUUCGCUUGCGAUCCGCCCAUUUCUUCAUCUUCUUUGAAGCCUUCUCCAAAUGAGCUCGAGCAAGUUCGUGGGCUAAUUGCCACUCCUUAGCGGUUUUGAAAGCGGCUGGACUAUUCCCCGUGUAGCCAGUCACGACCGUGUUCGGGGUCAAGGGUUGUUGCCCUAUAGCCAACUUGAACGGACUUUUCCCCGUCGACUCCGAACGUUGCAAGUUAUAAGAGAAUUGGGCAACAUCAAGUAACUUAGCCCAAUCUCGUUGAUUGGCACUAACAUAGUGCCGCAAAUAAGUCUCCAACAAUCCAUUAACCCGCUCCGUUUGUCCAUCAGUUUGUGGAUGAAAAGCUGUGGAGAAGUCUAACUUUGAGCCAAGUAGCUUGAAGAGCUCCUUCCAAAAUCUACCCGUGAAACGAGCAUCUCGAUCACUGACUAUGCUCCUCGGAACACCCCAAUACUUCACCACAUGCUUUAGAAACAAGCGUGCAGCUACUUCGGCUGUGCACUCCAUAGGUGCGGGUAUGAAAGUGGCAUACUUGGUGAAUCUAUCGACCACGACGAAGAUAGAUCCACAUCCAUCAGACUUAGGCAAAUGUGUGAUGAAAUCCAUGGUUAAACACUCCCAUGGUCUUGAUGGGGUGGGAAAUGGUUCCAACAGUCAUCCCGGUUGCUUUUGUUCCACUUUGUCUUGUUGGCACACAAGACAAGUCUUCACGUAUGAAUCUACAUCAUCCCGCAUUUGUGGCCAAUAAUAAGCAUCGCUCACCAAAGCCAACGUGCGGUGAGUGCCAGGAUGUCCUGCCCACAUUGAGUCAUGGCACUCCUUAAGGAUUUCUUUCCUUAAGCUUCCUCACUUUGGGACAUAGAUCCGUUUGCCCUUGGUGUAUAGCAAGCCGUCCUCAAGCCAAAACCUUCUUGUCUUCCCAUCCUUGACAAACUCCACAAUGUUCUUGGCUUGGACGUCAUGUGAUAAACCUUCUCGGACACGGCCCAAGAGAUGGCUUUGCGGCUUGAGUACCGUAGCCAUUAACUUUACUCGUCUACUUAGAGCAUCGGCCACCACGUUCUCCUUUCCUUGCUUGUACUCUAGCUUGUAAUCAAACUCCGCUAAGAACUCUUGCCACCUUGCUUGCUUAGGUGUAAGCUUUUGUUGGGUUUGAAAGUAGCUAGCGGCAACGUUGUCCGUCUUGAUGAUGAAUGGGGUACCAAGCAAGUAAUGCCUCCAAACUCUAAGGCAAUGGACGAUGGCGGUCAUCUCCUUUUCAUGGGUCGUGUACCUCUUCUCGGCAUUGUUUAGCUUGCGACUUUCAUAGGCUAUCGGAUGUCCCUCUUGCAUCAACACUCCUCCUAUGGCAAAGUCGGAAGCAUCAGCGUGCAACUCGAAUGGCUUGCUAAGGUCGGGCAACCUUAGUACAGGCUCCUCCAUUAGGGCCUUCUUCAACCUCUCAAAGGCCUCUUGACACCGGUCCGUCCAUUCCCAUGCCUUGUUCUUCUUAAGAAGGUCUGUUAAGGGUGCUGCUAUGGCUGAAUACCCUUUUAUGAAUCUCCGAUAGUAGUUGGCUAACCCCAGAAAGGAUCGUAGUGUUGGUACCUUGGUCGGUGGUUCCCACUCUUGAAUGGCCUUGAUCUUGCCCUUUUCCAUCAUAAGUUUCCCCUCCUUUAUCUUGUGGCCAAGAAAUUCUACUUCUUUUGUGGCAAAUGAGCAUUUCUCCUUCUUGACAUAGAGUUCAUGCUCCCGAAGGGUCUUGAACACUAUGCGCAAGUGCUUGACGUGCUCAUCCAAUGUCUUGCUAUAGACAACGAUAUCAUCAAUGUAAACCACAACAAACUUGUCAAGAUAAGGAUGGAAUACCUUGUUCAUCAAUGUGCAGAAUGUUGCGGGGGCAUUGGUCAGACCAAAUGGCAUGACUUUAUACUCGAACGAUCUAUAUCUGGUCACCAUCGCCGUCUUUGAUUCGUCUCCAGGGGCUAUCCUCACUUGGUAGUAUCCCGAUCGAAGAUCUAACUUUGUGAAGUACCUUGCUUCACCAAGUUGAUCGAAUAAGUCGGCGAUCAACGGAAGUGGGUACUUGUUCUUGAUGGUAAUCUUGUUCAAUGCUCUAUAGUCGAUGCACAACCUUAGGCUACCUUCUUUCUUGCGUUGGAACAAGACGGGUGCACCAUAUGGGGACUUGGAGGGUUGGAUGUAGCCAGCAUCAAGUAGUUCGUUGAGUUGCUUCCUCAAUUCCUCCAACUCGGGUGGCGACAUCCUAUAAGGUGAUUUGGAGGGAGGCUUAGCACCAGGCUCCAACUCAAUCGCAUGGUCGACCUCUUUCCUUGGUGGCAACUUCUUUGGCAGUUCCUUAGGUAUCACGUCCGUAAACUCCACAAGAACGUCUUCCACUUGUUUCGGCAAAGGCCCGUGCUUCUCCUCCCCUUCAUUCAACAUUAGGGUUGCAAGAAAUGUGGCCUCGCCUUUCUUCCAAGACUUGGCAAAUUGAAUUGCCGACAAGUGCUGGGUACACUUCUUGGCUUGCCUUUCCAAUGGCACCAGGCAAGGUUGUCUUCCGUCGGCCAGGAUACAGAAAAUAUUGUAGAAGGGAAUGGGAAAGGCUCGUACCUUGUCCAUGAACUCUAACCCAAUGACUACUCCAUAGUCGUCCAUCUUGACUACAGUGAAGUCGAUCUUUCCCUUCCAUGUGCCAAUGUCUACUUGUACAUUGCGCACAACUCCAACAAUGGGGGUGGCAGCGGAAUUUACCGUCUUCACGCUACCAGGCUCCUUUGUGACUCAGAGACCAAGCCUUGUGGCUUUCUCCGACGUCAUGAAGUUGUGUGUUGCUUCUAUGUCCACCAACACACGCGUCGUCUUGUCACCAGUCUUGACGUCGACGAACAAUGAUCCUCCCCCAAUUUGAGCCUUAGGUUGUGGAAGGGUUGUCUGGAUGGCAUUCAGUAGACGGAUGCAUCCCAUCGUUGCAUCGUUACUCUCUUCGGCCUUGUCCUCCUUGAAAGCCAUGGCCUUAAGGGCAUUCUUUUGUGGGCAAUCUCGCAUCAUGUGAGGGCCGUCGCAUAGGUAACAAGUGGGUUGCCAAGACUUACCUUUGCUUUUGUCAUGCUUAUCGGCUUUCUUCUCCUUCGGUUUGCUUGUCUCGGCCUUGUCCUUCGGCUUAUGUUCUCCCCCACUUCUCUCAUGAUUACCCCUCUUCCCCGUGGACUUGAAAUCACCUUGGUGGCUUGAUUUAAACUCAAUCAAGGAUUCGGCGGCGGCAAUGGCAUCAGACAAUGUUUGCACGUGUCUCCUUUGUAGUUCGAGUUUUGCCCAAUUUUGCAGUCCACUCAUGAAGUACAUGAGCUUGUCUUCCUCUAACAUGUUGGGCACCUCGAAUAACAAGCUCACGAAGGUGUUGACAUAGUCUUUGACGCUCCCCGUUUGCUUGAGCCACCUUAGUUUCUCCUUGGCUUCGUACUUGGCAUUUUGGGGAUAGAAGUGCAACAUAAGAUCUUUCUUAAAUUCAUCCCAAGUGGUGAGGGAGAACGUACCUUGGUCAAUCUCCAUGCUCCGGCGACGCCACCACAUAAGGGCAUUGUCAGCUAAGAACAUGGUUGCCGUUGAGAUUUUGGACUCGUCAUCUUCAAGCUUCAGGUACUUGAAGUAUCGCUCCACGUUCCACACGAAUGUGUCGAGCUCCUUUGCUUCCCUUUUCCCAUUAUAGGAUUUGGGUUUAAAGGAGUCGAUUACCUUGGAGUCCAACGCCUUGAUUUCCCUCGGCCCUUGCACGAAUUGCUUCACGACUGCUUCUUUACAAAACGCCACAUCUCCCUUAAGUUCCCUUGUGUCCUUUAUCUCUUUUUGAAGUGCCACAAACCUUGCCUCUAUGUUGUCAAGGUGAACCUGGACUUCCCUCCGCAUCUUGUCUGCCAUGGUGUUGAGAGCGCCAAAGAGCUCAUCUCGUAGCCCUUCCACCAAGCCACGCAGUUCAUCCUUACCAUUGUCCACCAUGGUUUGGAUUUCCUCCUUGUCGACAACGUCCUCAUCAAGUCGAGUAUCGAACUCGAGUAUGGUUCGUUCCACCUUCUCGAGUCGCUCUUCCAUGGUCUCCAUCGAUGCUUGCAAGUCCUUUAACUUUGGCUUGCUCUUGGCAACAUCUUGGACCUCGGCAGUACGCUCCCUUAGGUCGGAGACUCCGGACACCAUCUCUCCACUUGCCAUAUCCUACUUUCCUUCAAGUGAUUCACGAGCUAGGCUCUGAUACUAGCUGUCACGGGAUGACUCUUUAAGCCUUCCGCCCGUGCGGCACUUAGACUUGAAUACCUCGAUGAACAAGUUAAGUAAGCCUUCGAAGCCUCGCUUCCCCGGAUCAAACCAUAAAGAAAGCUAAGAUAGCUUGGAGAAUGCUAAAUCCACUUAGAAGAUGGGAGAAAGGAAGCUUUGUAUUGAAACUUAAGAGAACUUUACAAUUGCUUACAAUUCUUGGAUGCCUUGGCCAAAUGGCCUUGCCUCCUAUUUAUAGGCCUAAGUUACCUCCUCAAUGGAGGGUUCUAGAAUUCCCUACUUACAUCCAAAAAUAUCUAGCAUAGUUCUAGAUACAACUUGCCUAAUCUAGAUUGUUCUAGGUGAGGCUUAAAUUUGUACACUUGUGUGGAAUGUUCCGGAAUGCCCUAAAUUAUCUUGAACGCUCCGCCAUGUUCUUGAUUUUUCCGGGAUGUUCCAGAAGCUUCCAUGAAGACAAGGCUUUAUGGGCUUAGAUAUAUGAUGUCUUGGGCGAUUUCUUUGUUUUUAACAUAUGGCCCGUGACACAAGGACUCAGUUUCUUGUGGGUUUCUGGGACAAACGUGUUGAAAAGAUAGACGUAUUCUUUCUACCCUGUUGGUGAGAAAGGUACUACAAGCUCAUUUCCAUAAACGGCACGGGGAUCUCGUAAUAUGUCCAUACUUUACUCAAAUCUUGAAAGAAAGCAAGGCUAUGAAGGUGGUAAACCGGCAAAGAAAGAUUUAUUCGAACAAUGGUUCACAUUGGAGCCAUGUCGUGUUUGAGCACCCCGCUACAUUUCAGACACUUGCCAUGGAGCUGGAGAAGAAGAAGGACAUUAUUGACGACCUAAUGGCAUUCACCAUAGCAGAAAACUAGUAUGCAAGGAUUGGAAGGGCAUGGCAGCGGGGAUAUCUCCUUUACGGCCCUCCAGGUACUGGAAAGUCCACCACGAUUUCUGCCAUGACUGAUCUUUUGGGCUAUCAUAUUUAUGAUCUUGAACUCACUGCAGUUAAAGACAACACUGAGCUGAGGGGGCUUCUGAUUGAAACAACGAGCAAGUCUAUUACUGUAAUUGAAGACAUCGAUUGUUCACUUGAUAUUGCGGGACCGAGGAGGAAGAGAAAAGAUAAAGGGGAAGAGGAGGAAGAGAAAGAUCCAAUGGACAAGCUUGCAGAACAAGAAAGAUAAACCAAAACCAGCCGGGUUAAUAUUUCCAGGCUUCUGAUUUUUAUUGAUGGGCUAUGGUCAGCUUGCAGCGGAUGGGGGAUCAUUGUCAUCACAACUAAUCAUGUGGAGCAACUCGAUCCAGCACUUGUCCGGAAAGGAAGGAUGUACAAGCACAUAGAAUUGUUGUACUGCAAGUUCGAAGCAUUCAAGGUGCUGGUGGGGAACUACCUUAGACUUCAAUCACACGAUUUGUUUUCCACAAUUGUACGCUGCCGGAGGAAAACUGAUAGGACUCCAGCUGAUGUUGCAGAACCUUUGAUGCCUAAGACAAAUCCUUAGGAUGCUUAAAUCUGCCUACAUAAUCUGAUCGAAGCACUCGAAAAAGAAAAAGAGAAUGGAAGGUUGAAAGCCAAGGAAGAAGGGAAAAGGAGAAAUCAUCACCUAAAGAGGAAGAAAAUGAUUGUGAUACAGGAUCAUCUGAUGAGCAAUAAAAAGAGAGCAAGAAAAUAGGUUUAGAAUUGGUUAAAAAGCUUGUUUCCUAAAAGUUGUAUGUAUUAUUCUAAAACCAAAUUCCUCUCCUUUCCGAGGUAUUUACUCAUUCGAGUUUGAAGAAAAUGGUGCCGAAAUCUGAUGUAGAGGAUGUUGAGUCUUGUUUGAAGAACUCGAUCGAAGCUCUUGAGGCUGCGUAGGUGGAGGCGAGAAUCAAGGCUUAGGUAAAAACAAGCAAAAAGGCAGAGGAAGAAGAAAAAUUGAAAACAGAGAAAGAAGUGAAGUCGAAGGCAGUGGAAGAAGCAGAUUCGAAGGCAGAUAGUGAAAUGUAACGGGACAUCAGCUUAGCUUCAUAUGACCAAGUAAACCCUCAUUUGUGCAACUUUUAUCCGUGUUUUUUUAGGAAAAUAAGCUUAUAAUUUUCUCAAUUAACAAUUUAAAAAGGUCCAUUGUCCCACCUAGUUCGUUGGUUUAACCAACGAUCUGGAUGUGAUCUAUCUGUUAGGAAUAUAAUAGAACCUAUAUGUAAUUAAAGGUUUUACUUUACUUAGCUGUUAAGCUAAUUGUACCUAUUUAUAUGAUAUUGUAUUCUUUCGGACUGUAAGAUGAAUUCAUUCAAUCAAUACACUUCUCUUUCUAGAAUCCUCUCUCUCUCUCUCUCUACCUUUACCUUUUCUCUCACAGAAUCAUAAGUUUCUACAUGGUAUCUUCGCCGAUGUCUAACGACCUCGAUCCACCGCUUCCGUCUUCUUGAAUUUUCUCACCCUUUCUCUUCUCCCAAACAGAUCUUAUCUGCCUGACCUUCUUCAAUUUCUUAAAAUUUCUUCUCCACUCUUGCUUCUCUGAUGGCGACUGGUGUGAAUUCUGCGGAUCUUUCUUCUCCGGCUGGUUCUUCUGGUUCUAAUGUCGCGCCCAAUGCGUUCAAUCCGUCUCUUUCUUCGAUCACUGUUCAGAAUAUCACUGGCAUGAUUGCAACGAAGCUUACUCGCCACAACUACAUCACUUGGCGUAGUCUCUUUCUUCCUGUUCUGAAACGAUUCAAGCUUUUAGGGCUUGUCAAUGGAACUGAUGUGUGUCCUCCUCCAUUUGUGACUGAUUCGUCCGGAUCUCAAGUUUCUAAUCCUGCAUUUGAGACUUGGUGAUCGUGAUCAAAUCUUGAUGAUUUGGAUUAAUUCAACAUUAUCUGAAGAUCUCCUUCCAUUGAUGGUUGGCAUGGACGAUUCCAGAUCUCUCUGGCAAUCUCUCGAACGUUGGUUUUCUGGUGCAUCUCGUACUCACAUUCACAGCCUUCGUUCGAAGAUUCAGACUAUCCAAAAAGGAGACUCUUCAAUGACUGAUUACCUCAACUCUCUUAAGGAAAUCUCUGAUAAACUUGCCGCGGCUGGCGAACCAAUUUCUGACUCAGAUCUUGUGGCCUACAUUCUUUCUGGUCUCUCUACUGAGUAUGAAUCAUUUAUUGAUUCUAUUGAAACACGAUCUGACUUUGUCAAUCCUGAUGAGCUGCAUGGAUUACUCCUGAGUAAAGAGAUUUCUCUUCUGAAACGCAAAUCCAGAAAACCGUCUUCUUCUUCAGCAUCUUUUCAUGCUUAUACGGCUCAACCUGGUUCCAACAAUUUCAGAGGCCGUGGUCGAUUUCAGAACAAAAAUCGCUACAAUUCGAAUCGCAAUUUUGGAGGAAAUCGUCAUUACAACAACACUUCUGGAAGUCUUCUUGGUCCUGGUCCUAAUUCCAGAUCCACAUUCUCUGGUCAGAAUUUCACCAAUUCCUUUUCUGGCCGCUCUCUUCAGUGCCAAUUAUGUCUCAAAUUUGGUCAUGAAGCUCUCAACUGUGAGAAGCUCCUUCAGUUUGCAUCUCAAAGAUCACCUCAUGGACCUCAUGUUGGCAUGACGGCUGCGACUUCUCCUCCACCGAGCUAUUGGUUAACUGAUAGUGGAGCCUCUCAUCAUGUGACACCUGAUCCAUCAUCUCUUAAUUCUGCAAUUCCCUACAAUGGCAGUGAUCAGUUGUUUGUUGGUAAUGGUAAAGGUCUGUGCAUUUCUCAUACUGGUUCUGCCUUAAUUCGUACUUUCAAUGCUACAUUUAAGCUCAAUGAUGUGUUGUUGGUUCCCAAAGCAUCCCAUAAUCUGUUAUCCGUUUACAAAUUUGUCUAUGACAAUUGGGCUUCUCUGACUUUUGAUCCUUUUGGGUUCUAUAUCAAGGACCUAAGAACUGGAAAGAUGCUUUUCCAGGGCCUCUGUGAAGAUGGCUUAUAUCCUUUCUACUGGACUGCAUCCAAUAAAUCCUCAGGCAUUGCUCUCUCGCCUACGGCAUUGAUGAUAGCUAAGGCAGAUGUUCAUCUCUGGCAUAAAAGACUCGGCCACCCAUCGAGCUUAGUUUUACAUAAUGUUGUCCAUAAACAUCAGCUACCUGUUAUUGGUUCUGUCAAUUCAGGGUCCAUUUGUACUGAUUGUAAGAUGGGGAAGGCAUCUAGAUUACCAUUUUCUACUUUGCCUUGUACUUCCACUAGGCCUUUUCACUUACUGCAUACAGAUGUUUGGGGUCCUUCUCCCACUUUUUCAUGUACUGGUUUCAAGUAUUACCUCAUUUUGGUCGAUGACUACACUAAAUACAGCUGGCUUUAUCCUAUGGUUUAUAAGUCUGAUGUUUACUCCACUUUCAAGACUUUUGUUCUCAAAGUUACAAAUUUCUUUUCUUGCAAGAUUCAAUGUCUCAGGUCAGAUUCAGGGGGUGAGUUCUUAAGCAAGAAUUUUCAGACUUUUCUCAAUAAACAUGGUAUUACACAUCAGUUAAGUUGUCCGCAUACACCUGAACAAAACGGCUGCGCAGAGAGGAAGCACAGGCAUGUUGUUGAAAUGGGUCGGACUCUUCUCUUUCAGAGUGGAAUGGCACCAAAAUUCUGGGUUGAGGCUUUUCAGACUGCUGUCUACAUUAUAAAUAGACUGCCUCCUCAAGCAUCUCCUACUAGCCCUUGGGAAAAAUUUUCAAUGCUGUACCUCAGUAUCACACUCUCAAAGCCUUUGGCUGUGCAUGCUACCCAUGGCUGCAGCCCUAUUCGUCAACUAAACUUGAUCCGAAUAGCAAGUUGUGUGUUUUCCUCGGCUAUAGUCUCAAUCAUUGUGGCUAUCGGUGUUUUGAUCCUGUGGCUAACAAAGUGUAUAUCUCACGGCAUGUUACUUUUGAUGAACACCUGUUCCCGUUUAAGCAAGGCUUGUUCUCUGCCUCUCCUUUACCCCAGCGUCCUUCACCUCUCAGCUCUUCUCCUAUUACUGUCACUAUUCCUGUCUCCUCUUCACCAAAGACUUCACUGCGUACUUCACAGCUUGCUAGUCCUGCUGGUUUUUCACCAUAUCAAGCAUCUUCUGUACCUGACAGUACUCCACAUCAAACAUCUUCUGUACCUGACAGUAAUGCAUCCACAACUGCUACUUCUCCUCAGUCUACUCCCUGUUUACCAUCUGCUACUGUGCCUGCCCCUGCUCUACCUAAUUCGCACCCUAUGAUUACGAGAGCUAAGGCUGGAAUUCAUAAACCAAAGGUCUUCACAGCAACCAAACAUUCCCUUCAAGCCUCUGUUGAUUCUAUUGCUUGUCUUCCUUCCACACCUACAACCUUUUUACAAGCUUCCAAAAAUCCCAACUGGAUGCAAGCUAUGAAGGAUGAGUUUCAAGCAUUGAAAUCCACAGGCAAUUGGGAAUUGGUUCCGUUUCAGUCUCAUUUGAACUUGGUUGGUUGCAAAUGGGUCUUUCGACUCAAACAUAAACCUGAUGGCUCUAUUGAACGGUAUAAGGCUCGUCUUGUCGCCAAAGGUUUCCAUCAACAAGAGGGUCUUGACUUCUCUGAGACAUUCAGUCCCGUUGUAAAGCCUACUACUAUCCGUAUUCUCUUAUCCAUCGCUGUUUCCUAUGACUGGUUUGUCCAUCAGCUUGAUGUCAGUAAUGCCUUUUUGCAUGGUACAUUAAAGGAGGAUGUCUACAUGGUCCAGCCUCCUGGUUUUGUUAAUCAGUCCAAACCUACACAUGUCUGUAAACUCCAACGGUCACUCUAUGGUUUAAAAUAGGCACCUCGUGCCUGGUAUGAUGCUUUUCACAAGGCUAUCCUCUCUUUAGGUUUCUCCUCUUCACAUUCUGACUCCAGUCUGUUUAUAAAAAAGGAUUCUACCAUUACUUUCAUCUUAGUCUAUGUUGAUGAUAUCAUCAUCACUGGUAGUUCUACCACAGUUUGUCAAUCCAUUAUUACUCAGUUACAAACUAUGUUUCUUGUGAAAGACUUGGGUGAUAUUCACUACUUUCUCGGUAUUGAGGUUCACUGAUCUGCCAAAGGUUUAUUUCUGCAUCAGUUCAAAUAUGCUCUUGAUUUGCUGAAGAAAUCUGAUAUGCUUGGUGUCAAGCCUUGCUCCACUCCUGUUGGUUCUGCGAAACUGGAUCACUCUGGUUCUCCUCUUUCUGAUCCUUCCUUUUAUCGCUCCACUGUUGGAGCCUUGCAGUAUCUCACAUGGACUCGGCCUGAUUUGGCUUUUGCUGUUAACCAAGUAUGUCAACAUAUGCAUUCUCCUAGGACAGUCCACUUACAGGCAGUUAAAUGGAUCAUUCGAUAUUUGAAGGGUACCCUUCAUUUCGGUCUUUGGCUAACAAAAGGUCCUCACUACCUCACUGCAUGGUCUGAUGCUGACUGGGCUGGCUGUCCUGUUGACAGAAGAUCCACCAGUGGCUACUGUGUUUUUCUUGGACCGAAUCUCAUUUCCUGGAGUGCAAAGAAGCAAUGCACUGUUGCUCGAUCGUCUACUGAAGCUGAGUACAGGUCUCUAGCUCAUACAGCUGCUGAACUCAGUUGGGUUUGUCAAGUAUUGCAGGAUCUUUCCUUUCCUCUUCUCAAAACUCCUGCGAUUUUCUGUGAUAAUAAAAGUGCAAUUGCACUAGCCUUCAAUCCUGUAUUCAUGCUAGGACGAAGCAUGUUGAAAUAGACUAUCACUAUAUUCGUGAGAAGGUUCUCUGUGGCAAAGUCAGUGUGCAUCAUGUUGCUUCUCUUCUUCAAAUUGCAGAUAUUUUCACUAAGUCUUUGCCCUCUGAUAGAUUUGCCGCCUUGGCUUCCAAGCUUUCAGUUCGACCUCCUCCCUUCACCUUGAGGGGGUGUGUUAGGAAUAUAAUAGAACCUAUAUGUAAUUAAAGGUUUUACUUUACUUAGCUGUUAAGCUAAUUGUACCUAUUUAUAUGAUAUUGUAUUCUUUCGGACUGUAAGAUGAAUUCAUUCAAUCAAUACACUUCUCUUUCUAGAAUCCUCUCUCUCUCUCUACCUUUACCUUUUCUCUCAUAGAAUCAUAAGUUUCUACACUAUCAGCAGCGGCAUUCUUCCUUGCUCGUUCCUAGGAACUCGGUAACGUGGCCAGUAAGUCAGCGAGCAUUGAGGCAGGCAGACAGAUAUUAUUAACUGCUUUCAGUCGGUAAGGAAAAGAAUGCUGAUUUCACCGAUUAUCCGUACUUGACGCUUUGGACGAGUAAUUUAAAACCUCAGUUCACUAUCAUACCGUUUGGUAUGUGGGACGGGACAGAACGGAGUGAGACGAGGCGUUCCGUCCCACGUUUGGUGUGCCUAAAACGGGUGCAACGCGCUGUUCCACAUAAUGAAUUUUGGGUGAAUUUUCGUUCCGCCUCACCCCCUGGAACGACUCGUUCCACAUCCGUGGAACACAAAAUUAUAACCUCUCUGUCUCCUUCUUCCUCCUUGUUUCCAUCCGAGGGCAUCUUUGCUCCCUCUCCGUUCUGUCCCGUUCCGUCUGCAUACCAAACGAUACCCUUCUUCGAUUACCGCUUCGAGUCUUAAGGGUAAUUGUCUGCAAUUUCCAUCAGAAGUGUGAUUGGUUUCCUUGUUUUUCUUUGGCUUGCAUGUAAGUUGCAAUUAACUGAUUGUUCAACAUCAGACGAGCAUGACGAUAACCGAAGAAAUGUGAGUUCAACUGGACAUGACGAUUGCCAGGGUGAUGCAUCAAGCUUGUUUGUGCCAAGUUUCUGCGUGUUUUCCCCAUCGCUUUCGGGACAUAGAGACGAAUCCACCAGCUUUGUAGAUGAUCAGAAUGCUUAAGAUAUUCACUUUAAAUAAUCAGCGUGAUGUUUCACGCCUGUUUAUGUUAAGUUUCUACGUACUUUCCAUAUCGUUUUCGGAGCAUGACGACAAAACCACCAGGCAGUGGCGGAUGAUCAGAAUGCUUAAUUUAUUGACUAACCAAUACCAACUCCACUCCACCCAACUCUUCUUAAACAAAUUAUAAUUAUAUAAUCGGGAUAGCAUUGGUAUCAGUGUGGUUAGUAGUGACCACUUCGCUUGUCCGCAUCUGUAAAUUACAGAGGCCAAGCAAGGAAAGCAAGGUUAGACAUCAGUUGAAACGAGUGAAGAAAACAGAGUCAGCCCUGGGAGGCACAGGACUGAAAUUAUCAGUAUAUAGUUUCUACCUUAUUUCUUCCAUUUUGCACCCAGAUCAAUGUGUGUUUAUCUUAACAAUGUAAUAAGAAUUGAGGUGGAUGGAUUCACCGCUACCAUGGUCCCCUAAAUACAAGGUUACGAAAAUAAAAUCUUACACGUGAAUUUAUAUUUGAUGGUACAAAGUAUUACAGUAACGAUGAACCUGUUUCUUAAAAAUCUCUCUAAAAACACAAAAUAAGAGAACAGGAGGAAGGCGUAACUGAUCAAGGAGCCUCCUGAGAAAGGAUAAGAAGGUGAAAGUAAAUGCACCAAGGCUUACGGUUACUCAUUAAUAUUUCCUUACUAGUCCGGCUAUGAAACAAACGUCUGCUCUACAUCUCAUCAAGUUAUGUGUUGAUAACAUAUUUUAUUACCAAACAUUUGGGUUCAUGAUUUACUCUUGGACCAUACUAAAAGGAAAGUACCAAGACAGUAUGUGCGUGAUGCUGAACUGAAAGACUAGGAUGACAUCAUUGCAAUAUGACGUCAUAGAACUAAUACAGUUUCCAAUUUUUAAACAAAAUAAUAAUUUCCAUUUGGUUUUACUUUAACUUAACCUACUGAGCAAGUAAUCGAGUCAAUUUUUGGACCGGAUUGUUUAAAUGUAUUCCAAUAAUGUUAUUCUUAUCAUAUUUUUGUACCACAAUUAUAUAUCACCUUUGGUGGUAUCUAAUGUGGACAACCACAUCAUUUAAAUUAAUUAGCAUUUAAUUUCAAAAUGUUAAUCAAUAAUUAAUAAAAAGAUUGUUAAUUAAAUGAUGAUUGUGGUAUACAAGAAGUAUUCUUCUGCCACCUAAAAUUAUUUAGGUGUUUUAAUUAAUAAAAAAAUUGAAAUUAAAUGAUGUAGCUUGUCCAACUCAUCUGCCACCUAAGAUGGUAAAAAAAUGUGGUAUAAAAUUGUGGUAAGAAUAGCAUUACUCAAUGUAUUCACACAGAAUAAUCAAUGCCAACUCACCCAAAACCCCCUUUCAAUUAAAUAUAUUUUAAUUUUUAAUUUAAUCUCCACAAAAUUAUACAAAUUCUCACCCAAACUAGUAUAUUGGAUCAAGAACUUCAAGUUAAGGGGGUAAUCCGGAUUAAUCUCAUGAGAUGGAAAUGAUUGAGAUAGUGAUCGGGUAUGGAUUCAUUUUGUGCCUUGUCUUUUUUUCUAAGGAAGUGAAUCAUACAAAUCGAGUGAUUUGUCACGCUUCAGGUCAAGGACAGAUUGGCUAUCAAUCGAUGUACCAGGCCGUCCAACUGAGGCGGCACACCCUUCAGGAUGUUAACUUGACUUCUAUUAGGUACAUAUAUCUAUGCAGACAUGUUUGUAGCUGGUAUAUGGUCUCGUCACUUUAGCUAGAUCAGAGAAAUGCGUUUGGAGCAACAUUCUGAAAGUUAGAAUACAUUGCAUGUGCUUAUUAUACUUAUGCGGUACGGGGAUUGAGAUGAAGCACAGUGGGCAACGUCCCCGCCAAUUCGCGUCAUUCUUCAGGAACGUUAACAUUCUUAUCUACUCCAAACGGUGGGAAGAUUAUCUUAUCAAAGUGACAAACUGCAAAAUAUAAGCAGUAAAGAGAUAGCUUACAAGGGCUCAUAAAGAUCUUAAAGAAGAAUCGUAAUUGACAUAGAUUCAAAUCUUGAUGUGAGGACCCAUAUCGGUAAGAGAGAAAUAACGAGAUUUCAAUAUAUGUUUAUCCACUGGUCCACUUGUUAGGUUUUGUUUUCUUUGAUUGCUCUUGCUUUUGUUGGAUGGAUUAAGGUUAACACAAAUGGGUUUUCUAAAUAAAUUGUCAUGUGGAUAGUGGUGGUGUUUUUCGUGACUCCAAUAGUUUUUUUUAUGAGUGUUUUCCUCAUCUUUGUAUGUGUGACAACCUGUCCCACUUAAGUUUACAGGUUUUACAGAACGAAAGAAGCAGGGUUGUAAUUUUCCCAUUGGUUGUGGGUUUUGGUUUAAAUAUUGUUUUAUUUGGUGCUAAAUGGUGUGCCUUGUGGGCCCCUUUCCUUUUUUGGUUCCCCAGUUUUCCCCUCCUCCUGUCUGUGGUUGCCACGUGUCCCCCACACAACUCCCAGAUCCCUCUCUUCUCUCCUUCCCAAGCUCUCUCUCUCACGACUCAUUCACUUUCUCUCCCUCGCAGACAUCUAUCUCUCAGCUCUCUCUUCCCCAAGGUGCCAACCCACACAUACACAUCCAUACACACCAACCUUCGAACCCCAGGACCGAAAGGUGUAGCGCCAUGGAAACCGGUGCGAAGGCGAGUUUCCAACGGUGGUAAGUUCUGAGAAUCACCUAAAACUUCUUGAUUCGUGCUUUGGGUUGUAUUUCUAGUUUUUCUAAGACUUUUGGUAGAAGUUUGGUGCAGGAAACAUCAUUGGAACUUAAACCCAAUUUCCAGCGAGAACCCGGCGGAUUUCAAGUCAUUUUUCGGCCAAUUCCUGCCAUUUCACGGUCUCCAAUAGGUAUUUUUCAACUCCUUAUUCUUUGGGCUUCAAAUUGAUAUAAAGUUUGACUAAGUUUAAUGGUGUGUUGGAGAUGACCGGAGCUUGGAAGCUCCGGCUUUCUCAUUCGUGUUGUUCAGCCUUCUUCCCUAACGAGAAACAAAAUCAGGCCCUUGGCCCGCUAAAACCUAAAAACCCAAACCUUUUUAUUUGUUAAACCCUUUUUAUUUAAACCAUUCAGACCUGGGCCUUAGGGCCGUUUAGAACUAAGGGCUUCAGCCCACUAGCCCAACCCAAACCCAAAUGUUAGAAUUAACCCCAGGUCUUGGGCCUUAUUGACAUGGGCCUUCAUCCCAAGCCCAGGAACCCUUGAACCCAAAGUCUAGGCCCAAGGACCCUUAGCCCAAUCCAGAUGUUGACCCAAGCCCAACCCGAUGAAACAUUCUCUGGAAUAUUCCCAUGUGACUUUUUGUUGAUUUUUUCGAAAUUUACCCGUGACCCUUCUUAGGGUAAUUUGACAUCCUGAAUUCGUUUUUGAUAUCCGUUUUCCCAAAUUCAAUCGUUUGAAUAGAGUUGUAUUAAUUGUACCCUUUAUGUGCUUGAGGUUAACUAUUUGUGGUGUUUCCGUCUUUACUAGUUUGCUUGGCUCUUCGGCAGCGAACUAUCUGUAAGUAGACCCCUUCUAAAUGCACGUGAGAAACAUGAUUUUAAUGAUUACAUUUUAUGAAAUAUUAGGCUUACUAAGAAUAUUUUGAAUUACCAUAUUUUAUCGAACUGAUGUUCUUUGUAGUAUAUAUGAUGGAUGACUAUAUACUGCUUACGAACAUGCUUUUACACACUUCUUUAUAGUAUAGAUGAUGGAUGACUUUAUACUAUGAAGUUGUUUUUGAGAUAUAUGUACCUAUGUUUGGAAAGACUAUGUUCAAUGGUUUUGUGCGUAUCUAGUGGUCAUUGUUCUGCCUAGGGGUGAUGAUACUUAAAUUGCCUACGGACUGGCGUGCGCAGGGCACUGUUCUGUGCAUAUGGAAGAUGAUACUUAUAUUGCCUUCGGGCGGGCGUGUGUUGGGCACUGUUUUGUGCAGAAGAGAGAUACUGAUACCACUAGUUAGCACACUAUAUGCGAGAUACUUUUAUGAAGGUCUUAUGGCAUGCUAGGGUUUUCAGAAAACCUAUUACAUAUUAUGCUAUUGAGUUUUUAUAAAACUUUAGGGGUUAGUAUGUUGAUAACUGUUUCAGUAUUAUGUAUAUAUCAACUUGGUUCACUUAUGUUUGUUUUGCACCCCCUCAGGACUUAGAAUCGAGGCAUACAAUCCCGGCGUCAAGGCACUUCCGCAUCGGCAUCUUCGAGUCCUCUUGGUGUAGGACCUAUUUCUUGUACUCAUUCAAUUUUAUGUUAUUUCUUUUUAGGGUUCUAGUUAGUUGUAUGCUCUGAACACGUUUCUCAUUUGCAUAUUAAUUAGAUUUAAAUUUGUAAGUCCUAUUUAUUUCUUGUUCUCAUGCAUUCUAAUAUGGUUUCGUCACCCUCAGGUGUCGGCCAACACGUACCUACCCUGGUGUUUGGGAGAAUAUCAAGGUUGGGCGUGUCACUAUGCAUUGAAAUUUUGAAAUUUCAUGUUUACAAUCUUCUUGUCCAAGUGCAAUUGUAGCUGAGAUUGUUGUUGUGAUCAAGGCAAUUCAGAUUGCGUGAGAUAAAGAGUGACAACACAUUUGGUUAGAGACAGAUUCUAUGCAUGUCGUUCACCCUUUAUCAGCUCGCUUCAUGGAUGUCCCAUGGUUUCUCAAAGUUUCUUGGGCAAAUUGUUUAUGAUAUUGCUCACUUGCGCUUGCGUGUUUUGCAUAAUUUUAGGGAAGAAAAUUGUUUGGCGGAUGCUUUUGCUAAUUCUAGGGGAAUGAAUAGUAGUUUUACGUGGGGGGACUUGAUAGCUGAUUUUGCAAAUGCGUCUUAUAGAAGAGACCGCAUUGGCUUCAUGUCUUUCGUUCGAGGUAAUUUUUUUUAUAUGGUUUGUAGCUUGUCGCUUGGUUGCAAUUCGUGGCGGCAUUUAAGUUUUGGUUUAGAGGAGUUCCUACAUCCCCCUCUUUUUUUGUAUUCUUCAAGUUUUAAGAGGUGGUCAAGUUUUUGUUCCUUCAUCGUCUUGCGUUCUGAGGGGUAAGAUUUUUGCCCCUUGACUAGGUAUAACUUUAAUUUUUCUUAUCAAUAAAAUUUUCUCGUACGAUCUAGGUUCCAUGGAAAACAAAAGGUUUGUUUUAUUUUCUUUGUUUAUCAUACAUGGUUAAUUGCUUUUGUCACUUGAUUCAUAAGCUCUGAUUAAUUACCCUUGAUUAUUAGGAUAGAGCUUCAGUAAUAUGUCAUUUAGUAAUAUGGUAUAUUUCACUCCACUUGUUUGGAAGUUUUAGAUUAGAAUCUUUUGAAUGAGGUGAAGAACAAAUAGAAUUUGCUACAAAAGCCGGCUAACAGGGGUAUUCUUGUCGAAUUUGUUACGAAAGUAUUAUAACAAGAAAAUUGUAUGACUUAGAUUAGAUCCCAUUCUUUAUGUAAAUAUAUCAAUUCUUCAACAAAAAAUAAAAAAAAUCGUGAUAUAAAAUGUAAUUUUUAAAUGUUUUUUAUGUGGAUUUUAAAGAAAAAACAAAUUUGUCCAGCUCACCCAACUUUGUCGUUACGUCCCUCCAGAACCUCUUCUUUUUCAUGGCGGGCCGCCUUUGGAGAAUUCCACCGAACUUCCUCUUGCUUUCCUUUAGUCAAUUAAAUAUUGUAAACAACUGAAACUUAUCUUCCAAGAAACGAGCAUCUCCUCCCCUAUAUAAAACCAUGUCUUUCAUCGUAGCAGAAACAAAAAAAACCUAAACCUUCAAGAGCUUCCGAAAACCCUUCCGACGAAAACGAAGAUGAUGGGAGAAAUGUGGGCUCAAACGGGCUCGGUGAUUGCGAGCGUGAUGUUCGUUGCUGCCAUAUUCCAACAAUACCUUCCUCGCCAACUUCGGUACCAUGUCGAAAGAUACACUCAAAAAUUAGUGAGCUUUGUCUACCCUUACAUCCAAAUCUCUUUUGAUGAAUUCACCAAUGAUUUUCGCAAGCGAAGUGAAAUCUAUUCCGCCAUCCAGAGCUAUCUCAGCGCGAAGUCUUCCACCCGGGCUAAGCGGUUAAAAGCUCAUGAUGUCAAGGACAGCAAGUCUGUAGUCCUUGGCAUGGAUGACAGUGAAGAAGUGACUGAUGAAUUUCAAGGCAUUAAUCUUUCAUGGGCUUCGAGGAAACGAACGAAGAAUCAGACUUCAUUUUCUUUCUAUCCUCAGGCUGAUGAGAAGAAUCAUUAUACGCUGACGUUCCACAGACGCCAUCGAGAUAUCAUCACGGGGUCUUACCUUGAUUAUGUGAUAAAAGAAGGGAAGGCGAUAUCGGUGAGCAACAGGCAACGAAGGCUCUAUAUCAACAAUCCUACACAGAAUUGGUACUCCUACAGGGGGACAAAGUGGAGCCAUGUAGUGUUUGAGCACCCGGCAUCAUUUGAAACCCUAGCAAUGGACCCGAAAAAGAAGGAGGAAAUCGUCAAUGACCUCAUCAUGUUCAGAAAGGGAAAGGAGUACUAUGCAAAAAUCGGGAAGCCUUGGAAGCGGGGUUAUCUACUUUACGGGCCACCAGGCACUGGAAAGUCUACCAUGGUUGCUGCCAUGUCUAAUCUCAUGGAUUAUGAUGUCUAUGAUCUUGAAUUAACGACGGUGAAGGACAACACUGAGCUGAGGAAGCUACUGAUUGACACACCGAGUAAGUCUAUACUUGUGAUUGAGGACAUUGAUUGCUCGCUUGAUCUUACAGGACAGCGAAAGAAGAAGAAGGAGAAGGAUGAGGAGGACAAGGAAGAAAAUAAGGAUCCAGUUCGAAAAAUGAGGGAAGAUCAAGAAAACACACAGAGCAAGGUCACUCUUUCGGGGCUGCUAAACUUUAUCGAUGGGAUUUGGUCAGCUUGCGGAGGGGAGAGACUGAUCGUGUUCACUACUAAUUAUGUGGAGAAACUUGAUCCUGCGCUCAUUAGAAGAGGAAGGAUGGACAAACACAUAGAGUUGUCCUACUGCUGCUUCGAAGCAUUCAAAGUGCUUGCUAGGAAUUAUUUGGAUUUGGAUUCACAAGAGCUGUUUGAAACGAUUGCUCGUUUGUUGGGCGAAACCAAUAUGACUCCUGCUGAUGUCGCUGAGAACUUGAUGCCUAAGUCAGUUAUACCCGAUUCUGAAUCUUGUUUGAAGAACUUGAUCGAAGCUCUUGAGGCUGCGAAGGAGGAGGCAAGAGUGAAGGCCGAGGAAGAAGCAAAAUCAAAGGCAGAGGAAGAGGCAAAACUGAAGGCAGUGGAAGCGGCAAAACUGUGAUAGGUUGUAUUAUGUGCUUAGUGUGUAAAUUAGAAUGGUUAGGAUUGUGACAUGUGUCAAAUUGUUGGUUGAUGUGUAAAGUUAGUUGACAUGUGUCAUAUUACUGGUUGAUGUGUGAAUUUAGUUAACAUGUGUCAUAUUGUGAUUGGUUGGUGUGUAAAGUUAGUUACAACUGUAUAGGAUGGUAUAACCUAUUGAUGUCACUUUGGCUUGUAAUCAUUAGCGUGAAAGAAGUAAUGAAAAAUAGUUAUGGAGCUCUUUCUCUCUCUUCCUCUCGAGUCUGCUCUCUCUUUACAUUUCUGUUCUUGAUUCUUCCAUUGUUCAACAAUCUGAAAGGAAGAGAAAGAACAGAAAGAGAAAGACCAGUCUGCUAAAGUCGAAGAGAAAUGUAAUGGAACUUAAGUUGAAACACGCGAAGAUAUCGUACAAAAAAGAAUGAAAUUAUCUAUAUCUUUUUAUAAAAAGGGAACAAGCUGGUGGCUUCGCCACGGCAAUCCACCUUUCGGGGGCCAAAAAGACUCAUACAGGUAUUUCAGUCCCUCUUGACCCCAAGUGAAGUUAUUUGUAUAAAUUUCAACCUUUCUUAAUUUGUACCUUGUACAGUCUGAUCAGUGUGCGGUUUUCCUUUAUAUGUAAUAAGAAUCAUUUUAUUGGGUUGUAAUAAAUAAAUAAAUUAAUGUAUGGCACAUAAGUAACCUGUGCCGCAAGGAAAUCGUUCAGAAAAAGCUUUUUAUGAAGAACAAUUGUGAUCUCUACAAUAAAAAUCCAUAACUCGAUUAAAAACGCUGCGAUCAGCGACAGAAGAUUUUGCACAUCAGUUUCUACAGGCAGGAAUUUCAUCACCGGAAGAAAGCAUGAGUCGAAAUGGAAGACUAAAGUUCCGGCCUAUACGUAAAAAACUAAAAAAAUGAAAAAGAAGAGUGAAGGAAAGGCCACGAAACAAGUCCGAACCUUCCAGGUUCACCAUCCAUGACACACAUUGACAUCAUUCGGUAGCAUAUCGGUGUCGAUAUUGUCUCUGCACUGCUUUGUUAGAUGCGUCAUGUGAGUAUACGUCCUGCAGCGGACGUGGUUAGUGGUUACUGCAAUUGACAUUGACUUUUGCUCUUAAUUUGGAUGAUCGUAGCAUGAAUAAUAUAUUAGCAAAGAAGUCGGGAAAUUUACGGAGAAGGUCUCCAGGAACUUGUCAUUCUGAUUGCCAAAACUUAACCUUAGCAAAAUAAACAAAAACAAAAUGAACUGGCCCUGACUAUAAAUAAUGAGAAGUUGAAGCUAUGAGCAGGUUACCCUAUAUGUGAAACCCAAUGGCCAAAGGUUCUCCACGUCACCUCGUUUUGUGUCGUCCACGUGUUUGGCUUGAAAAUUUGUCACUAGGGAACGUGUUGAGAAUGAGUCUGGCAUUUACAGGAGAAGAGACCUUAUAUGAGCUUAUAAGGAAUUGAGCCAAUUCUCAUAUUACCAAUUGUUUUUAUGGUGGAAUACAUUUUCUUCAAAUGUCUAUAAAAGCUCACUAAUACAAUUAUCUCAUAAAAUAUUUUCUAAUUAAUCUACCCGAAACGUUCUUAUUUAUUGAAAAUGCAAACUCCCUUUUUUGUUUUCGUUCUCUAAAAACACUCCCAAAAUACGUUACCAAACAGACCCUAAACAUCUUCGAGUACAUGCUAGCUAAGCUUUAAUUUGCAACUACUACCUUUUAUUUCCUCUUUUUUUUUUUUUUAAUAACAAUAUCUGUACCAAAGGUCUAAGUCAAAAACAUGAAAAACUUGUGGGCAGCAGAGCACAGCAAGAACAUGAGCCAGAAUGUUAAAAACCCCACAAGACACAAGUUCAACAACAUUUCUUGUCAUUGCUAUAUAUUUUUGUUGAACUGUGAACAAGUUCCUGAGAAGAACUAGGUGGAAGUAAGUAUACUAUCUCUAGCUAUUGAUAAUUUCUUUACUUACAAAACAUUCAUGUUCUUGAUUUACUUUCUGAACAAUUAAACGGCAUUUUCAUUUCCGUUAAUACAAGGAAACUACUUGUGUCUCUUUAAAAGCAGUCAUUCUUACUUACAAAUCACAAUUUGAUGUGAGUAAAAAAGGUUCCUUCUGUGUUUUUAAUUGGUUAUUUAUGCACAUGUAUUGAACUUUGAUUUACAGGAAGGAGAUCCGAGAAAGUAUACAAGAAAAAAUGCGUAUGAUGGGAGAAAUGUGGGCAAAAUUAGGCUCGAUGGUUGCGAGUGUGAUGUUCAUGAGUGCCGUAUUUCGAGACUUCCUUCCGGUGCAACUUCGAAAUCAUGUCGAACUAUACAUCCAUAAACUAGCGAACUUUUUCGACCCUUACGUGCAAAUUACAUUUGAUGAGCACACCAAUCAGUUUCGCAAACAAAGUGAAGUCUAUUCCGCCAUCCAGAGCUACCUCAGCACCAAGUUUUCUGCCCGAGUGAGGCGGCUCAAGGCUCAUGAUGUCAAGAACAGCAAGUCUCUAGUCCUUAGCAUGGAUGACAACGAAGAAAUCACCGAUGAAUUUCAAGGCAUUACGUUUUCGUGGGCUUCGGUGAAACGAAUGGCGAACCAGACUUCAUUUUCUAUCUACCCUCAAUCUAAUGAGAAGAAAUGUUAUAAGCUGACGUUCCACAGACGCUAUCGAGAUAUCAUGACGGGGUCUUACCUUGAUCAUGUGAUAAAAGAGGGGAAGGCGAUAUCGGCAAGCAACAGGCAAAGAAAGCUUUACAUCAACAAUCCUGCAGAGGAUUGGAAUUCAUACCGAGGGACGAAAUGGAGCCACAUUGUUUUUGAGCACCCGGCAACAUUUGAAAGCCUAGCAAUGGACCCGAAAAAGAAGGAAGAAAUCAUCAAUGACCUCAUCAAGUUCAGUAAGGGAAAAGAGUACUAUGCAAAAAUCGGGAAGGCAUGGAAGCGGGGUUAUCUCCUCUACGGGCCACCAGGAACUGGAAAGUCUACCAUGAUUGCUGCCAUUUCUAACCUCAUGAACUACGAUGUCUAUGAUCUUGAACUAACGCAGGUUAAGGACAACACUGAGCUGAGGAAGCUUCUGAUAGACACGCCGAGUAAGUCUAUAAUUGUGAUUGAGGACAUUGAUUGCUCGCUUGAUCUUACCGGACAGCGAAAGAAGAAAAAGGAUGAGGAGGACAAGGAAGAAAAGGAUUCAGUUCGGAAAAAGAGGGAAGAUCAAGAAAACAAACCGAGCAAGGUGACUCUUUCGGGGCUGCUAAACGUUAUCGAUGGGAUUUGGUCAGCUUGUGGAGGGGAGAGACUGAUCGUGUUUACGACUAAUUAUGUGGACAAGCUCGAUCCUGCACUCAUCAGAAGAGGAAGGAUGGACAAGCACAUAGAAUUGUCCUACUGCUGCUUUGAAGCAUUCAAAGUUCUUGCUAGGAAUUAUUUGGGUUUGGAGACGCACGAAUUGUUUGAAAGGAUUGGGCGUUUGUUGGGGGAAACGGAUAUGACACCUGCUGAUGUUGCAGAGAAUUUGAUGCCGAAAUCUGAUGUAGAGGAUGCUGAGUCUUGUUUGAAGAACUUGAUCGAAGCUCUCGAGGCUGCGAAGGAGGAGGCAAAGAUCAAGGCCGAGGAAGAAGCUCAACAGAAGGCAGAGAAAGACGAAAAUUUGAAUGCAGAGAAAGAAGCAUAACCAAAGGCAGAGGAAGAAGAAGAUUCGGAAGCACAGAAAGAUGAGCCCGAAGUGAAACGGAACGGAACAUCAGCUUAGCUUGAUAGGAAAAAUGUCUAUUUCUUCGAAUAAUUUUAACCUAGUAAAGUCUCAUUUGUGCAACUAGUAUCUGUGUUUUUUUAGGAAAAAUAAGCUUAUAAGUUUCUCAAUUAACAACUAUUUGUCUGCAAUUUCCAUCAGGAGUGUGAUUAGUUUCCUUGUUUUUCUUUGGCUUGCAUGUAAGUUGCAGUUAACUGAUUGUUCAACAGCAGACGAACAUGACAGAUGACUGGAGAAAUGUGGGUUCAACUGGCCGCGGCGAUUGCCAGGGUGAAGCUUCAUCGCUUGUUUCUGUUAAAUUUCUAUGUACUUUCCAUAUCGUUUUCGGGGUAUGGCGACGAAACCACCAGGCAACGGUCGACGAUCAGAAUGCUUAAUUUAUUCACUAACCAAUACCAACUCCACUCUACCCCACCCUUCUUUAACAAAAUAGAAUUAUAUAAUCAGAAUAGUACCGAUAUCAGUGUAGUUAAUAGUGGACCGCUUGCCCACGUGUAAACACAAGGCCAAGCAAGAAAAGCGAAGUUAAAACAUUGACUCCAGUAGACAUAAGUUGAAUAGAGUGAAGAAAACAGUCAGCCCUUGAAGGCAAAGAGACUGGAAUUAUCAGUAUAAUUUCUACCUUAUUUCUUGUAUUGCUAUCUACACAUUAUUUUUACCUCUUACUCAUAUUUCUUAAUUUUCGGCUGUCGGAUCAAAAAAAUCGAAAAUGAUCAAAUAACAGAAAUUAACAAAGAUGUGAGAAGUAAAAAUAUAUGUGUGGAUAACAUCACCCUAUUUCUUCCAUUUUGCGCCCUGAUCAAUGUGCGUUUAUCUUAACAAUGUAAGAAUUUAGGUGGAAUGAGUUCACGGCUACCGUAUCCCCUACAUACAAGGUUUCGAAGAUAAAAAUAUUACGCAUAGUAUUAAUGGUUUGAAAUAUCACAAUGACGAUGAACCUGUUUCUUAAAAAUCUCUCUAAAAACACAAAGCAUGAGAAAGGAUAAGAAGGUGAAAUGUAAAUGCAGCAAGGGUUAUUGAAAGUAAGUAUCAGUAAUUAAGAGCAUGUUUGGUAUUGAAUUUGAGUCCAUUCUUUUUAAUUCAAAAACAAUUUUUGAGUUUCAAUUGCAUAAUUUGCGUUUGGUUGGAGCAUUUCCAAAAAGUCAACUCAAAACUAACUCAAGAAUUAGCAUGUUGCUUAAAAACACAAAACUUCUGUUUUCACACUUUUUUUUCAAUCGACAUCAUUGUUGGGGAAAAAUGGGGCUGAUUUAAACACAAAACACCACGGAUUCAAACUCUUUUACGGCCGCUAGAGCUUUGAUAACUUGUGGGAUUGAAAGUCAAAAAUUGUUUUAAGAAUUCCCAAGUUCCAUAACAAACAAGUUUUCGGAUUGCAAUGGUUGUACUUAAGAAAUCACGUUUUAAAAAACCAUCAUAAAUUUUGUUAAAAUCUUGGAAUAGAAUACCGAACCGACCCUAAAUAUUGGAUAAUGUUACUAAUUAAUAUUUCCUUAUUGAUCCGGCUGUGAAACAAACGUGACUUAAAUACACAAUUUUCAUGAUCUGGUUCAUGACCAUACUACUAGGAAAGUACCAAGAAAGUGUGUGUGAUGCUUAACUGAAGCAUGAUGAUGACAUCCCAGAUGUCAUCAUUGUCACAUUACGUCAUAGAACUAAUAAUAAUUUCCACAAAAAAUUAAUUUAAAUUUCGAUUAUGGUUAACUUAACUUAACCUCUUAAGCAAAGAGGAUUCGUUUCGGAUUUACUUUGUGAGGAUUUUAAGGAUCUUCAUAUCUUAAUCGUGCAUCGUAUAUUAUGCGGUCAGUUUUCAUCAGGUACUAUUAUGUUUAAUUUUAAUAAAAAAAUAAAUAAUUUCUAAUUACACGAUGAACGAUGAAUGACUAAAAUAUGAAAAUCCCUAAAAUUCCCACGAUUUGGAUCCGCAUGGAAUCCAAAUCGAAUCCAAAUCCAUCUUAAGCAAGUAAACGAGGCCACGACACGACUCCUCCACGUCCACGGUCCACACACGAACACCGACUAUUUGCAUUGAGACAAAUCCACGGGUCAAUUUUUGGACCGGAUUGUUUGAAUGUAUUCACGCAGAAUAAUCAAUGCCAACGCACCCCAAAACCCCUUUUCAAUUAAAAAUAUUUUAAUUUUUAACUUAAAUCUCCACAAAAUUAUAUAAAUUCCGACAUUUCUGGCAAGAAAACACGGAAGAAAUCCAAGAAGAAGCAAAAAGUUGCAACCUUUGAGCCCCCAAAACAUGUUUCCGGCAACCAUUUUUGCCAACUUCGGAUCGGCGAUCGGCGGGUUAAUGUUCGUGUGGGCGAUAUUCCAGCAGUACUUCCCCUACGAGCUUCGAAGGCAUGUCGAAAAGUACUCGCAGAGAAUGGUGGGAUAUGUGUAUCCUUACAUUCAGAUCACUUUCAAUGAGUUCACCGGGGAGCGGCUGAUGCGCAGCGAGGCUUACUCCGCCAUCGAGAACUACCUGAGCUCCAAGUCCUCCACGCAAGCGAAGCGCCUCAAGGGCGACAUCAAGAACAACCAGUCGCUUGUUCUGAGCAUGGACGAUCACGAGGAAGUGGAUGACGAGUUCAAGGGAGUCAAAGUGUGGUGGGCGUCCGGGAAGUACAUAGCGAAGCAGCAGACAGUCUCGUACGUUCCGGUGAACGAUGAGAGGAGGUACUACAAGCUCACUUUUCACAAAUGGCAGAGGGAGCAGAUCAUUGGACCCUACCUUAGCCAUGUCCUGAAGGAGGGGAAGGCCAUUAGGGUUAGAAACCGGCAGAGGAAGCUUUACACGAACAAUGGCUCCCACUGGAGCCAUGUGGUGUUUGAGCACCCUGCAACAUUUGAGACUCUGGCUAUGGAGGUGGAGAAGAAGCAGGACAUUGUCGAUGAUCUGAUGGCGUUCAGCAAGGCUGAGGAGUUUUAUGCGCGGAUUGGGCGGGCUUGGAAGAGGGGUUACCUUUUGUAUGGGCCGCCGGGGACUGGGAAAUCCACCAUGAUCGCCGCCAUGGCCAAUCUUUUGGAGUAUGAUCUUUAUGACCUCGAGCUGACCGCGGUUAAGGACAACACCGAGCUGAGGAGGCUGCUGAUUGAGACGACAAGUAAGUCGAUUAUUGUGAUUGAGGACAUCGAUUGUUCGCUUGAUCUCACGGGGCAGAGGAAGCAGAGGAAGGAGAAAGGGGAGGAGCAGGGGGAAGGGAGGGAUCCGAAGGAGAAGAUGGGGAAGGAGGAUGGGGAGGCGAAACCGAGCCAGGUUACUCUUUCCGGGCUGCUGAAUUUCAUCGACGGGCUGUGGUCAGCGUGCCGCGGAGAGAGGCUCAUUGUGUUCACAACGAACUACGUGGAGAAGCUUGAUGCUGCAUUGAUCAGGAAAGGAAGGAUGGAUAAGCACAUUGAAUUGUCAUACUGUAACUACGAAUCCUUCAAGGUGCUGGCUAGGAACUACCUCAAGCUCGAAUCACACCGCUUGUUUCCGGAAAUUGGAGCGUUGCUUGGGGAAGUUAAGAUGACUCCGGCUGAUGUUGCAGAGCAUUUGAUGCCCAAGAAACUUUCCGGGGAUGUCGAAAUCUGCCUGCACAGUCUGUUCCAAGCUCUCCAGAAGGAAAAGGAGAGUGGAGGAUUGAAGGCUGAGGAAGAAGCGAAAGAGGAGAAAUCGCCAUUGGCUGCAGAAUCACCAUCAUCUAACAAAAAAUGAAGUGAUUGCAAGCAAGAAAGAAAAAAAAAAAAAGGAUUUUCGAUUUGGGGGACAAAAGGGCUUUGUAUGUGUAAAGCAUUUCUGUAUACUGCCAAUGUGGUCCUAGAUAUAUAUCCAAAACACCUAUAAUUGUGUCGAGGUUUGACAAGGAAAUUGUUGAGCGUGUAACGCUCAUGUUUACGGAAAAUCUGUCUUGUAAUUGGUUGUACAUCCGUUGGUCGAGAGACUUACAACCCGACAAGGGAUCUCUCUCUCUCGAACCAGGGAUAUACAAUCGGGCAUAGCUAAGAUUUUAAGAAUCCCUCCUGUCCACACGGAAUUAACUAGCAGCGGCAUUUCAACAAACACCUGGUGGACACUCAGUUACUAGUGAAAAAUGUGCAAUUUGCACCAGAACGCAAUCCAAAAGAAGCACAAAGCUUCGACACGAAUCACAAGGAGCAACGCAAGAUUCCAAUAAAAAGAAAUCGACCGAAGACGGUAACAAUUUUGGGCUGAGUAGAUGGAACUCGCAUGAAACCGAGUGGUUGAUUUCUGUUUAUAUGCGUUAAUUGUGCAGGCAGGAGGAGGAGUACAGCUUGAAGCUGGUCCAAAUGUGUUAUGUAUCUUAUUGGGCCUGGUGUCCAUAAUGCACUCUUCUGCACGGCCUGUUACUUUCUUGUGUCCAGUUCACAUGUAACGACCCGGCAUAUUUUUUUGGGCUUACCACACCACCCUUUGAAGUCCAGUUCACAUGCCUAAUUAAUUUGGGUAUUGGGAUACAACUUUUUUUUUUUUAAAGAAAAUUUACUGUUAUUAAGAGAAGAUGGGAGAUUUUAAAACUAUUACAUUAAUUUAUGAGAGGAGAAGUUUCGCAGCGGUGACGCAUGGGUAGAAACCAACAUCAUUUCUACUAGGAUAUUGAACCACAUGCAUAAUACAACUCUUAAAAAUGAUAAGUUAAGGUAGUAAAUUAUUAUGGUCGAUCAAAUAUCCUCACCAUUUUAAAGUAAAUAUAUUGUUUUAUUCGAAAAAUAAAUUUAUUAAAUAUUUGUAUCAAAAAAUAAUUCUUUAAAAAGAUUGAGGAAUUUAAAAUCUCUACUAAUUAAUAAAACACUCAUUGUCAACUAAAAUUCUAUAAAAUUAUUAGUUUAACCCUCUGAUUAAAACAUAACAUGAGUAAAAAAUAUGGGUCAUAAAUGUAAUUUCACACAAUCAAAUUUUAUUGUUUUUUAACCUCACUUACAUGUAAUCCUAACAUAUCUCUAAUUAAAAAAUAAAUAAAAAAUAAAAAAUAAAUUUCCCACUCCCCACAUUCUCUAUCACUCUCUUCCUCUCUCCUUCUAUUUCAAAAACAAAAAUAAAAAAAAUUUCUCAUACAUUUUGUAUGUGCCCAUAUGCUAGUAAAGAUAAAAUAAAGGCAACAUAUAAAAGGAAAAAUAAGAAGAAUAAAUUACUUAAAACUAAUAAACAAAACAAUUAUAAUUAUAAAUAUAAAAAUUAUAAAUACAUUAACAAAAAAAAUAAACAAGAAAAAGACCAUCGCGUCUUCUUAAUUUCUCGUUAUGUUUUUUUCUUUCGAACUCUUGUCUUGCGACUCCUUCCUCAGCAACAAUGGAUAGUUGUACAAACCUCCGCAACCUGUGAAUUCAUAAACAUGGGGUCUUGACUCCGACAAGCAGUGUGUGCAAACCUCUUCGUGACGAAUGAUAUAGUUGUACACAUGCAUGCAGCCUCAGAAAGAGGGUGUAGGGGGUACUUGUCACAGGAGAAUGAUAUAAGUUGCGUUUCGAUAUAUCUCAAUUUUUGUCAUCUCUCAUGCGACAGGUAUCCAAAGUCUUUAAUAUAUCUCUUCUUCCUUAAUAUUGUUUGAUCUCUCUUCAGUGUCUCCUCGUGGCUUCACAAGAUGCUAUGUAUUUAUAAGCAGGGCUGGCUAGCCAGAAGGCCUUUUAUUAUACAGUAUUAUUUUGAAGAAACUUCCAUGAAUUUCGCAUUGCAUGCAUGCAUGAUCCUGCAAGGUGUCAGGGUGUUCAUCCUUCAUUUGGUAAUUCCACGUUUUUCAUGACUUCGUGUGUGUGUGUUCAUCCUUCAUUUGGUAAUGAUCCACGUUUUUCAUGACUUCGGGUGUGUGUGUGUAUAACCUUGAACUUGUAAUUCGCUGUCAAUUUAUUCCUUAAACUUUUAUUUUAGCUUAUUACCCCUUUAAACUUUUAUUAAUAGUCGAUUACCAUCCCGAAAUUUGAUUUCCAAAUUUUCCUUCCAUUUCUCUGUUAAAAGCUAUCACUUGGCCAAAUACACCCUCCGUGGAUGAAGGUAAAAGGGUAAUAUCAAUAUACCACCUCAGCCUCUUCUUCCAGCACCCAAAACACUGAAUUUCACCUGUUGAAUUAUAAGUCUCUAGCUGAUUGAGUAUUAGAAAUAAGAUGAGGUUAAAUGUGUAUUCACUUGUGCUAAGAAUGCCAAGUGUGAAGUUCUUAUGUGUAAAAAAGGCCAUGAGUGCCAUGUGAGUUUUUUCUUUUAUUAUUACAUGUUUAGAUGUGUGGCUGUGAUUAAAGCUAGGAGAGAGAAUGAAUCCAACAGUCACUAACAACUAUAUUCCUCACCUCACGACUUGUGUGAGGGUGGGUGUGCAUAUCAGUAUAAUCAAAGAAGCACCUCUGUGACUUGCAGAGUAAGAAGCUGCCAUUUUCCAAUCUUCUUUUUCACUAUGUACCUCUUCACUCCUUCUUCUUUGAAUUCAUUCAGCAAGACAAAAAUAUCAACGUUUCUUAACAUGGCCUCAGAGCCUAGUUUCGAUUAGAUCUGGGUGUGUUCUGUGAACUCAAACAUCACCGUUUCUGGAUUCGGUGAAGUUUGCCGGAGUCUGUCUGUGAUCUAAGAACUACGUGUUUCUGGAUUCACACAAGCUCACGAUGGCUGGAUCUGGGAGUGCUGAAGUGAGGAUCCCGAUCUUCUCCGGUGAGAACUACGAGUUCUGGAGAAUCAAAAUGGUUACCAUUUUCAAGUCAUAUGGACUGUGGAAUCUGGUGGAAAAAGGGAUUUCGGUUUCCGAUUCGAAGAAGAAGAAAGCUAAGACUGAUGAAGAUACAGAUGUUGAUGCUGACGAUGAUAAGAAAAUGGCUGCAAUCUUCAUGAAAGAUGCAAAAGCUCUCGGAAUCAUUCAAAGCGCAGUCUCCGAUCAGAUCUUCCCUCGAAUCGCAAACGCAGACUCAGCAAAAAUGGCAUGGGAUCUGUUAUAUGGCGAAUAUCACGGUGGGGAUCAUGUAAGAUCUGUGAAACUCCAAAAUCUUAGACGAGAAUUUGAAUACACUAGAAUGCCUGAUGAUGAAUCCUUGACUGGGUAUCUUACUCGUUUAAAUGAUCUGAUUAAUCAAAUGAAGACGUUUGGUGAAACUCUGUCAAAUGAGAGAUUAGUUCAGAAGGUGUUAAUCAGUCUCACUAAGAUAUAUGAUCCUAUAUGCUUAGUGAUAGAAAACACCAAAUGUUUAGAAUAUGUUGAACUGCAAGAGGUACUAGCUAUAUUGAAGAGUCAAGAGCAGAGGUUUGAUUUGCAUUCCUCUGAUGCAACUGAGAUAGCAUUUUCUUAUCUUACUGUUAAUUCAAAAGGGCAGAAUCGAAGUUAUGCUCAGUCUAGUACUUUUAAACCACAGAGAAAUUGGAAUCAAAAUGGUAAGAAGUGGGAUUCAAAACCAAAGUUUCAGCAAAAAUCAUUCACAAAUGUUGCACAGAAUAGUACUUCCUCACAGGUUAUGGGUCAAGAGAGUGUAAAACCUCAAUGUAAAAUGUGUUCAAAGUUUCAUUAUGGUGAAUGUAGAUAUAAGGGGAAAUCCAAGUGCCAUAACUGUGAUAGAUUUGGACAUUGGGCCAGAGAGUGUACUAUUGGAAAGUCUGUUCAAAAGGCAAACUGUACAAGUCAAAUGGAAGUGACAGGAAACCUAUUUUAUGCAAAUUGUGCAGUUGCUGAGACUAAGGUUAAUGGAGAUUGGUACAUAGAUAGUGGCUGCAGUAAUCAUAUGACAGGAAAUGUUGAACUUCUUGUUGAUGUGAAUACAAAUGUUGCAGGGAAAGUUCAAAUGCCAACAGGAGUGUUAGUUAAUGUGGCAGGAAUGGGAUCACUGAAAAUUGAAACUAACAGAGGGAGAAAAUACAUCAGAGAAGUCAUGUACUUACCUGGUUUGAAAGAGAAUCUAUUAAGUGUAGGACAAAUGGAUGAGCACGGAUAUUAUCUUGUGUUUGGUGGACAUAUGUGUACUGUUUUUUAUGGUCAUUAUCUGGAAUGUCAAAUUAUUCGUGUAAAAAUGAAAGAAAACAGGUGCUAUCCUCUAUCUCUAAGGCCUGAGAAACAACUUGUGUUGAAGACUAGUUUUGCUCAUUGUUCUCUGACUUGGCACAGAAGAUUAGGUCACCUAAACUUUGGUGGAAUCAAGCAAUUGAAGGAUAAAGACAUGGUUCAUGGUCUACCAUAUCUAGAUGAGUAUGACAGAGUUUGUGAAGGCUGUCAAUAUGGUAAGCAACACAGAGAAAGCUUUCCUAGUGGUCAAGCACAAAGAGCAAGUGCUCCACUUGAAUUGGUUCAUGUUGAUUUGUGUGGACCGAUGAGAAAUGAGUCUACAGGAGGAAACAAGUAUUUCAUGUUGCUUGUAGAUGAUGCAACCAGGAUGAUAUGGGUGUAUUUUCUUAGAUUCAAAUCUGAAGCUCUUACUUGUUUUAAGAAAUUCAAGGCCAUGACUGAGUUGCAAAGUGGUAUGAGAGUAAAAUGUGUAAAGAGUGAUAGAGGAGGGGAGUUCUUAUCAAAUGAAUUCAAUCAAUACUGUGACACAUAAGGAAUCCAAAGACAACUGUCUCUCUCUUACACUCCACAGCAAAAUGGAGUGGUUGAAAGAAAAAACAGAACUGUGAUUGAAAUGGCCAAGUCUAUGCUUCAUGACAAAGGAAUGCCUUACCAUAUGUGGGCAGAAGCUGUGCACACUGCAGUCUACAUAUUAAACAGGUGUCUUACCAAAUCACUUGAUAGCAUAACACCUUUUGAAGCUUACAGCAAAAGGAAACCAGGUAUUGCCCAUUUGAAGGUUUUUGGCUCGGUUUGUUAUGUUCAUACUCCAUCCGAGCUAAGACACAAGCUAGAACCCAAAAGUAUAAAAGGAGUCUUUGUUGGAUAUGCAAAAUGUGAGAAAGGGUACAGAGUAUUUGAUCCAAUCUCUAAAAGACUGAUCUUGUCAAAAGAUGUUGUGUUCGAUGAAAACUCAGCUUGGGAUUGGCAAAGAAGCACAGAAAGACAUAUGUCACUGCCUAUUUAUGAAUUUGACUCUGUUGAUACACCAAGAAGUGAGAAUACAGAAAAUGACACUUAAGUUUCAAGUGGUUUAUCAUCUGGCAUACUGGAAGAAGCUGCAAGUGGUAUUGAUGAUACACAGAUCAAUUCACAGUCAAGUGCAGGUGUGAGUGACACUCAUUCAUUUGAUCAUACUCCAUUAAAAUGGAGAAAUCUGGAUGAUGUACUUGCUCAAUGUAAUAUGUGCAUUAUAGAACCAGAGAAAUAUGAAGAUGCGGCUAAGGAUGAGUCUUGGAUGAAUGCUAUGAAGGAUGAACUCUCCAUGAUUGAAAAGAAUGCAACCUGGGAGUUAGUAGACAGACCAAGUAACAAGCCUAUAAUUGGAGUAAAAUGGGUGUUUAAAACCAAACUCAACCUGGAUGGAACUGUGCAAAAGAACAAGGCAAGGCUUGUUGCAAAGGGAUAUGCCUAGAAACCAGGAAUAGACUACAAUGAGACCUUUGCUCCUGUUGCUCGGUUGGAUACAAUCAGAACCCUUAUAGCAUUGGCUGCACAAAAGAGUUGGAAACUCUAUCAACUUGAUGUCAAAUCUGCUUUUUUAAAUGGUGUUCUUGAAGAGGAGGUUUAUGUAGAGCAGCCUGAUGGUUUUGUAGCUAAAGGGGAGGAAGACAAAGUAUAUAAACUUCACAAAGCCUUGUAUGGUCUAAAACAGGCACCACGGGCCUGGUAUGGAGAGAUUGAUACAUAUUUCUCACAGUGUGGUUUUACAAGAAGUUUAAGUGAACCAACACUGUACAUCAAGGCAGAAGAGAAAGACAUUUUGAUUGUGUCGAUCUAUGUGGAUGACAUAAUCUAUACUGGGAGUAACAAGCAAAUGCUUGAAGAAUUUAAGGAAGACAUGAAACGAAAGUAUGAGAUGACUGAUUUGGGUCUUCUCCAUCAUUUCCUUGGAAUGGGAAUAAUUCAAACAACUUCAAGCAUUUUCAUCCACCAAAAGAAAUAUGCAAGCUCCUUAUUAGACAAAUUUGGUCUGAAAGAAUGCAAACCUGUGCUUACUCCACUUGUUGCAACUGAGAAGUUAACCACGGAUGAUGGAAGUGGUGCAGUAAGUGAAGAGUUAUACAGAAGUAUGGUGGGAAGUCUCCUAUAUCUCACUGCAACCAGGCCUAAUAUUAUGUAUGCAUCCAGUCUGUUAGCCAGAUUUAUGCACUGCCCUACCAGUAAGCAUGUUGGAACUGCUAAAAGAGUGCUAAGAUACAUUAAGGGCACCCUAAAUUAUGAUUUGGAAUAUGUGAAGGGUAAGAACUCAAUGUUAAUUGGGUUUUGUGACAGUGACUGGAGUGGAUCAAUUGAGGACAGUAAAAGUACUUCUGGUUAUGCCUUCUCUUUUGGCAGUGGAGUAUUCUCAUGGGCAUCCGUGAAGCAAAAUUGUGUAGCCCUUUCCACCGCAGAGGCAGAGUACAUCAGUGCUUCAGAAGCAACUACUCAAGCCAUUUGGUUGAGAUUUGUUCUUGAAGACUUUGGUGAAUUUCAAACCGAAGCCACUCCAGUGCACUGUGACAACACCUCAGCAAUUGCAAUCACCAAGAACUCUGUGUUCCAUCAAAAGACCAAACACAUUAACAGAAGAUACCAUUUCAUCAAGGAUGCACUGAAGGAUGGCAUCAUUUAUCUGGUGUACUGUCCAACUAAGGAGCAACUAGCUGAUAUUUUCACAAAACCUCUGCCUAAAGAUCGGUUCAAUUAUCUCAGGAGCAUGCUUGGAGUGAAAUCAGCUCAAGACUUAAAGGGGAGUGUUGAAUUAUAAUUCUCUAGCUGAUUUAGUAUUAGAAAUAAGAUGAGGUUAUGUGUAUUCACUUGUGCUAAGAAUGCCAAGUGUGAAGUUCUUAUGUGUAAAAAAGGCCAUGAGUGCCAUGUGAGUUUUUUCUUUUUAUUAUUACAUGUUUAGAUGUGUGGCUGUGAUUAAAGCUAGGAGAGAGAAUGAAUCCAACAGUCACUAACAACUAUAUUCCCCACCUCACGACUUGUGUGAUGGUGGGUGUGCAUAUCAGUAUAAUCAAAGAAGCACCUCUGUGACUUGCAGAGUAAGAAGCUGCCAUUUUCCAAUCUUCUUUUUCACUCUGUACCUCUUCACUCCUUCUUCUUUGAAUUCAUUCAGCAAGACAAAAAUAUCAACGUUUCUUAACACCCACAACCACCUCCCUCCUCCAAUCCUCUGGCGCCGGCAUGUCCGGCAUCGUCGCUUACAUGAUCUUCCAUACUUUUAUAUCCCUUGGCAUCCACUCCCUUUCCUCUCCCCUCUCAACCCCUUCACGGUGACAUCUGCCUCGUCAUCUGCGCCAAGGCCAAAGGUGCCAUUUUCAUCUUAGUCACCUCCGUCGAUGGUAGUGCCCUCGCCACCGUCUGCGAUAUGAACGUGCAUUUUCCAUUGAAGUGAGAGCUCUUCCUUUAGAUCUGCCCCGGUCACCUCCACCGCGAUUCCAAAAGGUCUUCAAUGGCACCGUCGCCAUUGCGCUCAUGGGCCCCAAAAAUCUCACCAAAUAUUAAUACGUGCCAAUCACCCCGAUGGUUGGACGAGCAAAUCCCUUCUUGGAGUUUUGAGACUCCUUGUCCCACACAGGGGAACAUAGGCUUCCCAAGAACCUUUAUGUAUGUUUUGUCUUCUACACUAGUUGUUAGGAUUUGGACCAUUUGGAAAUGAAUUGAAGGCUCGGGCCUUAUGAAUGUGUGGAUUAGGUUUGUAAAGUAUAGCCUAAUACAAUUAAUCUCUACUAAUUAAUAAAAUACUCAUUGUCAACCAAAACUCUAUGAAAUUACCAGUUUAAUCCUCUAAUUAAAACACAACAUGAAUAAGAUAUAUGAGGUAGAAAUAUAAUUUCACACAACCAAAUUUUGCAGCUUUUUUUUUUCAAAACCUUAUUUACAUGUAAUCCUAACAUAUCUCUAAUUAUCAAAAAUAAAAAAAAUAAAAACUUCCAACUCCCACGUUCUCUAUCACUCCCUUCCUCUCUCCUUCUAUUUCAAAAACAAAAAUAAAAAAAUUUCUCACACACUUUGUGUGUACUCAUAUGCUAGUAUUAAUUAAUCAAGACAAGGGCUUCUUGGAAGUUAAAAUUAAUCAAAUUCAUUAAUUUUAAUUUUGGAUUAUGUUUUUUUAAUUAACAUAUUAAUUAAAAAAACGUUUUGAUUAAGAGACAGUUUUUAGAAAGAGUUGUGUAUUUUCAAAUACGUUCAACACGUAUUUGAAAGGGUGUGAAACAACCAACAUAUUUGUAAUCUCAGUUUCCAAAUAGAAUCAUCUUUUCUUCCUCCUUCUCUUCCGCACAAAAUUUUCAGAGAGUAAACACACAAAACAAUUCGCUAUAAUUCUAUAAUCCAGUGCAGGUUGUAGAAUUAAGUAGUUGUAUCAUGGUCGAGCAUACGUUGUAGAACCACAAGCACAAUAGUGGGACUGAAAUACUGUUCGAAUGACAUAACUUUUGCGCUAGCCUCUACAUGAGGUUAAUCGAGUUAGUACUAUUUUAAUUCUUGUAUUUAUUUGUGUAUUUCAUUCUAUACAGCAAGUAUUUUUGGUUAAUAAAGUAUUAGAAUUUCAAGUUUUGUUAUUUCUGUUAUUUUUAUUUAUUUCUGAAUUGUUCUCCAACAUCCCUAAAUUUCAAGAUCUGAUCUUCAUUCUAUCCAAUUUCAGUUAUCCAAAUUCAAUCAUCUUCAAUCCAAAUGCUAGGUUUUUUUUUCUUCUGUCUUAAAUUUCAAUCAUCUUCAAUCCCUUUUUUGCUACGACUAUCUUGUGAAAUGAUAGUGCUUCAAAACGGUUGCGAAAUUAGCAUGUUGCUUGAAAAUUGGGGCACUGCAGUAUAGGGCUGACUGGGGAAGAAUUUGAAGGGUUAAAUUAUUCGAGGUUAGGGAAGAGUUUGAUCUGUUGUUGUUGCUUGCUUGUAACUUAGAAUGUAGAAUGUGCGCCCACCAAUUGUUUGUGUUUAUGUAUGUGAGAAAGUGGUGGGAUUGAAAGAAAAAAAAAUGUGUUUAAAAAUUCCAAAGUUCCAUAACAAACAAGUUUUUGGAUUGCAAGGGUUGUAAUUAAGAAAUCAUGUUUUUUUAAAACCAUCACAAAUUUUGAGUUAAAAUUUGAAAAUAGAAUACUAAAUAGACUCUAAAUGUUUAAUACAAUUACUAAUCAAUAUUUCGUUAUUGAGAAAAUUGUAGCAAUGAUCUCUCAACUUUAAUUUAAUUGGAGCAAUGAUCCAUCAACUAAAAAUCUAUGACUAUUGAUCCCUUAACUCAUCGAAAUGUGUAGUUAUAGUCAUUUUCAUCAACUCCGUUAAAAUUUUCGUCAAAAUAAGUCACGUGUCACUCAUAUGAGGCUGAAUCAAAAGGCAAAUAUAAAAAACUAAAUGAAAAAAAUUGUAGCAAUAAGCCCUCAAUUUUAACCCAAUUAGAUAAAUGGUCCAUCAACUUUAACCCAAUUGGAGCAAUGGUCCAUCAACUUUAAUCCAAUUAUAGCAAUGGUGUUUCCAACAUGAGUUAUUUCGACGGAAUUCUGAUGGAGUUGACAAAACAGACAAUAGCUGCGCUUUUUGAUGUGUUAAGGGAUCAAUAAUUAUGAAUUUUUAGUUGAUGGAUGAUUGCUAUAAUUGCGUUAAAAUUAAGAGAUCAUUGCUACAAUUUUCUCUUUUCUUAUUAAUCGGGUUAUGAAACAAACGUCACUUAGAUACAUGAUUUUCAUUGCCAGACAUUCUGGUUCAUGAUACUCUUGGACCAUACUAAAAGGAAAGUACCAAGAAAGUAUGUAUGAUGCUUAAUAUAAUCAAGGAAUUAAAUAUCGAUAUUAUCGGCGAAAUAUCGCCGAUAAUAUUGUUUUUUUGACCCGGCGAUAUUUGUUUUAGUAAAAAUAAAAUAUCUUUAAAAUAUCGCGAUAAUAUCGCUAAUAUCGCGAUAUUACCGAUAUUAGCGAUAUUAUCGCGAUAUUCGUCGUCGUCGCCGCCGCUGGGAGGUGAGAAAGGGAUCCAGAAACCAGAUCGAAGAAGAUGGAUCCAGAAACCAGAUCGAAGAAGAAGGAUCCAGAAACCAGAUCGAAGAAGAAGGAUCCAGAUCGAGGGAGAGACGAAGACGGAGAGACCGAGGGAGAGACGGAGACGGAGAGACCGAGGCAGAGAUGGAGACGGAGAGACCGAGGCAGAGACGGAGACGGAGAGACCGAGGCAGAGAGACCGAGGGAGAGACGGAGACGGAGAGACCGAGGCAGAGACGGAGACGGAGAGACCGAGGCAGAGACAGAGACGUAGAGACGGAGAUGGCGAUGAGGUGGUGUCGCCGUUGAUGUGGUGUGGAAGUGAGGGUGGGUUGUUCACGGGGAGAAGGAGAGAGUGCAGAGAUGCAGAGAGUGCAGAGAGUGCAGAGAGGGCGAAGAGGGAGAAUGAGGGUUGUUCACGGGGAGAAGGAGAGAGUGCAGAGAGUGCAGAGAGCGAUGAGGAGGUGUCGCCGUUGAAGUGGUGUGGAAGUGAGGGUGUGGCGUAUGGGUUGGUUCACGGGGAGAAGGAGAGAGUGCAGAGAGUGCAGAGAGAGAGCACGGUAGAGAUGAGAGAGUGAGGGAAAAGAGAUAUCUGAGAGAAAAGAGAGACGGGGACACAAAAGCAAGGUGGGCCCCCUGGGCACACCUAUUAAGAUCUAAAAAUAAUUUUAAAAGCAAGAUAAACUCAAACUUAGUGAAAAUACAAUUUAAAUUGGGGUGGGUGUAACAAUCUACCCCUCUUAAAAGAAUUUCGUCUCCGAAAUUUAAAAUCACUUACUAAACUUAAAUACUAGAAAAUAGGAAGAAGAAUAUAUGUAUAAAGAGAAAUCAAGUCCAAAUAAUUACAUCAUAUUAAAAUUUGAUUAAUUUUUUUUCAGUUACAUAUAUUCUAUAUGAUAAAUUUCUAUUUUAAAUCAAGUCCAAAUAAUUACAUCAUAUUAAAAUUUGAUUAUUUUUUUUUCAGUUACAUAUAUUCUAUAUGAUAAAUUUCUAUUUUAAAUCAAGUCCAAAUAAUUACAUCAUAUUAAAAUUUGAUUAUUUUUUUUUCAGUUACAUAUAUUAUAUAUGAUAAAUUUCUAUUUUAAAUCAAGUCCAAAUAAUUACAUCAUACUAAAAUUUGAUUAAUUUCUUUUCAAGUAUCUACUUUUGAACUACUCACCACGUUCACUCUAUGUGAUACUAAGUCACUCAUGUAUCUUACCAUACAAUGUAUAAAGUGUAAAAUAUUGUACUAAUUCAUUAUAUAUAAAUUAUUAUGGUGUGUUUAAACUUAUUUCAUUAAUUACUACAUAUUUUCUACACUUACAAUGUUUGCCAGCUCGCUAUAUAAUCAACUUAAAUCAGUUAAAUCCAUCAUGCAAUGCAUUUCCUUCCAAUUUUUUGUGAUAAACUAAUAGAUAAUUAACUAAAUAAACAUCCUGCAAAGUUUCAAUAAAAAUUUCCAAGUUUUUCUUACAAUUUCCGUGGUUUCCAUGUAAUUUUUAUCGAUAUCGAUAUUAUCUCGAUAUUUCCAUCGAUAUUUCCGUGUUUUCGAACUACCGAUAUUUCCGAUAUUACCGAUAUUUUCUUCCUUGAAUAUAAUCAUGAUGAUGACAUCAUUGUUGUAUGACGUCAUGAACUAAUAAUAAUUUCCAAUUUUUUUCCACACAAACACCGAAUUCUUUGCAUUGAGACAAAUCCACCGAUCAAUUUUUUGACCGGAUUGAUUGAAUGUAUUCGCACACAAUAAUCAAUGCCAAGUCACCCCAAAACCCCUUUUCCAUUAAAUAUAUUUUAAUUUUAAUUUUUAACUUAAUCUCCACAAAAAUUAUACAAAUUCCAACAUUUCUAGCAAAGAACACACAGAAGAAACCCAAGAAAAAGCAGAAAGUUCCAACCUUUGAGCCCCAAAACAUGGUUCCAUUAAAAAAAAUCGAUAGAAAAUCAUCGCAAGUGUUUCAAUGGUAAAAGCACGGACAUCGGUUCCUAAAAAGACAAAGAAAAUGUGAAAGAUCCUAGGUUUAAUGUUUUGAGUUGGUGAGUCUGCUUGACUGUGGCCACAAACAGGAUGAAAUCCCUCAUAACUUCUCCGAGCUCGAAAAAAUGGAUAACUGUGGUUUGCUAUCAGUUGGGCUGAGUAGACAGAACACACAUGAAACUAGGUUGUUGAUUACUGUUCAUACGUGUUAAAUGGGCAGGCAGCAGGAGUUCAACUUCAAGGUGGUCCGAAUGGGUUAUGUAUUUUAUUGGGCAGGAUGUCCACAAAGCAAACAUAUUUUUGUUGGGCUAACCGCACCACCCUUUGAAGUUCAAUUUCCAAUAAACAUGUCCAAUAUGCUAUUAGAUUCUUUAGUAUGAGUUUACAAAAGAUAAAAUGGAAUCAGUACCUCGAUUAAUUAGGCAUCUGCUAUACAGUAUUCAGAAAAAUUUUAGGGAACUUUAACGAAAAACCAUAUUUUUACACUAAAAAGUUAAUCUUGUCCAAUAUGCUAGCCGCACCACCCUUUGAAGUUCAAUGUCCAAUAUGCUAUUAGAUUCAGCAUGAGUAUACAAAAGAUCAAAUGGAAUCAAUACCUCAAUUAAUUAGGCAUCUGCUAUACCGUAUUUAGGAAGGGGUGUGAUAUCCACACACCCCAAAUUACUUCCCACACACCCCUUAUUAAUUUUUGUCCCUUGAUUUUCUUCAAUUCAUCCGAUCGGAUGGCCGAAAAUUAGAAGGAUGUGUGAGAAGUAAAAUGGGGUGUGUGGAUAUCACAUCCCUUUAGGAAAAUUUUAGGGAACUUUAAUGAAAAACUCCUGUUACUGUUUACUUUAACGAAAAAACCACAUUUUUACACUAAAAGUCAAUUUUAGUACUAUUCACUUUACCCUUUAUUUUGUAUUUAUUGUUAAAAUUCAAAGUUUUCAAGCUAUUUUCAUUAGUUUUUCUAAAAUUUUAAAUUGAUAAGAACCAAGUGGGUUGUGGUGAUGUCUGAAUUUGCACCUAUUUGUAUCUAUUUUGCAAUCAGUCCGCUAGUUUCUUUGAUCCCACUCGGUGUUCCAUUUUCAUUUGCUUCCAAUUGUAUGCAACCCUUAAAAUUGAUGAUUUAAGUUAUUGAAUUUUUUUUGCUGAUCGUCGUGUAGUUCGACCAAAUAUUCUCCCCCUUGUUUAUAUCGUUUUAUACAAAAAUUAGAUUUAUUCAAUCUUCGUAUAAAAAAAUCUUUGUAAAAAUUUGAGGAAAUUAAAAUAAAUGCAACAUAUAAAAGGCAGAAAUAAGAAGAAUAAAUUGGGAAAAAAAAUUAUUUUUUGUAAUUUUUCAUGUUUUAUAAUAAAAAUGGGUGACAUGGUUCAUAUGGCCCAACUAAAAUAUAUUAUAAAAAUAUAUAUAUAUAUACCUAUUAUAAUUUGAGUAAAAUUAUAAUAUUAAGUGGCAUUCUAUAAGUAAAUUAAAAUUUCCUCGUGAAGAGAAGCAGAAAAACAAGAAAAAUGCAUGCCAAAAAAAUUAUGUAGUAAAAAGAAAUAUAGAUGUGCGCAAAACGCCCAAGAAUACAUGUCCAAUUAUUAAUGAAUCACACAAAUAUAUAUGUACAUAAUAUGUAUAUUGUUGAUGAAGCUAGCUGCAACGUAUCAAUCUCAUAUAUAUGCAUAAAAGGAGAACGGAACAUGUUGUUAGUUUCAGCGCAGAUCGUUCCAUCUCUCCUGUGGCAUAAAGCCCUCAACCUCUUUUAUAUCUUCUUUGUUUCUCCAUUCAACGUGUUAAUGGCUUCAAGAGCCUAGAUAAACCCAUAUUUAUAGCCAUUAAGCUAGGCUAGUAUUUCUCUAUGUACUCAGAGUCGGAAAUGUUAUGGCAUGUUUGGUACUCUAUUUGAAUACAACAUUUUAAAUUCAAAAACAAUUUUCAAGUUUUAGGCCUUAAAAACUUGUUUGGUAGGACUAUUUUAAAAAACUAAACUCAAGACUAACUAAAAAAUAUAGUUUAUUAUCUAAAAACAAAAAAACAGUAUCUAAUAAGCUUUGAUUGGCCCAAACUUGGUAUGUCAAUUUAUUGUUCAUUCGUGAUUGUUGGGGACUCACCUACUGAAUCAAGCGAAUUAAAGCAGCCUUUAAUUAAUAGGAAAAUUAAUAAAAAAAGGCUUUAUUUAAGUUUUAACGAUAAAGACAAAAUAAAAGGUAAAGUGAAUAGUACCAGAAUUGACAUUUUAGUGUAAAAAUAUGAUUUUUCUUUAAAGUAAACAGUAUAUGGAGCUUUUCGUUAAAAUUCUCUUAAUUAAUUAUAUUAGUUGUAGAGUUAAGUUAAAAGGCACCUGUCAAAAGACAAGAAAAAAAAACAAAAAGAGAUAUAAUUGAGGACAGGGCCCUAAACCGAUCAAUAAUACAUCCGGACAUUAGAUGCAAAGUUGCAAACCCAAAAUAUGCGGACAAGGUAAAUUCAUCCAAACUGUACGUCAGAGUCACAUCUCUUUCGCAUGACCCAUGUCCCGAAAACUUAGGCCUUCAUGCUUCUUCAAUGUUCAAUACGCCUAUAUGUAUUUACGAGGUGUGGGCUUCCUUGGCUCCGCCCUCCCUUACGUGACCUUCUUUUGUGGAGUGUGUAGCGGCCAAUGGCGGGGGAAAUCCAUUUUCAAGGUGGUUAGAAAACUUUAUAAAUUUAUUAAAUCUUUGUAUCAAAAAAGUAAUUCUUUGAAAACAUGGAGGAAAUUAAAAUAAAGAUAAAAUCAAGGCAAAAUAUAAAAGGAGAAAUAAGAAGAAUAAAUUACUUAAAUUAAAACUAAUAAACAAAAAAAAUUAUAAUUAUAAAUAUAAAAAUUAUAAAACAAUAACUAAAAAAAAAAAAAAAAAACAAGAAAAAGACCAUUGCGUCUUCUUAAUUUCUUGUUUUUUUUUUGGGCUUUUCUAACUUUAAUCCUUGAAGAAGAUUGAAAUUUAAAAUAAAUUUGGUGUUAAAUUACAUAUUGAUUAUAGUCCCUUGAUGUAUCCUUAAUUCAAAAUAAUUAAUUUGUAUUUUAUUCAAUGUCUCUCAUUAAAUAUUUAAAUGUAUUAAUAUACACAUUUUAAUAUAUUUUUUGACCAAACAAAAGUUGUUUUAAUUCAUUAAUUUCAUUUAACAUUCUUCAAACUUGAAAAACUCAAUUAAUGUACCUAAAUGUUAAUACCGAAAUGUAUUAUAUUGAAUUAAUGUAUUUAAAUGUUAGUACCCAAAUGUAUUUAAAUGUAUGUACCCAAAUGUAUUAUAUUAAACUAAUGUACUGAAAUGUAUUAUAUUAAAUUAAUGUACCAAAAUGUUUGUAUCAAAAUGUGUGUACCUAAAUGUAUACACCAAAAUAUAUUAUAAUGAAUUUAAUGUACCUAAAUGAAGAAGACAAAGUAUAUCGAAAUAUAUUGUAAAAUAAAAAUUAGUUUAUCUAAAUGUUUACAACAAAAUAUAUUAUGAUGAAUGAAAUGAAAAUUAUAAUUAUAAUGAAACAAAAUUAAUACAUUAAAAUUAGGAAGAAAAAGAGAAAUAAUUAAAACAUCCAAAAAUAUAAUUAAUAAAUGAGGUGAUUAAUGUAUUAAGGUACUAAAAAUUAGAUUUUGAUCUUACUCAUGAUUUUAGUCUAAAAGUCAUCUUUACCAAAGAUUAAAAUGAAGUUUCAUAUAAAAUAAAAUGUAAAAGUGCAGAUUGUCAUAAGUAACCGUGCGGCAAUAGGCUAGUGCAGUAUACAGAAAAAUUUUAAAUUGAUAGAUUUUGCAAUUCACCUUGAACUUCAAACGCUGGUGUGAUUAGCCCAACAACAAAAUGUUGGGUCGUUGCAUGUGAACUGGAUACAGAAAAGUAACAGGCCGAGGAGUGCAUCAUGGGCAUAUAUAAUUAACUCAUAUCCAUUUUGAAGUUGAACUCCUGCUGCCUGCACAUUAACACAAAUGAUCAGAAAUCAACAACUCAGUUCCAUGUGUGAAUAACUUUCAGAGUGGGUGAGAGAGAGGGAUGGCAAAGAAAGAGAACGAGCUCGGGUAUGAGAAUUGUAUGUUCAACCCACCCAUACCUUGUACGUUUAUUAAUACUAAUCAUGAUGAGUUUUAUUGCCUUACAAGUAACACAAAGAUUAUAAUGAUUUGAUCUUCAACUUCUAUUGGGAUUCUAUUUAAGUUUACAUGUACACAAUCACAUUUCUAAAUAAACACACUAAUUACAACACUCCCCUUAAGUGUGUACAACUUAAGAAAUAGUCGUAUCAGGACUUAAGAAGAUAGCAUUUGUUGUCGUCAGUUCUCGACAAGUACAAAUAAUUGUUAACACAAGUCUCAAAGUAGGUGUGCAUAUCAAAAGAAAAUCAUAAAACCCUUUGCUGCGGUAUUAUAGUAGUCAAAGGAAAAAAAAGUGGUGAAUUAAAUGAAUUUCACAUAUUCAAGAUGAUCAUUAACGCAUAUAAGAGUAUGACUAGUCUAGAGUAAAUACCUCAUUAAAACCUCAUCAUAACCAGCUUAAAUUUACCUCUUUACCAUUUUUAAUUAAAAAAUAAAAAAAAUUCUACCGCGCAAUUAAAUAAUUGAAGAGAGAGAACUUUCGGCUGCAAUGAAGAUCGCUAAAUGCUUAUAAGUUAAAAGAAAAGUAGACACAAACUUAACUGAUAAGGAAUGUAUGAAUUGACAGUUGACACCACCACCACCCAGCAUGCUAGAUAAAGGGAGAAGCUCCCAACCCUAGAAAAUGAAAUCCUAAAGGUAUAAUAUCAUGCAAUCAUUGGUACCCAAAUCAAAUGGGAACACUGUUUAAUUGAUCAUAUGCUAUACAAGAAACUGUGCGUUCAGGGAUAACUGACACACAUACACACAUGUAGGAGCACAACACUGGAAAAAAAAAAUAUUGGUUAACAACAUAUACGUGCACAUAUAUGUACAUAUGUAAGUAUACAAAACCUUUAAGAGAAGAGAUUCUUAUUUUUUAUUUAAAUGAAGAUUAGUUGUGGGGUCCAUUCCACAUUGAACUUCAAUGAUAUGAACCGUCUAUUUUGUAAGUUUAAAUUCAUAGAUCAUCCUUACAAAAAUUGAAACCAAUCUGAAAUCAUUUGCCUAUUUAAUUAUCACGAUGAAAUUUCAAUGUUUUUUAGAGAACAAAGUAUUCGUUAAUUUCUUUGAACUCAGUUAGAUACAUCAAAUAUUUCCGAUAUGGCUAAUAUUUUUCAAGGAUGAUCUAUGAGGUGCAACUUAAAAAAUAGAUGGUUCGGAUCAUUAAAGUUUGAUGCGGUGUGAUCGUAUAACUAAUCCCUAUUUUUGUAAAAAUAAAAUAAAAUAGGAAUCUCUUUCCUUAAAUGCUUCAUAUAAGGUCAUCUCUAACCAAAAUGACUAAAUAUAGCCCCGUUUAGAAUUAUAGCCCUGCAAAAAAAAUUAUUUUUAAAAAUGAAUAGUGCAAGGCCAUACUCAUAUACCAACUCCAACCGAAAGGGCUAUAUUAGCCCUUAAUAAUUUAUUAGUUUGAAGUUUAUACUUUAAAUUUAUUAGUUUUUUUAAGUUAAAGUACCUUUGGAUGUUUUCAAAUAUAACCGUUGAAUUUGAAUCAAUCAUUGCAAUUGAGAAGUUGAGUCCCAAAAAAGGGUUAAGAGGGAGGCUACAUAUGGCCAGCCUGAUGUCCAUUUGGUCAAAUAAUGGCCUAGUGAGCUCAAUAGAAUAAUGGCACAUCCAUCUGUUGGAGAUGAAUUUUUGAAUAAAUCAUGUCAUUUUUUUUGUUUUUGAACAUUUAACCCUCUUCAUUGAAAAUAGCAUAAUUUCAAAACUAUUCUCACUAAAACUUAAAGUCAAACCAUAAUUAAACUAAGGGAAAAUAGGCUUUGCGGCUAUCUCCAAACAAUAGAUGGCUUGAAUAUUUAGCAAAAGAUAAUAGAAAAACACCAGUUCCAGGCUUAGAUGAUUUUUAAGUCCUAAUUAAUACUGCAAUCACAUGUUAAAUGACAAAACUUGCGGUGAACCUUGUGAACAGAAGAUCUUCAAUUAGCUCUUCAUCCUUCAGCCUUCAUCUGGUCAAGUAAUAAUAUGCCCUUCUCAGAAGAAAUCAUGUGCUUGAGUCCUUCACUAGCAAGCUAAUGAUCAACACCCCCGCCGACCAGGCCAUGCGUUUCUCCGUUGCCUAUGUAGAAGUGGACGUCACGGGUGGCCGGAUCUAGCAAAAAGGAGAGGAAAAACAUUUGCUAGGUACUUUUUUUUUUUUUUUUUUAACUUUUUCUUGUAUUUUUCGGCACAUUUUACAGACACAUACUUUCUGUCUUUUCGAUCCCUAGCAUGUAUAGAAGCACUUACCAUGAUCCUUUGAUCCAAGAAGAUAAGUUUAGUUCUUAAACAAAAUCUUACAGUACAGUAAUAUAAGCAUGAAGCAAAAACUCAAAACAGACGACAAAAUACAGAAAAAGGGUAAAGUUAUACUACUUCACCUGAUCUUUCUCCAAUCUUGCGAAGAAAUUAAACAUGGGCUUCCUUUCCGUGGAAUCAAAGCGUGAGAGGCUUCAGUCGAGGAGAGAUGAAGCUUGCUGGCCUGAAUUGGCUAGCUAUAUAAAGCUUGUAAUCGCAGCUACCAAUGUACAUGGCAUUCGGCGCCAUCUCACCUUCGACAGAAGUCCCUACGCUUUGAUAUUUUGAUCUCGCUUUUAGUACUAUUUUUCAAUCUGCUGGCUCCGAAAUCCUCAUGAUGCAGCUCUUAUAUCUAGGCAUGAAAGAGGCAGUAUAGUAUUUCUUCAUUUUCCUUUUUUUCUUUUUGUAAAGUGGUACUAGUACUGUAAUUCAUAAGGUACAAACAUAUAAACUCCAAAUUUCUCUCCCACAAAAAUUAUUAAAGCCUCAUGGUCAUGGAAAAUAUAUAACACAUAUUUAGUACAUCUUUAUUUAUAAAUACAUAUUAUAUAUAAACUUAAUGAAACGAAUAUAAACUAUGUGAUCGUAUGAUCUCAACAGUACUAUAUAUUUAUUUUUAAAUUUAAGACCUAACCCUAUAGGCUCAUACAUAUGAGUUGAUGAAUUAUUCAUGAAAUUUGUCAUUGCAAAACAGUUGUGAGAUGAAAUCGAUCUGCAAAACUACUGUUAUUAGUUGAUCAGUAAUAUAUCAUAUUUACUGCCCUAAUCUUUUGAUGUAAUCUUAAUGAUUUUUGAAACUUAAUUACUCCCAAGUACUGCAAUGUAUAUGUGUUUAGGCCCAAAAUAGUAGUUUGGGCCGAGUAUAGAAUCAUUCUCGGCCCGGAAGGCCUUGCGACAAGGGUGCUAUGGAUCGUUCAGUACGUGGGCCUCCAAACCUAGGUCGGCUAGGUCAUGACGUAAAACAGGUCGAGUCUUAGUGCAAUAAGGAGUCUCGGCAUGAUUAAUAACCCAAAAGCGAAUCUGGUUCAAUAAGGGACUAGGUUCACAGUCAUAAUGAAAGUAGGAUUGGUCGAGUCAGUGUUUGAUCAGGAGAAGAAGUCCUAGUCCGAAUAGGGUUUUAACCCGACCUUGGGGGAUCCGUUGCUAUAAAUAGAAGAGGCUGUGCAUCAUUCAAAGCCCCCUGCAAUUUAACAUACAACUGCCCUGCGCAAACUCUCUCAACAACUUUGAGAUUUUUAUUUUCUUUUCGCUGACACACCUUCCGUUGGCAUCAACAGCAAUGUGGAAGCAACCAGUGAUAUCUUAAGUCGGCAUAGAUAGUUCUAUCAUCGUAGAAUCAGUCGGUCUCGCAGUAUCUUCCGUUGGCAUCAACAGCACUGCGGCGAGGACGGUUGGUUACCUAUCAAAGUCUCGGUCGAGAAGGAUUUCCGGAUCCUUAUUGAUUGAGGUCAUCUCAUUAGCCUCCUCGGCGAAGUGAGGUGUUACAGUAUAUCGAGCUCGGCGCAUUGCACACCGAGUUAUUUUAUGAUUGGAUACUCCCAAGUGGGAUUUAGAGUUCGGCAUUCGGACGGCCGAACCACGUUCAUUAUUAAAACUUAUAUUUGCUUUGAGUAUUUGUGCCCUUACACUUUGGUGUCGAUUCGGCAUGAGUUUACUCUGACGAAUAACAUCACUGUGACUGAAUCCGACGACGACGACUCGUGAACUUCGUAAGAAUAGUAACCUUGUCUUCAGGUUCGAGAACCCAAGAGGCCGAGACGCGUUCCUUCCUCGGUCGCAAUCGCAAGACGCAGGAGUCAGCCGCGCACCCAACGCAACAUCAACAAAUUUACUCCUCGGCUGGGCUCGGCCGACGAGUUGGCACGCCCCGCAUUCACCGAAGGACGUAGUUAGCUUAUAGAUUACUCGGCCUGCGCGCCACGUAGGCUUGAUAGUUUCUAGGGUCAACAAUAUGAGAUCACCACCGAUUCCAUCAUCUAAUACGAAUUUAUUAUAUGUACAGCUCCAAAUAGAAUGAUCUUUUUUUUAAUCCACGUUUUAGUGUGGUUUUAGAUCAAUCACAUCAGAUUAUCAUAAUCACGAUGGGCCUAUUUUAAUCGACAAUUUAUGGCAUCCACAGUAGAUGCCUAACUAAAACAAUCAUACCUUGACAAAGGCAAGCAUAAGUAAUUGAUAGUAUAUUAUUCAGAUAAUCUACAACCAUAAGAUAAAAAUCAUGUCGGAAAAAAGAAAAAACCCAAAAUGUCAUAGCGAAAGAUCAAAAUUGUAGCACUUGUGUAGAGCUUUUUGGUCACAGGUGAGAUGGCUCACAGGUGAGAUGGCAACAAUUGCAUGCAGUUGCAGCACAAUUAAUGCCAUCUCUCUUGUGAGCAUAAAUCUCCCAACCUUUCUUAAUUCAUCAGUUCUCUAGAGAUGCCUCUCUGCCUCUCUCCCUCUCAAUGAAUUUGGAAAAUGCUGCAUUUUUCUUUAAUUGAAUAAAGAAAUUAGUACAUAUGCAUAAAGAAAUAAAGGGUUUCAUGUCACAGGAGAACAGAACAUGCUGCUAGUUAGAGCGCAGAUUGUUCCAUCUCUCAUGUGACAUAAAGCCCUCAACCUCUUUUAUAUCUUCUUUGUUUCUCUAUUCAACGUGUUAAUGGCUUCAAGAGCUUAGAUAACCCCAUAUUUAUAGCCAUGAAUAAUAAAGGGGUGAAAUGGUUGAUAUGUCCCAAAACUGGUUCUAUCAUAAAAAAUAAAGGGGUUUUCUAACUUUAAUUCUAGAAAAAAGAUUGAAAUUUAAAAUAAACCUGAUGUUAGAUUACAUAUUGAUUAUAGUCAUUUGAUGUGUCCUUAAUUUAAAAUAAUUAAUGUGUAUUUUAUUUAAUGUCUCCCAUUAAAUAUUUAAAUUUAUUAAUAUACGCAUUUUAAUUUAUUUUUUGACCAAACAAAAGUUGUUUUUAAUUUAUUAAUUUUAUUUAACAUUCUUCAAACUUGAAAAACUUAAUUAAUGUACCUAAAUGUUAGUACCGAAAUGUAUGUAUCGAAAUGUUAGUACCGAAAUGUAUGACCAAAUGUAUGCACCGAAAUGUGUGUGUGUGUGUGUCUAUAUAUAUAUCCUAUAUAUAUAUAUAUAUAUAUAUAUAUAUAUAUAUAUAACCUUGAACUUGUAAUUCACUGUCAAUUUAUUUCUUAAAAUUUUAUUUUAACCUAUUACCCCCUUAAACUUUUAUUAAUAGUCGAUUACCACCCGAGAUUUGAUUUCCAAUUUUUUCAUGGAUUUCUCUGUUAAAAUCUAUCACGUGGCUAAAUACACCCUACAUGGAUGAGGGUAAAAGGGUAAUAUCAACAUACCACAGCAGCUUCUUCUUCCAGCACCAAAACACUGAAUUUCACCCGCACCCACUCCUCCUCCAAUCCUCUUGCACCGGCAUGUCCGGCAUCGUCGCUUACAUGAUCUUCCAUACUUUUAUAUCCCUUGGCAUCCACUCCCUUUCCUUUCCCUCUCAACCCCUUCCACGGUGACAUCUGCCUCGUCAUCUGCAUCAAGGCCAAAGGCGCCAUUUUCAUCUUAGUCACCUCCGUCGAUGGUAGUACCCUCGCCACCGUCUGCGAUAUGAACGUGCAUUUGCCAUUGAAGUGAGAGCUCUUCCCUUCGAUAUGCUCCGGUCACCUCCACCGCGAUUCCAAAAGGUCUUCAAUGACACCGUCGCGAUCGCGCUCAUGGGCCCCAAAAAUCUCACCAAAUAUUAAUGCGUGCCAAUCCCUAAAUUUCAAGAUCUGAUCUUGAUUCUAUCCAAUUUCAGUCAUCCAAAUUCAAUCAUAUUCAAUCCAAAUGCUAGGUUUUUUUCUUCUAUCUUAAAUUUCAAUCAUCUUCAAUCCCUUUUUUUUUUAAGAUUAUCUUGUCAAAUGAUGGUGCUUCAGAACGGUCGAGAAAUUAGCAUGUUGCUUGAAAACACAAAUUUUGUAACAAUGUGCCUUCAAUUUUAACCCAAUUAAAUAAAUGGUCCAAUUACUUCAAUCUAAUUGGAGCAAUGAUCCUUCAACUUUAAUCCAAUUAUAGCAAUGGUCAUUUCAACAUGAGUUAUUUUGACAGAAUUUUGAUGGAGUUGACGAAACAGACCAUAGCUGUGUGUUUUGACGAGUUAAGUGAUCAAUAGUCAUCAAUUUUUAGUUAAGGAACAAUUACUCUAAUUGCGUUAAAGUUAAAAGGCCAUUGCUACAAUUUUCUCUUUCCUUAUUAUGAAACAAACGUCACUUAGAUACAUGAUUUUCAUUGCCAAACAUUCUGGUUCAUGAAACAUUACUCUUGGGACCAUACUAAAAGGAAUGUACCAAGAAAGUAUGUAAGGCUGCUUAACAUAAUCAUGAUGAUGACAUCAUUGUUAUAUGACGUCAUGAAAUAAUAAUUUCCAAUUUUUUUCCACACAAACACCGAAUUCUUUGCAGUGAGACAAAUCCACGGGUCAAUUUUUUGAUCGGAUUGUUUGAAGGGAACUUUAACGAAAAGCAUCCGGUACUGUUCAUUUUAACGAAAAACCACAUUUUUACACUAAAAAGUCAAUCCUGGUACUAUUCACUUUACCCUUUAUUUUGUCCUUAUCAUUCAAACUCAAAGUUUUCAAGCCAUUUUCAUUAGUUUUCCUUUGUUUGAAUGUAUUCGCACACAAUAAUCUAUGCCAAGUCACCCUAAAACCCCUUUUCAUUAAAUAUACUAGCAGAUGAGCAUACAUUUUAUGUGUGUAAAUAAUUUCAUUUUAGUUUUUGUUAUUGAUUAAGAAAUGUGAUUAGUUCUUAAAAUUUUAAAAAGAGUAUGGAAUAAUGAUGAUGAGACAAUUUCUAUUAAUAAGUGCAAAAUUUUCUUUAUAAUUACUAUUUUGUCCUCCUUAUGUAAAUAGUGUGUAUAAAAAGUGAGGGUAAAAUAGGAAAAAUAGAUAUAUGAUUGUCAUUUUCUAAAAAAAUGAGGGUAAAAUAGGAAAAAUAGGGAUAUGAUUGUCAUUUUGUCAAAAGUUACAAAAUUAAAGCCUCUUCAACCGCCCAUCUCCUCUCACGUUCUCCUCAAGUGCAACUGCUUCAGUUCAUUCAAACUAUCCAAAAAACAUCAUGAUUUUACUUACCUAUAUGAAAAAAUAAUGGUGGGACAAUCAUCACUCAAUCAAGGUCAAAAGUGAUCAAAAUAGGUAUUUAUCCAAAAAGUAUUUCAUCCAUCCUCAUCAAAUCCUCCCCACAAGGUAACCUCUAAAUAUUCAUUCAAAAUAGGAUUAAUUACCUAAAUUAAUUAAUUAUUUUAAUUUCCUAAUUGAUUGCAAGAUAUUAUGGUAACGUAAUAUCUUGCAAUUACACCCUAAAACCACAAAAUGUGGCUGUGGAUGCAAAUUUCCGCUUUCUUCUUCUUGGACAAAAUUGCACCUACAAAACAAUUAACACCUUAGGUCAAGGCCAAGAGCCUCACGCGCCCACGAUGAAUUGGGGGGCUUUGGCCGAAAAACCUCCGAUGCCAAAGGUAGAAUUUAGAGAGAAAAGUAUUUAGAGAGUUUUUGAGAGUUUUACAAGAGUGUGGACUUAGCUUUUUAGAAGAAAUAGGGUCCUAUAUAUAGGGAAUGAGGUGGCCGGCCCUUAGAGGAUUUUGUGUGAAAAUGGUGAUUAAUUUGGUGAUUAAUAGAUUAAUUAGGAAUUAAUCCAUUAAUUAGCCUAAUUAAUCUAAUUUGUAUGGAGGGUUUUGAAGGUUAUGGAAUGAGGAUGGAUGAGAUAAAUUUGAACUUGUUACCUAUUUUGGGUACUCCUGAUUUGGUUGAUGGAUGAUUCUCAACUGCUUGUAUGUAGGAGACCCGGUGUGCCUCGAGGGUAAAUUUGUCAUCUUCACCCAAAAAUCCACGUGUCACCUUGUGAUUAUUUUUGGCUCCACGGUGCCUAGUUCCCACCUCUCCAAAGAGGGCCGGCCACACCACUCCAUUUCUCAAAAAACUUAAGUUGAAUCCUCUUGCAAAAUUCUCUAAAUUCUCCAAACACUUUUCCCUCAAAAUUUUAACUUUGGCAUAGGAGGUUCUUCGGCCAAAGCCUCCCCUCCCCAUUCAUCGUGGGCACGUGAGACUCUUGGCGUUGACCUAAGGUGUUAAUUGUUUUUGUAUGUGCAUUUUUGUCCAAGAACAAAAAGGAAGAAAUUUGCAUCCACAGUAAUCACAUAAUCUGAAACAAGCAUAUGUAUAUUAUUGAUGAAGCUAGCUGCAACGGAUCAAUCUCAUAUAUAUGCGGAUCAAUCUCAUAUAUAUGCAUAAAAGGAGAACGGAACAUGCUGCUAGUUAGAGCGCAGAUCGUUCCAUCUCUCCUGUGACAUAAUGCCCUCAACCUCUUUUAUAUUUUCUUUGUUUCUCUAUUCAACGUAUAUUAAUGGCUUCAAGAGCUUAGAUAACCCCAUAUUUAUAGCCAUUAACCUAGGCCAGUAUUUCUCUAUGUACUAGGAGUCGGAAAUGUUAGGUUUUUUCACAAUGCAAGGAAAUUACUUAUACAAUACCACGAAGUUUGUUUUAAUUUGCAAGGAAUUUUCCUGUGAUUAGAUAAAGUGGGAUAAAUUGCAUACGCUAAUGAAGUAAUUAAUCAUUCUUUAAAAUUAAAUACGUUGUUUAAAGUUUGGAACAUUGGCCUUACCAUACACAUUAGAAACUCUAGUAAUUUCCAGGGGGUUCAUUUUCCCAUUGGAAAAUAAUAAAAAAAAAAAAUUACAAGCACAAUUUCCUCGAGACUUUCAUAUAAACCUCCAUGUCCAGUAAAAGAAAAGGAAAGAGAUGUUAGACUCUUGUUUUCUUUUCUAAUAUUGGUCGUAUAUUAGAACCGAUCCCAGAAUUUAACUUGUACAAGAGUAUUACUACAACAAAAUGCAUGGUUCAGCGAUGAAAAUUUCACUCAAGAAAUUAGAAAGUUCUCAUGACUAAAAGUUGUUGUGACAAUUUCGUCGUUAAACAUUUAUUUAAAAAUAAAAAUUAAUGUCGAAUCGUAAAUUGUAGUGACGCUAAUUUUUAAAUCAAUCACUUGCUUAAUUACCUAUAUCUGUCAAAGACUAAUGACAUACUUUAUAUUAAUCUUGGAAUCUAGCCAUCAGCCGGCCAAUCAUGUAUAUAUGAUACUUAAACUUUGGGGAGGGUCUUAGGAUUAAGAACAAGUGAGAGGGAGGUGAGAUCAAAGGUGAGGCAGGGUUAGCAUAAUAAAUUAUGAGGUAAAAAAAAGUUGGAGUUUCAUCAUAAAAUUAAGUGGCAAUAUGGUGAGUAGUCCCACCUCUUUAUAAUGUUUCUCCCUUUAUCGAUGUGAGACUCUUUUACCUUCACAUCCUCACACGCCCCAUAAACGACGCAUGGUGAAGUUUCAAGCCAAACACGUGGAUAACACGAAUUAGGUGAUGUGGAACACGUGUGGCCGUUGGGCUUCACACAUGAGCCAAUGUGCCAUGAUAUCAUGAAGAAAGUUGGGGUUCUACAAUAAAACCAAUUGACAAUAUAGGGAUUAGCCAACAUCUUAGCCUUGACAAAAAAAAAAACCUCUUAUUAUAAGCCCUUAUAAAGUUUCUCCUUUCACCGAUGUAAGACUCUUUUAUCAUGCACAUCCACAGAGAGUGGGGUUGUGGAUAUAUUUUGUAAUUUGGAGCCACACACACACGUAAUCUGAUUGCCGGACCACAGAAUUUCUUUCAACUUUAAAAGGAAAUGAUAGACAUCUCAACCCCUCCUCCACGGUGCUUCAUUUGUUAUGGACAGUGCUAAUUUUUGUGCUUAAUAUUCCACAUAUACGAUCUGUAAGCAAUCAUGCAGUCUGGUACAACAUUCCUCAAAUAGAUUAACAAGUACGUACGUAUUUUAUACACACACACACACUGAACGAAGUCACGAAAACAUAUGGAAUUACUAAAUGCAGGAGGUGAGGAACAUUUGUAGUCUCUCUUUCUAAAUUUAUACAUUUUCAAUCAGUUUUUUGUCCAAUGGGAAAGCAUGAACAACUAGUAAGAUUCCUAGCAAGAUCGUCAUGCAUGCACUGCGAAUUCAUGGCAGUUUCCUUAAAGUAAUAGCGUAGGAAAAACGGCCGACUAGCUAGCCAGCCCUGCUUAUAAAUAUAUUGCAAGGGCCCUUCUCUUGUGAAGCCAUGAGGAGACACUGAAGAGAGAUCAAACACUAUUACAGAAGAAGAGAUUUAUUAAAGACGUUGGAGGAGAUACCUGUCGCAGGAGAGAUGACAAAAGUUGCGAUAUAUUAUUUAUAGCAAUUAGAUAAUUAAUUGGGAUAUAUCGAGACGCAACUUAUAUCACUCUCCUGUAACAGAUGCCCCCUCCAACCUCUUUCUGAAGCGGCACGCAUAUGUGUAUUGAUCUGUCUGAUAAACAAGAGGAGGGGGAAGGCCAAUUAGUGAAGAAGUGGUAAACCAACUCUCUAUCAUUAUUUGUUAAUUGUUUUAAACAUACAUGAAACCCUUUAUUUCUUUAUGCAUAUGUACUAAUUUCUUUAUUCAAUUAAAGAAAAAUGCAGCAUUUUUCAAAUUCAUUGAGAAGGAGAGAGGCAGAGAGGCAUCUCUAGAGAACUGAUGAAUUAAGAAAGGUUGGGAGAUUUAUGCUCACAAGAGAGAUGGCACUAAUUGUGCUCCAACUGCAUGCAAUUGUUGCCAUCUCUCCUCCGACCAAAAAGCUCUACACAAGUGCUACAACUUUGAUCUUUCUCUAUGACAUUUUGGGUUUUUUUUGUUUUUCCGACAUGAUUUUUAUCUUGUGGUUGUAGAUUAUCUGAAUAAUAUACUAUCAAUUAAUUAUGCUUGUCUUUGUCAUGGUAUGAUUGUUUUAGUUAGGCAUCUACAUGUGGAUGCCAUACAUUGUUAAUUAAAAUAGGCCCAUCUUGAUUAAGAUAAUCUGAUGUGAUUGAUCUAUAACCACAUUAAAACGUGGAUUAAAAAAAAGAUCAUUCUAUUUGGAGCUUACAUAUAAUAAAUUCGUAUUAGAUGAUGGAAUUGGCGGUGAUCUCAUAUAUAUUGCAGUACUUGGAGUAAUUAAGUUUCAAAAAUCAUUCAGAUUACAUCAAAAGAUUAGGGCAGUAAAUAUGAUAUAUUACUGAUCAACUAAUAACAGUAGUUUUGCAGGUCGAUUUCAUCUCACAACUGUUUUGCAAUGACAAAUUUCAUGAAUAAUUCAUCAACUCAUAUGUAUGAGUCUAGGGUUAUGUCUUGAGUAUAAAAUAAAUAUAUAGUACUGUUGAGAUCAUAUGAUCACAUAGUUUAUAUUCGUUUCAUUAAGUUUAUAUAUAAUAUGUAUUUAUAAAUAAAGCUGUACUAAAUAUGUGUUAUAUAUUUUUCAUGACCAUGAAGCUUUAAUAAUUUUUGUGAGAGAAAUUUGGAGUUUAUAUGUUAAUUUGUACCUUAUGAAUUACAGUACUAGUACCACUUUACAGAAAGGAAAAUGAAGAAAUACUAUACUGCCUCUUUCAUGCCUAUAUAUAAAGCUGCAUCAUGAGGAUUUCGGAGCCAGCAGAUUGAAAAACAGUACUAAAAGCGAGAUCAAAAUAUCAAAGCGUAGGGACUUCUGUCGAAGGUGAGAUGGUGCCGAAGGCCAUGUAUAUUGGUAGCUGCGAUUACAAGCUUUAUAUAGCUAGUCAAUUCAGGCCAGCGAGCUUCAUCCCUCCUCGACUGAAGCCUCUCACGCUUUGAUUCCACGGAAAAGAAACCCAUGUUUAAUUUCUUCGCAAGAUUGGAGAAAGAUCAGGUGAAGUAGUAUUACUUUACCCUUUUUUUCGUAUUUUGACGUUGCGAUAUUACUGUACUGUAAGAUUUUGUUUAAGAACUAAACCAAUCUCCUUGGAUCAAAGGAUCAUGGUAAGUGCUUAUAUACAUGCUAGGGAUCGAAAAGACAGGAAGUAUAUGUGCCGAAAAAUACAAGAAAAAGUAAUAAAAAAAAAAAGUACCUAGCAAAUGUUUUUCCUCUCCUUUUUGCUAGAUCUGGCCACCUGCGACGUCCACUUCUACAUAGGCAACGGAGAAACGCACGGCCCGGUCGGUGGGGGUGUUGAUCAUUAGCUUGCUAGCUUGAAGGACUCAAGCACAGAUUUCUUCUGAGAAGGGUAUAUUACUUGUCCAGAUGAAGGCUGAAGGAUGAAGAGCUAAUUGAAGAUCUUCUGUUCACAAGGUUCACCGCAAGUUUUGUAAUUUAACAUGGAUUGCAGUACUAAUUAGGACUUAAAAAUCAUUUAAGCCUGCAACUGGUGUUUUUCUAUUAUCUUUUUCAAGCUUUGGAGAUGGCCUCAAAGCCUUUUCCCCUUAGUUUAAUUAUGGUUUGACUUCCACCAAAUUCAUCUAAUUUGGGAUUCGGACCGUUUAAAUUUGAUCUAACGGCUACAAAUAAGGAGAUCCUUUAAAAGUUAUAAUAACUGUAGCCGUUGGAUCAAAAUCCCACGUCCCGGAUCCCAAACUAGGUGGAUUUGGUGGAAAGGGAUCCAGAGAGGAUCCUUUUCCUGAACUUAGACCAUUUCCAAUGAAGAGGGGUAAAUGUUCAAAAGCCAAAAAAUGACAUGAUUUAUUCAAAAAUUCAUCUCCAACUGAUAACUGGGCUAUUAUUCUAUAGAGUCCACUAGGCCAUUAUUUGGCCAAAGGGACAUCGGGUUGGCCAAAUGUAGCCUCCCUCUUAGCCAUUUUUUAGGGCUCAGCUUCUCAAUUGCAAUGAUUGAUUCAAAUUCAACGGCUAUAUUUGAAAACAUCCAAAGGUAUUUUAACUAAAAUAACCAAUAAAUUUAAAGUAUAAACUUCAAACUAAUAAAUUAUUAAGGGGCUAAUAUAGCCCUUUCGGUUGAAGUUGGUAUAUGAGUAUGGUCUUACACUGUCUAUUUUUAAAAAUAAUUUUUUUGCAAGGCUAUAAUUCUAAACGGAGCUAUAUUUAAUCAUUUUGGUUGGAGAUGGCCUUAUAGGAAGCCUUUAAAGAAAGUGAUUCCUAUUUAUUAUUAUUAUUAUUUUUACAAAAAUGGGGAUUAGUUAUGCUACUACACCGCAUCAAACUUUAAUGAUCCAAACCAUCUAUUUUUUAAGUUUCACCUCAUAGAUCUAUUUUUUUUAAAUAAUUUUUUUGCAAGGCUAUAAUUCUAAACGGGGCUAUAUUUAAUUAUUUUGGUUGGAGAUGGCCUUAUAGGAAGCCUUUAAAGAAAGUGAUUCCUAUUUAUUAUUAUUAUUAUUUUUUUUUACAAAAAUGGGGAUUAGUUAUGAUACUACACCGCAUCAAAUUUUAAUGAUCCAAAUCAUCUAUUUUUUUAAGUUUCACCUCAUAGAUCAUCAUUGCAAAAUAUUAACUAUAUCGGAAAUAUUUGACACAUCUAACUGAGUUCAAAGAAAUUAACGAAUACUUUGUUCUCUAAGAAACAUCGAAAUUUCAUCAUGAUAAAUUAAAUAGGCAAAUGAUUUUGGAUUGACUUGAAUUUUUGUAAGGAUGAUUUAUGAAUCCAGACUUACAAAAUAGACGGUUCAUAUCGUUGAAGUUCGAUGUAAAAUGAGUCCCACAACUAAUCCUCAUUUUUAAGAAAAUAAGAAUCUCUUCUCUUAAAAGUUCUGCGUACUUACAUAUGUACAUAUAUGUGUACGUAUAUGUUGUAAAACAAUAUCUUUUUUUUUCCAGUGUUGUGUUCCGUACAUGUGUGUGUGUGAGAGAGAGAGUUAUCCCUGAACGCACAGUUUCUUGUAUAGCAUAUGAUUCUAUUAAAUGGUGAUCCAAUUUGAUUUGGGUACCAAUGAUUUCAUGAUAUAUACUUUUAGGAGUUUCUUUUUCUAGGGUUGGGAGCUUCUCUCUCUAUCUAGCAUGCUGGGUGGUGGUGGUGGUGUCAUGUGUCAAUUCAUACUCCUUAUCAGUUAAGUUUUUGUUUACUUUUUUGUUAACUUAUAAGCAUUUAGCUGAUCUUCAUUGCAGCCGAAAGUUUUCUCUCUUUAAUUAUUUCAGUGCGCGGUAAUUUUUUUUUUAAAUUAAUAGAUGGUAAAGAGGUAAAUCUAAGCUGGUCAUGAUGAAGUUUUAACGAGGCAUUUACUCUAGACUAGUCAUACUCUUGUAUUCGCUAAUGAUCAUCUUGAAUAUGUGAAACAUUGAUCUCCUACAUUUAAUUAACUUUUUUUCUUCCUUUGACUACUAUAAUACCACAGCAAGGGGUUUUAUGAUUUUCUUUUGAUAUGCACCUCUACUUUGAGACUCGUGUUAGCAACUAUUUGUACUUGUUGAGAACUGACGACAACAACUGUUAUCUUUUAAUAAUAAAGUCCUGAUUCGACUACUUCUUAAGUUGUACACACUUAAGGGGAGUGUUGUAAUUAGUGUGUUUAUUUAGAAAUGUGAUUGUGUACAUGUAAACUUAAAUAGAAUUCCAAUAGGAGUUGAAGAUCAAAUCAUUAUAAGUUUUGUGUUACUUGUAAGGCAAUCAGGAUUAGUAUUAAUAAACGUACAAGGUGUGGGUUGAACAUACAGUUCUCAUACCCGAGCUUGUUCUCUUUCUUUGCCAUCCCUCUCUCUCACCCACUCUGAAAGUUAUUCUCACAUGGAACUGAGUUGUUGAUUUCUGAUCAUAUGUGUUAAUGUGCAGGCAGCAGAAGUUCAACUUCAAAGUGGAAAUGAGUUAUGUAUAUGUCCAUGAUGCACUCUUCGGCAUGUUACUUUUCUGUAUCCAGUUCACAUGUAACGACCCAACAUUUUGUUGUCGGGCUAGUUGUUAGGAGUAUUAUAUGAAUAGCUAAGAUGUUGCCAAAUGUCAAGAGAUUAGUAUUGCAGUUAUAAGGCUGUUAUAAGAUAGCUUAGUUAGGAAGCUGUCAAAGAUAGUAUAAAUAUCCUUUGUAAUGAAACAGUUGGGUAAAGGAUAAGAAAUAUACAAUACAAUUCAGAAAUAUCUUGCUCUCUAAGUAUUCUUUCAAUCUCAUAUCUCUCUUCCUAUCAAUCUUCUUCUUAUCUGAUAUAUGUGUAGAUUGGUUUACAUGGUAUCUUCGCUGGAAAAAGUAUAAAGCUUUAUGGUGUAUCAAUCUGGGAUUUUUGUAUAUGCUUCCGCUUCUGAUCGCACAUAUAUGUGCUUCUCUCUUCUGUCUAUUACUUCUUGAUUUGGGGCGUUUCUGAUCGAAUUAAGGCUCUUCAAUCUGUGUUUGAUUUUCUGCACACCAAGUGUUCGACGUUUGUUCUCUGUCAAUCCCGGUGAAGCAAUUCCAUCAAAAUGAUGACCGUCUCUCAGUUGCAAAUCUUACAAUCGUCUAUUACAUCUCUUAUUUCCUCUGUUUCUACGUCCGUAGCCAUGAAGUUGGACGAUACCAAUUACUUGACUUGGCAUUUUCAGAUGCAGCUUUUGUUGGAAGGCUAUGGCAUUAUGAGGUUUGUUGAUGGGUCUACUCCUUGUCCUUCUCGAUUUUCUGAUGUGAUUUCUGGGGAUUCUGAAGUUGUUUCUGGUUGUUCUACUGCACAAGUUGAAUCUGAUGCAUACAAGAUUUGGAAAAUGCAUGACAGAGCGUUGAUGCAGCUCAUUUCUGCAACUCUUUUGGCUCCUGCAAUUUCUUGUGCAAUAGGGAGUAUCAGUUCUUUGGAUUUAUGGACUCGUCUGAAAGACCAAUUUUCCACAGUUUCUCGAACCAGCAUUUUCCAAAUGAAAUCUGAGCUACAAACUAUCAAGAAAGGUAAUGAUUCCGUCACUUUGUAUCUUCAAAUGAUUAAGGAGGCUCGAGAUUAUUUGUCUGCUGCUGGUGUCUAUUUUGAGGAUGAUGAUAUUGUAAUUCUUACGUUAACUGGUUUACCUUCUGAGUUCAAUACCAUUCGGUCAGUCAUUAGGGGUCGAGAUACUGUUAUUUCAUUAAAAGAUCUUCGUUCUCAACUACUUGCUGAAGAAGCAAUGCUUGAAAAUAUGAAUGCUACCCCUAUGCUUACUGAUUUGGUUGCUCAACAGUCUGGUUUUCCUUCAAAGAAUUCUGGUGGUUUUUCAUCUCAGCAUCCUAACUCAAACUAUCAGUAUAAUAGUUCUCGAGGUUUCAAUAACAAGAAUAAAGGCAGGGAUCGGUUUAAUUCUAAUAACAGGUUUGGAACCAACAAGCAAUUCUUCUCCAAUUCUGGCCCUGGAAUCUUAGGAAACUCUCCACAACAGCUUGGUUCUUCUCCGUUGAUGACAUGUCAAAUCUGUGGCAAGCAUAAUCAUCUUGCAGACACUUGUCGAUUUAGAAAUGCUCUUGGUUCUCCAAGUUGCCAAAUCUGUGGAAAACAUAAUCAUUUUGCUGAUACUUGUCGGUUUCGAAAUACUGAGGUUAAUUCAGGCUGUCAAAUAUGUGGGAAUUCUAACAAUAGUGCUGAUUUUUGCUUCCAGAAUAAUUCUAAUGUUUCAAUGACUACCAUGUAUGCUCACACCAACUCUGGUCCUCAGUCUACUACUUCCCAGUCAUCUAUUCCAUCUCAGCAAGUUUGGCUCACUUACUCGGGAGCAACAAACCACAUGACAACUGAGUUGCAGAAUCUGUCUCUUGCAACUCCUUAUCCAUCCAAUGAGACUAUACAAGCUGUUAAUGGUGAAGGUUUAACCAUAUCUCAUAUUGGCUCCAUCACUCUUCCCAUAUCUCAUAUUGGCUCCACCACUCUUCAAACUCCAUUACAUUCUCUGAAAUUAAAUUUUGUUUUAUAUGUCCCGAAAUUAACACAGAAUCUGCUGUCAGUUCAUCGAAUCUGCUUGGACAAUAAUUGUUGGUUAAUAUUUAAUGCAUUUUGUUUCUGGAUCUAGGACAAAACCACAUGGAGGAUACUCUACAAAGGGCUGUGCAGUAAUGGGGUGUAUCCGAUUAUCUCACCAACAUCCAGUGCUUCUUCAAAACGUGUCUAUGCUGCUACUUACCUUGGACAACAAAUUAAUUCAAGAUUAUGGCAUAACAGACUAGGUUAGCCUUCUAAUCCUAUAGUAUCUCAAAUUUUAAGAAAGUCCAGAUUGUCUUAUAGUCCUGAUUCCUUGCCUAUGUUGUGUUCAACCUGUUUGGAAGGAAAAUUUACAAAACUUCCUUUUCCUGUGUCUCAGUCCAAGUCUGUAAUAUCAGAUAAGAAGAAGAUUGAUAGGAAGAGAGAGAUGAGAUUGAAUGAAUACUUAGAGAGCAAGAUAUUUCUGAAUUGUAUUGUAUAUUUCUUAUUCUUCACCCAACUGUUUCAUUACAAAGGAUAUUUAUACUAUCUUUGACAACUUCCUAACUAAGCUAUCUUAUAACAGCCUUAUAACUGCAAUACUAAUCUCUUGACAUUUGGCCCGCUCCUUGUUUGUCCAUUAAAGGGUUCAAGUAUUAUGUAACCUUCAUUGAUGAGUGUACACGUUAUACUUGGAUUUUUUCAAUAAGCAAUAAAAGUGAUGUUUACCCUACUUUUGUUUCUUUGUAUCAAUACAUUACAAAUCAAUUUGAUGUCUCUGUGAAAACAUUACAAACCGAUGGGGGAGGGGAGUAUAUAGGGAAAUCUUUUCAAGAUUUUCUUUUGAAUAAAGGGAUUCUUCACCAUAUGUCAUGUCCUCAUACCCCUGAGCAAAACGGCUUAACCGAGCGAAAACAUAGACAUAUAAUUGAGACUUCCAUCACACUGUUACAAACAGCUUCCCUACCACCUUUUUUUUGGUCCUAUGCAGUUCAAACUUCUGUUUAUCUUAUCAAUAUGAUGCCAUCUUCUACAUUGGAUAACAAAUCCCCAUUUGAGCUCCUCUUUCAUGACAUUCCAGACAUUCAACACCUUAGGGUUUUUGGUUGCUCUUGUUACCCACUACUGAGACCUUAUAACAGUACCAAACUUCAACCUCGAACUACAAAAUGUGUCUUCUUGGGGUAUGCUUCUAAGUUUAAAGGGUACAUAUCUUUUGAGGUGGCUAAGAAACGGGUUUAUAUAUCAAGACGUGUAAUUUUUUAUGAAUUUGAAUUUCCUUAUUCCAACCUAGUGUCUUUUGAUCAACCAGUCAUUUCUCCAGUACUUACCUCACAUGGUUCUCAUCCUGUUUUAGUACCAAACAAUGAUAAUGUGAUGGUUGUGCCUUCUGUUUCUUCUCCUAGUCUGAUGCAGUCUAGUUCCUCACAGUUUGCUCCAAAUAAUUCAUUAGACAUUAGGAGUCACCUUAUCACUACCAAUAGUUUGUCCAAUGGAUCUAGUCUGUCUAUGCCAUCUGCAACAUCAAGUUCCCAUACUCUCACUGGUGAUCUCAAUGAAGUUGCACCCAUUACUAGCACUGCAGAUCAGUCCUUAUCCUCUUCUGUCUCUGUGGUACCUGAAUUCCAGCCUGACCAACUUCAAGUAGUCAUAUCUGUUCCAUCAUUCAAUUUGCAUCCAAUGCAAACUAGAUCGAAGAGUGGUAUUUCUAAGAAGAUUGCAUUCAUGUCUGUGAUACAUGAACAUGGAGGGGCUGAUCUCACUAAAGUAGAACCUGCUACCUAUAAAUUUGCUUUGACAUCUUUUGUGUGGUGUGAAGCGAUGAAAGAAGAACUUUCAGCCCUACAUAAUCAAGGUACUUGGUUCUUGGUACCUCUUCAUCCUCACAAAAAUUUAGUGGGCUGUAAAUGGGUGUUCAAAAUAAAGAAGAAUGCUGAUGGAUCUAUAGGAAGAUACAAGGCCAGAUUAGUUGCCAAGGGGUUUAAUCAAGAAGAAUGUAUCGAUUAUGGGGAGACUUUCAGCCCUGUGGUUAAACUAACCACUGUGAGACUAGUUAUUGCUUUGGCUGCACACUAUGGCUGGUGUUUAAGACAAUUAGAUGUGAAAAAUGCCUUUUUACAUGGCAUUCUUCAAGAAGAGGUAUACAUGUCUCAACCUCCUGGUUUCCAUGAUUCUAAACAUGAGGAUUAUGUUUGCAAGCUCCAUAAGUCCUUAUAUGGUUUGAAACAGGCCCCUAGGGCAUGUAAUGAUAGAUUUACCACGUUUCUACCUUCAUUGGGAUUUCAGUUCACUUAUUCUGAUUCUUCACUAUUUGUCAAGCAUGCUGGUGAUUAUAUUGUGAUUCUUUUAUUGUAUGUUGAUGAUAUAAUCAUCACAGGUAGUGCAAGUCAAUGUGUUACUGAUGUUAUUCAUGUUUUGGCACAUGAGUUUGAUAUUAAGGACUUAGGACCAUUGCAUUACUUUCUGGGUAUACAGAUUGUGCAGCAACCAAAAGGGAUUUUUUUGUCUCAAGAUAAGUAUGUCACAGAUCUUCUCACCAAGUCAGACAUGUUGUCUUCCAAGCCCUGUGCCACUCCCUGUUUACCUUACAAUCGGUUAUUGAAAGAUGAUGGGAAACCAUAUAACAAUCCAGCAUUGUAUAGAAGUCUAGUGGGUGCUCUUCAGUAUCUCACUUUCACACGGCCUGAUAUUGCCUUUGCAGUUCAUCAAGUGAGUCAAUUUAUGCAGGCACCCAUGAAAUCUCAUUUUCUGGCCGUCAGGAGAGUUCUUAGAUACCUUCGGGCAACACAGGGAUGUGGUCUUCGAUAUGUUCACGGCGGUUUGGAUCUUACAGCUUUUAGUGAUCCAGAUUGGGCAGGGGAUCCUAAUGAUAGGCAAUCCACCACUGGUUUGGUUGUUUUCCUAGGCUCGAAUCCGAUAUCCUAGUCUUCCAAGAAACAACAAACUGUCUCUCGGUUAUCCACAGAGGCUGAGUAUAGGGCAUAGGGCAUUAUCUUCUACAACAGCUGAGAUUGAUUGGAUUAAACAGUUGUUGGCAUUUCUGUAGGUUUCAGUAUCUGAUACACCAACUUUGUAUUGUGAUAAUCUUUCAGUACUAGCCUUAACAUUGAAUCAUGUUCAGCAUCAACGGACAAAACAUAUAGAGGUUGGCAUACAUUUUGUGAGAGAAAGGGUUGCCAAACAACUUCUGCAAGUGCAUUUUGUAUCCUCUGGUGAGCAGUUUGCAGAUAUUUUCACAAAGGGGUUGUCUGCACCUUUGUUUUAGCGCCAUUGCAACAAUCUCCAGCUCAGUUUCUCUGCUCCUGAGCAUGAAGGGGGAUGUUAGGAGUAUUAUAUGAAUAGCUAAGAUGUUGCCAAAUAUCAAGGGAUUAGUAUUGCAGUUAUAAGGCUGUUAUAAGAUAGCUUAGUUAGGAAGCUGUCAAAGAUAGUAUAAAUAUCCUUUGUAAUGAAACAGUUGGGUAAAGAAUAAGAAAUAUACAAUACAAUUCAGAAAUAUCUUGCUCUCUAAGUAUUCUUUCAAUCUCAUCUCUCUUUUCCUAUCAAUCUUCUUCUUAUCUGAUAUAUGUGUAGAUUGGUUUACAUUAGUCACCCUACCCUUUGAAGUUCAAGGUGAAUUGCAAAAUCUAUCAAUUUAAAUUUUUUCUGUAUGCUGCACUAGCCUUUUAUCACAUGGCUAUAUAUGACAAUAUGUACUUUUACAUUUUAUUUUAUUAUUUAAAAAACUGAAUUUACAUAUUGUAGACAUCGAAAUUUCAGUAAAUAAAUGUUGACCGAUAAAUCAAAGUUUCAACGCUCAUGUAUUACAUAAAUUUUACACGUAGCGUGUGUCUAAACAAAAAAUCAAGAAUCAUCGGAAAAGUCAUUAAACAUGACACGUGUCAACACCUGGCAGAAACGACUUAUUUCAUCUGGAAUAUUAUAUUCAAAAUUAGGCCUUGGAAAAUUCUAUAAAUAGAAGCCAAUUUCAUUCAUUUUAGAAGACCAAAAUCAUUAGGCAAAAUUCUUGAAGCUCUGAAGCUCUGAAACUCCGAAGCUUUCAAGCAUCCAGGUUCCCGAAGAAUCAAGAAAGCUCUCUUCGUUCUUCGUUCUUCGUUCAUCAUUAUUUCAAGAUCAAGCCCCGACGGCCCUUGGAUCAACAUCCACCAAUUAAAGAUCAAGCCCCGACGGCCCUUGAAAAAAGUGUUAUUCGUUCUUCAUUCUUCGUUCAUCGUUCUUCCAAGAUCAAGCCCCGACGGCCCUUGGAUCAACAAUCAUCCACCUUCAAGAUCAAGCCCCGACGACCCCUUGAAGAACUUCCACCAAUUCAAGAUCAAGCCCCGACGGCCCUUGAAGAAAGUGUUCUUCGUUCUUCGUUCAUCGUUCUUCCAAGAUCAAGCCCCGACGACCCUUGGAUCAACAACAUCAACAAAUCCACACAUCCAACCGUUCUUCAAGAUCAAGCCCAAAAGCCCUUGAAGAUCCGUUCAUCACUGUUCUUCAAAGAUCAAGCCCAAAAGCCCAUUGAAGAUCCGUUUAUCACCGUUAUUCAAGAUCAAGCCUCAACGGCCCUUGAAGAAACGCUCAUCCUCAAGAUCAAGCCCCAACGGCUCCUCGAAGAUCCGCUCAAAUCCACCUUCAAGAUCAAGUCCACGGCCCUUGAAGAACGUUCAUCCUUAGAUUCAAGCCCAACGGCCCUUUGGAUCAAUCGCACAUCCACAAAUCAACACCUUACGGAGAUCGAAUCAGAGGAUCAAAUUUAAGAGAGAUUGUAACCCAAAAUCAUCAAAUACAAAUAUUAUUUUGUGCACGUUGUUCUUGUCUCUUUCCUUUCAGGAAAUUUUUGUGUUCACAAAUUUGGCACGCCCAGUGGGACAAUCUCUGCCUCUCAUCUCUUUCUCCGUUCAAAAAAUUCAAGCACACUUCCAAAAUCAAUGGCAUCAAGCAAAGGACAAGCCGUUCUCACAAAGGGAAGAAGCCUGAGCACUUCCGCCAUGAACAGAGCAUCCAUUGGCGCCACAACCACUCCUCAACAUACCACUUCAAAGUUGGUGCCGCUAAAGGAGCAAGUGGAGCAUCAAAGACGCAAGCCCGUUAUCAACCUAACCUCGCUGGGGGCAUCGAAGCAUGCCGUUGAGGCACACAAGAUGACAUCCCAAAGCAGCCAACGACGUUCUUCGUCAGCAUCCUGGAUGUCUAAAGGAAAGUCACGUCUAUUGGUUGCACAAGUCAUGACCAUCGGCGUUACCUCCAUCGAAGAACAAUUGGCUCAAAUGAAUGAAGCGAUUGCAAGGCUAACACAGAUUGUGGAAGAAAAAAACUUGCAAAUCGCUGCACUCGUCAGCCGACUAGAGCCACAGGACGGCGAGAACCCCAACCCAGAAGAUGAUCUUUUAAAAAGAGGAGCUGGUGAAGAAGAUGAGCCACCAGUGGAGAGAAUCGAUGUGAAGCCGGAGCCAGACCAAGCAGCGGCACUCAUGGGAUCUCUUUCUAUCCAGCAGCUACAGGAGAUGAUCACCAACACCAUCAAGGCACAGUACGAAGGGAGCUCAAAUACCUCCGGGUUGUACUCGAAGCCGUAUUUAAAGAAGAUUGACGCCUUAAGGAUGCCGAGGGGUUAUCAACCGCCAAAGUUCAUGCAAUUUGAUGGAAAGGGAAACCCGAAACAGCACAUUGCCCACUUUGUUGAAACUUGCAACAACGCAGGGACCAAAAGGGACUACCUCGCCAAGCAGUUUGUGCGCUCGCUGAAAGGAAACGCCUUUGAGUGGUACACGGACCUAGAGCCUGAGUCCAUCAACAGCUAGGAGCAAUUAGAGCGGGAAUUCCUCAACCGCUUCUACAGCACAUGCCGCAUUGUGAGCAUGCUAGAGCUAACGAGCACAAAGCAGUGGAAGGACGAGCCAGUCAUUGACUACAUCAACAGAUGGUGCACUCUAAGCCUCAUAAAGACAGGCUCUUGGAAACCUCUUCAAUCGAGAUGUGCAUCCAAGGCAUGCAAUGGGGUUUGCAAUACAUCCUUCAAGGCAUCAAACCACGGACCUUCGAAGAGCUAGCCACCUACGCCCAUAACAUGAAGUUAAGCAUCGCCCAUCAUGGGAAGAAGGAACCGAUCGCCGACUACAAGAACGACAAAGUUCUUGAGACAAAGGUGGAGAAGGCUGCGUGGAAAUCCACCAAGGAAGCAAUGACGGUCAACACAGCUCCCGUCAAAAUCCUUACACGAGGCAAGGCGAUUCAAGCCGAAGCUUUUCGUGAUCAAAAGAUGCGUAGACGCAUUUUGAAAGAGCUUGAGGAGAAGACUUAUCCAUUCCCCGACUCUGAUGUGGUUGCCAUGCUGGAUGACCUGUUGGACAAGAAGGUGAUCGGUUUGCCUAAGUGCAAAUGGCUGGAAGAGAUGAAUCGUACCGACAGUCCAAGAUACUGUAAAUUCCACCGCUUCAUCAGUCAUCCGACAGAAAAAUGCUUCGUGCUGAAAGAUCUCAUCAUGAAGUUGGCUCAGAAAGGAAUCAUCGAGCUAGAUGACGAUGUGGUGAAGUCAAACUAUACCACCAUCACUUCUGGCUCUUUCGACACAAAGUUUUCACCUCAACCGCUAGGGGCAUGCUCCAAGUCAAGCGAAGUUGAAGGAUGGACUCAAGUCACUCCUAAGAAAUUACACAAGAAGCAUACGUCUCCUCCACAAGUCCGCCAAUCGGAAAGGGGGCAAAACAGCUCUUGUCAACCUUCAAAGCAACAUGAACGUGUUAAAGAUGAUGAAAUUUCGACACAUAGAUCGUCCAUCCCCAUCACGAUGCGUGAUUUCUUUCCUGAAGACUUCUUCAAUCACUCGGUCAAGACUCCCUGUUAUGAAAAUUGCAAGGAAAGCCUCUCCAAGAUCGUUUGACAAAUUCACAAUGCUCCUUGUUCGCACGAGCCUAAACUGCACGAACCAAAGCUCCUUGUCCGCACUAGCCUAAACUGUAGGACAAGAGGCUCAUCACCUGCACGAGCCUAAACUGCAUGGCACAACGCUCCUGAUCUGCACGAGCAUAAAAGGCGACAUCAACGCUCCUGAUCCGCACGAGCAUAAAAGGCGACACCAACGCUCCUGGUCUGCACGAGCAUAAAUGGCAACACCAAUGCUCUUUGUUCGCACGAGCCUAAACUGCAUGAACCAAAGCUCCUGGCCCGCAAGAGCAUAAAUUGUGUAUGGCAAAAUCAUCAUCAAAAUCACUGUUAAAUUCAUCACUCAUUCGAACUACGCUUUGACUUGAUCUCUUUCUUUGGAAGGGUACGUAGGCAGCUUGAACAUUCAAUUUCGAGUUCAGUCACAUCAAAAUAAAAAAUAAAUGCUUUAUUGAAGAAGGUCAAUCUUAUUACAAAAAGAAAAAAAAAAAAAAAAAGAAAAGGAAUACAUACGUUUUACAAAAAAUAAUAAUAAUAAUAAAUAAAAUAAAAUAAAAUUAUGAAAAAAAAAAAAAUAUAUAUAUAUAUAUAUAAAUAAAUAAAUAAUUAAAAAAAAGCCAUCAGCAGCAGCUCGCUUCCUCUUCAGCCCACAAACCCCCAAAAGCCCAGGCCCCGUUCUUGGACCUACAUCUUUCAGUUUCUGCAACGUCCAGGCCCAACCACUCAUUCGACCACUUCACUGCCUUCAUCAGAAUCAAAUUGUGGUUGUCUAUUGCCGUUUCUUCCAGAGGGUUUCGACAUGCCGGUGAGUCCUUGUCUGUUUACACAAUGGAGAAACUACAUGAAGCCAACUAGAAGAGCAUCUGGAUCCAGAUUUGAAACGCCGGCUAUGGAAGCUGAUGUUCAACUUCCGGUCCUUCAACUUCCCCUCCUCCUUCUCCGACGCCUUCGGGCGGGUCCGAUCGAGCGUCGCCUACUUCCGGAUGAACUAUGCCAUUGUGGUGCUCCUGAUCCUGUUCCUCAGCCUGCUCUGGCAUCCGAUCUUUCUCAUCGUCUUCCUCCGCGACGAGCCGCUGGUACUAUUCAAAAAAAAAAAAACGGUAGACGACCGCGUCGUUUUGAUCAUGCUGGCGAUCGUGACGAUCGUGCUGUUGUUCUUGACCCACGCGACGGUGAAUAUUCUAGUGGCACUGCUGAUUGGGAAUUUGGGGUUGUGUUGGUGAUUGCACAUGAGGCGUUGAGGAAGACAGAUGACUUGCUGGUGGACGAAGAGAACUCUACGUUAUUGACUACGCCUGCAUCUUCCUCUGCAUCGUCCUCCAGGCCUAGUUCCUUUGCACCUCAUCAGCCCAAUAUCGCCUCUAAUCCGGCUAAAAAAGGCUCUAUUUCUCCAGCUGGAAAUACACUAGCACAUCAUCUCCAUGAUCCUCACCAUGCUCAUCACACUCGGUGCUCUCACUAUCAAGUCCAUCACAGGAUCACAUGGCAAGACGCCGGAAAAGAGGAGCUCAUCGAAUGGUCAUCCUACUUGGGCCUGCUGUGCCUCAAAUUGAUCUUGUGUUGCAAAGCGAGAGUGUACUGGAGGGUAAUUUGGUGCAGAUUGAUUUGGCUGCUUCUAAGCUUGGGUUUAGUUCCUCGCUCUUGUUCAGACAGACAACUUGUGCAAACUUCAACUUCACUUCUAAUGCUUAAGAAGUUAGAGGAUCUUAUGAUUCAACUGUUAUUUGUAAUUCUUUUCAUUUUGGUAAUUACAUUAUGAAUAAUGGUCAGGAUGAUUGCGAUUAAAAAAAAAAAAAAAAAGGCCACCGGAGCUACUAUAGCACUGGUAAAUGGAAGAUGUUGAGGAAUCCUCCAAUUUGUUCCUUGACGACGGGGUUGAAGAAAGCUGCACCACUUUCCGCUGUGACCCUCUUCCAUUUCUCACUUCCUCUCCUACCCUCCAUGGAAGCUCUAUGUGCCCUCCACUUCUACUGGUAAAAUAUCAGCUUGAGCAUCAUGUGGCGGCAACUACGACACAUGAAUGGUAUGCGUGAACCAGCUGGCGACGAAUAUGAACGAAACAAGGAAGUUCCGGGACUACAACUGCUUAGUCUUCUCCUCUGCAUGGCACAUCACCAUCUCGUCAUCUUUUUCUCUACAAGGCACAGCAACAUCUUGGCUCGUCCUUAAGCAACGGUGUGUCCUCAUCUUCGCAGGAAAACAGCAACGACAGUGCAAUGGCUGUGCAAUGGCGGCAGUGCAAGGCGACAAGAAUGCAGUGGCGGUGCAAUGGUUGUGUAGUGGCAGUGGCAAACAGCAACGACGAAGAACUUCAAUAACCGCCGUCAAACGACUAGCCGGUCAUGAAGCCUCGAUUGCAGCUCUCCGUCCGUCUUCAUCCUUUCCUGCAAAUUCCCCAUCCCGUCAUCCAAAUUUAUACAAAAAAAUAAAAAAUAAAAAAUAAAAAAAUAAUAAUAAUAAAUAAAAUAAAAAUAAAUAAAAUAAAAAUAAAAAUAUAUAUGGUGGAACACUGCACCAUGAUUAAAGAAAAAAUAAAAUAAAAUAAAACAAUAAAAUAAUAAAAAUGAUGAUGAGGGAACAUGGUGCGUCUGGCACAAAAGGAUAGUGGGUGCAUGAUUAAAAUAAAAAAAUGAUGAUGGUGCAUCUAGCACCAUGUGACAAAAAAAAAAAACAAAAAAAAAAAGGGAAGUGGUGGUGCAUCUGGCACCAUGAGAAACAUGUGAAAAUAUAUAUAAAGCAUUUAGUAAAGCCCAUCUUUUAUUUAUUUCUCUAAAAAAAUUUUACAUAAAUUCGCAUUCCACAUGCCAUAUAAAAAAAAAAAAAGACAAAUCAAAUUUACAGGAGGGGAUCUUCAAGGUUGAUCAGAUGGCGCCUCAGUACUCGGCGGAGCCUCAGAUCGAAGAGGCACCAGAGGGUGAUUAUUCAAAGCCUCAUCACUCGGCGAAACCCCAGGAGGAGGAGGCACCGAAGGUUGAUCAUUUGAAGCUUCAUUACGCGGUACAGCCCUAGAAGACGAAGGCAAAUGCUGUUGGAACAAACCCACAAACCUCUGAUGAUCAAGUAAAAUCUGACCAUCAGAUUCCUGCAUCUGGUCAAUCUUCCUCUUCAUGUUUGUAGCAUAGUUAUGUGCGAGCCUGUGCAACUGUUUAUUCUCAUGUUUGAGCCCUCUAAUCUCCUGUUUGAGACUCAUCACUUCAGCCGCCAAUGAUUCAACUUGACGGGUUCGAGCAAAUAGGAGUUGGGCCAUAUUAGAUACAGAACCUGCACACUGCACACUGAGAGCCAGAGAAUCCUUAACAGCCAACUCAUCAGACCGUUUGGAAAGUAGUCUGUUAUCUCUGGGAGUGAUAAGGUUCCGGGCCACCAUUGCAGCGGUUAUAUCAUUCUUCAUCAUCGAAUCCCCAAUGGUAAGAGGACCAGUAGGGGAUAUGAAAGAUGGACGCCAUAUGUUGUCUGGAGAAGGUAGGACUGCCUCUUCACCAAGGUUCAAGUUAAAACGACGGUCGGAGGUCCAGACAUUUUCAAAGGUGUUGAAAGAAAGAAGAGGUCGGACGAAUCAAUAUCUUAGAAGUGCAAGAAGGGAGUUUCUACAAGCGAAAAUUCAAGUGUGCUUUGAAACAAACUGCGUGCUUCUAUAAAAAAUCAACACUCGACGAGAUUUCAGAGAUCAAAGAGGCGAGCUCAGAAUUCGAAGAGGCCCAUUCAAAAAUCGAAGAGGCAAGCUCAGAAAUCGGGGAGGCAUUUUGCUUUUCCAGACGCGUCAGCACCCAUCACACGCGAACUCAGCUUUGCGGAAAUCACGGGUAAUUUAUCAAAGCACCGAUCCCAGAUAUCGAAGAAGCGCCAGUCUUUUUCAGCCUCGUCAACACCUGUCACAUGCACACUCAGCCUAGCGGAAAUUACGAACAAUUUGUCGAAGAUUUCUGAUAAAGAAGAAAGCAUGUGAAGUCAUACUGAUCAAUCACACAUUGGUUGCCGACACGAGUGAAAGAAUAGUACUUUUACAGGUAUUAAAGAACCUCCUAUAACUGUCCACCUUCACCCUCCAUAGCAAGGUAAACAUACAGAACCUUUCUUCAUCUCCGAGAAUGUCUUCCCAACGAAGCCUCUCGAGUCACUCAAUGUUCCUUAUUCCUUGGGGUAUCUCUGCAAGCAAAUGACACCAAAGCAAAAGUAUCUCAUAUCACCAGGGUAGAAAGCAAGAGUAUCUCAUAUCAUGUUUUCUCCCUAUCCUUUCCUUUGUCCUUGUUCUUACUUACAAAGACAAGGAUAAAGAAAACAAUAUGCCGAAACCUCCACUCAAACUCGGGUAAGGAAUCGACUACUUGGAACCUUUGCCUGGUUGCUUACCUGGCAUUGCUCUCUAGUACUCAUCUUCAGCUGCUGAUGUACUUCCAAAGAAGAUGCCACAUUUGCCUGGAGAACAGAUAAGGCAAGUGAAAAUGAUACCUUGCAGCAUGUGGAGACAACGUGCAGAAGAAACAAGCAGAGAAGAAUGCAGCCUGCACAGUCAACUCAGCAAAAGGAGUCUAAGUUGAGGAACUCAAGAAGCUGCCACAUCUGCUUGAAGAACAAAUAAGGAAAUGUGGCAUGCACAAUCAACUCAGCAGAAUGAGUCCGAGUUAAAGAAUUAGAGAGAAGAAGGGGUCUGAGUUAAAUCCAAAAGCUCGAGAAGCUUUAACGACAUAUUGACGGCACCAUCGCCGAAAAGCAAAGCCUCGCUGUGCAACGCUGUCAAAUCGCCACCACUUCUUCAAAAGCAAGAGUAUUUCAUAUCAUGCUUUCUCCAUGUCCUUUUCUUUGUCCUUGUUCUUACCUGCGGGACAAGGAGAAAGAAAGCAAUCAGCCAGCACUUGGUAUCAAUCUUCCGAUCUGGAACCGACUGCUUGGAAACCUUCCCUGAUUGCUUACCUAGCACUGCUCUCGAAGUACCCAUUAUCUCAACAUCUUAUGCUUCCAGAGAAGAUACCACAUCUGCCUGAAGAACAGAUAAGGCAAGGGAAAAUGAUACAUUGAAGCAUGUGGAGACAAGCACAACAAAGCACGUGCCGAUUCACCCGCUACUUCUUCAAAAUCAAAAGUAUCUCAUAUCAUCAGGGUUGUAAUCACUCUGGGUGGAGGAUUCGUUUUGACCCUCAAAUUCUUAGGUUUACUCACUAGGCGUUGUGGGCUGCACGUGCUGAUUCACCACCCUUGAAUCAAAUCCUUAAAGAUCAAGUCACCAACCGGAAGAAGAGCCCAUCAAUCUUGAAGAUCAUACCGUUGACCAAACUGCUCAGGUGUGAAUUAGAAAGAUUGAACAAAGCAACAAGUCGUCACCUUCACCUCAUGCCUGCUUGCCAUGUGUUCGAGUCAACCUUCAAGAAUCAAGCCUUAACGGCCCUUAAAGAAGCUUCCAGCCAAAGUUCAAGAUCAAGCCUCGACGGCCCUUGAGGAAAUCGCAAGUCCGAUUCAAGAUCAAGCAUCCACCAUAUUUGAAUCAAAUCCAGUUCAAGAAUAAGCUGUGGAAAAUCAACAAUUGGAGGAAUCCAGAAAAUCCUCCAACCCAGUUCAAGAUCAAAGCUGUGGAAAGUCAACAAAGCGCAAAAACAAAUACGUACCGAUUCAUCCACUACCAAAGCCAAAGAUCAUCUACCACAUGAAGCUCCUUGUGGUCCAAUUUCAACCUUCAAGAUCAAGCCUCGACGACCUUUGAAGGAAUUUCAAACAAAGUUCAAGAACAAGCCUCAACGGCCCUUGAAGAAAUCUCAAGCCCAAUUCAAGAUCAAGCCUCAACGGCCCUUGAAGAAAUCUCCAACCCAAUUCAAGAUCAAGCCUCGACGGCCCUUGGAUCGACAUCUACAUUAAGGGACUUCAAAACGCAUCUCCUACACGCGACAAGCACAUGUAUACAACGCGCCUUGAAGUGGGGGCAUUUGUAGACAUCGAAAUUUCAGUAAAUAAAUGUUGACCGAUAAAUCAAAGUUUCAACGCUCAUGUAUUACAUAAAUUUUACACGUAGCGUGUGUCUAAACAAAAAAUCAAGAAUCAUCGAAAAAGUCAUCAAACAGGACACAUGUCAACACCUGGCAGGAACGACUUAUUUCAUCUGGAAUAUUAUAUUCAAAAUUAGGCCUUGGAAAAUUCUAUAAAUAGAAGCCAAUUUCAUUCAUUUUAGAGGACCAAAAUCAUUAGGCAAAAUUCUUGAAGCUCUGAAGCUCUGAAACUCCAAAGCUCUCAAGCAUCCAGGUUCCCGAAGAAUCAAGAAAGCUUUCUUCGUUCUUCAUUCUUCCAAGAUCAAGCCCCGACGGCCCUUGGAUCAACAAUCAUCCACCUUCAAGAUCAAGCCCCGACGGCCCCUUGAAGAACUUCCACCAAUUCAAGAUCAAGCCCCGACGGCCCUUGGAUCAACAACAUCAACAAAUCCACACAUCCAACCGUUCUUCAAGAUCAAGCCCAAAAGCCCUUGAAGAUCCGUUCAUCACUGUUCUUCAAAGAUCAAGCCCAAAAACCCCUUGAAGAUCCGUUCAUCACCGUUAUUCAAGAUCAAGCCUCAACGGCCCUUGAAGAAACGCUCAUCCUCAAGAUCAAGCCCCAACGGCUCCUUGAAGAUCCGCUCAAAUCCACCUUCAAGAUCAAGUCCAUGGCCCUUGAAGAACGUUCAUCCUUAGAUUCAAGCCCAACGGCUCUUUGGAUCAAUCGCACAUCCACAAAUCAACACCUUACGGAGAUCGAAUCAGAGGAUCAAAUUUAAGAGAGAUUGUAACCCAAAAUCAUCAAAUAUAAAUAUUAUUUUGUGCACGUUGUUCUUGUCUCUUUCAUUUCAGGAAAUUUUCGUGUUCACACAUAUGUUUAGAAGAAUAAAAUAAAAAUAAAAAUAGAUAUGUUAGUAACUACUCCCUCCUAUACAUGAGGAAGUUUUUUUUUGUAUUUUUACAAUUUUUUUUACAGGGUGUUCAUGCUUUCCCAUUGGACAAAAAACUGAUCGAAAAUGUAUAAAAUUAGAAAGAGAGACUACAAAUAUUCCUCACCUCCUUCAUUUAGUGUUUUCAUGACUUCGUUCAGCUUGUGUGUGCGUGUCUGUACGUACUUGUUAAUAUAUUAUCCUCUUAAAAGAAAGGGAGUUUUUUAUUUUGUAUUUUUACAAUUUUUUUACAAGGUGUUCAUGCUUUCCCAUUGGACAAAAAACUGAUCGAAAAUGUAUAAAAUUAGAAAGAGAGACUACAAAUAUUCCUCACCUCCGUCAUUUAGUGUUUUCAUGACUUCGUUCAGCUUGUGUGUGCGUGUCUGUACGUACUUGUUAAUAUACUAUCCCGUUAAAAGAAGGGGAGGUUUUUUUUUUUUUUUUUGAGGAAUGUUGACAUGCUGUACCAGCUGAGUACAUGAUUGCUUACAAAUCGUAUAUGUGGAACACUGAGCACAAACAUUAUCACUGCCCAUAAUAUGAAGCACCAUGAAAUAGGGGUUGAGGUAUCUAUCAUUUUCCUUUCUAAGUUUGAAGAAAUCCUCUGGUCCGACAAUCGGAUUAUGUGUUUGUGCGGCUCUACGAGUCUAAGACACAAAAAAAAAAAAAUGACUACCCUCUUCUUUGUGAAGAUAUGAAGGUAAAAGAGUCUCACAUCGGUGAAAAGAAAGGAUUUAUAAGAGAUUGAGAUACUCUUUAUAUUGCUAAUUAAUUUUAUGAUGAAACUCCAACUUUCUUAACCCUCAUAAUUUGUUAUGCUAUAAGUUGCAAACCUUGAUUCACUCUUUGGUCCUACCUCCCUCUCACAUGCCCUAGUCCGGCUUCUCCACACGAGACCCUCUCCAAAGUUUGAGUAUCAUAUACAUGAAAGGCCGGCUGGCGACUAGAUCCCAAGAUUAAUAUACAGAAACUCCAGUAGAGCCGAAAAGGAUGUGAUUUAUCUUUGACAGAUAUAGGAAAUUAAGCAAGUGAUUGGUUUAUAAAUUAGCGCCAUUAAUUUACGAUUCGAUAUUUUUAUCUUUUUUAUAUGGGACCUUUAAUGAAAAUAAUUUUUUCUAACUUUUUAUUAAAAAAAACUAUCUAAUAACUUUAUUUAAUGAAAAUAACUUAAACUUUAAUGAGAGGAACUUAAAUUUUAAUAAAAAAAUAAAUUAAAUUAAAAAGUAAUAAAAACUGAUGCGCGGGGUCUAGUGCGACCAUCACAAGAGAUUUUUUAGUGUAACCAGAACACGGGAUGGUACACCAUAUGUCACCAUAUAAAUGGUGGGAUAUGUGUGCUAAAAAGUAUGUCACUAUAUAAAUGGUGGAAUAUGUGUGCUAAAAAGUUAAUAACUUGAAAAAUAAAAUUUCCAACCACUUGAAUAAAAACACGUGGUGUACCAUCUAUAUUCCGGUUACAAUGAAAAAUUUCCCGUCUAUCACACACACUCUCUCCUCUUCCUCACUAUUUUUUAAACUGAAAGUUGUCUAUUUCUGAAACUGAACACUGGUACUACACUACUUAAAUUGAAUACUAACUAUUUCUGAGAAUUUAACACAUAUACUAUCUCUAUUUCUUAAACUGAAUACUGGUAUUAUCAUUUUUCUUAAACUGACUAUUGUGGAAUGUUUUGAAUGUCAUGGAACAAAUAGCUUAUGGAGAAUAUAAGAUGAGUAUAGAUGAAAUAAUUUUGAAUUUGUUACUUAUUUUGGGCACUUUUGGCUUGAUUGAAGAAUGAUUGUCCACUGCUCGCACGUAGGAAAUCCGAUGUGCCUCGAGGGUAAUUUUGUCAUUUUUAUUAAAAAUCCACGUGUCGCCUUGUGAUUAUUUUUGGCUCCACAACUAUUUCUGAAACUGAACACUGGUACUACACUAUUUCAUAAAUUGAAUAUUUCUAGAAAUAAAGACGAGCACUAUUUUUGAAACUGAACACAGGUUGGCUUGCGCUUUACAUACACUUUUGAUUGGUUUUUUUUCUUACUUUUGAAAUUUUUUUUCAUUAGUUUUUCUUUUUAUACUUUUUAAAUAAAUGUUUAACAAGGAAAUUGUCACGAUGACUUUUAUUUCCUAACUAUUUCUUAGACCAACUUAUGGGUCAAAAUUGUCUCACUAUUCACAAGAACUUGAUAAUUUCUUCAUUGAAAAUUUCAUAUCGAAUUAUUUGUUGUAAAUAUACUCUACAAGUUAAAUUAUGUGAUUAGGUCUAAUUAAUAUACGUCCAAUAUUAAAAAAGAAAACAAGAGUCUAACAUCUCUUUCCUUUUCUUUUGACUGACCAUGAGAUCUAUCAUGAGGUAACGAAGGUGUCGACGAAAUUGUGCUUGUACUUUUUUUUUUUCCAAUGGAAAAAUGAAUCCUGUAAAUUUGUAGUGAGAUUCUAAUGUGUGUGGUUAGGCCAAUGUUCCAAACUUUAAACAUCAUCUUUAAUUUUGAAGAAUGAUUAAUUCAUUAGCAUAUAUGCCAAUUUCUCGCACUUUAUGUAUUACUUUACGUAAUCACAGGUGAACUCCUUACAAAUUAAAAGCAAACUUCGCGGUAAUGUAUAGGUAAUUUCCUUAUAUUGUGAAAAAAAAACCCUAACAUUCUCCGAAUAUAUAGAGAGCAUUGGCCUAGCUUCAUGACUAUAAAUAUGGGGGUUAUCUAAGGUCUUGAAGCCAUAAUUAACACAUUGAAUGGAGAAAAAAAAAAAAAAGAUAUAAAAGAUGUUGAGGGAUUCAUGUCGUAGGAGAGAUGGCACGAGCUACGCUCUAGCUAGCAGAAUGUCCCAUCCUCCUGCAACAUGGAACCCUUUAUUUCUUUGUGCAAAUGUACUAAUUUCUUUAUUCUAUUGAAGAAAAAUGCAGCAUUCUCCAAAUCCAUUGAGAGGAAGGGAGAAAGGGAGAGAGGGAGAGAGGUAUCUCUAAAGAAGUGAUGAAUUAAGAUAGGUGGUGGAUUUAUGUUUGCAGGAGAGAUGGCACUAAUUGUUCUACAUCUAUUAGCAAUUGUUGUCAUCUCUCUUGUGACCAAAAGCUCUACACGACUUCUACGACUUUGAUCUUUCUCUACAACAUUUGUGGUUUUUUUUUUCCCACGACAUGAUUUUUAUCUUAUGGUUGUAGAUUAAUUAUCUGAAUAAUAUAUUAUCAAUUACUUAAGCUUGACUUUAUCAAGAUAUGAUUGUUUUUGCUAGGCAUCUAUUGCAGACACCUUAUAUUGUUAAUUAAAAUAGGCAUAUCGUGAUUAUGAUAAUCUGAUGAUCUAACCACACUAAAACGUGGAUUAAAAAAAAUCGUUCUAUUUGGAACUGUAAAUAAAAUAAAUUCGUAUAAUUUGUUAACUAUGAUCAAUAUUAUACAGUAAGGAAGACUAAGAAUGUAACAGACUUAGAGAGAGAGAGAGAGAAAGAACUUAGAGAGAAGAUGAAUAUCUCUGAUAUAUUUCUUAACUUCCAAGUAAUACAGUGUUGAGGUAUUUAUAGUCUUACACUUACACAGCUAACUUCCUUAACUAACUUCUUCUCUAAUCUAAUUACAAGUGGCAACAUCUUAUACACCAAUAUCUCUAUUCUAUCAUCCCCCCGCAAACACAUGAUUCGAUGCUCGAAGCAUGAGGUUGGUACAGUGAGUACGAAACAGAGGAGAACUCAACCCUUUAGUCAAAAUAUCAGCAAAUUGCUCUUUAGAGGACACAAACUGAAGAGAAAGUUGUCUUGGCAACGCGUUCUCGCACAAAAUGAACAUCAACCUCUAUGUGCUUAGUACGUUGAUGUUGAACCGGAUUAAAAGCCAAAGCAAUGGUGGACAAAUUAUCACAAAAUAAAACCGGAGGUGAUGUAAGAGGAACCUGCAGAAAGACUAACAGUUGCUUAAUCCAGUCUAAUUCAGCGGAAGUAGAGGACAAGGCUCGAUAUUCAGCCUCUGUGGAUGAGCGAGAAACUGUCAAUUGUUUCUUUGAAGACCAGGAUAUAGGAUUGUUUCCUAAAAACACAGCCAUGCCAGUGGUAGAACGCCUAUCAUUAGGGUCACCUGCCCAAUUAGCAUCACUAAAGGCUUUUAAUUGCAGUGGUCCUUGUGAAUAAGUGAGGCCAUGAUGAAUGGUACCCUUUAAGUACCUCAAAAUGCGUUUGACAGCAGUGAAAUGAGCAAUCAUAGGCUGUUGCAUGAAUUGACAUACUUGAUUGACAGAAAAUGCUAUAUCUGGCCUUGUAAAUGUGAGGUACUGCAAUGCACCGACUACACUCCUGUACAACGUUGGAUUGGUAUAAGGAGCACCAUCAUCUUUGAGAAGCCGGUUAUAGGGCAAACAGGGAGUCUCACAUGACUUGGACUCAAGCAUCUCAGUUUUAGUAAGGAGAUCCAAAAUAUAUUUGGAUUGAGACAAACAUAAGCCAUGUGCAGUGCGAGAGAUUUGAAUGCCCAGAAAGAAAUGCAGAUCCCCCAGAUCCUUGAUAUCAAAUUCCUUGGUUAAAGCACUAAUAACCUGUUGCAUAGCUGCAUCUGCAUUCCCUGUGAUAAUAAUAUCGUCCACAUAAAGCAGCAAGAUGACAAUACCAGAGUCAACUGUCUUGACAAACAGAGAGGAGUCAGAAUAAGUGUGUUGAAAACCCAAAAGAGGCAAGAACUUGGUAAAUCGGUCAUUCCAAGCUCGAGGGGCUUGCUUAAGUCCAUAUAGGGACUUGUGCAACUUGCAAACAAGGUGAGAAGUAGUGACAUCAUCAAAACCAGGAGGCUGGGUCAUAUACACCUCUUCAUCCAAAAUGCCAUGUAAAAAGGCAUUCUUGACAUCUAGUUGCCUAAGGGGCUAAUGAAAUUGAGCUGCCAAAGCCAAUACUAGGCGAACCGUGGUAGGUUUAACCACAGGACUGAAGGUUUCCCCAUAAUCAAGACCCGGUUCUUGACUAAACCCUUUAGCAACAAGCCGAGCUUUAUGGCGAGCAAUAGUGCCAUCAGAAUGUUUCUUGAUCUUGAAUAUCCAUUUGCAACCGACCAAGUUCUUUGUAGAAGGUAAUACCACCAAACUCCAAGUACCUUGUUUAUGUAAAGCACUGAUCUCCUCUUGCAUAGCUUUCAACCAAGUAGGAUCCUUCAUUGCUGUUUUAUAAGAAGUUGGUUCAAUAAGGGACAAAUCAGUGCAGUCAGACUCCUGAAUAGUAGCUAAUAAAGCUUUGGUCUUGAUAAUACCACUUUUGCUCCGAGUUUGCAUAGGAUGCAAAUUGAGGGGUGGAACCUCCAACACCACUUGCAAAGUAUCAGGACCAAAGGACACUGCUGGAGAAGCAUCAGAACCAGGGACAAGUGCCACAGGGACAGGGACAGGGACUAGAGAAUGAGAAGUGGAAGAACCAGUAAUGGAUGGAACAGAUAGGGGUGAAGAAGGAAUAUGAGAGAUGGAUAUGGGAGAAGGAGCAGGUGAGGAUGAGGAGGCAGGAUUGGUAUGAGAUGAUGGUGAUCGAAAUGAUGAAUGAGACAUAGGUAACACAACAUUGUCAUUAGAAAUCACAGGUGCGGGAAGUGUGAAAGUAGGAACUGAAGAAGAGUUAUAUGAGUUUGUAGAGUGGACCAACACAGUUGUGUAAGGAAAUUGAUCCUCAUCAAACACAACAUGUCUCGAAAUAUAAACUCGCUGUUUAGAAACCUCAUAACAUAUAUACCCUUUAUAUUUGGUAGCAUAACCCAGAAAAAUACACUUGGUGGUCUUGGCUUGUAAUUUAGUAGAAUUAUAAGGCUUUAACAAAGGAUAACAUGCACACCAAAAAAUUCGGAGAUGAGAGAUAACAGGAAGAUGACCAAACAAAAGUUCAAAAGGAGAUUUAUGUCCUAGCACAGAAGAGGGCAUUCGAUUAAUGAGGUAGACAGCUGUUUGACAAGCAUACGACCAAAAACUAGCAGGUAACCUAGCUGUUUGUAAUAGGGUCACAGUAGUUUCAAUAACAUGCCUAUGCUUUCGCUCGGCUAGACCAUUUUGCUCGGGUGUAUGUGGGCAAGAAAGUUGAUGAGUAAUUCCCUUAUCAAGAAGAAAGGACUGAAAAGCCUUACUAACAUACUCACCCCCUCCAUCACUCUGUAAGGUUUGAAUAGCAGUUGAAAACUGAGUAAGAACAAAUUAAUAAAAUGCAACAAAAGUAGCAAAGACAUCAGAUUUGUUGAUCAAAGGAAACAGCCAACAAUGUCUUGUAUAUUCAUCGAUAAAGGUCUCAUAAUAUCUGUAACCAUCAAUGGAAAUAGAAGAAGCUGGACCCCAAAGAUCACUAUGAAUAACAGCAAAAGGUUUUACAGACUUAUUGGUACUUAGGGAAAAGGGAAGUUUACAAAACUUGCUCUCCAAACAGCUAGAGCACAUUACAGGUAAUGAAGACUUGGAACAAGGAAUAUUAGCUUGCUUUAGCAUCAAAGAACCAAUGUUAUUAGAUGGGUGACCUAGUCUGUUAUGCCAGGUUGUAGAAUGAACAUGCUGACCAAGGAAUGCUUUAGCUGGAAAUGGAGCUGAAUGUGUAGAAUGAGAUGUGGCAGAAAGACAAGGGAUGGGAUAGAGGCCAUUACUGCAUUUUCCCUUGUAAAUGAUCCUCCCUGUGGCCUUGUCCUGAAUCCAGAAGCAGAAAGCAUCAAAAAUUAGCCAGCAGUUAUUAUCUAAACAGAUUCGAUGCACAGAUAACAAGUUGUGUGUCAAUUUCGGAACAUAAAGCACAGAAUUGAGCUUAAUUGGAUGCACAGAAUUCAAUUUGGAAACAUUGAGAACUGUGCUACCAAUAUGAGACACAGGCAAACCUUCACCAUUGGCAGUUUGAAUAGUCUCAGAUGUAGGAUAUGGCGAUGCCAAAGAGAGGUUACUGAGAUCGGCAGUCAUGUGAUUAGUGGCUCCAGAGUCAGUGAUCCACACUUGAGGAUCGGAAUAAGAAGGAGACGGUGAAGAUGGUGACUGAGUCAUCACAGUAUGUAAUGCUUGUGGAGAUUGUUGAUGAGGAUGAAAAUUUUGAGAUUGCAUUGAUGAAUGCUGAAAUGGAGCAUUAUAGCUUGGAGCACCAUAUGUGGAUGGGUGCACUUGAGAAGGAUAGAACUGUCGGGUAGGACCACCAAAAUUAGGACCCUUGUCAUUGAAAAAACAGUACCAUGUGCUGUGAUUGUGCUUGCCACAUAUUUGACAUGGAGCUUUAUCAGGAGGUUUAGACUGGCAAUAUAGAGCAGUGUGUCCUUCAACAUUACACGUUUGACAAGUAGGCAGCAAUGGUGCACUUGGAUGACCAAAAUAUGGUACUGGUGAUUGACCAAGUAUUCCUGGACUUGGUGUAGGGAGCACAUGAGUUUGAGUAUACUGUUUGGGUGAAUAGAACCAAGCCCCUUGAUGAAACUUGCCUUUCCCUUUGUUUUUAUUCCCAUUAAACAGCUUGUAACCUCCAGAAAAGAAUUGAGACUGCCCAGAUGCAAGAUUAGGUGAGUGAUUCUUGCCAGAAUGAGAGACAGUAUUAGCAACCAUGGCAGUGAUAUAAGGUGCAGUUGUGGAAGUUUCGACAAUGACCUCUUCAGCAAGCAACUGAGAUCGAAACUCCUUAAGAGAGAUCACAUUCUCACGACCCCGAAUAACACAGCGAAAAGUGUUAUAUUCAGAAGGUAACCCAUUGAGAGCAAGAAUAACUAUAUCCUCAUCCGCAAAAUAAACCCCAGCAGCAGAUAAGUAAUCUCUAGCCUCUUUAAUUCUAUAAAGAUACUGAGACACCGAAUCAGACCCUUUCUUUAUCGUCUGAAGAUUUGACUUCAUUUGAAAAAUGCUAGUCUUAGACACUGUAGAGAACUGUUCUUUCAGACGAAUCCAAAGAUCCUGAGAACUCUUACUACCAAUAGCACAAGACAACGCAACAGGAGACAAAGUGGCUGUGAUCAAUUGCAUUAUAGCCCGAUCAUGCAUUUUCCACACCACAAAUGCAUCGGAUUCAGCAGAAGUACAAGAGCCAGAGUCAGUAGGAGAAACUGCAAAUUGAAGUGGACAAGGGUGCGAGCCAUCAACAAACCCCAUAAUACCAUUGCUUUCCAACAAAAGUUGUAUCUGAAAAUUCCAAUUGAGAUAAUUGGAGUCAUCCAAUUUGACAUUAACCGAAGUCGAGAUUGUGGAGAUUAAAGCAGUAAUCAGAGAUUGCAAAAUUUGAAGUUGCGUUGCAGUCACCAUUGAAAUUUCGUCUGAAAAACUCUCAGAGGAAUAAUAGCAAACAGUUGAUAUGCAAGACGGAAGGAAGCAGAAAAGAUGAUCGAAGAAAGAUCACGACCACCCAAGAAACCUAGAAAUCCAAAUUAGAGGAAGACGAAGAGAAUCAGAGAUCAGAAAAAACACAAAUCAAGAAGAACGAAUACACCUUCAAUCGGAGCGGAAGCAGAGGAUCGAAGAUUAUGCGCAGGCAACAAUGGCAAUUGAUACCAUGUUAACUAUGAUCAAUAUUAUACAGUAAGGAAGACUAAGAAUGUAACAGACUUAGAGAGAGAGAGAGAGAGAGAGAGAGAAAGAACUUAGAGAGAAGAUGAAUAUCUCUGAUAUAUUUCUUAACUUCCAAGUAAUACAGUGUUGAGGUAUUUAUAGUCUUACACUUACACAGCUAACUUCCUUAACUAACUUCUUCUCUAAUCUAAUUACAAGUGGCAACAUCUUAUACACCAAUAUCUCUAUUCUAUCAUAAUUAGAUGAUGGAAUUGCAUGAUGAUCUCAUAUAUAUUUAAGUUUCGUCAAUCAUUCAGACUACAUCAAGAGAUUAGGUCAGUAACUUUUAUAUAUAUUUAUAAAUAAAUCUGUACUAAAUAUAUGUGUUAUAUAUUCUGUGUCCCUUAUCCAUGACCAUGAGGCUUUAUUUUUUGUGAGAGCGAAAUUUGAAGUUAAUAUGUUUUUACCUUAUGAUCCCAUAGCUAGCUAGCUAAUAUAAUUUGUGAAUUAUAGUAUUUACAGAACUAGUACCCACUUUAUUAAAAGAAACAAGGAAAAUUGAAGAAAUACUUUACUGGCUCUUUCAUGCCUCUAUAUAAUGCUGCAUCAUAAGCAUUUCGGAGAAGAGAUCUAGCCAGCGGAUCGAAAAACAGUACUAAAAGCGAUCGGAAUAUCAAAGCGUAGGGACUUCGGUCGUAGGUGAGAUGCAGCCGAAUGCCUUGUAUAUUGGGUUGCUUCGGUUUCAAGCUGUAUAUAUAUAGCUAGCCAAUUCGUGGCACCGAGCUUCAUCUGUCCUCGACUGAAGCCUCUCAAGCUUUGUUUCCACAGAAAAGCAACCCAUCUUUAAUUUCUUUGCAAGCUUGGAGAAUGAUCAGGUGUAGUAUUAUUUUACCCUUUUUUUGGCUGUAUUUUGUUGUCUGUUUUGAGUUGUGGCUUCAUACGUAUAUUUUUGUACUAUAAGAUUUUGUUUCAGAACUAAACCUAUGUUCUUGGAUCAAUGGAUCAUGGUAAAUGCUUAUACGCAUGUGCUAGGGAUCGAAAGACAGAAAGUAUGUGUCUGUAAAAUGUGCCGAAAAAUACAAGAAAAAGGCACCAAAAAAAAAAGAAAAAGAAAAAAAAGAGAGUACCUAGCAAAUGUUUUUCCAAGAUCCAGAAGUAAUGCACAUUUGUUUUCCCUCUCCUACCUAGAUCCGGCCACCUACGACGUCUACUUCUACAUAGGCAACGGAGAAACGCAUGGCCUGGUCGGCAGGGGUGUUGAUCAUUAGCUAGCUAGUGAAGGACUCGAACACAUGAUUUCUUCUGAGAAGGGUAUAUUUGUCAAGAUGAAGGCUGAAGGAUGACGAGCUAAUUGGAGAUCUUCUGUUCACAAGGUUCACCGCAAGUUUAGUCAUUUUACAUGUCAUUGCAGUAUUAAUUAGAACAUAGUAAUCAUCGUAAGCCUGCAACUGGUGUUUUUAUCUUGUGCUAAAUAUUCAAGCCAGCUAUGUUUGGAGAUAGCAACAAAUUAGCCUAUUUUCUCUUAGUUUAAUUGAUUUGACUUUAAUUUUACUGGUCCAGAAUAUUAUUUAACUUAUAUAUAUUUGUGUGUAUGUAUAUAUUGUUAAACAAUUAUCUUUUCUUUCCAGUGAUGUGCUCCAUAUAUUCAAUCAACUAAUGAUCCCUGAAGGCAUAAUUUCUUGCAUAGCAAAUGAUUCAAUUAAAUAAUGAUCCAAUGUGGGGUAUAAAUGAUUUCAUGAUAUAUGCUUUUAGGAGUUUCUUUUUCUAGGGUUGAGAGAUUCUCCCUCUGUAGAGCACUUUAAGGCCUCAUUUAGCACGUUGUAUAAAGUAUUGGAUAUGACUAAUAGUACAAAGCCAAUUGUUUGAUGCAUUUUCGUAUUAAAUAGCCAACUGACUAAUUAUUCAGACUCAUUUAUUUUAUCCGGUCUACACCUGCUAACUAAUACACUCCAAAAUGAAGGAUAAUUAGUCGGCUUAUCUCUCUCUUCGUUCCUCGUUCUUCUUCCUCCAACCAAGGUGUUUCCUUCUACCCAACCAACCAUGGCAGCAAUCGGAGUGAUCCUGGAAGUCAUUCCAAAGCCAAUCGUCGCAGACCCUAGUCUCCUAUCCCUCUAUAUUUUUCUUUCAGAUCUUCGCGAGCCAAGAUUAUCCAGAAUGUUUGGGGAGACUUCAAAGAGAUUACCUAGUGCAGAGCAAUCCUUCUCUUUUUCCUUCCAUAUUCUCACCUUUCAUCUAUUCUUUUUUUCUAAUUUCUACAACAGAAUAAAAACCAGAAGAAAAAAAGAAGGCCAUGCCUUGCCUGCGCAAUUUUUUUUUUUAUAAAUUUCGUUCAAAUUUGUUUGAAAGUUCAAAAUCCUUGUUCAAUCCAUUUUCAAUUAGUGGGCAAGAGGGUAAGAUUUGUAUGGGAGGAUGGGAUUUAAUGCGUAGGGAGGAAGAUGGUGAAGAAAUGAAGUAGAGAAAUCUGGAUUCUUUUUUCUUACUUUCUUUUUUUUUUCUUUUUUUUCUGUUUUUCCUAAUUUUUUUUUUCAUUUUAACAUCAAUUAUUAAGUUAAAAUUAUUAUAGUUUGACAUAUUAUCCGAUGUAAAAAUUAAUUUGACACUGCAUCAAACAUUGAAUUAUUACUUAGAAUUAUCUGAUACAUAGAUUAGGAAGUUUGAUUAAAAUAGUUAAUACAGUUCGACGUACCAAAUGAUGUCUAAAAAGUGGUGGUAGUGGUUUCAACCGUCAAUUCAUACAUUUCCAAUCAGUUAAGUUUAUCAGUUUAUGUUUACUGUUUUUUUAAUUUAUAAGCAUUUAGUUGAUCUUCAUUACAGUUGCACAAUAGAGUUUUUCUUUAGAUUAAAAGAUGGCAAAGAGGUAAAUCUGGCUGGCCAUGAUGAGGUUUUGACGAGGCAUUUACUUUGGGUUGAUUAUACCCUUGUGUGUGUUAAUGAUCAUCAUAAAGAUGUGAAGCACUAACAUCUUGCAUUAACUCACCUUUUUAUCCUUAGUAGAUCUACUAGAUUACCUACCGUAGCAAAGGUUUUUGUGAGAUUUUUCUUUUGAUAUGUGCCCCCCUACUAUGAGACUCAUGUUAACAACUAUUUGUACAUGUCGAGAACUUAUGACAACAACCUCCAUCUCCUAAUCAUGAAGACCCGAUGCAACUACUUCUUAAGUUGUACACGAUAGAAUAUUGUAAUUAGUGUGUUUAUUUGGGAAUGUGAUUGUGUAAACUUAAACAAGAAUCCCAAUAGGAGUUGGAGAUCGAAUCCUCAUAGACCUAGUGUUACUUAUUAGGCAAGAAGAUAGGGCCAAAGAAGGUGAUAGCCCUGUAGAUUCGUUCCCAUGGUUCGAUCCUUCCUAGUAAAACGCGGCAUGUUCGAAUUCUGAUCGCUUUUUACCCGAGAAAGGGGGACCUCCCUUCUUUCCGCCCCUAUCCCUUUUUAUCAACUUUUGUGGAUCGCUCAUAAAUAAACAUACAAGAUCAAGAGAUAAACAUACAAUUCUCAUACAUCUCAGUCAUUCUCUCUCUCUCUCACCACUUUGAAAGUUAGCUUUACAACAACUAACUUUUUUUUUCCUUAAUGAGCUUUGAUCAAGAGAUAAAUAUUUUUACACUUCUUUUAUAACGUAUAUGGGUUCUGGAAUCUAAAUAGGGAAAAUUUAUAUGGAAAAAAAAUAUAAAAACUGGAAGAGAAAUAUCAUGAUAAAGAUUUAAGCAAUAGCUAUCGAUAUUAGCACAUCGUGGAAUUAUAAAGUAAUUUCAUUAUGAUAUAAUUAUUAAUUUUUCUGGGCUAAGAGGAUCGGCAAGAACGAAAAGAUGGAGCAAAUAGCUCAUAAUUAACUACAUCAUUUGCUUCCACGAUUGAAGAUUCUGUUAUUGAAGUGAAUUUAACUUACAAAGUUUUUUUGGUCUUUUAUGAAAGUGUUGAUCGGAAAAAGUUUAUAUGGUUUUCUUUUAUUAAUUAUGUGGAGGACCACAGGCAGCAAAAUAUGGCAUACAGGAAAAAAAGAGAGGAAGAAAGUGGGUUGUGGUCUUAUAAUUUUAGCAUAAUAUUAUUUUGAAUUUUUAUUACAAAUGAUCUCUGGAAUUUAUCUAGUUCAUCAAGAUGGUCCCUGAAUUUGAAAAUGGGUAAUGCUAGGGAGACUAAAUUUGGAUACUAAAUUUGCAAACCAAAUGAUGUGUCACUAAUAGGAAUAAGCACAUUUAUCAACAUUUAAAUAAUAAACCAAUUAUCAAUUUACAUAUUUUUUAGUUUUCAAAAUUUUGUCUUUAAAUUUAGUCUCCCUAACAUUACCCUUUGAAAAUCAAUCAAUAUGAUCCCUGAAAAUGGAUGAUGCAAAUCAAUGUCGUCCUUCUGUUUAAAUUCCGGUAAAAAUUAUGUUAGUGUGCUAACGUCGCACAUUGUAGGCCCCAUACUCCAAUACAUGGUGCCAUGUGAAUUAGAAAAAGUUCAUUUUUAAUUAAAAAAACAAGAAAUGUGUUUAAAAAUUAAAAAAAAAAUAUUCUAAAAAAAUAUAUCUCUAAUAUCUCAAAUUGUCGUCGUCGUCUUCGUCUUCGCACCCAGCCAAACCCAUAUUCUGUCUCCUUGACUUCAACCGGUAGUUUUUGGUACCAAUCAGUGAUUUGCUGCUUUACUUUGUCACCUCCAUAACCUUUCCAAAAACUAGAUUGCUUCGACUAACAUAGAAGACACAACUACAAAAACAAUCUUCUUCUCCAACACUACGACCACGACCACCCUUCUCCGAUCGCACCACGAACAAAUCCAUGGCCGACCGAGGAGGGGAUGCGGCACCAACAAUCAAAUCAGCGAAGUUGAGAGAAGAAGAAGAAGCAAAGCAGCGGCUCCACCGCCCGAGAAGCCGGAGCUGCACGAUUGUUGCGGCAAUGGAUGAUUCCGGUGUGUGUGGAAUGUGUAUUCUGAUAGGAUCAUACAUGGAAUAAGGAGGAAAUGCAGGGAAUUAACAUAAAGUAAAGAGACAAUUGCAGGAAAUUAACAUAGAGAGAAAGGGGGAUCGCGGGAAAUUAAAGAGUAAGGGAAAGAAGCAACUAUGUUCAUUCAUUCAUCCACCCCUUUGCGACGGUGGAGAGAUUGAAAUUCGUGUGCUCUAGCUUUUUGGCGACUCUUGACGGCCCCAACGAGAAAGGAUGGAGUCGAGUUUUUUCUUUUUCGUCUUUUACUUUUUAUUUUUUUAUUUAAAUAAAAACUUAAUUUUAAUCCACAUGUCAUAAAAAUAUUGGAUAGUGGGGGCUCACAAUGUGCCAUGUUAGCACACUAACACAAUUUUUAAACGAAAUGACGACAUUGAUUUGUACUACUCAUUUUCAGAGAUGGCAUUGAUCGAUUUUCAAAUUUAGGGACAAUCUUGAUGGAUUAGGUCAAUUUCAGAUACUAUUCAUGAUAAAAACCUUAUUAUUUUCUGAGCACAUAUUUUAUUUCAACCCAAAAGAUUGAGAGGAGACACGUGCCCCUUGGUCCUCUAUUAGCUUAGUCAUUGGCUAUGUAUCAUAAUCAAGGUAUUAAAUAUCGGUAAUAUCGGAAAUAUCAGUAGUCCGAAAACACGGAAAUAUCGAUGGAAAUAUCGGGAUGAUAUCGAUAUCGAUAAAAAUUACAUGAAAACCACGGAAAUUGUAAGAAAAACUUGGAAAUUUUUAUUGAAACUUUGCAGGAUGUUUAUUUAGUCAAUUAUCUAUUAGUUUAUCACAAAAAAUUGGAAGGAAAUGCAUUGCAUGAUGGAUUUAACAUUAUCAAGUUGAUUAUAUAGCGAGCUGACAAACAUUGUGAGUGUAGAAAAUAUGUAGUAAUUAAUGAAAGAAGUCUACACACCAUAAUCAUUUAUAUAUAAUGAAUUAGUACAAUAUUUUACACUUUAGUACCACAUAGAGUUCCUAUGAGGUUCAAAUUUUUCACUAUCUUCAUCAUCUCUAUGUGUAGAGUGAGUGUAUUGUGAAGAGUAGUUAUCAAAUGAUAAAUCCCCAAAAUAGUUUUGCAUGUAAUUGUUAACAUGCCACCCAUAUGGAUCCGAGAUUGGUUGAGGUUGUCCAUAAGCAAAAUCAUUUGAAGAUUGAGUCUGGGAUUGUUUCCAUGAGUCGCUCGAUUCCAUCCUAACAGGAAUGGGAUAUGAAGGGUAGGGAAAUGGUUGGUUAUGAGUAUAACCAUAGUUACUACUUCCCACUCCAACAAAGUCCGAAAUUCUAGAUAACGAGUCAUCUUCUUGACUUGACAAAAUCCCCUUGCCUCUUUCUCUACGAGUAUAGUCCUUUCCUAUGGCACCAAUUCCUGGUCCUGCCCGCCUACUGCCAUGGUCAUCAUCCUGUGUUGCAUGCGUGAUGUUUGCCUCACCAGUGAAGGGGGUCAUAAAUCCGGGAGGUGGUCCAUAAUAGUUUCCAUAUCCACCACUACUACCUCCAGCUCCACUACCUCCAGCUCCACUGUAUCCUUCAUCAUUCCCACCUCCAGUGGUAGGUGAGUCUCCUGAUCUUGUACUAGAGCUAUCAUUAGUAUCAGCACGAUGUUGUGGUUGUGUAGGAUUGGACGAAGGUGGAAUUCCAGUGUUUCUUGGUCUUGGGUGCAAAAGUUCUUCCAAAGAGUCAGCGCUGCUAGAUCCCACUUCCUCCUCUAAUACUCUUUCUACAUUUAUCCCUUCAUUACGUGCUUCUUCAGCAACUUUGGGAGCUGGGUUGCCUUCAUCAUCAUUUAAAUGAAGAGGUCUAAUCCAUUGAUAAAGUUGGUUACCCUCUGUAUCAUCAUCUUCACCAACAAUAUCAAACACAUCUAGUGGGUCACCACGGUUGACAUGAUCUAUUUCUGCUUCCUUAUCUCGAAUUUGAAGCUUCAUGUUGUAGUAGCAAUAAACUAAUUUUUCCAACCUACUAUGAGCCAACCUAUUUCUUUGCUUUGUGUGUAUGAGUGCAAAUGUGCUCCAAUUUCUUUCACAAGCAGAUGAGGAAGCUGUUUGUGAUAAUACUUUGAUUGCUAACUUUCUCAUAGUUGGUGCAUCGGUCCCAUACAUGAUCCACCAUUCAGCUACAAUGAAAAACAAUGUUGAUAAGCCUAAUAACUCGAACAAAUUCUAUUAUAAACUUAUAGUGAAAUAUGUUUACACUCACUAGGAGACAUUGUUGUUCGAGCAGCAAUUGAUGUUGGUUCUCCAAAAGUUCUUCUUGCAUCUUUAAACCAUGUUAGCUGAAUUCAAUAAAUCGUGUUAGUUUAAUCCAACAAAGUAAUUAUUAUAAUUUAAGUAAUUGUGUACCUCAUUUCCAAAUUGGCCAACUUCUGGUGAUGCAGGGUCCAAUUUAGAGUAUACAUUAUGUACAGCACGUAUAAGGGCACCAUCAUCUCCAACACCGGGUCUGUAUUGGUAUCGAGGAUUCAAAUAAUAUGAUGUUCAAAGAAACACAUACGCUAAUAAGAGAAAAAAUAUUUAUGCAACUAAAGAAAUGAAUUGCAAAUUAUGACAUAAUUUAUACCUGCUGCAUGCAAAUCGUGGUAUAAUGUUUUAUACCAUCGGUCAUCAAUUAUCUUUAUGGCCCACCUUGCACCAGGUUUUCUUUCCAAUUCCUCCUUCACUACACGCAUCAACUCAUAUAUUGCCCCCAUAGUAGGAUACACUUCUGUGUCAACAAUCCGUAAAACUUUGUAAAGAGGUUCUAACACUUGGCACACAUAUUCUGAUUGAGUCCAAAAAGCAUGAUCAAGCACUAUACUUUCCACCAUACGACCUGCAUUUGAGCGGCUCAAAUUGUGGUUGGCCCAAUCUUCACUAGUGAAUAAUUGCUUCAACCCUGCUUUCUUCUUAAGUAGGUUGUCUAAUGCAAUAUAGUUGGUGGCGAAUCGAGUGGUAGCUGGACGAAUAACUUCUCCUUUGCAAAAUUCACGCAUCUUUGCCAACAACCAACCGUGGUUGUAAAUAUAAUUUGUGAUCGUUCUAGCUCUUUUUACAACAUUAGCAAUAUUCUCUCUUCCCCAUUGCCUCAAACAUGAGAUCAAUACAAUGUGCUGCACAUGAUGUCCAAAACACAUUAUGAUGCUUCAUUAACUUUUUUCCAGCUUUAACAAAUGCAGAACCGUUGUCGGUCACGACUUGGACAACAUUAUGCUCUUCCACCUCCAUGAUUACAUCCCUCAAUAACUUGUAAAUAUACUUGUAGUUCUUUAUAUGGUCUGAAGCAUCAACGGACUUAAAAAAAAUUGUCUUUCCCUUGGAGUAUACCAUGAAGUUUAUGAUAGACAAUCUGGUUGGGCCAGUCCAUCCGUCACACAUGAUUGUGCAACCAUUAGUUUCCCACUUUGACCUCAACUUGUUAACAUACUCGUCAAUGUCUUUAUGCUCCAUUUCCAAAUAUUUGUUUCUUACCUCAUAGGGAGUGGGAGGUUGUACUCCAACACUGGCCUAUUGACAUCCCAAUACCAUAUUUUUGAAAUGAUGUGAUGAUGCCUUCUCAGCAAGGACAUUUUCAUAGAUAAAGAACUUGCUAAUUAGACGCCCCAUUCCCUCCUUCACAUUACCUCCCUUGAAAUAACUCCAAACACUCUUUUGACGUGCUUUGGAUGAGUUAUAUAAACUUGGGGCUAUUGGUGGUGUUGGUUGUAAUUCUCUAAGACUGCCUCCCCGUCUCAUUUGUGCACCAUCACUUGUCCUGGAACCUUGUCCUCUAUUAGGAAUUUUAUGAAGGUGUUCUCUUUCCCAUGCUGACUGUUUGGAGGCACGUAAUGCUUGUUUGAAAUUGCGCCGUUCUUCAGGUCCCAUGUCAUCAUCACAUUCGUCCUCAUCGUCAUCAUCAUCACUAUCAACCGCUUGGCCAAUGACUUCUUCUCGUAGCCCAGCUCGAAUAUUUUCCAUUCCAUAUGUUUUCUUUUCCUUCUGGUGUUUUUUAUUUUUUAAUAAUGUGGUGAUGAAUGCCUUCACUUCUGGGGGGACACUAUCGCAUCGUUGGACAUUAUAUCCUGGAUCUAAUCCACUAAGAUGGUGCUUAAGUCGUGUCACUCCGCCACUCUUCAUUACAUGACCACAAUAUUUGCAAAUUGUGCCAUGUUUGUUUCCGUCUAUUGGGUCUCCAUGUUCCCAAGCUGGAUCACGUUUAGACAUCUUAAACGUACCUGUAUUUAUUUUGCAUGGAAAUUAUGCAAUUAUUUUUUGGCCAAAAAAUAUAGUAGUGACGGUUAUAUAAGAGAACCUAAAUAAUAAAGUUAUUCUACAAAAGAAUUAAAUAGGAAGUAAACAAAAUGAUUGUAAGGUGUAGAAAUUAUAAAAAGAAUAUGGAAUAAUAAAACCUAAUAUUAAUGAAUAAUAACCAGUUUGAUAAUAAAAUAAUAAAUAACAUUAAACAUAUUAAAAUUAUCCUAGGGAAUAAUUAUACAACAUUACUUAAUUACUUCAAAAAAUUAACAUAUUAUUUGGUUCUUAGAUCACAUGCACAGGUCCACACAAAUUUUUUUGUAUAAUUAACCUCCUUAUAUAUGUACAUUAUCUAUAUAUCCAACUUAACUAGUGUUUGUAUUAUAUAUUAUUACAAAUUGUUAAGAAUUAAUAAAGUGUUCUAGACAAACUUCUUUCUUUUUUAGUGUUUUAAAACCUUUUUCUUUUUUUUUCUUUUUUUUUGAGAAAAGUGUUUUAAAACUUUUUAAAAUUGUUUAUUCUUUCCUUUUCUUUUCCUUGCCGUCUCUUUUAUAUUCUUUGAAAAUGGAGACUAAAAGGAUUGAUUAUGGACCCUUUUCGUGGGAGGUAUGUAGAAAUUGUUUAAUCAAAAUGGAUAAUCAGGAGCAAACGAGUUCGAACAAAGCCAUAAAGCAAAGUUAGUAAAUGUUUUGCCCCUCUUUUGGUGUUGGAAAGUUCAUUUACGAUAGUGUGAGGAUGUGAAAAUUAAAUAAUCUCAUGCAUGGGUCCGCACAAAUUUUUUUGUUGUUGUAUAAAUUACAAUAAUAUAAAUGUAAGUUUGUAAACUUACCUUAAAUGUAACAAAUCUGGAACUUUCGAUGUCGUACGUAGCAGCAGCAAAACCUCGACGAUCCUCUGCAGCUUGCCGUCUGUGAAUAAAUGAGAGAGAAAAGGUUUUGGAAAGGAUCUGAAAGGGCUAAGGGAAGAAGAAGAAACGGAAAUGUGUAAUAAAGGUUUUUCAAUUUUCGAAGGGUCAAAAAAUGUGUGAUGAUCUGAUACUCCACCUCUGGGACGCACACGGUUUUGAACUUUUGGCAGUGUUUUUUUUUUACACACACACAUGGGUUUGACAGUGAGAAACCACUCCACCAUACAUUUUUGUCUUGUCACUGUUUUUUUCACACACGGAUAUAUCUUUUUGUCUUAUCAAGAUUUUUUUUCACGGAAAAUGAUUCUCAUGUGAUUUGAAGGUGUAAGGCUACAUGCCUGUAUGGCAGUAUGGGCAUAUGACAGUUUGGUUCAGUUUCAGUGGGUUUUCUUUGGAUUUAUUUGCAAAAUUAUUGGCACACACACACUCACACUAACCUAACAUCUCACAGUCACAGGCACAUUAUUUUCACAUCUUUUCACCUCUGGGUGCAAAAUUAUUUUCACCUAUUUUCACCUCUGCAACACUCUGCAACACACACAUUCACCUAUUUUCACCUCUGCAACACUCUGCAACACACACACACACACACGAUGCAACACGCACACACGCACACGCAACAAGCACACACACACACACGCACACGCAACAAGCACACACGAACACGCACACACGCAUACCUUUCUGGAUCCUUCUCUCUCUCCCUCGGUCUCUCCGUCUCCUUCUCUCCCUCGGUCUCUCCGUCUCCUUCACACGCACACGCAACAAGCAGAGAACACAGAGCCUUCCGUCUCCGUCUCUCCCUCGGUCUCUCCGUCUCCUUCUCUCUCUCGGUCCGGUCUCUCCGUAGUCCGUCCAAUAUGUUGGGUCACCUCAUCACCUCAGACUCUCUCGAAUCUCGAUCUCGAUCUGGAUCCUUCCCUCAGUCUCUCCAUCCUUCUUCUUCUCCCUCAGUCUCUCGAACUCGAUCCUUCUCCGGUUCUCCCCCCCUCAUCUCUUCUCUGCAACUCCGCCGAGUUGCUUGGGGCCUUUUUACGGUCUCUCUACACCCUGGGGGACGUGAUUUUGCUGUUGUUCAGCUCGUACCCACCACCUGUGGUUUCCUCCUCCCUUUCUCACCUCCCGGCGGCGGCGACGACGACGAAUAUCGCGAUAUUUUAAAGAUAUUUUAAUUUUACUCAAAAAAAUAUCGGCCGAUCAAAAAAACAAUAUUAUCGGCGAAAUAUCGCCGAUAAUAUCGAUUUUUAAGACAUUGAUCAUAAUGCAUCUGUUACGAUGACGAGAGAUAUAGAUACAAACUGAUAUAUUCUUGACUACACAAGACAUGAUACAGUUAAAAAAAUAUUUAUCACCGACUACACAUCAAAUUUCUCUCGAACAAAAACAAUAGAAUAUAUGCAAUUGACGUGAAUUGUAUGGAAAACAACUGUGGGAUGUGGGGCCACUAUUUGAUUCAAUACAUGUGUGUAAAUUGCCCUUCAUUCAUAGACCAUAAAAACAUGUAAAAUGUUUUGGUGCAAUCAUUUUACAUGAGUCCACAACUUUGUGUUUUACUAGUUGCAGCAAAUUACCCUAAUGUUGAUGUCAAGUCCCUUUCAACAUUUACCACCAUGCACUAGAGUGCUUAAUUCACUUCCAUCAAUGAGAGAGAACCAAAUGUUAACAAAAAAAGAGAAAUACAAGUGUUUUUUGGUCUAAUUAUUUUUUUUUUCUUUUUAGAGUUAAUAAUUUUUGAGGCAAUAAGGUUAGCCGACGGUGAGAGUGGAUGUAGAGUGAUGGGUAAGAGUAUGCUAGAUCUAGAAUUCAGGAUCCUACAAUAUAACCAAAAUUAAAAUUUCGUAGAGGCAACAAGCUAGUUUAAAAUCUUUUGGUGGACGCCAGUAGGGAUGACCUAUGGGUACCCGUUUAGCUAAAUGGAUGUUCAUUUAAGUGUGAAAUAUGUGCUAAUUGUGGUGGCGAAUGGUAGUUUUUGUGCUCGUGAUAAUGAAAUAUAUAAUGCAUCACUGAAGGGAUCACACCACACAACUUGAAGAGUAAUGUUUAUAAAAUAAGUACUUACAAAAUUAUAAAAGUUUAGGUAAAAAUAAAAAGAAAGAUUUUUUCCCCUGGGAUGGGCGUAAAUUCUUAGGUGUAAUCGAGCUUAUCUCUCUCAUGUGAGAUUUUUUGGUGUAAAUUGGAUGUAAGGCCGCCAUGUGAAAUGAGAUCCGAAAUAUAGAAAAGGGAAUACUCUUUAAAAUAAAUAUAGAGAGAGAGAGAGAGAGAGAGAGAGAGAGAGAGAGAGAGGGGAAUAUAUUUUAGAAUCUCCAUCUCCACGCGUGGGGAAUGUAUGGAUGGCUCCAAAGCUGAUAGGGUCAUGGGCUUCAAGGCAUUGGCAUAAACCCAAUGAAAUAUAUCCAAUAAUCCAAAUGAUGGCAAUCAAGGAAAAAGAAACCCUAAAUAUAAUAUGACGUGCAAAACAAGUUCGAAAAUCUGCAAUAUUAUUACAUAGAUGUAUGAAAAAAAUAGCUAUAUUUGAUCCAAAAGUUGCACAGAAUCAAACAUGUUUUCUUUGGAUUUCCUCUUUCAAAAUAUCCAUCUUUCCAGCAGUUCUUACUCUCCCAUCAGGCCAUCAACAUUUCAAGACACUUUUACUGAAGCAUACGAAAUGCUUUUGGAUCAAAAUUGUCUCACUUUUCAUGGGAAGUUGAUAAUUUCUUCAUUGAAAAUUUCAUCGCUAAGAACCAUGCAUUUUGUUGUAGGUAUACACUACAAGUUAAAUUCUGGGAUUAGUUCUAAUAUACGACGAAUAUUAGAAAAGAAAACAUGAGUCUAACAUCUCUUUCCUUUUCUUUUGACUGGCCAAUGGAAAAAUGAACCCUGUAAGUUACUAGUGAGUUUCUAACGUACGUGUGUGUGGUUAGGCCAGUGUUCCAAACUUUAAAUAACAUAUUUAAUUUUGAAGAAUGAUUAAUUAAGUUCAUUAGAAUAUGCCAAUUUAUCUCACUUUAUGUAAUCACAGGAAAAUUCCUUGCAAAUUAAAAGCAAACUUCGUGGUAAUGUAUAUUUAAUUUCCUUAUAUUGUGAAAAAAACCUAACAUUCCCCCAGUACAGAAAGAAACAUGCAUGGCUAUAAAUAUGGGGUUAUCUAAGGUCUUGAAACCAUAAUCAACACAAAACAAAGAAGAUAUAAAAGAGGUUUGAGGGGUUCAUGUUGCAAGAGAGAUGGCAUGAGCUACGCUCAAGCUAGUAGCAUGUUCCAUCCUCUUGCGACAUGGAACCCUUUAUAUCUUUAUCCAGAUGUAGUAAUUUCUUUAUUUUAUUAAAGAAAAAUGCAGCAUUCUCCAAAUUCAUUGAGAGGAAGGGAGAGAGGGAGAGAUCUCUAGAGAUAUGAUGAAUUAAAAUUGGUUGGGAGAUUUAUGUUCGCAGGAGAGAUGGCACUAAUUGUGCUACAACUACAAGCAAUUGUUGCCAUCUUUCCCGUGACCAAAAAGCUCUACACAACUUCAACGACCUUGAUCUUUCUCUACGACAUUUUGGGGUUUUUUGAUUCCGACAUGAUUUUUAUCUUAUGGUUGUAGAUUAAUUAUCUGAAUAUAAUAUAUAUAUAUAUAUAGUAUCAGUUACUAAUUAAGCUUGACUUUGUCAAGAUAUGAUUGUUUUAGCUAGACAUCUACUGUACUGUCUCUUUCAUGCCUAAAUAUAAAGCUGCCUCAUGAGGAUUUUGGAGAAGAGAUCUAGCCAGCGGAUCGAAAAACAGUUCUAAAAGCGAGAUCGGAAUAUCAAAGCGCAGGUCGUAGGUGAGAUGGCUCCGAAUGCCAUGUAUAUUGGUAGUAGCUGCGGUUGCAGGCUAUAUAUAGCUAGCCAAUUCGGGGCAGCGAGUUUCAUCUCUCCUCGACUGAAGCCUCUAGCGUUUUGAUUACGCAGAAAAGAAACCCAUCUUUAAUUUUUUUUGCAUGCUUGGAGAAAGAGCAGGUGAAGUAAUAUUAUUUUACCCUUUUUUCUGUAUUUUGUUGUCUGUUUUGAGUUUUGGCGUCAUGCGUAUAUUAUUGUACUCUAAGAUUUUGUUUAAGAACUAAACCAAUCUUCUUGGAUCAAACCUUCAUUGGAUCAAUGGAUCAUGGUAAAUGCUUAUAUACAUGCUAGGGAUCGAAAAGACAGAAAGUAUGUGUGUAAUUUGUGCCGAAAAAUAGAAGAAAAAGCAAAAGUACCUACAAAAUGUUUUUCCAAGAUCCAAAUGCACAUCGGUUUUUCCUCUCCUUUUAGCUAGAUCUGGCCACCUGCGACGUCCACUUCUACACAGGCAAUGGAGAAACGCAUGGACUGGUUGGCGGGGGUUUUGAUCAUUAGCUAGGUAGUGAAGGACUCAAGCACAUGAUUUCCUCUGAGAAGGGUAUAUUUGUCCAGAUGAAGAGCUAAUUGGAGAUCUUCUGUUCACAAGGUUCACUGCAAGUUUAGUCAUUUAACAUGUGAUUGCAGUAUUAAUUAGAACUUAGUAAUCAUCGUAUGCCUGCAACUGGUGUUUGUAUCUUUUGCUAAAUAUUCAAGCAAGCUAUUGUUUGGAGAUAGCAGCAAAUUAGCCUUUUUAAUCUUAGUUUAAUUGAUUUGACUUUAAUUUUUCUAGGCCGGAAUAUUAUUGAACAAAUAUAUAUGUGUAUGUGUAUGUACAAGUUGUUAAACAAUGAUCUUUUCGUUCCGGUGCUGUGCUCCAUAUAAGAUUCAAUCAACUAAUGAUCCCUGAAGGCACAAUUUCUUGCAUAGCAUAUGAUUCAAUUAAAUAAUGAUCCGAUUUGAGGCAUCAAUGAUUUCAUGAUAUAUGCUUUUAGGAGUUCUUUUCGUAGGGUUGGGAGCUUCUCCCUCUAUCUAGCAUUCUAGGUGGUGGUGGCUUCAACUGUCAAUUCAUAAAUUUCCAAUCAGUUAAGUUCAUGUUUACUGUUUUUUUAUUUAUAAGCAUUUAACUGAUCUUCAUUGCAGCAGAAAGUUUUUUUUUUUUCUUUCUCAUUACAGUUGCAUGGUAGACUUUUCUUUAAAUUAAUAGAUGGUAAAGAGGUAAAUCUAGGUUGGUCAUGAUGAGGUUUUGACGAGGGAUAUAUUUUGGUUUGAUCAUACCCUUGAGUCUGUUAAUGAUCAUUCUAAAGAUGUGAGAGACUGACAUAUUACUGCAUUAACUCACUUUUUUUUACUUAGUCUAUUAGAUUACCCACCGUAGCUUUCGUUUUUGUGAGAUUUUUCUUUUGAUAUGCACCCCUAAUAUGAGACUCAUGUUAGCAACUAUUUGUACAUGCCGAGAACUGACGGCAACAACUAUCCUCUCCAAAUCAUGAGACUUGAUGCAACUACUUCUUAAGUUGUACACAAGAGAAUAUUGUAAUUAGUGCGUUUAUUUUGGAAUAUGAUUGUAUAAACUUAAUUAAAGGAGAAUCUGAAUAGGAUUUGGAUCAAAUCCUCAUAGAUUUUGUGUUACUUGUAAUGCAAGAAAAUCCAUCAUGAUUAGUAUAAAUAAAGGUUCAAGGCCAGAGAUGAACAUACAAUUCUCAUACAUCUGAGUCAUUCUCGCUCUCUCACCACUUUCAAAGUUAGUUCUACGUACAAUGAAUAACUUUUUUUUCAUAAUGAGCUUUGAUCACGAGACAAAUAUUUUUGUUGACGUAUAUGGGUUCUGGAAUCUAAAUAGGAAAACUUUAUAAGGAAAAAAAAUAUCAAAACUGGAAGAGAAACAUCAUGAUAAAGAGUUAAGCAAUAGCAAUUGAUACUAGCACAUCCUGGAAUUAUAAAGCAAUUUCAUUAUGAUCUAAUUAUUAAUUUUCUGGACUAAGAGGAUCGGCAAGAACAAAAAAAUGGAGCAAAGAGCUCAUGAAUUAACUACAUCAUUUGCUUCCACCAUUGAUUAUUCUGUUCUUCAAGUGAAAUUCACUCACAAGGUUUUUUCUGGCCUCUUAUGGAAGUGGUGAUGGGAAAAAAGUUUAUAAGGUUUUCUUUUAUUAAUUAUCUGGAGGACCAUGGCAUACAGGGAAAAAAAGGAAGAAAGAGGCUUGUGGUCUUAUAAUUUUAGCAUAAUAUUAUUUUAUGAGCACAUAUUUUAUUUCAACCCAAAAGACUGAGAGGAGACACGUGCCCCUUGGUCCUGGACUACAGAAAACAUGAUACAGUUAUAAAAAAGGAGUAAUUAGGUUUUCAUCCUUAUUUUUACUACUCUAUUGAUUAAAACCUUAUUACUUUUCAAUUUUUGAUCAAGGUCCUUUGUAUUAAUAAUAUCAUUAAUUAUUUCAAUAAUAAAAUAUUUUUUAUUUCUAAAUAUAUUCAUUUAAUAUUAAAAAUAUUACAAUUAGUAUAUUUAUAUUUAUGGCUAAAUUUUUUAUCAUAUAUUUUUAUUUUUAGUUUGUACCCAUUUUUAAUUUGCAACCCUUUUUUAAUUUGUACCAAUUUUCCUUUCAGUUUUAAUUUGUACCCAUAUAUUAAUUUCUUUUUGUGCCCAUAUUUUUUAAAGUUUUAUUUGUAUUGUACCCAUAUUUUUUUAUUUAUUUGUACCCAUUUUUAUUUUUGCUAAAUGUACCCAUUUUGAAGAAUGUAUCCAUGUUUUGAUACAAUAAUUUUUUGGUUAUUUUUUAUGAAUGUACCCAUGUUUACACACACACACACAAUAGUAUAUUUAUAUUUUAAUAUUUUUAAUCCCACAAAUUAUGGUUUUUUAUUUAAAAUCUCAUUACUAUAAAUGACACACCCCGUCCCGAAGGAGGGCAUGCUGGCCGUCACGUGAGAGUGACGUAACCAUUUGCACAGUACGGAAGCUUUAAGAUACAAUUUAUAAGUUGAUACACCCGAAGGUGAGUCCUAAUUUUGUCCAAUCUGUCAGAACACCGUCGAAUUCCUCGUAGUCACCACACCUUUGUGAUUCCUGAACCUGGAGGGGCGCAAAACCAAAAUUGAGUGGGUCAGUAAAACAAUUCUUUUCCAAAUCCAAACAUUUCUCAAAACGUUGUAACCCCUCUCCGUAAAACCUGUAUACUUUCCCAGAAAUGUAAAAUAUAAAUAUACAUAUAUAUUCUCAAAACUUCAUUUUUACUAUCUCAACAUUAUCUCUUUAUCAAUCAUGCCAUGCCAUGUCAUCUCAACAUUUCUCAUAUUAAUUAUGCCAUGCCACAUCAUCUCAACAGUAAUAAGGUAUGAAUGCAUCAACAUAAUCAUAUCAGGUGCAAGAAAGUAAUCAACCGUAGGCCCUCUAAUAGCCCUAUACGGUUGAACCUAGAGCUCAAAAUCUAUCAUUAUCACUCUACCGGAGUCACCUCUGUGACCCGUCCGGCCUUCUGCACACAAGUUACGCUCUAGUGCUUCUCAUAAAUCAUCUGUGCACAUAAUCUAAGGUCACCCACCAGUCGGAAUCUCACUAACACUCUCGCGACUGGUCUGUCGUACCCACUCCGCGUGGACUGUACGACUAGCAUCUACUUGGAUCCAAGGCGAGCGUGCGAUGCGGUGAAUACUAUAAGCACUAAACCAUGGUGCAGGAUUUGAGCUCAAUAUAUAUCAUCAUCAUCAUAACAGUAAUUAAAUACUCAUCUGUGCGUCCACCGCACCAUUUCAUACAUAUGCAUCAUAAAUCAAUUCUUACCUGUGCGUCCACCGCACCAAUUCAUACAUAUGCAUCAUAAAUCAAUUCUUACCUGUGCGUCCACCGCACCAAUUCAUACAUAUGCAUCAUAAAUCAAUUCUUACAUGUGCGUCCACCGCACCAAUUCAUACAUAUGCAUCAUAUAUUAAUUCAUGCAUGGCAUUUCAACUCACAUUUCUAUAUACUUUUCAUAUCAAUUCUAUGCAUGGUAUUUCACUUCCCGUUUUUCCACAUAACUCAUAUGCAUUUCAUUUUAAACAUAUUUUCAUUUCAAUUCAAUUUCUGGGAAACGUCAAGUAUAUAUAUAUACGGAAAACAAAACUGCCCACUCACCUGGAGUUCGUCCAACAACUCCCUAGCACCACACAUCAAGGCGUCAUGACGAUCGCCGCCUAGAAUAGUAAUCAAAUCCAGGCUCAGAAUUCAUAUCGAUAGAAUAACAUAACUUAUAUAAAAUACGUCACUACGUUGAUCGAUCCGGAAGAUCUGCCACUCAGAUUUUAAAAUCCAUAACUUCCAGAGGUCCACACUAUACCUCUAGGACAACAUCCUAAAAUUUCAUUACCAUCCAACGGUCGGAUCUCCGUCAAUUUCCAAAACUAAGUGACGGUUAACAUUUUAUAUUAUGGACUUACAAUUCCAAUUCCGGAAGAUCCGUAACUCGGAUUCCCAAUCCGUAAGUUCCAAUAAUCCUCAAAUAUUACGUAUUACAACGUAUCAAAUUUUGGUGACGAUCCAACGGUCGGAUCAUCAAUUCACAUUUUCACCUAAAUGUGAAAACUAUAAAACGUUAUUUGAACACCUAACCAACAAUCCUCAAUAACUUUCUCAUACGGUGUUCAAUUUAGGUAUAUGAAUAUACCACAGUGAUCUAAUCGACGUCACGGACGUCGACAUAUUUUUAAAAUAAUUUUAUUUUUAUUUUUUAUUUUUACUGUAGCACCUUCUUCUUCCUUGGGUCGCCGGACUGGUUUUUUCCGGCGGCCGUUUUUCCGGGCAGUUUUUCAAAUUGCCAUAACUUUGUCAUUUCUCAACGAAAUCAAGUGAUUCAAAAACGAAAGUUGUAGCCCUUGAAGAGACAAAGAGAAUGGUACCUUGAAAAACACCUAGUUCGCCGUGGUUUGGCCGGAAACUGCCUCGAAAGCCUCGGAGGUCGCCGGAAACUGGGUAUUUUUCAAAUGAGUAUAACUUCUUCAAUACUCAACGAAAUUGAGUGAAACAAAAAGGAAAGUUGUAUUACUUGACGAGACGAAGAGAUUGAUACCUACCUCGACUCCUAAAUCGCCGGGGAUUCGCCGGAAAACGCCUCGAAAGCUCCGGCCAAACUUUGAACUUGUCGAUCUCCGUGUUCUUACGUCCAAAAACUUCCAACGAAGCACUCUGAGCUUCCUUGGGACCUUACUAAACUCGCUGUGAUCUUGUUUUAGCCUAAAACGUAACCAAUUCAAAGCUCAUGAACAGUGUCAUCUCACGGCAACUUUAGAACUAGGGUUUUCGAAGUGAAACUCACCUGAAAUUGGUAUCCCCGUGCUCGUGAAGUCCCCAGGAUCACGAUGGUGGUCUUAAAUGGAACGUUGGUACAAGAUUGUGGUGGUUCUUGGUGGUUGCCGUGAGUUCGAGAGUAAGAGAGAGAAUGAGAGAGUUUUCAGAAAAGAAUAAGAGAGAGAGUGAAAAUCUGAAAUGGAAGAAGAAGAGAGAGAAGGAAAGGUUACGGAAAAUGGGGAGGAAAUUAGGGUAUAGGACCCUACCUAAAGUCCAACACAACAAUAGCUUAGAAAUUUUAGGUAAAACAAACACCAAAAUUACGCACCUUAAUCCCGUUUAAGGGCGUUUUUGUAAUUUCACGUCCUCGGAAUUAAAAAUUCCGGGACGGGCUGUGACAAU
rnacentral:lncRNA from 1 species